UCAUCCAUCAUUCUCAUAAGUAGAGUGCAUCAUUUAAGCCAAGCAAGCUGUGGUCAAUACAAAUCCACCAUGAAGACCUUUCUCAUCCUUUCCCUCCUUGCUAUCGUGGCAACCACCGCCACAACUGCAUUUAGAAUUCUAGUGCCACAAUUGCAGCCACAAAAUCCAUCUUAGCAACAACCACAAGAGCAAGUUCCAUUGGUACAACAACAGCAAUUUCUAGGGCAGCAACAACCAUUUCCACCACAACAACCAUAUCCACAGCCGCAACCAUUUCCAUCACAACAACCAUAUCUGCAGCUGCAACCAUUUCCGCAGCCGCAACCACCAUAUUCGCAGCCGCAACCAUUUCGACCACAAUAACCAUAUCUCCACAACCGCAACCACAGUAUUCGCAACCACAAUAACCAAUUUCGCAGCAGCAACAACAACAACAACAACAACAACAACAACAAAUCCUUCAACAAAUUUUGCAACAACAACUGAUUCCAUGCAUGGAUGUUGUAUUGCAGCAACACAACAUAGCGCAUGGAAGAUCACAAGUUUUGCAACAAAGUAGUUACCAGCUGUUGCAAGAAUUGUGUUUUCAGCACCUAUGACAGAUCCCUGAGCAGUCGCAGUGCCAAGCCAUCCACAAUGUUGUCCAUGCUAUUAUUCUGCAUCAACAACAAAAACAACAACAACAACAACAACAAAAACAACAACCAUCGAGCCAGGUCUCCUUCCAACAGCCCCAGCAACAAUAUCCAUCAGGCCAGGGCUCCUUCCGGCCAUCUCUGCAAAAUCCACAGGCCCAGGGCUCGGUCCAGCCUCAACAGCUGCCCAGUUCGAGGAAAUAAGGAACCUAGCGCUACAGACGCUACCUGCAAUGUGCAAUCUCUACAUCCCUCCAUAUUGCACCAUCGCGCCAUUUGGCAUCUUCGGUACUAACUGAGAAGAAAAUAACUCUAGUACUAGAUAUAUGAAACACCGUUUUCUUAGUCCAUGGUUUGGUCAUUGUAGCGGUGAAAAAAUAAAGUGACAUGCACUACCAUGUAAGAACUCGAACUAUACUAGUUCAAACUUGGGAAUAAAAGACAAACACAGGUCUUGUCUACAUAUUUAUGUUGCAUUUAUCUAAAGAUAACAAAAUGAGUCUAAAAUUUGAAUUAAAUUGAAGUAUUUUCUUGGACUUUCAAAUUGAGUAUUAUUAACGUAGUAAGGACUAUCCUCAUCCUUGGCCUGCCCCUAAUCAAUUAUUUCCAGAGAAGCAUUCAAUUCAUCAAUCAAUUACAUUGAUUUUUGUGGCUGGUACUUCUCCUCAACAUCAGUAUAUUCACCGUGGCUACUCCAAAUCGGCAAGAAUGAGGUACCGGUGCUCUGGAGCAGUGCCAACUAAUUGCUUCUCAUGUGAAGGGGUGCGGGCGCGGGAGAGGUAUUUCUGGUGGGCCAAGGGAGUAAGAAGCCACCGUGGGAGUGGUACAGACGCCCGUAAAGCCCCAUAGUUUCUUUUUGGUUUACAGGAAAAUGCACAUCCAUACCGGCCUGGGGAGUAUAGGACCGUAUUGGAUGGAAAACCAUGUCCGGAUGGUUGCGAGCGGUUUGAGGGUUAGCUUUUGUAACGCCCGGUUAGUUAUGCUAUAGCAAUUCCCUGCUAAUGAUGUCACGUCACCAAGAUUACUGUUGUUAUCCUCACAAUGAUUCAAUGCCAUUCUAAUUCAAAUUUAAAAUAAAGGCAAGCAUCAAAAGUUUUCAAACAUUAAAACUAAAAUCUUUGAGAGGUAACAAAUAAUGCAUAAGUAAUUAUGGUGGAGAAACCACACUUUAAUAAAAUGUUUAAAUACUCUAAAAUGAAAAAAACAGUGGCUUAAACUAUUAUUUAAAUGCUUUUAAAAUAGUAAAAAUGUUCUAACUAAAUUAAUUGGGUACCAACCUUUUGGUGGCAGUGGUAUAUUUAGUAGAACUAAUUUAGAUGCUAGUUAUAUGAUUUAGAAAAUUAGGGUCAAUUGAAAAAUAGGAUAAAACAGAGAAGGAAAGACAAAACAAAUAAAAGCAAAAGGGGGCAACCCCUCACUGGCCUUGGCCUAGCUGGCCACUGGGCUAGCUAGGUCGGCCCCGCCGCCUCCCUUAACCCCCUGUCGGUGUCGAAACCGGUGGAUGGUACCAUGAGUAGAUCUACCACGAGAUCGGAGAGGCUAAACCCUAGAGGCUAGCCUAUGAUAUGAUUGUAUGUGUCCUACGGACUAAAACCCUCCGGUUUAUAUAGACACCGGAGAGGGUUAGGGUUACACAAGGUCGGUUACAAAGGAGGAGAUAUCCAUAUCCGUAUUGCCUAGCUUGCCUGCCACGCCAAGUAGAGUCCCAUCCGGACACGGGACGAAGUCUUCAAUCUUGUAUCUUCAUAGUGCAACAGUCCGAAAAAGGAUAUAGUCCGGCUGUCCGGAGACCCCCUAAUCCAGGACUCCCUCAGUAGCCCCUGAACCAGGCUUCAAUGACGAUGAGUCUGGCGCGCAGUAUUGUCUUCGACAUUGCAAGGCGGGUUCCUCCUCCGAAUGCAUCACAGAAGAAUUUGAAUACGAGGAUAGUGUCCGACCCUGCAACAUAAGUUCCACAUAAUUCCAUACAGAGAAUAAUAUUUUCGCAAAUCUAAUUUGCUUACUUGUUUUGACAGUACGACAUUAUGUCAUGGCCCGGUGAUUAUUCGAACCGUUUCCUUUAACUAGCCCCGCACAUAACGCGAGGCAGUUUUUCGACAUGUCUUGUCAAAGCAGAGAUCGUGUCCCCUUAUUACUGGAUUCUCAUCAAUACGGGCGUGGGUAACCCAACCGCGCCAUCGAUUGCGGCACUUGGGGGAUGAGCUAUUUUUACCUGGCAAGUGGGGACGCUUAGUUUCGUCCGCCCAUAUAAAGGGAUAAGGAUUCACCUUUCUAUCCAUGCCUUCUUCCUCCUUUGCUCAUCCGUUUUUGCACACUCGAGCUCUAGCGCCCAAGUUCGCACUUCCCACCUCAACCUUCUCCAACCAUGUCCCGAGCGGGAGGCAGGUGGAUGGUAUCCUCCGUCACGGAUGGAGACAUCAAGAAGCUGAGGAGCGCCGGAUACCUGCCUGACGACAUCGCGCACCGGCUCCCAGAUGAGGGGCAGCUCACCCCCACCCCCAGGCCCCAUGAGAGGGUAGUGUUCCUCACCCAUUUCCUCCGCGGACUGGGAUUCCCUCUCCACCCAUUUGUCCCGGGGCUCAUGUUCUAUUACGACCUGGAUUUCCAUGAUCUGGCCCCGAACUUCAUCCUCAACAUCUCGGCGUUUAUCGUUGUGUGCGUGGCCUUCCUCCGCAUCAAGCCCCACUUCGGCUUAUGGUUGAAGACCUUUAAUGUCAAGCCGAAGGUUGUGGGCGACCGCCAGGCGGAGUGCGGAGGCGCCAUGGUGGGCAAGAUGCCCAACGUAACAUGGCUCGAGGGCUCUUUUGUGGAAACCAUAAAGGGGUGGCAAUCGGGUGGUUCUACAUCACCGAGCCGCGUGACCCUGCAUGGGCAGCGGCCCCCCGAGUUCUGAUCUGGCAUCCCCACGCGGCUCACCUCCUGGAAAGAGAAGGGCCUGUCCUGGGGUAGUUUGGAAGAGCUGACCAGACUCCAAACAUGUAUUCAAAACAUGGUGAACAAGAAGCUCAAACUCGUCAACGUGGUCCAGGUCAUGCUCCACCGCCGGAUCCUCCCGUGCCAAUAACGGGAGUUCAACUUGUGGGAGUACAACCCAGCGCAGCACCGAACUCUGAACAGGCUUUUCGACACAACUCACGAAGAUGCCUCGAGGGUGCUGUUCAAAAUCACCAAGGUCCCCCUCCCAUUACUGAGGAUCACGGAUUCAGCGUGAAGCGCCAAGCCAGUGCGGCAGGCUGCUUUACCUUUCACAGGCUACUUAUUUUUUAUAGAUUGACUCCAUGCGGGAUCUAAACUCCCGUACCUUUGACAGGACUGGCAGGAGAUGGCCGGACAGAUCGACUGUCCGGCUCCUAUGCCCGAAGGCCCAGCAGACGCUCUUCUAGCGAAGAUGCUGACUUCGGCUCCUUAUACGGUGCCGGAGAAGACCAAGAAGGACAAGGGAACCCGAAAGAGUUCCCGACGCCAGGCGUCGUCGGACUCACCGUCCGAUGACUCUGCGGCGCACUCCUCCCCCGAAGACGAGGAAGAGGAAGAAGACGCUCCCUCUCUGGCUGGGGGAGAUAAGAAAAGGAAGGCCGCCCCAACUGGGGGGGCGGAAGGGUCCAAGAAGGGAAGGAAUCUCCUUCCGGAUAGUUGCACCGCUGCCGACGAAGGCGAAGACGAGGGGUUGCCCAGGGCCAAGCCCCUGGGGAGAUCGUAAGUAUUCAGAUACCAGAGUAACUCAUAGCAUUCCUUUGUCGCACUGCUUUCCCUAACGUCAAACAUAAUUAUGCAGGUCGCCAUGAGCCAGUAUCGAUGUGUGACGCCCGGAUAAUCAUGCUACAGUAAUCCCACGCUAAUCAUGCCACGUCACCUCGGUUACUGUUGCUAAUCUAUCGUUAGGUCAAAGCUGGUCCAAAAUUCAAAUUCAAAGUUUGGUAAAUAAUAACAGUUUUCAAAAAUUAAAACAAAAAUGUUCGGUGAUUGCCGAAUAAUGCAUAGGUAAUUAUGGUGGAGAAACCACACUUUUAUAAAAUGUUUAAAUAAUCUAAAAUGAAUAAAACAGUAGAAAAACCAAAUCUAAAUGCUUUUAUAAAUAAAUAAAACACUAAACUAAAUUGUUUUGGGAUAAAGCCUUUUGUGGCAGUGGGUUUCGUGGUAUUACAAUUUUAGAGUUCAUUUUAAUACUAAGUAAGAAGUAUAAUUAAGAGAAACUAAAAUAAAGAACAGAAAAAAAAGAAUAAAUAAAAGGAAAAGAAAACACAAAACAGAAAAGAAAACUACCAAAAAAAUAUGGUAAAAGGAGACCCCCCCCACUGGACCCCUUGGCCCAACUGGGCCAUGGCCCAGCCGGCCACCCCCNNNNNNNNNNNNNNNNNNNNNNNNNNNNNNNNNNNNNNNNNNNNNNNNNNNNNNNNNNNNNNNNNNNNNNNNNNNNNNNNNNNNNNNNNNNNNNNNNNNNNNNNNNNNNNNNNNNNNNNNNNNNNNNNNNNNNNNNNNNNNNNNNNNNNNNNNNNNNNNNNNNNNNNNNNNNNNNNNNNNNNNNNNNNNNNNNNNNNNNNNNNNNNNNNNNNNNNNNNNNNNNNNNNNNNNNNNNNNNNNNNNNNNNNNNNNNNNNNNNNNNNNNNNNNNNNNNNNNNNNNNNNNNNNNNNNNNNNNNNNNNNNNNNNNNNNNNNNNNNNNNNNNNNNNNNNNNNNNNNNNNNNNNNNNNNNNNNNNNNNNNNNNNNNNNNNNNNNNNNNNNNNNNNNNNNNNNNNNNNNNNNNNNNNNNNNNNNNNNNNNNNNNNNNNNNNNNNNNNNNNNNNNNNNNNNNNNNNNNNNNNNNNNNNNNNNNNNNNNNNNNNNNNNNNNNNNNNNNNNNNNNNNNNNNNNNNNNNNNNNNNNNNNNNNNNNNNNNNNNNNNNNNNNNNNNNNNNNNNNNNNNNNNNNNNNNNNNNNNNNNNNNNNNNNNNNNNNNNNNNNNNNNNNNNNNNNNNNNNNNNNNNNNNNNNNNNNNNNNNNNNNNNNNNNNNNNNNNNNNNNNNNNNNNNNNNNNNNNNNNNNNNNNNNNNNNNNNNNNNNNNNNNNNNNNNNNNNNNNNNNNNNNNNNNNNNNNNNNNNNNNNNNNNNNNNNNNNNNNNNNNNNNNNNNNNNNNNNNNNNNNNNNNNNNNNNNNNNNNNNNNNNNNNNNNNNNNNNNNNNNNNNNNNNNNNNNNNNNNNNNNNNNNNNNNNNNNNNNNNNNNNNNNNNNNNNNNNNNNNNNNNNNNNNNNNNNNNNNNNNNNNNNNNNNNNNNNNNNNNNNNNNNNNNNNNNNNNNNNNNNNNNNNNNNNNNNNNNNNNNNNNNNNNNNNNNNGCCCCUCGGCGCCCGCUCGGCCCUCUCCUGGGUCGGGCGCCCGUAACGCCCAGCGCCCGUAACCCGCUAUGGCCCCCUGGGCAGUUGACAGAUGGGGCCCACGCCCCUGUCUUGUUAGAAAAAAAAACGAAAAGAAAAUGUAAUUAAAAAAAUGAAAAUAAGUAAUUAGUUAUUUAAUUAAUUAUGUAACUAAUUAAUUAAUUAAAUAAGUAAUUACUUAACUUAAUUAACUCCGUUUAGUACUUAAUUAACUUGAUUAGUUAAUUAAAAUUGUUAAUUAGUUGUUAGACUAUGACGAAUGGGACCCACACGUCAGUUUGACCCAGUCAACGCCCUGUUGACUGCUGACGUCAUGCUGACGUCAGCGUACACUAUUCUGGAUAAUGUUAAUUUAAUUAAUAAUUAAUAAAUUAGAAAAUGAUUUAAAAAUUUAAAAAUUAAUAUAAAUUAAACCGUAGCUCAGAUGAAAAAACUUUGUACAUGAAAGUUGCUCAGAACGACGAGACAAAUCUGGAUACACGGCCUGUUUGUUCGUCACGCAUCCCUAGCAUAGCAAACUCGCAACUUUCCCCUCCGGCUCCUCUGCCCGAAAACGCAAAACACCGGGGAUACUUUCCCGGAUGUCAUCCCCCUUCACCGGUAUCACCUAUUACCGCGUUAGGGCACCUCUAACGCCGUUACUUGUCAUGUCAUGCAUCACUAUGCAUAUGCUUGCUUAAAUAUUUAUUAUUUCUUCCCCCUCUUCUCUCGAUAGACACCGAGACCGACGCCGCUGCUACCCAGUACGACUACGCUGUUGACGACCCUCUUUCUUGCCAGAGCAACCAGGCAAGCGCCCCCCUUGAUCACCAGAUAUCGCCUACUCUCUUCUAUACUGCUUGCAUUAGAGUAGUGUAGCAUGUUACUGCUUUCCGUUAUUCCUAUCCUGAUGCAUAGCCUGUCCUUGCUACUACUGUUGUUACCAUUACCUGCUAUCCUACUGCUUAGUAUAGGAUGCUAGUGUUCCAUCAGUGGCCCUACACUCUUGUCCGUCUGCCAUGCUAUACUACUGGGCCGUGAUCACUUCGGGAGGUGAUCAUGGGCAUAUGCUAUAUACUUUACACAGUUACUUUACCUGUGGUACUGUUCGGAGAUGGGGGCUGAAGGGGCAGGUGGUUCCACCCAGGUAGUGGUGGGCCUGGGUUCCCGACGGCCCCCGACUGUUACUUUGUGGCGGAGCGACAGGGCAGGUUCAGACCACCUAGGAGAGAGGUGGGCCUGGCCCUGGUCGGCGUCCGCGGAUACUUAACACACUUAACGAGAUCUGGGUAUUUGAUCUGAGUCUGGCCAUUUGGUCUAUACGCACUAACCAUCUACGCGGGAGUAGUUAUGGGUAUCCCGACGUCGUGGUAUCAGCCGAAGCCUUCGUGACAUCAGCGACUAAGUGGCGCGUGCCGGAUUGGACCGUAAGCCUGCUCUUGUAUUAAGGGGGCUAGUUCUGCUUCCGGCCGCGUUCGCAACGUGCAGGUGUGCAAAGGGCGAUGGGCCCAGACCCCUGCGCCAUAGGAUUUAGACCAGCGUGCUGACCUCUCUGUUGGGCCUAGGUAGGGCUGCGACGUGUUGAUCUUCCGAGGCCGGGCAUGACCCAGAAAAGUGUGUCCGGCCAAAUGGGAUCGAGCGUGUUGGGGUAUGUGGUGCACCCCUGCAGGGAAGUUUAUCUAUUCGAAUAGCCGUGUCCCUCGGUAAAAGGACGACCCGGAGUUGUACUUUGACCUUAUGAUAACUAGAACCGGAUACUUAAUAAAACACACCCUUCCAAGUGCCAGAUACAACCGGUGAUCGCUCUCUCACAGGGCGACGAGGGGAGGAUCAUCGGUUAGGAUUAUGCUAUGCGAUGCUACUUGGAGGACUUCAGUCUACUCUCUUCUACAUGCUGCAAGACGGAGGUUACCAGAAGCGUAGUCUUCGAAAGGACUAGCUAUCCCCCUCUUAUUCCGGCAUUCUGCAGUUCAGUCCACAUAUGAUAGCCUUAUUCCAAUUGAUACCAAUGCAUACAUAUGUAGUGUAGCUCCUUGCUUGCGAGUACUUUGGAUGAGUACUCACGGUUGCUUUCUCCCUCUUUCCCCCCUAUCCCUUCUACCUGGUUGUCGCGACCAGAUGUUGGAGCUCAGGAGCCAGACGCCACCGUUGACGACGACUCCUACUACACCGGUGGUGCCUACUACUACGUGCUGUCCGCUGACGACGACCAGGAGUAGUUUAGGAGGAUCCCAGGCAAGAGGCCUGCGCCUCUUUCGAUCUAUAGCUCAGUUUGUGCUAGCCUUCUUAAGGCAAACUUGUUUAACUUAUGUCUGUACUCAGAUAUUGUUGCUUCCGCUGACUCGUCUAUGAUCGAGCUCUUGUAUUCGAGCCCUCGAGGUCCCUGGCUUGUAAUAUGAUGCUUGUAUGACUUAUUUUAUUUGUAGAGUUGUGUUGUGAUAUCUUUCUGUGAGUCCCUGAUCUUGAUCGUACACGUUUGCGUGUAUGAUUAGUGUACGGUCAAAUCGGGGGCGUCACACGAUGUAUCAUCGGACGGUUCCCUAGGCUCGUCGGACAUGGAUAGCGAUCCAGUCCCGACCCCCACCUCCCCUCAUCCUGCUGACGACGCCGAGGUGCUGUCUCAAGAGGCAUCGGGUCGAGGGGAGACAGUCCUGGAGGCACCUCAAGGCGACCUUCCGGACUCCGGGAGCCGAGGGGACGGGGCCCCUAAGAGCUUCGAGUUCGGCCCUCAGCCGAACACCGCGCUGGAACCUCCAGUGGUUCCGGGCUCGGUCAGGCGGCCUCCUUCUAAGAGGGGCAAGACACCUGUGCCGGUGACCUCUGUCUAUCCAGAGGCGCCGGACAAUCUGCUGGAAGCGCUUCGCAGCGCUUCCAUCGACGAGGAGCACCGCACUAUCAUGAGUGCGGCGAUCCAGAAAGUUUAGUCCGCCAAGAGCGGAUUGACUGAAGCCUGUGCCAGCCUUCUAACAGGCUUUGAGGUAAGUGUUUUAAAAUAUAGGAAAAAUACUACUGCAUAUAUAGUAGCCCCUGAUGCUUUGUUCGGUGUUCAGAAAGAAAAGCCGAACAGAGGAUCAAAUAAUAUCGCAGGACUCUAAUAUAAGUAUGUCAAUAUGCGUAUGCAAGCCUCACUGCUGGCAUCCGCCACACUGACUGCGGAGGUCGCCCUACUGAAGCAGGACCUCGAGAGGUCUAGGAGAGAGCUCGGCCUUGUCAAGAGGCAGCUCGAGGAGAACAAGGGUAAGUAAUACCUUGUCUUUAGAUAUGUAUAUAUAAAAGAAGAAGCGAUUGCAAAAUGACAGGAUCAUCGUACAUUCGCCAGGGGCCACGACCAAGGUGGCAACCCUCAAGCAAGCGCUAACCAAGGCCGAAGAUAACGCGGCCAAGGAGCGCACCGAGUGAGAGAAGCACGAGGCUCGGGUGGGCGAGGUGCAGCAAGAGCUCUAGGCUAUCAUGGUGAAGCACGAGGCAUUGGAGCUUGACUAAAAGACGCGAGAGUCUGAGCUUUCCGCGGCCCUCGAGAGCGCAAAAAGUGCCAAGGCCGAAGCCCAAAGGGGUCUCCAGGCGGGUAUGGCUUUCUAUAUGCAAAGCAAGCAUGUAAAAGUAAAUUACCGAUUACUUACUCGAAUCCGGAGCUCUCCAGGAGCAUUCGCAGAUUUUCCACGCAGCGUGUCCGAUGCCGCACAAUUUUACCAGGCCGAGGAUGGAAGCUCAAUGGAGAAGCUGUUCUGGUAUCAGUAUGCUGAGGCCGGACACCCGGUGCCAAUGAGCGACCAGCUGAAGCAGGUGGUCGAGCUACAUAAGGCGGCCGAUCAGGCCAUGAAGGGCUUUAUAGUCCGGCUGUGGCCUGGCGACGCCCUUCCGAACAGCUUCCUCGGCCUGGUGAGGCGGCUUGUGGAUGCCUGCCCGCGGCUGGAGGUCGUCAAGCGAUCUGUCUACAUUGAGGGUGCACGCCGGGCUUUCGCCCGUGUGAAAUUGCAGUGGGUCAAGCUAGACGCCGUGAAGCUGAUCAAGGAGGGGCCGCCGGAGGGCAAGGAGCACCGCCACCCCGAGAUGUACUACGAGGGUGUUCUGCUGGGUGCCCGUCUCAUAGCGGACGAGUGUUCAAAAGAUGUAAUAUUUGAGUGAGACUUGCUCGUUUUAUCCUGUAUUUAUGAAAACUUGUUUCAUAUGCACUAUGCAACGCUUGUUUGAAUUUAGAAUAUUACCUUCUGUUUGGCCGUUUAUCAAUCUGAGAGAUGGCUAGUCCUCAGCUUCUGCCCCCAUGCCACGAGUGCUGGGGUCUUCGGGAUAAACCUGAGCACUCUUGUUCCCAUAUUUGGGUCCUUGGAGGGAGGUGCUCAGCACAACGAACAAGGAAACCCGACUAAUAAUGCUUUAUCACUCUCACUUAGCGAUAGAAUUCUAUAAUUUUAAAUUUCGGCGAAGCCCCUGGUAUUCGGAAGGCCGAAUUCGGGGCGCGAUACACGCCUUUAAGCCGGACAGGGCCGGCCCCUCGCCCUAAGCGGCAUAAGUCUUUGGGGACUCGAUAACCUCGCCGAACAGCGAUCAGUCUCUCCCCUUAUCAUGACAGUCAGUUUUAGCUUUCUCUACUUAGGUGCCGAACCCAGCAAAACCGGGGCACAAUCGCAGUAGUUCUCCUAGCGCUACCUUAGCCGAUAGAGUGGAACGUAAGGUACCAAAACAUAGGAGCCGGGCAAACCCAACAUUUGACCAAAGACAUGAUUCGGAGCUGAUGCAUAUAAUGCUAUAAGUUUGGGGUGCCGCACUUGUGAAAGUGUUCGGACUUUUCACACCGUAUUGUGGGGUACGUAAGCCCCUGGUGUAUUGGCCGUACCAAAGUGUACGGUUGCAAGGCAUCAUUAAUGAACAUAUAUAUAUAUAUAUAUAUAUAUAUAUAACAAGAGUGCAAUAAUAGUCGUAAUGUCAUGCAUUGUUUAUUCAAAAAAUUACGUUAAAGUAGGGUGAUACAGAUAGUGUGAUAAGCAAAGAGUAGGACUAUGUCCCUUCCCAAGGCAAGCUAAGGAAUGAUAUUAAAUUGAAUAUUUCGCUCGUUACAGUAAUCCACCUAGGAAUUCCGUGGUGUGACGUAGCUAUCUGCCUCCUUGGUUGCUGCAUCGUGUGUUCGGCAAUAGUGCUGCCGGACAGUGUUUCCAGAGGUUAAUGUCCUGAAAAAAAGAGAAAAAUAACCAAACGGGAAGCCCCUAGUGCGGUUUAAGCCGCGUCUUGGGGCGUGCUGCAGUUGUGCCACCCUCCCCACCUGUGCCCAUGGUAUUUUUAAUGCGUAAUUAUGUACGCGUGGCAUGAGUUUCGUCGUUGGGCUGGGAUUGGGGUGGCCGCCUUAUUGCUACGCGAGCUCAGAUCGCGCAAGGCGGUCUAUUUGCCGAUUGCUCCGAGCGCGCUUGAAGGUGUCCGGGCUUUGAAGCGCCGGACUGGUUGAUUGCCUUGAGAGGCUGCUUUGCGCUUCUGCUGCGAGGGCCGCGGUGUGCUCCUCUGUUCGGAGAGAGCACUCUGUGUUUCCAUUGACUGUAAUAACUCCGCGAGGUCCUGACAUCUUGAGCUUGAGGUAUGCAUAGUGCGGUACCGCAUUGAAUCUAGCAAAUGCGGUUCGCUCGAGCAGCGCGUGGUAACCACUGCGGAAUGGGACUAUAUCGAAGAUUAGCUCUUCGCUUCGGAAGUUAUCCGGGGAUCCGAAGACCACUUCCAGUGUAAUUGAGCCUGUGCAAUGGGCCUCUACACCUGGAAUGAGGCCUUUAAAGGUCGUUUUUGUGGGUUUGAUCCUUGAGGGGUCUAUACCCAUUUUGCGCACUAUAUCCUGAUAAAGUAGGUUCAGGCUGCUGCCGCCAUCCAUAAGGACUCGAGUGAGGUGAAAUCCGUCAAUGAUUGGGUCUAGGACUAGUGCGGAAAAUCUACCAUGAUGGAUACUAGUGGGGUGGUCCCUUCGAUCGAAGGUGAUCGGAUAGGAGGACCAAGGGUUGAACUUUGGGGUGACUGGCUCGAACGCAUAUACGUCCAUGAGCGCACGCUUCCGCUCCCUCUUAGGGAUGUGGGUUGCGUAUAUCAUGUUCACCGUCUGCAGUUGCGGGGGAAACCUCUUCUGUCCUUCGAUGUGCGGCUGCCGGGGCUCCUCCUCGUCAUCGCUAUGCGGCCCCUUGUCCUUCUUUUCGGCAAUUAACUUGCGGGCCUGCUUGAACACCCAACAAUCCCUGUUGGUGUGAUUGGCUGGCUUGUCUAGGGUGCCGUGUAUUUGACACGAGCGAUCGAGUAUACGUUCCAAGCUGGAUGGACCUGGCGUACUUUGUUUGAAUGGCUUUUUCCGCUGACCGGGUUUAGAGCCUUUGAAUCCGGCAUUGACUGCCGUAUCCUCGGUAUUUUCGCUGUUAAUGCGGCGGUUAUGUUUGUUGUGACAUGACCUGCUAUUGCCAUCCUUGGUAUCGGAGGUACCAUGGUUCUUUGAUAUGUUAUUACUACGGGCCAGCCAGCUGUCUUCUCCCGCACAAAAGCGGGUCAUGAGCGUCGUGAGAGCUGCCAUAGAUUUCGGCUUUUCCUGACCAAGGUGCCAGGCUAGCCACUCGUCUCGGAUGUUGUGUCUGAAAGCCGCUAAGGCCUCUGCAUCCGGACAGUCGACGAUUUGAUUUUUCUUUGUGAGGAACCAAGUCCAGAAUUGCCUAGCCGACUCUUCUGGCUGCUGAAUUAUGUGGCUCAAGUCAUCGGCGUCUAGUGGUCGCACAUAAGUGCCCUGAAAGUUGUUGAGGAAUGCGGCUUCCAGAUCUUCCCAACAGCUAAUGGAGUCCGCUGGCAAGCUGUUAAGCCAAUGCCGCGCUGGUCCUUUGAGCUUUAGUGGAAGAUAUUUGAUGGCGUGUAAGUCAUCACCGUGGGCCAUGUGGAUGUGGAGGAGGAAAUCCUCGAUCGAUACUGCAGGAUCUGUUGUGCCGUCGUAUGAUUCAAUAUUUACAGGUUUGAAACCUUCUGGGAAUUGAUGAUCCAUUACUUCGUCUCUGAAGCAUAAGGGGUGUGCGGCGCCUCUGUAGUGGGCUAUAUCGCGACGCAGCUCGAAUGGGUCUUGCCCGCUGUGUUCGGCCCGGCCGGAUUUGCUUUUACUGUAUCCGGCGUGACAUUUAUCGUCUCGCAGAGUUGUGCGCCCUCGUGAUCCGUAGAUCGAUCUUGCAUGCUUUGCUUUGUCCUCCAAUAUAUCUCGCAGGUCUGGCGUAUCUCCCCAUGCCUUUUUAUUUGAAUGGCGUCGGGGUGGAGGCUGAGUUUUUGGCUGGACUGCCUCUCUAUCGCGGCCACGAGGUGGCCGAUCCGGGCAGUAACCUGCACUUUGGGUAAUUCUUGGAGGGGUGCUUGAGUUUAUAUUCCUCGGCCGCGAGGACUUCAGUCCAUCUGUUAGUUAAGAGAUCUUGAUCAGCUUGAAGCUGCUGCUGCUUUUUCUUUAGGCUAUUUUCCGUGGCCAUAAGCCGGUGCUUGAAGCGCUCUUGUUCGAUGGGAUCCUCUGGUACAUCGAAUUCAUCAUCGCCGAGGCUUGCCUCGUCUUCGGAGGCGGGCGUGUAAUUGUCAUCCUCCUCCUCUCCGUCUGCCGCUCUUUCAGGAGGGUUGGCUCCUCCAUCCUCCUGCUCUAAAUCUUGCUGGAGGGGAUUAUUGUUGUCUUCGGCACUAUCCGGAGUGUUAUUAUCUCCUGUGCCGGUAUCACCACUUUUGCUUUGGCGGGACUUAGAGCGGCGCCGCUGACAUCGGCGCUUGGGUUGCUUCUUGGAGAGGUCAUCCUCCGUUAUCUCGUCGCCAUUGCCUUCUUUGGGUGUAUCCACCAUGUAUAUGUCGUAUGAUGAUGUGGCUUUCGAGUGCCCUAUGGGCGCUGGUUCAUGUUCAUCUCCUACAUCGUCGUCCAUACCAUCGAUGUCUUCGGAGUCGAAGUCGAGCAUGUCGGUUAAAUUAUCGACAGUGGCUACGAAGUGGGUGGUGGGUGGGCAUCGAAUUUCUUCGUCGUCCGCCUCCCAAUCCUGUUGGCCAUAGUCCGGCCAGGGCUCUCCUGACAAAGAGAGAGACUUUAGUGAAUUCAGAAUGUCACCGAAGGACGAGUGCUGCAAGAUAUCAGCGGCGGCGAAUUCCAUGAUCGGCGCCCAGUCGGAUUCAAUUGGCAGGGGCGCGGACGGUUCGGAGUCCGGAAAAGAGUCCGGCACCUUGGAGUCACGGGCUUUGCAGAGGAUUAGGCUGGUGUUCAACUCGAUCACCGUUGAGACUGCAGCCCCUGAGGCGGUGUCUAGCCACCCGUCCUCGACUGGCGCAGUUGGCUCCGAGCUAAGGGUCAGAGCUGAUGCGGGCGCGGCCUCUGGGGUACUGUCCGGUGGUAGAGCUAGGUCAUACCCAUCGUGACAGUGCAGCGCGCCCGGCUGUGGCUUGAAUCCGUCGAAGAUCAAGUCUCCGAGGAUGUCGGCCGUGUAGUUCAAACUUCCAAAUCUGACCUGAUGGCCAGGGGUGUAGCUUUCAAUCUGCUCCAGAUGGCCAAGCGAAUUAGCCCGUAGUGCAAAGCCGCCGAACACUGGACCGCAUCGUUGUUCAUGAUCGGAGGAGCCAUCGGGCCUAAAGGUGACGACACCGAGGAAAUCUCAAUGGAAGCACCAAUGUCGGUGUCAAAUCCGGCGGAUCUCGGGUAGGGGGUCCCGAACUGUGCGUCUAGGCCGGAUGGUAACAGGAGGCAGGGGACACAAUGUUUUACCCAGGUUCGGGCCCUCUUGAUGGACGUAAAACCCUAUGUCCUUCUUGAUUAAUAUUGAUGAUAUGUGUAGUACAAGAGUAGAUCUACCACGAGAUCAGAGAGGCUAAACCCUAGAAGCUAGCCUAUGGUAUGAUUGUAUACGUCCUACGGACUAAAACCCUCCAGUUUAUAUAAACACCGGAGAGGGUUAGAGUUACACAAGGUCGGUUGCAAAGGAGGAGAUAUCCAUAUCCGUAUUGCCUAGCUUGCCUUCCACGCCAAGUAGAGUCCCAUCCGGACACGGGACGGAGUCUUCAAUCUUGUAUCUUUAUAGUCCAACAGUCCGGCUGUCCGGAGACCCCCUAAUCCAGGACUCCCUCACCCCCACUCCCUAUCGAACCCUAGCCCAAUCGCCCCACCUCCCCCACACCCCCUCGCCAGCCUCCCCACCUCUUGAUCCCAUCUGGAUCGGGGAGGGGAUCACCCCCAUCGACCCCGUCGCCGUCGCCGGAUCGCCCGUCAGCGUCGCCAGGCCUCCUCCCCGCCGCCCGUCUCCGGCUCGCCUCCCCUCUCGCUCCUCUUUCCCGACCCGAUCAGGAUCGUGAACGAGCAAUGAGCGCGACGCCCCCCCUUCAUCGGCGCCAUCACCGUGCGCCACCACCACCGCCUGAAGACCUCGCCGUCGCUGACCUUGUGUCGUCUCCUGGUAUCCCUUCCCGACUCGCGUCCUCAAGCCAGGCCGACCCCCUUCUCGGCAAUGCUGUGAGACGCCCCCCGUUUCCCUCCUCUUUCCACCGUGUUCACCGCGCCGCCUGACGAAGCUACGUACCUAGGGUAGGGGCAUGGACCUGUCCUAAGAGCCCUACCCAAGGACAUCCCUGGAAGAAGUCACCUUUCAAUCGACUUGAAGGUACCCACUCGACGGGUUUAAGACACUCGACCAAGAAGCUACCACUCGACAUGAAGCCAAUCACUCGACUGCCAGGAGAUCUAAAGUCAUUCCACGGGCAAACGGUCGGCUAUUAAGUAGUCUUUAUGGUCAUUAUAGCACUUUAUUACCAGCAUUACCAGUAACGCCCCGCCUUAAUGUACAUUGAACCCUUGGUAACGUAGGCUGGCCGGGGUCCUGGCGCGCUCUAUAUAAGUCACCCCCUCCUCCGAGACAAGGGUUCGCACCUCUAUUGUUCACAUGCCUAUAAUCCAAUCGACCGCCUCCGGGCACUGAGACGUAGGGCUGUUACUUCCUCCGCGAAGGGCCUGAACUCGUACACCUUGGUGUGUUUACAACUUCCCAAUAGCUGAGAUCUAGCCUCUCCAUACACACCCCCCUACAUCACUGUCAGAGUUAGAACCACAAUAGUUGGCGCCCACCGCGGGGCCAGAAUCUUAGCGCUUACUUGGAGAAGUUGCGAUUCUUCUGAUCCCUUUGAUCAUGGUUUCAUGCGGAGUUUUGGUGGAGGGGCGCGAGAUCCGUCUCGGCGCGCUCACAUUCAUCGCCGACGACUCCGCUUGGUUUCAGGAGGCUCCACUCGACAUCGACGUGCUCCCCGUCCGUGGUGCGACGCACUUCCGCGCAUGCGUUCGUGGCGUCCUCCUGCGGCAGCCGUCGACCCAGUAUCGGUCGGCCCUCGUGUCGUCUCCCCGCUCUGUCUCCCUCCGACGCAAGCGCUUUGGUAGGUCGAGACUUUAGAGGUGGGUGAGGCAUGCCGUGGCUCGCCAGUCGGCCGCCCCACAAGUCGCGGCAAUCGAGCCCGACAAAUCCCUCUGCAGCCUGUUCGACUGGCUCCGCGGAGACUUCAUCCGAGUGUGACAGCAGAGACCCAGCGGCUGAGGUUCUGGCGGUCGAUGGGACACACUGUCCUCCCGGUUUCCCUCGCGCUAAUGGAGGCGCGGGUGGGGGCGACCCGUCGCAUCCCCACGAUGAGUAUCUCCCCGAAUGUCUCACGGCAUCGCAGCGAGAGGAACUUCACCGCCGGAACAUAGACGCACUCCACACUCCUAUCGUCGGAGAAACCCCCGAGGCCCGGGCCUUGGAGGACGCGCGCUUGGCUAACUUGGCUGAGCGCACUCGACUGGAGAAUCUCCAGCUAAUACUCGAUGAGCAAGCGCGCCAGUGAGCUCCCGAGUCCAGUCGACGUCAGCUCUUUCCGCCGAUGCAGGUAUAUUGAACCCUAGUUCAGAAUUUGGCCGCCGCGGCCCGUAUAGCAGAGUCAAUUCAGCCCUCCCAGUCAGAGGCUGGCAGGGGCUUGUUGCAGAUCAGAGCAUUGCUCCGGGCGGCGGGGAACCAGAAUUCCGCUGUUUCUCAGUCGCAGAAUAGGAUCCACAGUCGAUCCGUUGCAACAGAUACAGUCCAGUCGGCUCACAGCCCGAGAUCGCCCCCGAGGCGUGAGGGACAUGGAGACCGGCACGAUCAGUACAGAAGAAAUGAGCAGUAUGAUCACCGAUUCGAUCGUGAGGAUCGACGUCGAGUGCCAACCCCUCCCCCGAGGAGUGGGUCAUAUGCGCCUCGAUAGCGAGAUGACAGGCGCCCUCAUAGUGUUGGGCAGAGGAUUCCAGUCGACCCCAGGGACCCAGGCUUUGAUGCGAGAUCCAUCCUUGAUCAAGGUCUGGUUGACAGGAACGGGGCUCACCGAGAAUGCCAGGACAGAGAUGCGCCUGCCAGCAGCAGAGUGCGUGUUUCAGGGACAGAGUGUUUCAGUCGAGCCAUCAGAGCCACAGUGAUUCCUCCCAACUUCAGGUUGGCGACUGGAGUCAGCUAGUUCACCGGUGAGUCUAAGCCUGACACUUGGCUCGAAGAUUACCGAGUGGCUGUACAGAUUGGCAGUGGCAAUGAUGAGGUGGACAUGAAGCAUUUGCCUCUCAUGUUAGAGGGCUCAGCCAGAGCAUGGCUAAAUCAGUUAGUGCCCAGCAGCAUUUACACUUGGGAGGACCUCUCCCGAGUGUUUGUCACAACCUUUGAGGGAACAUGCAAGCGACCUGCAGGCCUUACAGAGUUGCGGUCUUGCACGCAGAAACCGAAUGAAACGCUGAGGGAUUACAUCCAGAGGUGGAUCACAUUGCAUCACACAGUUGAGAAUGUUCCAGAUCAUCAAGCAGUUUGUGCCUUCAAAGAAGGCGUUAAGUACAGAGAAUUGAAUCUGAAGUUCGGUCGAACUGGAGAGAUGUCUCUGAAUCGGAUGAUGGAGAUUGCCACCAAAUACGCUAAUGGUGAAGACGAAGAUCGCCUCCGGAGUGGCAAGCGCAAGGCAGUCGCCCAAGAAACCGGAGGAAACUCCAGUCAGAAACAGAAGCGGAAGGCUGAGCCAGCCGCCCCUGGGGAGGCCCUGGCCGUAACCCAGGGAAAUUUCAAGGGAAAACCCAAGGGCCCCUGGAAGCCCAAGAAAGUCAAGGAUCAAGAUGGAAAUGAUGUUUUGGAUCUGCCAUGUCACUCCACACCAAGAAAGAUGAAGAGGGUAAUUUUAUUUACCCAAAGCAUACCACUCGACAGUGCCAGCUCCUGAUCCAGCAGUUUCAGGGCAAGCAACCCAAAGAUAAGGAAAAAGAGCCAGACAGAGUUGAGGACAAGGAUGAUAGUGACGAUGGAUACCCCCAAGUCAAUUCCACCCUGAUGAUUUUUGCUGAUGUCGAAAGCAAAAGUCGACUGAAAGUCAUUAAUCGUGAAGUGAAUAUGGUUGCUCCGGCAACACCUAGUUAUCUGAAGUGGUCUCAGGCUGCCAUAACAUUCGACCAGUCUGAUCACCCUACGCACAUUGCCACCCCUGGGAGGCAAGCUUUGGUGGUCGACCCAGUUGUCGAAGGCACUCGACUGACCAAAGUCCUGAUGGAUGGUGGCAGUGGCCUGAACAUACUGUAUGCUAAAACAUUGAAAGGGAUGGGCAUUCCGAUGUCCGGGCUCAGUACCAGCAACAUGAGCUUCCACGGAGUCAUUCCCGGGAAGUAAGCCGAAUCACUCGGCCAGAUUGCUCUUGAUGUGGUUUUCGGUGAUUCAAAGACUUACCGCAAGGAAAAGUUGACAUUCGAGGUUGUGGACUUCCAAAGUGCUUAUCAUGCCAUUUUGGGCAGACCAGCUUAUGCACGCUUCAUGGCCUGACCAUGUUAUGUGUAUCUCAAAUUGAAGAUGCCUGGUCCUAAAGGUGUGAUCACUGUUACAGGCAAUCGGAAGAAGGCAGAAGAGUGUUUUCAGAAAGGCUCAAAGAUUGCUGACGCUCAGAUGGCAGUGGUUGAGCUGCAAGAGUAUCAGAAGACUGCAGAUCCGAGUGAGUUGCUACGAGCUAAGAAGCCCACUUCGGAGUCAGCUUUUCAGUAGUCUGGUGAAAUGAAGGCAGUUCACAUUCACCCGACCAACCCCGAGGCUGCCCCGACUCACAUCUCAAAGACGCUCGACUCCAAAUAGGAAGAAGUGCUCAUCCAGUUCCUCCGUGAGAACUGGGACAUCUUCGCAUGGAAGCCUUCUGACAUGCCUGGAAUAACCAGGGGGCUGGCUGAGCACCGUCUACGAGUCGACCCAAAGUUCAAGCCUAUGAAAGAACAUCUUCGACGGUCCGCCGUCCAAAAGAGGAAAGCUAUUGGCGAGGAGGUGGCUCGGCUCUUAGCAGCAGAGUUCAUCCGAGAGAUGUACCACUCUGAGUGGCUCGCCAAUGUUGUCAUGGUCCCCAAGAAGGACAAGUCGCUUCGCAUAUGCAUCGACUUUAAACAUAUCAAUCGGGCCUGCCCGAAAGAUCAUUUUCCUCUCCCUCGCAUCGACCAAAUAGUCGACUUGACCGCGGGGUGUGAGCGAUUGUCUUUUCUAGACGGCUAUUCCGGGUACCAUCAGAUCCGUCUGUAUGGACCCGAUGAGAUCAAAACAGCUUUCAUCACUCCAUUCGGGUGCUUCCGUUAUGUCACCAUGCCCUUCGGCCUCAAGAACGCUGGAGCCACGUUCAUGAGGAUGAUUCAGAAGUGUUUGCUCACUCAAAUCAGUCGGAACGUGGAAGCAUACAUGGAUGAUAUUGUGGUCAAGUCGCGGAAAGGUUCCGACCUGCUGACUGACCUUGCUGCAACCUUUGCCAACCUUAGGAGGUAUGAUAUCAAGCUUAAUCCAUCAAACUGCACAUUCGGAGUUCCGGGUGGAAAGUUACUCGGUUUUCUCGUUUCCGAAUGAGGAAUCAACGCCAAUCCCGAGAAAGUUGGCACCAUACUCCGGAUGAAGCGCCCUGUGCGUGUGCACGAUGUCCAGAAGCUUAUGGGUUGCUUGGCCGCUCUAAGUCGAUUCAUUUCUCGUCUCAGUGAAAAGGCAUUGCCUCUUUACCGACUGAUGAAGAAGUCUGACAAGUUCGAGUGGACUCCAGAAGCUGAUGCAGCGUUUGCAGACCUCAAAGCUCUGCUCUCCACCCAGCCGGUGCUUGCUGCCCCAAUCAGUAAAGAGCCUUUGCUGCUUUACAUUGCAGCCACAGGACAAGUUGUCAGUACAGUACUUAUGGUCGAGCGGGAAGAUGAAGGAUAGGCCUUCAGAGUUCAACGCCCAGUAUAUUAUGUGUCUGAAGUUUUGACACCUUCAAAACAAAGAUAUCCUCAUUAUCAGAAGCUUGUAUACGGGAUUUAUAUGACCACGAAGAAGGUUGCACAUUACUUCUCUGACCACUCCAUUACAGUCGUCAGCGACGCCCCACUGUCAGAGAUUCUGCAUAACAGAGAUGCAACUGGUCGAGUGGCGAAGUGGGCGAUUGAACUCCUUCCCCUAGAUAUCAAGUUUGAAGCAAAUAAGGCUAUCAAGUCCCAAGCAAUUGCAGAUUUCAUCACCGAGUGGAUCGAACAGCAGCUUCCGACUCAAGUUCACCCGGAGCACUGGACCAUGUUCUUCGAUGGAUCUAAGAUGCUGAAUGGUUCCGGUGCUGGGGUAGUAUUGGUCUCCCCCCGAGGAGAUAAGCUCAGAUAUGUUCUCCAGAUUCACUUUGAUUCCUCCAAUAAUGAAGCAGAAUAUGAAGCACUUUUGUAUGGGUUGCGCAUGGCCAUUUCACUUGGCGUCCGUCGCCUCAUGGUCUAUGGCGACUCAGAUUUGGUGGUUAAUCAGGCGAUGAAGGAGUGAGACGUCAGAAGUCCGGCAAUGACUGGUUAUUGCAAUGUAGUGAGAAAGCUAGAAAAGAAAUUCGAGGGGUUAGAGCUUCAUCACAUCCCCCGACUGAAAAAUCAGGUAGCUGACGAUUUGGCAAAGAUAGGCCCCAAGAGAGAAGCCAUUCCCAGCAACGUGUUCCUGGAACACAUUCAUUCGCCAUCAGUCCAAGAAGAUCCUUUUACAGAAGAAGCCCCGCAGCCGAAAAGUGCCACAGAUCCGACUGAAGUCGAAGUCCCUGCUGUGGUCGACCUAAUCAUGGAAGUCUUCGCAAUCACUCCCGACUGGACGAUACCGUACAUCGCGUAUAUCCUAAGGAAAGAACUCCCGGAGGACGAGGAAGAGGCUCGACAGAUCGUCCGCCGAUCCAAAGCCUUCACAGUCACAAGGGGACAGUUGUAUAGAGAAAGCGCGACUGGGAUCGGUCAGAAGUGCAUAACACUAGAAGAGGUUCAGAUAAUCCUUGACGACAUCCACUCGCGGACCUGUGGUCACCAUGCGUCUUCUCGGACCAUUGUGGCUAAAGCAUACCGAGCGGGAUUUUACUGGCCAAGAGCAAAUGAGAUGGCAAAAGAGAUAGUCGACCAGUGUGGAGGGUGCUAGUUCUACUCCAACAUGUCACACAAGCCUGCGUCAGCCCUGAAGACCAUUCCACUCGUCUGGCCCUUUGCUGUCUGGGGACUGGACAUGGUUGGUCCACUAAGAACAGGCAGGAGCGGUUUCACUCAUGUGCUUGUGGUAGUCGACAAGUUUACCAAAUGGAUUGAGGCUAAGCGCAUCAAGAAUCUUGAUGCUUGCACUACUAUCAGUUUCGUCAGAGGGCUAACAUUCAGAUAUGGAGUCCCGCAUAGCAUCAUCACUGACAAUGGGUCAAACUUUGAUUCGGACAAGUUCAGAGCUUUUUGCGCCUCUCAAGGCACACGAGUCGACUACGCAUCGGUCGCCCAUCCCCAGUCGAAUGGACAAGCAGAGAGAGCAAAUGGUUUGAUUCUCAAAGGACUAAAGCCUCGACUGAUGCGCGAUCUCAAGCACGCGGCAGGUGCUUAGGUCGACGAGCUUCCGUCAGUUCUGUGGGGAUUGAGGACCACCCCGAACCGGUCGACUGGAGGAACUCCAUUCUUUCUGGUUUAUGGAGCCGAGGCAGUUCUGCCGAGUGAUCUUCUUCACAACGCACCCCGAGUCGAACUUUAUACCGAAGAUGAAGCAGAACAAGCCCGGCAAGACGCAGUCGACCUACUAGAAGAAGAGAGGGAGAUGGCCAUGAUCAGAUCGACCAUUUAUCAGCAAGACUUGCGUCGAUUCCACGCUAGGAAUGUGAAGAGUCGAGCCUUCCAAGAAGGAGAUUUGGUCCUCCUAGUGGAUCAACAGAAACCACACAAGCUUGCUCCUACUUGGGAAGGCCCCUUCAUCGUCACCAGAGUCCUCCACAAUGGAGCGUAUCACCUCUACAAUGUUGAUCGCCAGAUCGAUGAGCCGCGAGCUUGGAAUGCGGAACUGCUCCGCCCCUUUUACACUUGAGUUCUCCCUUGGACGAGAUGUAAUAAGAAAAAAUUUCUGCAGUUCAUUUUUAUCAAAGGCAAGAGUGUUCCAAUAAUUGCUGUCACUUUUGUUUGCAUACGAAAUCCCCCAGUGGGUGACUUAGCUGCGAAUCCGUUUCGCCUAAGUUUGAAAAAUCCUACCGAGUGGAGAGCCAGAUUCCCACUCGGGGGCUUAGCUCCAGCCCAGUGCUUGCCUAAGUGUUCAAAAAUCCUACCAAGUGAGAGCAAUCCUCCCACUUGGGGGCUUAGCUGCAGUCCAGUACUCGCCUAAGUUCUCCCACUUAGAGACUUAGCUGCAGUCAGGCACUCGCCUAAGUUUGAAAAAAUCCUACCGAGUGGAGAGCAAUCCUCCCACUCGAGGGCUUAGCUGCAGUCCAGUACUCGCCUAAGUUCUCCCACUUAGAGACUUAGCUACAGUCAGGCACUCGCCUAAGUUUGAAAAAAUCCUACCGAGUGGAGAGCAACCCUCCGACUCGGGGGCUUAGCUGCAGUCCAGUACUCACCAAAGUUCUCCCACUUAGAGACUUAGCUANNNNNNNNNNNNNNNNNNNNNNNNNNNNNNNNNNNNNNNNNNNNNNNNNNNNNNNNNNNNNNNNNNNNNNNNNNNNNNNNNNNNNNNNNNNNNNNNNNNNNNNNNNNNNNNNNNNNNNNNNNNNNNNNNNNNNNNNNNNNNNNNNNNNNNNNNNNNNNNNNNNNNNNNNNNNNNNNNNNNNNNNNNNNNNNNNNNNNNNNNNNNNNNNNNNNNCUCUCCUUCCGAGCUACGCCACAAGUACAACAUGCGCUCUGCAAGGAGGACGAGGUGCAGGUCGACUGCUACCCUCUCCUUCCGAGCUACGCCACCAAUUCAAAAUCCUACUGAGUGGAGAGCAAACCUCCCACUCGGGGGCUUAGCUGCAGCCCAGUGCUCGCCUAAGUAUUUGAAAUCCUACCGAGUGGAGAGCAAACCUCCCACUCAGGGGCUUAGCUGCAGCNNNNNNNNNNNNNNNNNNNNNNNNNNNNNNNNNNNNNNNNNNNNNNNNNNNNNNNNNNNNNNNNNNNNNNNNNNNNNNNNAAAUCCUACCGAGUGGAGAGCAAACCUCCCACUCGGGGGCUUAGCUACAGCCCAGUGCUCGCCUAAGUAUUUAAAAAUCCUACCGAGUGGAGAGGAAACCUCCCACUCGGGGGCUUAGCUGCAGCCCAGUGCUCGCCUAUGUGUUUAGAAAUCCUACCGAGUGGAGAGCAAACCUCCCACUCGGGGGCUUAGCUGCAGCCCAGUGCUCGCCUAAGUGUUUAGAAAUCCUACCGAGUGGAGAGCAAACCUCCCACUCGGGGGCUUAGCUGCAGCCCAGUGCUCGCCUAAGUGUUUAGAAAUCCUACCGAGUGGAGAGCAAACCUCCCACUCGGGGGCUUAGCUGCAGCCCAGUGGUCGCCUAAGUGUUUAAAAAUCCUACCGAGUGGAGAGCCAGACUCCCACUCGGGGGCUUAGCUGCAGCCUAGCGCUCGCCUAAGUGUUUAAAAAUCCUACCGAGUGAGAGCAAACCCCUCACUCGGAGGGCUUAGCUGCAGCCCGGUGCUCACCUAAGUACAGGACACAACCCAAUCCGCAAGAAGUUACGCCACAAAUACAAGGUUAUUCCGAGUGAAGAUCAAGUUGCACUCGACAGAUCAAACCAUGAAGAUAUCCAACGAGAAAUCAAGUUCGGAUAAAGCCUAAAGGUCCCAGACCUCAGAUCAAAGUACUCGAGCCCUCGGCUCGGCAGAGUUUAACGGUUACAAAUCCACUCAGCAUUCCGAGGCAAAUUUAAAGUGAAGCACGACGAACUCGUCCAAGUCGAUCCCGUCUGCAAUACGAGUGGCAGCAGCGAUGAAAGUCUCCAUGAAGUCUUGAAAGCUGUGCUUCCUGGUAUUGGCAACUUGGAUGGCGGCCGGCUUUUCUUCUCGCGCCUCCUUGCAAUGGACGCGGACCAGAGACAGAGCGACAUCAGCACCACAUCUAGCAGAAGAUUUCUUCCAUUCCGCCACUCAACCCGGGACUUCAUUCUGUCGAGCCAUCAGAGACUCGAGGUCGUUCUGAAGCAUCAUCCCAGGCCAGAGUGAUGUGUCAAUCCGCGACAUCGCAACCUUCAGUCGAGCAAGAUAGUCAACAACACUGGUAACACGAGACUCCAGUCGGAGCACGUUCAUAGCAGCUUCAUCCUUCACGAGAGAAUUGGCGGGGUCCAAGCCUGGCUCCACUCGACUGGUUUCCUCUUCGAAGUUCUGGCAGAAUUCUGCAAACACGAUUCAAGAGUCAGACAUUGGCUCUACACAGGCUUGGCAACUGCAAGACAGUCGGGGCAGAGUAAUUACCUUCGAGCAUGACGAACAGCUUCUUGGUGAGUCCACCGAGAUAAGCCUCCAGAUCAUUUACCUUCCCCGCCAGCUUACCCGCCUGGUCGUGUAGAACCAUCUUUUCAUUCUUCAGUCGGCUGACCUCUUGAUUAGCUGUCUCGAGAGCAGUUUUCAGCCUCGAGUUCUCCUGUUCAAGAGUUCCGACCGAAGCCAUUUUCUCUUCUCCAAGCUUCGUUCUGCUCAAGGCCUCCUUCUGUGAUUCUGCAAGAUCUUGAUCCUUCUUCUUCAGAGCUUCUUCCAGUUUAUCUGCGGCACGUCGAGUGAAAUCAACAUCAAGAAUGGACAAGCAAGAAAAAUCACUCGUCAAGAAUGGAGAACCUCACCAGCCAUACCUUUUGCUUCUUCUUGCGCCUUCCUCAAAUUCUCUUGAGCAAGCUUCAAGUUAAGGUUGAGCUGGAUCUGCUUAUUCUCCAACUCAGUAUAGCGAGCUACAAGUUCACAGGAUUUCUGCAAAAAGAAAAAUCAGUGGACAGACGUCCAAGAUAAGUUGCUUCCCAAUAACUAAAAGACAACGAUGGCGUUUCUAAGACUAUAGCCGAAUCUAAAACAUUCGACAGUAGUCUCGGGGACUACACCCAGUGGGUGCACUCUGCGUGCCCCCAUUGUAAAAAAAGUCGACUGCCCGCAGUCGACCGGAUACAGUUCCAUUCGACAUGGCCUGACCAGACCGAAUGAAGAAAUACAGCUACAACAACACAAUAUAAAGACUACAGUCGACUGCCAGCAGUCCACCAUAGUCUCGGGGACUACACCCAGUGGGUGCACUUAGCGUUCCCCCACUCGUCCAAGAAUUGGCAGACACACCCAGUGGGUGUACAGAUAUAAAGAUCUUCAAAAAAAAAGAUUCUUCAAACAGCAUAUCGUAACAGACCAAGUGUUGAGUCGACUGACCUGGACGUUACUCUGAAGAGCCGAACUCGCGUCAUAAGCCGCUUGGCUGGCCUCCCAAGCCGCUUUCACUUGUUCCAUCAUAAUCCCCGCCUGGCGUAUGGCCUCUUUUGCAGCAGCUGCUUGGUCCUCAGGGACGGGGUACGUGGCAAAAAGCGAAGGCGGAUCCGCAGUCGACGUCAAGGGCCGCACCCUCGUCAGAGGAAUGGCGAAAGUCACAGAAGCCCGAGUGGUUUCACCACCGUCUCGGGCUACGGCCUCAGGCGCCGGAGUGGAUUGUGGGGUCUCGCCAGCCGACGCUCCCCUGUUCCUUCUCACUCUCAGCGGCACGUCAUCGUCGUCAUCCGGAAGGUUGAUAACAUGAUAAGGAGCUACAAGAAAAAAUUCAAUCGACCAGAGUUGCAAUAAGUGUCCAGUCGACUGAAGGCAGAACAUCAGUAAUCAUACCAGGGUGGAGGUAACAGCAUCCUCCAUCUCUUGGUCGUCGUCCUUGGCAGAGACCUCCGAAGUAGGAGCACUGCAAAUCUCGAAAGUCAGUCAGUUGGCUCAAUGAAUCGACCAAGGAUCUGUCCACGGUCGACAAAGGAAAACAAGUUUUGUUAUUACCCAGAAAUGGUGGGGACAGCCAUCUUCAUCUUGGGCAGAGCCUUGGGCGGCUUGGACGGCGUCGCGCGUGGGUGCUUGGGAGCCUUUCCAGUCAGCGUAGGAGAAGAGGUUCGAGGGCGUUUCGACAACUGCCCAACAGGAGCAGUCGCCUACCACGUUCCCGCGCUGGAUCAUGUGUGAGCUUGGAUCGCCUCUCCCGGUGGGGGGGGGGGGGGGGUCAACCUCCUCCUCCUCCUCUUCGCUGGAGUUGACGUCGUCGUCUCCCUCUCCUUCGCCAUCGGACUCCCACUCGCCUUGAUCGUCUCCACUCUCACAUCCGCUCGCCUCCCCUUCCUCAGUUGGCUCCUGUGCCCCGUUGGGUGUCGAGUACAUCUCAGUAGUCGCCUGGAAAACAACAGACAAGACAAAAGUUAGUCGACCAAUUCAAAGAAGACCAAUGAAGAAAACAAGAUUUCAAUCGGGAGCGUAAAGUCAGACCUGGUCCACUUCGUAUUGUUGUCGAGUGGAGAAACCCUCCUGGCGCCUCGGGGGUUGUCUUUGUUUCCUGUGAUGCUCGUCAGCCACCCCUCCAACAUCUCAUCAGUGACCUCCUCCGGGUGGAUCCGAGUGGUGUCUUCGAGGCCCGAGUACAGCCACAUCGGGUGGCCGCGAGCCUGGAGCGGUUGGAUGCGCCUCCGAAGAAAGACCUCCAGCAAGUCCAUGCCAGUCACGCCAUCACGGACGAGCUGAACCACUCGACCAACCAGCACUUUGAAUUGGGUCUUUUCUUCUGGCGUCACUUUCAGAGAAGCAGGUUUUUGAGCUCGGUCGAGAGAGAAAUGGGGAAGCCCGGUCGACUGUCCUGGGGUCACCUGGUCUUUGCAGUAAAACCAGGUCGCCUGCCAACCACGGACCGACUCUGGGAAAAUGAUAGAUGGAAAACAACUCUUUCCCCUCGUCUGGAUCGCGAGGCCCCCGCACAGCUGGAUCACUUGCGUCCUUUCCUCACUCGACUUGGCCUUCUUGACCGAUUGGGAGCGGCAAGUAAAGAUGUGCUUAAAGAGCCCCCAAUGGGGGCGGCAACCCAGGAAACCCUCACACAAGGAAAUGAAGGUAGCAAGGUACACGAUAGAGUUGGGAGUGAAGUGGUGGAGCUGCGCUCCGAAGAAAUUUAGAAAACUCCGGAAAAAAGGAUGAGGAGGCAGAGAAAACCCUCGAUCGAUGUGGGUGGUGAGAAGGACACACUCACCAUCACGGGGUUGAGGCUCGACUUCUCCCCCCUGGAGACGCGCAGCCUCGUAAGGAAUGACUCCCCCCUCAACCAUAUCGUCGAGGUCUUCCUGCCGAAUCACCGACGGCAUCCAAUCGCCCUGGAUCCAGCCUCUGGGCAGAGCAGUCCUUGAGGAAGAUCCGCCCCAAGCGGACUUCUUCCCUUUCCCCUGCACCGACGCCUUCUUCGCGCGCUCCAGAGCAGACGUCUUGCCCUUCACCAUCGUCGCCGGCGAAUCUCAAACGGGUCUGCGGCGCUAGGGUGAGAGCGGAGGUGGCGGAGGACUUCGCGAAGGGAGAAAGAAGAGAAAGAAGAGAAAGGAGAGAGCACUGUUCGGGAACCCGAGCAGGCGGCUUAUAAGAGGCCGCUCCUGAGUGGCUGACUGGUAGGCCCAGGCUAUCCCGUCAAAUCCCGCAGUAGACGCGCGCGCAGCUCGUGGCGGAAAAGGUGGCACGGGAAUCGAGGAGCUUCUGCCUUAUCACAUCCGAUUACUGCGGCCGCGCCCGUCCCGCUCGCUCCCCGAUGUUCAAAUCCCGCGAAAUCCGCGGGCUGCGGAACAACUCAUCAAAUAGAAGAUCCCUCUCGUGCCGGCACUCGGUAUUUCACAAGUAAGGAAAUUCACUCGACGGGAGACCAAGAAUGGAUCAAGGCGACCGAAAGAAGUUGACAACGUCAUCCUUGGCGAUAGAUCUAGUACAAGACGUCCAUAUGACGCUAAAAACCAGUCGGAAGGACCCCCAACUCCUUCCCCACUCGAACCUCGAUCCAUUCGGGGGCUAAUGACGAAGCUACGUACCUAGGGUAGGGGGAUGGACCUGUCCUAAGAGCCCUACCCAAGGACAUCCCUGGAAGAAGUCACCUUUCAAUCGACUUGAAGGUACCCACUCGACGGGUUUAAGACACUCGACCAAGAAGCUACCACUCGACACGAAGCCAAUCACUCGACUGCCAGGAGAUCUAAAGUCAUUCCACGGGCAAACGGUCGGCUAUUAAGUAGUCUUUAUGGUCAUUAUAGCACUUUAUUACCAGCGUUACCAGUAACGCCCCGCCUUAAUGUACAUUGAACCCUUGGUAACGUAGGCUGGCCGGGGUCCUGGCGCGCUCUAUAUAAGCCACCCCCUCCUCCGAGACAAGGGUUCGCACCUCUGUUAUUCACACGCCUAUAAUCCAAUCGACCGCCUCCGGGCACCGAGACGUAGGGCUGUUACUUCCUCCGCGAAGGGCCUGAACUCGUACACCUUGUUGUGUUUACAACUUCCCAAUAGCUGAGAUCUAGCCUCUCCAUACACACCCCCAACAUCACUGUCAGAGUUAGAACCACGACACCGCCUGCCGUGCCCCUCGCCGCACGCCCACCACCGCGCCAGCCCCCACUCUGUGGACGACCCUAGCCGCGCCCGCGCCGUGAUCCCCUUUUCCGCCCUACCUUCCCGCACUCGCCGCGGUCCCGAUGCUCCCCCGCGCCCUCUUUCAGGGGCGCCGACUGCCCCUGUCCCAUUACUCGCCGCCGCGCCUCGCCACCGCUCUACUGCUACGUUACUACUGCGCUGCGGCCGCCGCCUCUUCCCGCUGCUCCGCUAGCGCCGAAGCUCCCGGCUGGCUCUGCCACUGGUCACGUUUAACUACCGGUCUAAAUGGCCUAACCUCCCGGCAAAUGAACCCCCAGUAACCCACUGACACCGGGAGCCACAUCCCCUAAUUAACCAUUAAUAAAUUAAAACUCUUAAAUUAACAUUAGUGUAUGACAUGUGCGUCCCCUGUUAAUUAAUAAUUUACAUUAGUGUAUGACAUGUGCGUACCCUGUUAAAUAAACUGAUUUAAUUAAAAUCUAUUAACUUCGAGUCUAUGACAUAUCACUACUUGGGAAAAUCCUAGCAGUAGCGUGGGUAUUUUUCCUAUCAGUUGCGCCGGAUACCGCUCUACUGAUAAGGCACUACAGCUAACAUGUAGCAGUAAUGCGUGUCAUCCAACGCUACUGCUGUACAUGGCUAGCAGUAGCGAGCUUUAGUGCAAAGCGCUGCUGCUAAUAUCUGCAGCGCUUUUCAGCAUGAAGUGAUACUGGUAAGGGACCUCUACUACUAACUUUAUUCCCCUCGCUACUGCUAGUUUUAUUAGUUUCUGUUUUUUUCUGCAUAUUUCUUUUGUAUUUGAACAGGCUUUAUACAAUAAUAUUUAGCGUAUCAUACACAUACAAAUGUAAUCAUAGCAUAUACAUACAAAUAGUCUCGUCAAAUCAUGUCAUCAUCAUAAUCAUCAUCCAUCACAAAGUGGUCUCUCGUCAUCAUCUCUAAAAUAGCGAUACAAGUCUCGAUUACUUGCAACUACAUUGUCAUCCGUCUAAACAAUGAUAUACGCGAGAAGAGCUAUCACUAUGAGUGAGAGCGGAACUAUGCAGUACAUGAGUUUGUAUCCCUCUCUCGCAUUAGCGUGAACCUAAACUAACUACUAGUUGUCGCUCGGAAACCAGAAACCGGUACACCUGGGCCUGACACUCCGUCCACUCAUCUUAUACUCCUGGCGUAGCACUUCUGUGCCAUCGAUGAUCUAUGCACCUGCAUCGUCACAUGAGUCGAUGAUAUGCAACAUAUAUAGUUGAGCAAUAGAAACAGACAGACUUGGCAAAAAUAGAAGCAACAUAUCAUAAGCAUAAAUAACAAAGUUCAUCAUACCCAAAAUGCCCUAACUAGAGUGAUCUUCGCUAGUCGAGGAGGACGGUUUAAUUACAUCACAAAUAAUGUUUCAUCUUGCAUAACUCAAAGUGCCAUCAUACAGAAAGUAUGAACUAAACGGACACAUUGUCAUAUGUCGACAAUCACUCCAACAUGUCGUGCCAUCGAUCCAAGUCAAGGAGAUAGUCCCCGAGCUUAGUGAAAGGCUUCAGGUUGAGACGCUGAGCGGCAACGCGUGUUCGGACGUCUUCCCUCGACAUUUUUCCUUCUUCAUAGAACAUCCCUGUUUUUUCGAUGACCUCCCUCAUGAUGAUUUGGGCAAGUUCGCACUGGAAGUGAUAGAACUCAUCUUGAAGUCGAUGAUCCUCGAUAUCUCCUAAGUUCUUUGCCCAUUGCAGAAUAUGGGCAUCGCCGAAUCUAGGUGUCAUGCAAAGGUUCUGGUGAUCCCGUAUGUACUCCAUCAUGUGGUGUAGGACAUAGAAUCCAUCAUUAAGAGAAUCACUCAGUUGCUGGAUACAGCAGAAGCCGGUCUUAUGGCCGAAGGCGGGCCUGCCGUCCCUUUUCUUCUUGUCCUUGACCUCUCCACCCCGUGCACCGUAGUAAAACAUAGCACCGUCGAGAACAUACUUGAUGUGGGUGUAAUCCUUUUUUUUAAUGUUCUUCGAUGAGUCCAAGUAAAGAGCGUGGGAGUAUCGGGGGUAGAGGAUGAUGAGGAUGGUGCACCCGCCGCUGCGCAAAAUAAGUACACCUCAAAUUAAUUAGCCUCCACCGUGCAAAUGAAUGAUUGAAAUCGUAGGAAGGAUAUCCGCGUGGAUGACUUACAGGGGAUGAUAAGGCACAAGAAUCACCUCCUUGUCCUUAUUGGCACGCAUGAAAUUGACGAUGUAUUCCUCGCGUAUUCACGGUGCUUUGCGUGGACUCACAAGAAGACCUCGUGCAUGAAGUACCGAUCAGUGACACAGAUAUGAGGUAUUUGCUCAACCCCGAUGAGGUAGUUCAUGUGCAAGGCAUAAAGGUGGACGAAUGUAAAAUCCAGCUUCUUUAAGUGAAACAUGUCGAAGAUGUAAUCCAAUCGAAGGAAGAACUUGUUCGAGGGGAAUGUGUCGAUGUACGACAAUUGCAGCGACACGUUAACCACGGAGAGUGGGUAUGCUGGAUUUUUUGAGGCAAUGAGGCCUUUCUCUAUCAGCAACACAUCAUCAUGAAGUCUCCUUAUAUCGCCAAAUCAGGCCCCUAGCGCUGCUUUAGGUAGGAUUGGUUAACCGGGGAUACGCCAUAUUGCCGCACCGAGGAUAUCUAUACGGUCUUGAACCCGAGCCUGCUGAGGUGGCUGGAUCAUAGAAGCACCUUUGUUUCCUUUCCUCGGUGUCUUCCUUGGCUUCUUUGCUACCGGAAAGUCGUCUAUAAUAUGUUCAGCCUCUGGAGGCGGCAAUUCAGGCACCAACUCAUGCGCUCAAACCCUGAGUAGGCGCCAGUAUUGAGGUAUUGUUGAAUGUCAUCGUCGUCCUCAUCUAUGGCGAUGUCACUAGCGACAAAUCGAGCCUCUUCCUCACCCCGUCCGCUAUCACCCAGCACGACAGCCGACGCUAAUUGGGUAGGUGGGGUGUUGAUGUUCGUACCUAACUGCGUGCUCGUGUGUGUGCUCCCGGCCGCCUCCAGACAAAGCAGACUCUUUGACCACAACAGGACCCACCCAUUGCAACCACCAAGCCGCUGCGGGGUCUCGUCGUCAUCCCCUAGUAUCGGAGGAGCCAAAUUCUCGUGGCCCGGUUUGACACUGGCCACGAAAACUUUGAAGACAUACGGGGGGAUUGGUCGGCCAUGGAACAAUGGUUCCUUCGGCUUCAUUACCGUCACCUUCCCCACGUCCACCUUUUGGUCGCCGAUGUUGUACAAUAUGGUGCACGGGGUUACAUCGGCCUGCAAAGACACCGUGAGAUUAUACAUUUAUGGAAGAGGGCCGGUGUGACAGAUACCGUGAGGGCGUCGAGCUCAGCCAAAGACGAAGGACAGCUGAGCACGGCCGGUGUGGGAGCCGGUGUGGGAGCCGGUGCAGGUGCAGGUGCUGGUGCAUCGCUAGUCGUGCUACUCCCGAAGAAGUCAACAAUGGGAAAGUCCGCUGCAUUUUUUCUGGAUUUUGCAUGCUCCAAUUGAAAACGGCUGGAACCAAGACAAUAGACAUAUCUGCAACCACCUGUUUUGCGGCAGCUACCGUUAUCGUGACAGUCUCAGAUGAUUUCUUCUCUACUGCAAUCUCAACCUUCUUGUCGAUGUUUUCUUCAGUUAACCUCCAUCUUUCCUUUCUCUCCUCCGUGGUCUCACGGUAGCACUUCUUCCACGUGGCCCCGUCUCCGACACCGUGAACGCGUCCAUACGACGACCGAGUCUCCACUGGGAGUCCUUUCAAUAUGUUCAAUGCCCGGUUGAAUGGAGUGUCCCACUUGGGCCUCGCCAACGCCUCAGACGGCGAGUCUCUUUCGGUCGCAAUCUUGUGCUGCUCUCUCUACAAAAGGAACAAGGAUCAUUUACAAAUAUGACUAAACGUGCAGUCGAAUUGAUCAGAAACUAAAAUUACCAGCAGUCUCAUGAACUCCGUCGUGAUCGGGUCCGUCUUGAAAACCUUCUUGACCGAGUGCCAAUGGUGCCGUGCCCUGAGGACGUCAUGCUCCUACAGGACGGUGAAGUCCGCCAAGGGGUCUAGGAUGCCAGACUUUCGCGUUUCGUGUCCUCCUUGGCCCAUAUGGACCUCUUCCUGCUGUAACCACGGCUUCCGAGGUGGCGGUGCCCCAUGUUCCUUUGUUGAAACCCCUUCAUGUACUUUGACUUUGUUUUGGCAGUUUCAGCCUCGCAAGCCGCCUUGAAUAUUUCAAAGUGCUCUCCCGUGAUUGUCGGAUUAUCCUUUACAAUCUCGGAGUAGGGUUGAUACGUCUCCAAUGUAUCUAUUAUUUUUGAUUGCUCCAUGCUAUAUUAUCUACUGUUUUGGACAUUAUUGGGCUUUAUUAUCUACUUUUAUAUUAUAAUUUGGACUAACCUAUUAACCGGAGGCCCGAGCCCAGAAUUGCUGUUUUUUUGCCUGUCUUAGGGUUUCAAAGAAAAGGAAUAUCAAACGGAGUCCAAACGGAAUGAAACCUUCGGGAACGUGAUUUUCUCAACGAACAAGACCCAGGAGACUUUGACCCUACAUCAAGACACAAGGCGAAUCAUGUACGUAGCCACUAGUGAAACAUAUUAUCUUUAUUAUAUCUAUCAGAUCUCACUCUCGUAAGUGGCCGUGUUGGGAUUGACAACCCCUAUUCAUGUUGGUUGAGAGGAUUGAUUUGUUUUGUGCAAGUACAAAGGACUCGCGCGUAGCCUCCUAUUGGAUUAAUAGCUUGGUUCUCAAAAAGUGAGGGAAAUACUUACGCUACUUUGUUGCAUCAUCCCUUCCUCUUCGGGGAAAACCAACGCAGUGCUCAAGAGGUAGCAAGAAGGAUUUGCUGNNNNNNNNNNNNNNNNNNNNNNNNNNNNNNNNNNNNNNNNNNNNNNNNNNNNNNNNNNNNNNNNNNNNNNNNNNNNNNNNNNNNNNNNNNNNNNNNNNNNNNNNNNNNNNNNNNNNNNNNNNNNNNNNNNNNNNNNNNNNNNNNNNNNNNNNNNNNNNNNNNNNNNNNNNNNNNNNNNNNNNNNNNNNNNNNNNNNNNNNNNNNNNNNNNNNNNNNNNNNNNNNNNNNNNNNNNNNNNNNNNNNNNNNNNNNNNNNNNCCUCCACCCUCGUGGGCCCCCUGUUGCUCCACCGACGUACUCCUUCCUCCUAUAUAUACCUACGUACCCCCAAACGAUCAUAUACGGAGCCAAAACCCUAAUUCCACCGCCACAACUUUCUGUAUCCACGAGAUCCCAUCUUGGGGCCUGUUCCGGAGCUCCGCCGGAGGGGGCAUCAAUCACGGAGGGCUUCUACAUCAACACCAUAACCUCUCCGAUGAAGUGUGAGUAGUUCACCUCAAACCUACGGUUCCAUAGUUAUUAGCUAGAUGGCUUCUUCUCUCUUUUUGGAUCUAAAUACAAUGUUCUCCCCCUCUCUUGUGGAGAAUUAUUCGAUGUAAUCUUAUUUUUGCGGUGUGUUUAUUGAGACCGAUGAAUUGUGGGUUUAUGAUCAAGUCUCUCUAUGAAUAAUAUUUCAAUCUUCUCUGAAUUAUUUUAUGUAUGAUUGGUUAUCUUUGCAAGUCUCCUCGAAUUAUCAGUUUGGUUUGGCCCACUAGAUUGAUCUUUCUUGCAAUGGGAGAAGUGCUUAGCUUUGGGUUCAAUCUUGCGGUGUCCUUUCCCAGUGACAGUAGGGGCAGCAAGGCACGUAUUGUAUUGUUGCCAUCAUGGACAACAAAAUGGGGUUUUCAUCAUAUUGCAUCAGUCUAGCCCUCUACAUCAUGUUAUCUUGCUUAAGGCGUUAAUUUGUUUUUAACUUAAUACUCUAGAUGCAUGCUGGAUAGCGGUCGAUGAGUGGAGUAAUAGUAGUAGAUGCAGGCAAGAGCGGUCUACUUGUCUCGGACAUGAUGCCUAUAUACAUGAUGAUACCUAGAUAUUCUCAUAACUAUGCUCAAUUCUGUCAAUUGCUGAACAGUAAUUUGUUCACCCACCGUAGAAUACUUAUGCUCUCGAGGGAAGCCACUAGUGAAACCUAUGGCCCCGGGUCUAUCUUUAUCAUAUUAAUCUUCUACUACUUAGUUAUUUCCUUUGCUUUUUACUUUUCCUUUAUUUUACUUUGCAUCUUUAUCACCAAAAUACCAAUAAAAUUAUCUUUAUCAUAUCUAUCAAAUCUCACUCUGGUAAGUGGCCGUGUAGGGAUUGACAACCCCUAUUCGUGUUGGUUGCGAGGAUUUAUUUGUUUUGUGCAGGUACGAGGGACUCGCGCGUAGCCUCCUACUGGAUUGAUACCUUGGUUCUCAAAACCUGAGGGAAAUACUUACGCUACUUUGCUGCAUCAUCCCUUCCUGUUCGGGGAAAACCAACGCAGUGCUCAAGAGGUAGCAAGGGUUCCUUUUUGUCGACGAUCCGAUGUUUCAACCUUGUUUUCCAGGCGGCCAACGCGUCGCUAAACUUGGGCAUGGCGUGUUUGUUUAUCUUCUUCAUUGCCACGUCCUUAUCUGGAUCAUUAUUAUCCUUUUCAUUGCAGUCAGGGAACAAGAAUAUCUGGUGCAGCUUCUUUAGGAGGGAGGGCCUCAUAUUAUCUAUCUUCUGUAGUUUCCCAUCGUUGAUCGUGGCAGUUGUCCGUACGAUGCAACCUAUUUGAUUGCCGUAGCACGAUCGCGCUUCCUCGGGCGCUAUUGUCUCAAAAAUACCGUUGUCCAUCUCCGUGACCACCAGUCUAGUACUCAUGAGCUGGUUUGGGUGCCGUGGCCUCUUUGCUUUCGGUUCUAGACCAGCUCCGCUAGUCUCGGCGCCGGUCUCAGUCUCAUCACCGGUCUGCAUGUCGGUAUCAGUCCCCGAUGCGACAGCACAGUCGCUGCAACAUGGGUAAGGGAGACCACAUCAGUGCUGGGGUGGUCUGAAAAUUGGGACACACUUUCGCGCAUUGCGGGCCGCCUCUCAGACAGCUACUGGGGAGGCGGCGGAGUACCUGGGUGCGCGACGAAUCCCCGGGAACUCGGUGACCAACUUCCUUCCCAUGUAGCGCAUGGAGACGAUGGCGACCCCGCCGAAGAGCAGCUUAGUUGCGAGCUGCACAGCCUCGUCCACCUCCUAAGUUGGGACCUCCGCGCGAGCGUUGCGGGGCCGCCGCUCGGAUGGCUUCUGGAAGGCGCUUGUACAUGGGCACAGGGUGAAUCCCGGCAAGAGCUGGCCAUUGGUGCGCGCAAGUAGACGACGACGUCGCCGACGAAGAGCAGCCCGGCCAGCUCGCCUCACUCUCCUUUGAUUAGAAUUGAAAGAUUGGGAAGAAGCAGACUUGAGCCUGCAGGGAAAGGAUAAGGUGACGAUGCAGUCUCCACUCGUUCGGGGCGACACGCGUACUGAAUGUAUGAGAAACGCGACGUGGCAGGGACCCCAAGAUACUCCCUCCAUUUAUUUUUAGUCUGCAUAUAAAGUUUGGUCAAAGUCAAGAUUUGUAAAUUUUAACUAACUUUAUAAUAAAAAAAAUCAACAUUCACAAUAUGAAAUAAUUAUUACCAGAUGCGUCAUGAAAUGUAUUUCCAUACUAUAUAGGUUUGGUAAUGUAGAUGUUCAUAUUCUUUUAUAUAAAUGGGAAGUAGAGGCACUCUUCCAUAUAAUGAAGUUUAUAAUAUAUGUGCUUAUAUUAUACUAUAAUUGUUUGAAUAACUUAGCAUAUGUUCAGAUGUAUGAUAUCUGUAAUUUAAGCGCUUGAAUUUUACAUAUAAAUAUUUAUUAAUAAAUAUGUACCCCUAUAAUAGCUAGGCCGUGCAGUUGCACGGGUAGAUGACUAGUGAUUACAAUCUUGUUUGUGUGCAAGUCAAGCUUAUCUAGUUUACACGUAACAACUUGUAGAACAUUACAAAAUUUAUGCUUGCUAAUAACUUCUAGAACACUACAACACUUGACAUGUAAAAGGAAUUUGACGAGUCAUGGCCUACUAAAGAAAGUUACAUUACUAGUCUUAUAUCUAUCUUAAUAGACCACACAAGACUACAAAUUAAGUACCGUGACAGCCAUGAUUAUCUAGUUUAUGCGUAACAAUUUGCAGAAAAUUACAAACUUAGUUUUAGAAAAAUAGGCAAUCCAGAUUAGUGUUUGAGCUGUAAAGUGAAUAAGAUGAGUCAUGCGUGUUAUCACACCUUUUUGGUGGUGGAAUGAUAGUGCAAAACAAGGAACUUUAAUGAACAGUCCAAUAAUACACUUGUAAGUAGUGCCACCAAACAGAACAUACCAAAUGAUGAUUUUGAGAAGCAUCCAAGCACUUUCCACACAAACAAAUGCCAAUUGUGAAAGAGAUCAUUCCAUGGCAGCUAUAAAUAGCCCCGUAGCAUGACGAUCAUCCUUCCUCAUCCAUCAUUCUCAUAAGUAGAGCGCAUCAUUUAAGCCAAGCAAGCUGUGGUCAAUACAAAUCCACCAUGAAGACAUUUCUCAUCCUUGCCCUCCUUGCUAUCGUGGCGACCACCGCCACAACUGCAGUUAGAGUUCCAGUGCCACAAUUGCAGCCACAAAAUCCAUCUCAGCAACAGUCACAAGAGCAAGUUCCAUUGGUACAACAACAACAAUUUCUAGGGCAGCAACAACCAUUUCCACCACAACAACCAUAUCCACAGCCGCAACCAUUUCCAUCACAACAACCAUAUCUGCAGCUGCAACCAUUUCCGCAGCCGCAACUACCAUAUUCGCAGCCACAACCAUUUCGACCACAACAACCAUAUCCACAACCGCAACCACAAUAUUCGCAACCACAACAUCCAAUUUCACAGCAGCAGCAGCAGCAACAACAACAACAACAACAAGAACAACAAAUACUUCAACAAAUUUUGCAACAACAACUGAUUCCAUGCAUGGAUGUUGUAUUGCAGCAACACAACAUAGCGCAUGGAAGAUCACAAGUUUUGCAACAAAGUACUUACCAGCUGUUGCAAGAAUUGUGUUGUCAGCACCUAUGGCAGAUCCCUGAGCAGUCGCAGUGCCAGGCCAUCCACAAUGUUGUUCAUGCUAUUAUUCUGCGUCAACAACAAAAACAACAACAACAACCAUCGAGCCAGGUCUCCUUCCAACAGCCUCAGCAACAAUAUCCAUUAGGCCAGGGCUCCUUCCGGCCAUCUCAGCAAAACCCACAGGCCCAGGGCUCUGUCCAGCCUCAACAACUGCCCCAGUUCGAGGAAAUAAGGAACCUAGCGCUACAGACGCUACCUGCAAUGUGCAAUGUCUACAUCCCUCCAUAUUGCACCAUCGCGCCAUUUGGCAUCUUUGGUACUAACUAAGAAGAAAAUAACUCUAGUACUAGAUAUAUGAAACACCGUUUUCUCAGUCCAUGGUUUGGUCGUUGUAGCGGUGAAAAAAUAAAGUGACAUGCACUAUCAUGUAAGAACCCAAACUAUACUAGUUCAAACUUGGGAAUAAAAGACAAACACAGGUCUUGUCUACAUAUUUAUGCUGCAUCUAUUUAUAUAUUAAAAGUAAUAUAAGGUGAACCAGGAGCAAGGUAAAUAUGGUAGAAAAUUGCACGUUAAUUAGAAAUUACUAGCCCUCGAUCUGGUAAAUCUUAACAAAUAUAAUUAUCUUGACCGUUAGAUUUAUGUAACAUAUAUAAUGCUCUAGGCCUCCAACGACUGUACGUGACACAUCUGAACGCAGAUAUGUUAAAGAAAAUAUAUUUGGUAAAUGGUGGGCCUCUUUAAAAAGAGAACUUACGUACAUACACCAACUAAGAAAAACACAUACAUGUAAACGGGAAAAGGAUGAGAUUUUCUCACAUACGUGUGUUGAUGCUUAAAAGUGGCAUGAUCAUAAAGCAGCAUGCCAGGGUGAAAACCUUGCCGGGGUAAAAUCUUGCCGGUGUGAAAGCUUGCCGGUGUGAAGGCUUGCCGGUGUGGAAAGCUUGCCGGCACAGAAAGAUCGCCGGUGCUUGCCGGUGUGAAAUCUUGCCGGGGGAGAAACCUUGUCAGGGAGGAACCCUUGCCGGAGUACAAACCUUGCCGUAGUGAAACCUUGCCGGUGUGAAAGCUUGCCGGGUAGAAACAUUGCCGGUGUGGAAAGCUUACUCGGAUGGAAAACUUGCCGGGUUGGAGGCUGUGAUAGUCAAUCGAACGAGAAGUUGAAGAUGGGCUCAAAAGGUUAUUCAGAUGAUCUCGGAUGGAAAAAUGAUCUACAGGGGUUGUCUUCGUCUCGUCGAAACGAUCGAUUUUGAUAUAAAAAUCAUUCAAAUCCGAGUUCGUAUGCAAAAUUUAGAGCAAUCGGAGUGCAGCCCUGUCACGAGGCGAGAUGUGGCGCGCCCCACCAAACACAUGUCUGACGGGUAGCGCGAGGAAAUAGCCUGUGUUGCGAGACCGAUCUGACCCUCAAGAUGAUCUCUGAUCCAAAAACCUUCAACAUGAAAGUUGUUCGUCUCAUCGAAACGGUCAAGAUUGCUUUUGGGCUUGUUUUCAUCCGGGAUCGUUUACCACCGCAAAAAAGACCCGCAAGGUGCAGCCAGUUUAAACCGAACAGUUUUGGAAAGUUUGGAUAAACCAGUCCGAAUUUGACUAGGGUUUUGGACGUGAAUUGAUGUAAUUUUCUUGUAAGGAAAGCCUAGAUAAAUUCUUUGCUUGUACGGGAAGUCCAGCUGCCUCUUAUAUAUGUUGGGGGUGACGGGCGAUUGAAACAACACACAAUCGAACAAACACAUCUACUACUUUUUCGUGUUCAUCUACUUUUUAUCUCUCCCUUGUAUCUUUCUUCUCGUUCUUCGCUAGUUCUUCUUGCUGGAGGCUGCGGAUCCACGAGGCUCUAGGGGCGAGCGAAUCGACCUAGGGCAGCCCUGACGGGGUCCCUCCCGGGUGCGCGGGGUUUCGGGUCUGCAAAAGCGCCCGCCGACUGUCUUGCGUAUCACGCUAUCGGUCGGGUCUCCUUCGACGUGAGCUGCGGUGCAUCACCCCCGGCAUCGAGGGUACACGUGACGUGUUCGUGUGCGAACACACUUUUUCGCGACUCCACUGGGGACGAAGCUUUGAAUAGUCUCCAGCCUGUUCUUGCUACGAGGAGAGCGUCAUCAAGCGACUGCAUUCUACAACGGUAACAUGUAUCAUCAAUCUCCUUGCGUAGAUGCAAAUAGCCAUUAUGUUGAUGUUGCUAGAUCUUUCAAUGGACAUGUGAUGUCGGCCAGCCCUAAUGAGGAAAGGCCGACUAGUUAUUCCAUUGGAGAAACUUGGAAUUUACAGAAUCGUGACAUGCAACUUAUGAAUCUGAACUUUCGUGCAUCGGCAACAACUUUCAAUAUGCCGGUGAACAACACGAUUUGUUCGAGUGAUCAAUAUAGGACACCUCAUGUAAAAGUUUUAUCCAUCGGCAGCCGACUCGCAAUAUGCUGGUUCAUCCCCAAACAUGCCGAUGAAUGGGGGAAUCAGCCAUGCUUCUGUUAGCUAUUUGGCCGGUUAUCCUCAAACAUCAUAUACUACACCUCAUCCGAUUAAUUGUUCAGUGGCAUAUGAAACUAAAAAUAUUAAUAACACGGCUCACGUUCACGGUCAUGGACGAGUGAAUGGGGAUACUAUAGGAGCAUAUGUGUGUGACGCCCCCAAUUUAAUCGUACACUAAUCAUACACGCAAACAUGUACGAUCAAGAUCAGGGACUCACGGGAAGAUAUCACAACACAACUCUACAAAUAAAAUAAGUCAUGCAAGCAUCAUAUUACAAGCCAGGGGCCUCGAAGGCUCGAAUACAAGAGCUCGAUCAUAGACGAGUCAGCGGAAGCAACAAUAUCUGAGUACAGACAUAAGUUAAACAAGUUUGCCUUAAGAAGGCUAGCACAAACUGGGAUACAGAUUGAAAGAGGCACAGGCCUCCUGCCUGGGAACCUCCUAACUACUCCUGGUCGUCGUUCUGAGGGCAGCACGUAGUAGUAGGCACCUCCAGCGUAGUAGGAGUCGUCGUCGACGAUGGCGUCUGGAUCCUGGGCUCCAGCAUCUGGUUGCGACAACCAGGUAGAAGGGAUAGAGGGAAAAGAAGGAGAAAGCAACCGUGAGUACUCAUCCAAAGUACUCGCAAGCAAGGAGCUACACUACAUAUGUAUGCGUUGGUAUCAACUGGAAUAAGGCUAUUAUAUGUGGACUGAACUGCAGAAAGCCGGAAUACGAGGGAGAUAGCUAGUCCUUUCGAAGACUACGCUUUUGGUAACCUCCAUCUUGCAGCAUGUAGAAGAGAGUAGACGGAAGUCCUCCAAGUAGCAUCGCAUAGCAUAAACCUAACCGAUGAUCCUCCCCUCGUCGCCCUGUGCGAGAGCGAUCACCGGUUGUAUCUGGCUCUUGGAAGGGUGUGUUUUAUUAAGUAUCCGGUUCUAGUUGUCAUAAGGUCAAGGUACAACUCCGGGUCGUCCUUUUAUCGAGGGACACGGCUAUUCGAAUAGAUAAACUUCCCUGCAGGGGUGCACCACAUAACCCAACACGCUCGAUCCCAUUUGGCCGGACACACUUUUCUGGGUCAUGCCCGGCCUCGGAAGAUCAACACGUCGUAGCCCUACCUAGGCACAACAGAGAGGUCAGCACGCCGGUCUAAAUCCUAUGGCGCAGGGGUCUGGGCCCAUCGCCCUUUGCACACCUGCACGUUGCGAACGCGGCCGGAAGCAGACCUAGCCUAGUGGCGUUCCAGUCCAAUCCGGCGCGCGCCACUCAGUCACUGAUGUCACGAAGGCUUCGGCUGAUACCACGACGUCGAGUGGCCAUAACUGUCCCCGCAUAGAUGGUUAGUGCGUAUAAGCCAGAUGGCCAGACUCAGAUCAAAUACCCAGAUCUCGUUAAGCGUGUUAUGUAUCCGCGAACACCGACCAGGGCCAGGACCACCUCUCUCCUACGUGGUCUGAACCUGCCCUGUCGCUCCGCCACAAAGUAACAGUCGGGGGCCGUCGGGAACCCAGGCCCACCUCUACCGGGAUGGAGCCACCUACCCCUUCAGCCCCAACUACGAACAGUACCACAGGUAAUGUAACAGUGUAAAGUAUAUAGUAAAUGCCCGUGAUCACCUCCCGAAGUGAUCACGGCCCAGUAGUAUAGCAUGGCAGACGGACAAGAGAGUAGGGCCACUGAUGGAACACUAGCAUCCUAUACUAAGCAGUAGGAUAGCAGGUAAUGGUAACAAUAGUAGUAGCAAGGACAGGCUAUGCAUCAGGAUAGGAAUAACGGAAAGCAGUAACAUGCUACACUACUUUAAUGCAAGCAGUAUAGAGAAGAGUAGGCGAUAUCUGGUGAUCAAAGGGGGGGCUUGCCUGGUUGCUAUGGCAAGAGAGAGCGGUCGUCAACACCGUAGUCGUACUGUGUAGCAGCGCCGUCAGUCUCGGUGUCUAGCGAGAGAAGAGGGGGAGGAAACAAUAAAUAUAAUGCAAACAAAUGCAUGAUGAUGCAUGACACGACAAAGCGUGAUGCUAGGUGUGCCCUAACGCGGUACGAGGUGGUACCGGUGAAGGGGGGAAACAUCCGGGAAAGUAUUCCCGGUGUUUCGCGUUUUCGGACAGAGGAGUCAGAGGGGGAAAGUUGCGUGUUCGGUAUGCUAGGGAGGCGUGGUGGACGAACGGGUUGUCUAUCCGAGUUCGUCUCGUCGUUCUGAGCAACUUUCAUGUUGAAAAUAAUUUAAUCCGAGUUACGUAUUAAAAGAUAUGGUUUUCUAAAGAUUUUACUAAUUUCUGGAAUUUAAUUAAUUAUUUAAUUUAAUUUGAAAUUUGGAUUUAUGACAUCAGCAUGAUGUCAUGCUGACAUCAGCAGUCAACAUGGGUUGACUAGGUCAACUGAUGCGUGGGUCCAGUGGGACCCACCUGUCAUACUAUAUUAGGUUAAUUAGGGUUUAGUUAAUUGAUUAGGCUAAUCUAAUCAGGAUUACUUUGUUUAAUUAAUUCUUUAAUUAAUUAAUUAUCAUUUUAACUAAUUUUAAUUAUUAUUUAUUAAUUCAUUCAUUUUUUUAAAUUAUUAUUUUUAUUUCGUUCUCGUUUCAGGGGGGCGUGGGGCCCCGCACACAGGGCCACCGCGAGGCUGUUGCCAGCGGGCGCUGGGGCGAUGGGUGCGGGCGCACCCGAGCGGGCACUCGCCCGCAGGGCGGGAUGAGCCGCCGGCGGGCAGCGACAGGCGCGUGCCAACCGGGCGGUGGCCGCGGCUGAUAGGGCGCAGGAAGGGGAGAGGCGAGAACGCGACGCACGGGGAAGCAGCAUCAGGGGCGAGGAGCACCACGGGACGAAGCGCAGCGGGCGCCGGUCNNNNNNNNNNNNNNNNNNNNNNNNNNNNNNNNNNNNNNNNNNNNNNNNNNNNNNNNNNNNNNNNNNNNNNNNNNNNNNNNNNNNNNNNNNNNNNNNNNNNNNNNNNNNNNNNNNNNNNNNNNNNNNNNNNNNNNNNNNNNNNNNNNNNNNNNNNNNNNNNNNNNNNNNNNNNNNNNNNNNNNNNNNNNNNNNNNNNNNNNNNNNNNNNNNNNNNNNNNNNNNNNNNNNNNNNNNNNNNNNNNNNNNNNNNNNNNNNNNNNNNNNNNNNNNNNNNNNNNNNNNNNNNNNNNNNNNNNNNNNNNNNNNNNNNNNNNNNNNNNNNNNNNNNNNNNNNNNNNNNNNNNNNNNNNNNNNNNNNNNNNNNNNNNNNNNNNNNNNNNNNNNNNNNNNNNNNNNNNNNNNNNNNNNNNNNNNNNNNNNNNNNNNNNNNNNNNNNNNNNNNNNNNNNNNNNNNNNNNNNNNNNNNNNNNNNNNNNNNNNNNNNNNNNNNNNNNNNNNNNNNNNNNNNNNNNNNNNNNNNNNNNNNNNNNNNNNNNNNNNNNNNNNNNNNNNNNNNNNNNNNNNNNNNNNNNNNNNNNNNNNNNNNNNNNNNNNNNNNNNNNNNNNNNNNNNNNNNNNNNNNNGGCCUGGGGUUUGUCCUAGCUAGCAGCUGGGCCGAGUGGCCCAGUGGGGGGGGGGUUGUUUUAUUCCUUUCCCUUUUAUACCUUUUCACACUUUUCUUCUUUUGUUUUAUUUUAGUUACACAUUAAUUUUAAUUUUUGACAAAUAUAUCUAUAGCCCCUAAAAUAAUGUUUCAGAACAAUCCACUACUAUAGAAAGUUUUACCCUGAUAAAAUAGUCUAGUAUUUUAUAAAAUACCAAACUCGUUUAAAUAGUUGUUUAGCUACUAUUUAAAUCAUUUUAGUGCUUUAAAUCUUUUUACUAAAAUGUGGUUCCUCCACCAUUUGGACUUAGGAUUUAUUUGUCCCAUUUUGAACAUUUUAGUCUUAACGUUUGAAGAAUUUACCGUUUGACUCGAUUUUGAAUUUGAAUUUGAAUCGGUGUCGAACUAACACGAGAUUAGCAACAGUAACCAUCGUGACGUGGCAUCAUUAACAGAGGUUUACUGUAUAUCAAAUACCCGGGCGUCACAAUUCUCCUCCACUACAAGAAAUCUCGUCCCGAGAUUUAAGAGGGGAGUAUGGGGGAAAGAUCUGGUUACGAAAUUCUAACGAGUCUUCUCGGUCUUGCUUGCUCUUGUCGAAAUGGUCGAUCCAUUAUGUUGAUGUUUUCAUUUCUCUGCUUCAGGUCAUCAUGGUGAAGUCGUCCUUUUCUUCGGGAACUCCAACGUGCUUACGAAUAGGUAAGGGGCAGCUUGGCUACGACAGAAUGCUUAUGAGGGAAACAAUCUGGUGAUAACCCAUGAAUGAACAUAAGAUUAUCUCUCGAGUUGAACAUAUAAAAUACAUCAAGAGUAAGGUACGAAGGUACCAUGAGAAGUUUCAAACGGAUAGGCAAUCGUUCGAUGUCUGAAACAACACGCGAAAGGGGUCCAGAGCAACGAGAUUGAGUAUUGCGUCUGUUACCAGAAUAGAUCACUAGGACGGUGGUCUGUGAAUUACAUACAAGGUCACGCACGAGGAAUAACUUUAGGAACAGGGGGUGUACAGGAGAGUCAGGUUCGAUCCUGUGGAACUGUGGGUUAUGGGCCCACCAUGUGGGUUAAAGUAGGAAGGGCAGUGACGUCUUGCAAGAUCAUGUAAGCAAGGCAUGUCAGAGGAUAGCCUGUCAGCUAUGUCGACGACAACAUCGAUACCAAGGGCGAGGGACGAAGAGAACCAUUUUCCUGCUCGUUGAACGAGGCGGACCAAUAAGAAAAGUUCUCGUCCAUCAGUGGUUACCAGAAUGUCAUCAACAAAGGUAAUAGGGUCUUUCUGACAGAGUGGUACAACGAGGUGACUGCUUAUAUAAUAUAGAUUACAAGAAGGUUUAAACAGAACAAUGGAAAGGAAAAUGUGUGUAAACACACAUUUCAAGGGUAUAUCCUUCCCAAGGACAAGCAAAGCAAGAUAUCCAUGAAAGGAUAUAAUGUAGAAAACUCUUUAGGUAAGGUGAGAGAAAUUUCAUGACAUUACCCAUACAAUGGUGUUUGGAUAAAUGAGCGAGAAACAUUUAGCAUUGGGCUUCAAAUGUUCUUUGUGGAAAAUUGGAGUACCACAGACAUGCUUCGAGAUAGCGUUGGCGUGGUAUUCAAGCAAAGGUCAGACUUAGGAUGCACAAAGGAUUCAUCAGGAACAACUUAUAGAAUAAGUCUUACCAUUUCUCAAGGAAGAAUAGAUAACCUUGCUAAAAAGAAAAACUAUAACAUUAGGUCCUCCGACCAGGUGGGCUAGGCAUGCUAUCACCUUACUGGGUUAUAUUGAUAACAAUGUUAUAACUCUUGGAAAUAUGUCUCAACCAUCAUAUCUGACCGAGAUUCAGAUCCGAUUGGUGUCAGGAUACAUCAGACAUCAGGAUGCCUGAGAAGAGAAGGUGCAACACAAUUUAACGAGAUGACACUGCGAGAAUCUCAGAAAUGAUCUAUGGAAGCGAGUUCCGAAGCAAGAGUUCAUCAUUAAACCAAGGAGAGGAUGAGGGGUGGCUGAUGAACUAACGGCAAUUCAUCGAGAUUUCCAAAAGAUGGAUUUCCACAAUCAUGUGAACAAAGAGUUAACAUUUGUCAGAUCAAACAAUAUAAUGAGGUGUGCUCGAGGAAAACAUACUCAAUUAAACAUUGGUGGAAAGCUGCACCCAAAAUAUGGGCUUAGGUAGCCUGAUCAAUGUUGGAACGGUGAUUCGAUAACCAAUAUUCUAAGAAUGAAAGGUCGACCAUUAACUUCAAAGCAAUAUGGUUGCUAGAAGUACAGAAUCCAAGCAACAACGUUCACCUGUUGGUAUCCCGGUUAGAAUCAACACGGGAACCAAGAAAGAAUGAUGAUGGUGAGGAGUAUCGCUAUACCAAGAAUUCUCAAGAGGUGGAGCAAUCCUCACAACAUACAUGUCAUCAAGGACAUUGAUACUUCAAGGUAGAAUAUCAUAAAAGCUAGAUAGCAAGUUGCAUCCAUAACAUGGACAAGUUUGUGUUGGGGGAAGGCAAGAAAGUGAUCGAUGAUAACACAAAUCAUCGAGGGCAAGGAUGGUACUUUUCAUUAUGAAUUCGAUUGAUAUCCUGCAAGAGCUCAAGAUGUGGGUGCUGAUGACGACACAUUUGUCGAGAGAUUUCAUGAAGAUGUAGUCUAUCGGCGAUGACAUCAAGUCAAAGGAAUUAUGAAGCAAAAGGUUAUCGGAACCAUGGGUACGACACAAACUCAAAAUCAAGCUUGUUGUUCAAGGUGAAAGAUAUGACGAGAAAGAUCAACGUAAGCUUAGCUCAUCGUUGAAAGUUGUGUUCCGGGAAGAAGGACCAGGUAGCACAGUUAAAAUUUAGCACGGUAAUGAUAUAGCCAACCGGGCUAGGAAUGACUUGAAGGAUUAUUAAACUCAUAAGCAGUAAAAAUUACUUAUAGUUAUUGAAUCGAAGUACAGACUCGAUUCACUGUCGGUGUCCUUGAGUGUCUAACAACUCAGAACCCGGGGAAAAUUUUGGAACCAGUGAGAAAUAAUACUUGAAGAAUAACUCAUAAGAAGUUAUGCAGUUCCAUGAUAAUCUCGAGAUACCAGGGGGUAAUACUCGACGACAGAUCAAAGUAGAGGUUGGACUAGGGAUUGCUCUGUAGAAGACAAGUGCUCAAACUUGCACGAGAAAUGGAAUCAAGGAGAAACAUGGUCGAAACCUCGUCCACAGGUACAAGAUGAACUUAUAACAAGUGGACAAUUAUUUUAAGAGAAGCUUCCAUGAUAAGGUAUACAUCGUGUCCAUGGGCAUGAACACAGGGUUCAAGGUCGACUCCCACUUAUUCAACACAUAACCUUUCAUGCACCUCUCGUAUUUCAAAAAUGACAUUAGUUCUUGAAAGUUUUUACCUGGUGCAAUACCAGAUACAUAUUACCCGUGAAAUCUUUCGGGUUCACACGGAUUAGGCAAGGCGUAGGUUCAACCCAUCAGGGCAUCUUAGGAACAUAUACCACAAACUUCGGAGUAAAUAAUACAAGCUUGAAAGUAGAGCAUGGUUGACAAAAGGGGAGGAUACAAUUUACCACAGGCAUUAUGUAUCGGAGAAAGAACUCACAAGGUGAUUAAUUUUGAAGGACACUGUCGGAUAAUAAUCCAACAGUGGAAUUGGCGAUCCACAAUGGAGCUGAUGUGAGUAUCGAUACCCAAUCAGAGGAAGAAAGAAUGCAAAUGCAUCGGUUUAUAGAACAUCUGAAUAAUUCAACGUUUAAAUAGCAAAGGAAUUAUGAUUUUCAAAUCAAGGGAUCGGGAGCAAAUGCUCUGAUUAGGGAUGGGUAAGUAGAAUAGCCUUAGGGGUACAUGCGACGACAUUUGGAUUUGUUGAGAACCAGCUCAUGUUUAAAAUGACGUCUGAGCCGGAAUGAUAAUUUAAAAGGAUCAACUGAUGAUUGCGUGCAUUCGCACUCAUGUUGAGUCAAUAGGAUCAAAAAGACGAUGCCUAAGGAUACUAACGAAUAUUUCCAGACAUAUGGAAAGCAUCCAUAAUGCAAGCAGGCAAGUAUUGCAGAGCAAUAAGCUACUAAGGAUUUUUGGAGGAUCGAAUAGUAUUUUGAAGACCAUUGUGAAACACAUGAACAACUGGGGAUGAGUGGAUACUCGACAAGUGCGAGGAUUUAAUUGAAGGGGUAUUCAUGUGGCAAGGAACUGCUAGGCAGUAGGCACAAAGUAUUCUCGGAACAAUAGAGAGAAUUUUGGGGCAUCUUGUAAUAACAAGAUCAAUGAGGAAUGAUUAUAUGAAUAGCACAUGUAGGUGGUUAUCCAUAGAGGUCUAUCGAUAGAAGGGAAUUGCAAAAGCAACAGGCACAAGGUCUCGACAGAAUAUCGGAGAGUAUCUUCGAAAUCUUCUAGUGUAGUCGGCGAUCAUCUGGAUUGAAAGGGCUCUCCGGGAGAAAGUAUUUUCGAGAACCUAAGUUAGAUUUUUAGUAAAUUCAUUAAACCCGAAUAGGAGGGAGUUCAGAGUCCCAGAGCAUAGACGAGGAAUAAAAGAUCCUAAUACCACCCAAUGGCGACGUGGGCCCAUAGGCCACACAGCCAUGUUAGUAAAGGUUUUGCAAUGACUAGACUCAACUUCGGCCAAGGAGGUGGAAAGGGGAUUCCUACAGGCAGUCGGCUCUGAUACCAACUUGUGACACCCCCGAUUUAAUCGUACACUAAUCAUACACGCAAACGUGUACGAUCAAGAUCAGGGACUCACGGGAAGAUAUCACAACACAACUCUACAAAUAAAAUAAGUCAUACAAGCAUCAUAUUACAAGCCAGGCGCCUCGAAGGCUCGAAUACAAGAGCUCGAUCAUAGACGAGUCAGCGGAAGCAACAAUAUCUGAGUACAGACAUAAGUUAAACAAGUUUGCCUUAAGAAGGCUAGCACAAACUGGGAUACAGAUCGAAAGAGGCGCAUGCCUCCUGCCUGGGAUCCUCCUAACUACUCCUGGUCGUCGUUCUGAGGGCAGCACAUAGUAGUAGGCACCUCCAGUGUAGUAGGAGUCGUCGUCGACGAUGGCGUCUGGAUCCUGGGCUCCAGCAUCUGGUUGCGACAACCAGGUAGAAGGGAUAGAGGGAAAAGAAGGAGAAAGCAACCGUCAGUACUCAUCCAAAGUACUCGCAAGCAAGGAGCUACACUACAUAUGUAUGCGUUGGUAUCAACUGGAAUAAGGCUAUUAUAUGUGGAUUGAACUGCAGAAAGCCGGAAUACGAGGGGGAUAGCUAGUCCUUUCGAAGACUACGCUUCCGGUAACCUCCAGCUUGCAGCAUGUAGAAGAGAGUAGACGGAAGUCCUCCAAGUAGCAUCGCAUAGCAUAAACCUAACCGAUGAUCCUCCCCUCGUCGCCCUAUGAGAGAGCGAUCACCGGUUUUAUCUGGCUCUUGGAAGGGUGUGUUUUAUUACGGUUCUAGUUGUCAUAAGGUCAAGGUACAACUCCGGGUCGUCCUUUUACCGAGGGACACGGCUAUUCGAAUAGAUAAACUUCCCUGCAGGGGUGCACCACAUAACCCAACACGCUCGAUCCCAUUUGGCCGAACACACUUUUCUAGGUCAUGCCCGUCCUCGGAAGAUCAACACGUCGCAGCCCUACCUAGGCACAACAGAGAGGUCAGCACGCCGGUCUAAAUCCUAUGGCGCAGGGGUCUGGCCCCAUCGCCCUUUGCACACCUGCAUGUUGCGGACGCGGCCGGAAGCAGACCUAGCCUAGUGGCGUUCUAGUCCAAUCCGGCGCGCGCCACUCAGUCGCUGACGUCACGAAGGCUUCGGCUGAUACCACGACGUUGAGUGCCCAUAACUGUCCCCACGUAGAUGGUUAGUGCGUAUAAGCCAGAUGGCCAGACUCAGAUCAAAUACCCAGAUCUCGUUAAGCGUGUUAAGUAUCUGCGAACGCCGACCAGGGCCAGGCCCACCUCUCUCCUAGGUGGUCUGAACCUGCCCGGUCGCUUCGCCACAAAGUAACAGUCGGGGGCCGUCGGGAACCCAGGCCCACCUCUACCGGGAUGGAGCCACCUGCCCCUUUAGCCCCCAACUCCGAACAGUACCAUAGGUAAUGUAACAGUGUAAAGUAUAUAGUAAAUGCCCGUGAUCACCUCCCGAAGUGAUCACGGCCCAGUAGUAUAGCAUGGCAGACGGACAAGAGUGUAGGGCCACUAAUGGAACACUAGCAUCCUAUACUAAGCAGUAGGAUAGCAGGUAAUGGUAAUAAUAUUAGUAGCAAGGACAGGCUAUGCAUCAGGAUAGGAAUAACGGAAAGCAGUAACAUGCUACACUACUCUAAUGCAAGCAGUAUAGAGAAGAGUAGGCGAUAUCUGGUGAUCAAAGGGGGGGCUUGCCUGGUUGCUCUGGCAAGAGAGAGGGGUCGUCAACACCGUAGUCGUACUGUGUAGCAGCAACGUCGGUCUCGGUGUCUAGCGAGAGAAGAGGGGGAGGAAACAAUAAAUAUAAUGCAAACAAAUGCAUGACGAUGCAUGACACGACAAAGCGUGAUGCUAGGUGUGCCCUAACGUGGUACGAGGUGGUACCGGUGAAGGGGGGAAACAUCCGAGAAAGUAUUCCCGGUGUUUCACAUUUACGGACAGAGGAGUCAGAGGGGGAAAGUUGCGUGUUCGGUAUGCUAGGGAGGCGUGGUGGACGAACGAGUUGCGUAUCCGGGUUCGUCUCGUCGUUCUGAGCAACUUUCAUGUUGAAAAUAAUUUAAUCCGAGUUACGUAUUAAAAGAUAUGGUUUUCUAAAGAUUUUACUAAUUUCUGGAAUUUAAUUAAUUAUUUAAUUUAAUUUGAAAUAUGGAUUUAUGACAUCAGCAUGAUGUCAUGCUGACAUCAGCAGUCAACAUGGGUUGACUGGGUCAACUGACGCGUGGGUCCAGUGGGACCCAUGAAGGAAAUAUGCCCUAGAGGCAAUAAUAAAGUUAUUAUUUAUUUCCUUAUAUCAUGAUAAGAGUUUAUUAUUCAUGCUAGAAUUGUAUUAACCGGAAACAUAAUACAUGUGUGAAUACAUAGACCAACAGAGUGUCACUAGUAUGCCUCUACUUGACUAGCUCGUUAAUCAAAGAUGGUUAUGUUUCCUAACCAUGAACAAAGAGUUGUUAUUUGUUUAACGAGGUCACAUCAUUAGUAGAAUGAUCUGAUUGACAUGACCCAAUCCAUUAGCUUAGCACCCGAUCGUUUAGUAAGUUGCUAUUGCUUUCUUCAUGACUUAUACAUGUUCCUAUAACUAUGAGAUUAUGCAACUCCCGUUUACCGGAGGAACACUUUGGGUACUACCAAACGUCACAACGUAACUGGGUGAUUAUAAAGGAGUAUUACAGGUGUCUCCAAUGGUAGAUGUUGGGUUGGCGUAUUUCGAGAUUAGGGUUUGUCACUCCGAUUGACGGAGAGGUAUCUCUGGGCCCUCUCGGUAAUACACAUCACAUAAGCCUUGCAAGCACUGCAACUAAUAAGUUAGUUGUGAGAUGAUGUAUUACGGAACGAGUAAAGAGACUUGCCGGUAACGAGAUUGAACUAGGUAUUGGAUACCGACGAUCGAAUCUCGGGCAAGUAACAUACCGAUGACAAAGGGAACAACGUAUGUUGUUAUGCGGUCUGACCGAUAAAGAUCUUUGUAGAAUAUGUAGGAGCCAAUAUGGGCAUCCAGGUCCCGCUAUUGGUUAUUGACCGGAAGCGUGUCUCGGUCAUGUCUACAUUGUUCUCGAACCGUAGGGUCCGCACGCUUAACGUUACGAUGACAGUUAUUAUGAGUUUAUGCAUUUUGAUGUACCGAAGGUUGUUCGGAGUCCCGGAUGAGAUCACGGACAUGACGAGGAGUCUCGAAAUGGUCGAGACGUAAAGAUUGAUAUAUUGGAAGCCUAUGUUUGGGCACCGGAAGCGUUCCGGGUGAAAUCGGGAUUUUACCGGAAUACCGGGAGGGUUACCGGAACCCCCCGGGAGACUAAUGGGCCUAUUGGGCCUUAGUGGAAAAGAGAAAAGGGAAGCCCACUAGCUGGCCAGCGCCCCCCUAGAGUCCUAUUAGGAAUAGGACAAGGGGCCGGCCCCCCUUCUCUCUCUUUUUCCCCGGGAGUCCUAAUAGGAUUAGGAUUAGGGGGAGGAGUCCUACUCCCGGUGGGAGUAGGACUCCCCUGCGCCUCCUCUCUCCUAGCCGGCCGAACCCCCUGCCCCUGGCCUUUUAUAUACGGGGGCAGGGGGCACCCCAAGACACACAACUUGAUCCUUGAGAUCGUUCCUUAGCCGUGUGCGGUGCCCCCUGCCACCAAAUUCCACCUCGAUCGUACCGUUGUAGUGCUUAGGCGAAGCCCUGCGUCAGUAGUACAUCAAGAUCGUCAACACGCCAUCGUGCUGACGGAACUCUUCCUCGACGCUUUGCUGGAUCGGAGCCCGAGGAACGUCAUCGAGCUGAACGUGUGCUAAGAACUCGGAGGUACCGGAGUAACGGUGCUUGGAUCGGUCGGAUCGGGAAGAAGACGUACGACUACUUCCUCUACGUUGUGUGAUCGCUUCCGCAGUCGGUCUGCGUUGGUACGUAGACAACACUCUCCUCUCUCGUUGCUGUGCAUCACCAUGAUCUUGCGUGUGCGUAGGAAAAUUUUUGAAAUUACUGCGUUACCGAACAGUGGCAUCUGAGCCUGGUUUUAUGGUUUGAUGUUAUAUGCACGAGUAGAACACAAGUGAGUUGUGGGCGAUACAAGUCAGACUGCCUACCAGCAUGUCAUACUUUGGUUCGGCGGUAUUGUUGGUUGAGACGAUCCGGACCAACCUUACGCGUACUCUUACGCGAGACCGGUUCCCUCGACGUGCUUUGCACAUAGAUGGCUUGCGGAAGACUGUCUCUCCAACUUUAGUUGAACCAAGUGUGACUACGCCCGGUCCUUGAGAAGGUUAAAACAGAGUCUAUUUGACGAACUAUCGUUGUGGUUUUGAUGCGUAGGUGAGAUGAGUUCUUACUUAAGCCCGUAGCAGCCACGUAAAACUUGCAACAACAAAGUAGAGGACGUCUAACUUGUUUUUGCAGUGUAUGUUGUGAUGUGAUAUGGUCAAGGCAUGAUGCUGAUUUUAUUGUAUGAGAUGAUCAUGUUUUGUAACUAAGUUAUCGGCAACUGGCAGGAGCCAUAUGGUUGUCGCUUUAUUGUAUGCAAUGCAAUCGCGAUGUAAUGCUUUACUAGAUUACUAAACGGUAGUAAUAGUCGUGGAAGCAUAAGAUUGGCAAGACGACAACGAUGCUACGAUGGAGAUCAAAGUGUCGCGCCGGUGACGAUGGUGAUCAUGACGGUGCUUCGGAGAUGGAGAUCACAAGCACAAGAUGAUGAUGGCCAUAUCAUAUCACUUAUAUUGAUUGCAUGUGAUGUUUAUCCUUUUAUGCAUCUUAUCUUGCUUUGAUUGACGGUAGCAUUAUAAGAUGAUCUCUCACUAAAUUAUCAAGAAGUGUUCUCCCUGAGUAUGCACCGUUGCCAAAGUUCGUCGUGCCCAGACACCACGUGAUGAUCGGGUGUGAUAAGCUCUACGUCCAUCUACAACGGGUGCAAGCCAGUUUUGCACACGCAGAAUACUCAGGUUAUACUUGACGAGCCUAGCAUAUGCAGAUAUGGCCUCGGAACACAGAGACCGAAAGGUCGAGCGUGAAUCAUAUAGUAGAUAUGAUCAACAUAACGAUGUUCACCAUUGAAAACUACUCCAUCUCACGUGAUGAUCGGUUAUGGUUUAGUUGCUUUGGAUCACGUGAUCACUUAGAAGAUUAGAGGGAUGUCUAGCUAAGUGGGAGUUCCUAAGUAAUUUGAUUAACUGAACUUAAACUUAUCAUGAACUUAGUACCUGAUAGUAUCUUGCUUGUUUAUGUUGCUUGUAGAUAGAUGGCUCGUGCUAUUGUUCCGUUGAAUUUUAAUGCGUUCCUUGAGAAAGCAAAGUUGAAAGAUGAUGGUAGCAAUUACACGGACUGGGUCUGUAACCUGAGGAUUAUCCUCAUUGCUGCACAGAAGAAUUACGUCCUGGAAGCACCGCUGGGUGACAGGCCUGCUGCUGGAGCAACGCCAGAUGUUAUGAACGUCUGGCAGAGCAAAGCUGAUGACUACUCGAUAGUUCAGUGUGCCAUGCUUUACGGCUUAGAAUCGGGACUUCAACGACGUUUUGAACGUCAUGGAGCAUAUGAGAUGUUCCAGGAGUUGAAGUUAAUAUUUCAAGCAAAUGCCCGAAUUGAGAGAUAUGAAGUCUCCAAUAAGUUCUAUAGCUGUAAGAUGGAGGAGAACAGUUCUGUCAGUGAGCAUAUACUCAAAAUGUCUGGGUAUAAUAAUCACUUGAUUCAGAUGGGAGUUAAUCUUCCAGAUGAUUGCAUCAUUGACAGAAUUCUCCAAUCACUACCACCAAGCUACAAGAGCUUCGUGAUGAACUAUAAUAUGCAAGGGAUGAACAAGACUAUUCCCGAGCUCUUCGCAAUGCUGAAAGCUGCGGAGGUAGAAAUCAAAAAGGAGCAUCAAGUGUUGAUGGUUAGCAAGACCACUAGUUUCAAGAAAAAGGGUAAAGGGAAGAAGAAGGGAAACUUCAAGAAGAACAGCAAGCAAGUUGCUGCUCAAGAGAAGAAACCCAAGUCUGGACCUAAGCCUGAAGCUGAGUGCUUCUACUGCAAGCAGACUGGUCACUGGAAGCGGAACUGCCCCAAGUAUUUGGCGGAUAAGAAGGAUGGCAAAGUGAGCAAAGGUAUAUGUGAUAUACAUGUUAUUGAUGUGUACCUUACUAGAGCUCGCAGUAGCACCUGGGUAUUUGAUACUGGUUCUGUUGCUAAUAUUUGCAACUCGAAACAGGGACUACGGAAUAAGCGGACACUAGCAAAGGACGAGGUGACGAUGCGCGUGGGAAACGGUUCCAAAGUCGAUGUGAUCGCGGUCGGCACGCUGCCUCUACAUCUACCUUCGGGAUUAAUAUUAGACCUAAAUAAUUGUUAUUUGGUGCCAGCGUUGAGCAUGAACAUUAUAUCUGGAUCUUGUUUAAUGCGAGACGGUUAUUCAUUUAAAUCAGAGAAUAAUGGUUGUUCUAUUUAUAUGAAUAAUAUCUUUUAUGGUCAUGCACCUUUGAAGAGUGGUCUAUUCUUGUUGAAUCUCGAAGAUAGUGAUACACAUAUUCAUAAUGUAGAAGCCAAAAGAUGCAAAGUUAAUAAUGAUAGUGCAACUUAUUUGUGGCACUGCCGUUUAGGUCAUAUCGGUGUAAAGCGCAUGAAGAAACUCCAUACUGAUGGGCUUUUGGAAUCACUUGAUUAUGAAUCACUUGGUACUUGCGAACCGUGCCUCAUAGGCAAGAUGACUAAAACACCGUUCUCCGGUACUAUGGAGAGAGCAACAGAUUUGUUGGAAAUCAUACAUACCGAUGUAUGUGGUCCGAUGAAUAUUGAGGCUCGCGGCGGAUAUCGUUAUUUUUCACCUUCACAGAUGAUUUAAGCAGAUAUGGGUAUAUCUACUUAAUGAAACACAAGUCUGAAACAUUUGAAAAGUUCAAGGAAUUUCAGAGUGAAGUUGAAAAUCAUCGUAACAAGAAAAUAAAAUUUCUACGAUCUGAUCGUGGAGGAGAAUAUUUGAGUUACGAGUUUGGUGUACAUUUGAAAAAUUGUGGAAUAGUUUCGCAACUCACGCCACCCGGAACACCACAGCGUAAUGGUGUGUCCGAACGUCGUAAUCGUACUUUACUAGAUAUGGUGCGAUCAAUGAUGUCUCUUACUGAUUUACCGCUAUCGUUUUGGGGUUAUGCUUUAGAGACGGCCGCAUUCACGUUAAAUAGGGCACCAUCAAAAUCCGUUGAGACGACGCCUUAUGAACUAUGGUUUGGCAAGAAACCAAAGUUGUCGUUUCUCAAAGUUUGGGGCUGCGAUGCUUAUGUGAAAAAGCUUCAACCUGAUAAGCUCGAACCCAAAGCGGAGAAAUGUGUCUUCAUAGGAUACCCAAAGGAAACUGUUGGGUAUACCUUCUAUCACAGAUCCGAAGGCAAGACAUUCGUUGCUAAGAAUGGAUCAUUUCUAGAGAAGGAGUUUCUCUCGAAAGAAGUGAGUGGGAGGAAAGUAGAACUUGACGAGGUAACUAUACCUGCUCCCUUAUUGGAAAGUAGUACAUCACAGAAAACUGUUUCUGCGACACCUAUACCAAUCAGUGAGAAAGCUAAUGAUGAUGAUCAUGAAGCUUCAGAACAAGAUACUACUGAACCACGUAGAUCAACCAGAGUGAGAUCCGCACCAGAGUGGUACGGUAAUCCACUUCUGGAAGUCAUGAUGCUAGAUCAUGAUGAACCUACGAACUAUGAAGAAGCGAUGGUGAGCCCAGAUUCCGCAAAGUGGCUUGAGGCCAUGAAAUCUGAGAUGGGAUCCAUGUAUGAGAACAAAGUAUGGACUUUGGUUGACUUGCCCGAUGAUCGGCAAGCAAUUGAGAAUAAAUGGAUCUUCAAGAAAAAGACUGACGCUGACGGUAAUGUUACUGUCUAUAAAGCUCGACUUGUCGCAAAAGGUUUUCGACAAGUUCAAGGGGUUGACUACGAUGAGACUUUCUCACCCGUAGCGAUGCUUAAAUCCGUCAGAAUUAUGUUAGCAAUUGCCGCAUUUUAUAAUUAUGAAAUAUGGCAGAUGGAUGUCAAAGCUGCAUUCCUGAAUGGAUUUCUGGAAGAAGAGUUGUAUAUGGUACAACCAGAAGGUUUUGUCGAUCCAAAAGGAGCUAACAAAGUAUGCAAACUCCAGCGAUCCAUUUAUGGACUGGUGCAAGCAUCUCGGAGUUGGAAUAAACGCUUUGAUAGUGUGAUCAAAGCAUUUGGCUUUAUACAGACUUUUGGAGAAGCCUGUAUUUACAAGAAAGUGAGUGGGAGCUCUGUAGCAUUUCUGAUAUUAUAUGUGGAUGACAUAUUGCUGAUUGGAAAUGAUAUAGAAUUUUUGGAUAGCAUAAAGGGAUACUUGAAUAAAAGUUUUUCGAUGAAAGACCUUGGGGAAGCUGCUUACAUAUUAGGCAUAAAGAUCUAUAGAGAUAGAUCAAAACGCUUAAUUGGACUUUCACAGAGCACAUACCUUGACAAGAUUUUGAAGAAAUUCAAAAUGGAUCAAGCAAAGAAAGGGUUCUUGCCUGUGUUACAAGGUGUGAAGUUGAGUAAGACUCAAUGCCCGACCACUGCAGAAGAUAGAGAGAAAAUGAAAGAUGUUACCUAUGCUUCAGCCAUAGGCUCUAUCAUGUAUGCAAUGCUGUGUACCAGACCUGAUGUGUGCCUUGCUAUAAGUUUAGCAGGGAGGUACCAAAGUAAUCCUGGAAUGGAUCACUGGACAGCGGUCAAGAACAUCCUAAAAUACCUGAAAAGGACUAAGGAUAUGUUUCUCGUAUAUGGAGGUGACAAAGAGCUCACCGUAAGAGGUUACGUUGAUGCAAGCUUUGACACUGAUCCGGACGAUUCUAAAUCGCAAACCGGAUACGUGUUUACUUUAAACGGUGGAGCUGUCAGUUGGUGCAGUUCUAAACAAAGCGUCGUAGCGGGAUCUACAUGUGAAGCGGAGUACAUAGCCGCUUCGGAAGCAGCGAACGAAGGAGUCUGGAUGAAGGAGUUCAUAUCCGAUCUAGGUGUCAUACCUAGUGCAUCGGGUCCAAUGAAAAUCUUCUGUGACAAUACUGGUGCAAUUGCCUUGGCAAAGGAAUCCAGAUUUCACAAGAGGACCAAACACAUCAAGAGACGCUUCAACUCCAUCCGGGAUUUAGUCCAGGUGGGAGACAUAGAGAUUUGCAAGAUACAUACGGAUCUGAAUGUUCCAGACCCGUUGACUAAGCCUCUUCCACGAGCAAAACAUGAUCAGCACCAAGGCUCCAUGGGUGUUAGAAUCAUUACUGUAUAAUCUAGAUUAUUGACUCUAGUGCAAGUGGGAGACUGAAGGAAAUAUGCCCUAGAGGCAAUAAUAAAGUUAUUAUUUAUUUCCUUAUAUCAUGAUAAGAGUUUAUUAUUCAUGCUAGAAUUGUAUUAACCGGAAACAUAAUACAUGUGUGAAUACAUAGACCAACAGAGUGUCACUAGUAUGCCUCUACUUGACUAGCUCGUUAAUCAAAGAUGGUUAUGUUUCCUAACCAUGAACAAAGAUUUGUUAUUUGUUUAACGAGGUCACAUCAUUAGUAGAAUGAUCUGAUUGACAUGACCCAAUCCAUUAGCUUAGCACCCGAUCGUUUAGUAAGUUGCUAUUGCUUUCUUCAUGACUUAUACAUGUUCCUAUAACUAUGAGAUUAUGCAACUCCCGUUUACCGGAGGAACACUUUGGGUACUACCAAACGUCACAACGUAACUGGGUGAUUAUAAAGGAGUAUUACAGGUGUCUCCAAUGGUAGAUGUUGGGUUGGCGUAUUUCGAGAUUAGGGUUUGUCACUCCGAUUGACGGAGAGGUAUCUCUGGGCCCUCUCGGUAAUACACAUCACAUAAGCCUUGCAAGCACUGCAACUAAUAAGUUAGUUGUGAGAUGAUGUAUUACGGAACGAGUAAAGAGACUUGCCGGUAACGAGAUUGAACUAGGUAUUGGAUACCGACGAUCGAAUCUCGGGCAAGUAACAUACCGAUGACAAAGGGAACAACGUAUGUUGUUAUGCGGUCUGACCGAUAAAGAUCUUCGUAGAAUAUGUAGGAGCCAAUAUGGGCAUCCAGGUCCCGCUAUUGGUUAUUGACCGGAAGCGUGUCUCGGUCAUGUCUACAUUGUUCUCGAACCGUAGGGUCCGCACGCUUAACGUUACGAUGACAGUUAUUAUGAGUUUAUGCAUUUUGAUGUACCGAAGGUUGUUCGGUGUCCCGGAUGAGAUCACGGACAUGACGAGGAGUCUCGAAAUGGUCGAGACGUAAAGAUUGAUAUAUUGGAAGCCUAUGUUUGGGCACCGGAAGCGUUCCGGGUGAAAUCGGGAUUUUACCGGAAUACCGGGAGGGUUACCGGAACCCCCCGGGAGACUAAUGGGCCUAUUGGGCCUUAGUGGAAAAGAGAAAAGGGAAGCCCACUAGCUGGCCGGCGCCCCCUAGAGUCCUAUUAGGAAUAGGACAAGGGGCCGGCCCCCCUUCUCUCUCUUUUUCCCCGGGAGUCCUAAUAGGAUUAGGAUUAGGGGGAGGAGUCCUACUCCCGGUGGGAGUAGGACUCCCCUGCGCCUCCUCUCUCCUCGCCGGCCGAACCCCCUGCCCCUGGCCUUUAUAUACGGGGGCAGGGGGCACCCCAAGACACACAACUUGAUCCUUGAGAUCGUUCCUUAGCCGUGUGCGGUGCCCCCUGCCACCAAAUUCCACCUCGAUCGUACCGUUGUAGUGCUUAGGCGAAGCCCUGCGUCGGUAGUACAUCAAGAUCGUCAUCACGCCGUCGUGCUGACGGAACUCUUCCUCGACGCUUUGCUGGAUCGGAGCCCGAGGAACGUCAUCGAGCUGAACGUGUGCUAAGAACUCGGAGGUACCGGAGUAACGGUGCUUGGAUCGGUCUGAUCGGGAAGAAGACGUACGACUACUUCCUCUACGUUGUGUGAUCGCUUCCGCAGUCGGUCUGCGUUGGUACGUAGACAACACUCUCCUCUCUCGUUGCUGUGCAUCACCAUGAUCUUGCGUGUGCGUAGGAAAUUUUUUGAAAUUACUGCGUUACCCAACAACCCACCUGUCAUACUCUGUUAGGUUAAUUAGGGUUUAGUUAAUUGAUUAGGCUAAUCUAAUCAGGAUUACUUUGUUUAAGUAAUUCUUCAAUUAAUUAAUUAUCAUUUUAACUAAUUUAAUUAUUAUUUAUUAAUUCAUUCAUUUUUUUAAAUUAUUAUUUUUAUUUCGUUCUCGUUUCAGGGGGGCGUGGGGCCCCGCACACGGGGCCACCGCGGGGCUGUUGCCAGCGGGCGCUGGGGCGCUGGGUGCGGGCGCACCCGAGCGGGCACUCGCCCGCAGGGCGGGACGAGGCUGCCGAGGCAUCGACAGCGGGGCAAGCCNNNNNNNNNNNNNNNNNNNNNNNNNNNNNNNNNNNNNNNNNNNNNNNNNNNNNNNNNNNNNNNNNNNNNNNNNNNNNNNNNNNNNNNNNNNNNNNNNNNNNNNNNNNNNNNNNNNNNNNNNNNNNNNNNNNNNNNNNNNNNNNNNNNNNNNNNNNNNNNNNNNNNNNNNNNNNNNNNNNNNNNNNNNNNNNNNNNNNNNNNNNNNNNNNNNNNNNNNNNNNNNNNNNNNNNNNNNNNNNNNNNNNNNNNNNNNNNNNNNNNNNNNNNNNNNNNNNNNNNNNNNNNNNNNNNNNNNNNNNNNNNNNNNNNNNNNNNNNNNNNNNNNNNNNNNNNNNNNNNNNNNNNNNNNNNNNNNNNNNNNNNNNNNNNNNNNNNNNNNNNNNNNNNNNNNNNNNNNNNNNNNNNNNNNNNNNNNNNNNNNNNNNNNNNNNNNNNNNNNNNNNNNNNNNNNNNNNNNNNNNNNNNNNNNNNNNNNNNNNNNNNNNNNNNNNNNNNNNNNNNNNNNNNNNNNNNNNNNNNNNNNNNNNNNNNNNNNNNNNNNNNNNNNNNNNNNNNNNNNNNNNNNNNNNNNNNNNNNNNNNNNNNNNNNNNNNNNNNNNNNNNNNNNNNNNNNNNNNNNNNNNNNNNNNNNNNNNNNNNNNNNNNNNNNNNNNNNNNNNNNNNNNNNNNNNNNNNNNNNNNNNNNNNNNNNNNNNNNNNNNNNNNNNNNNNNNNNNNNNNNNNNNNNNNNNNNNNNNNNNNNNNNNNNNNNNNNNNNNNNNNNNNNNNNNNNNNNNNNNNNNNNNNNNNNNNNNNNNNNNNNNNNNNNNNNNNNNNNNNNNNNNNNNNNNNNNNNNNNNNNNNNNNNNNNNNNNNNNNNNNNNNNNNNNNNNNNNNNNNNNNNNNNNNNNNNNNNNNNNNNNNNNNNNNNNNNNNNNNNNNNNNNNNNNNNNNNNNNNNNNNNNNNNNNNNNNNNNAGUGGCCCAGUGGGGGGGGGGGUUGUUUUAUUCCUUUCCCUUUUAUACCUUUUCACACUUUUCUUCUUUUGUUUUAUUUUAGUUACACGUUAAUUUUAAUUUUAGACAAAUAUAUCUAUAGCCCCUAAAAUAAUGUUUCAGAACAAUCCACUACUAUAAAAAGUUUUACCCUGAUAAAAUAGUCUAGUAUUUUAUAAAAUACCAAAGUCGUUUAAAUAGUUGUUUAGCUACUAUUUAAAUCAUUUUAGUGCUUUAAAUCAUUUUACUAAAAUGUGGUUCCUCCACCAUUUGGACUUAGGAUUUAUUUGUCCCAUUUUGAACAUUUUAGUCUUGACGUUUGAAGAAUUUACCGUUUGACUCGAUUUUGAAUUUGAAUUUGAAUCGGUGUCGAACUAACACGAGAUUAGCAACAGUAACCAUCAUGACGUGGCAUCAUUAACAGAGGUUUACUGUAUCUCAAAUACCCGGGCGUCACAAUGUGCCUAAUAUUGCAGGAGAUGAGGUGGCUCUGGCUGCAUUAAAAUUUUUAGCCCAAAAUAAGAAGAUUAGUGAUAUUUUCCUUGAGCAACACGACAAGGGAUUGGUUCCUCAUUAUGAGGCAAUAAUAGCUAGGGUUUUGAAAGAAGACCAAGUGUUGCCGAUUGAUCAAAUUGUCGAGAGAAAAUAUUCAACAAUGAUGCAGAUGCCUUCACCUAUCAUUGCAACAUGUUAUACACCCCCUGUACAAGCGCAAAAUUUCGGCAACAUCAAUUCAUUGCCGAAAGAUCCUAAAAGUAUUGGGGGGCAAGCCGAUCCAAGCAGGGUUGAGUUUAAAGAAAAAUAUCUAGCCCAGGUGGACAAGAUCAAGCCAAAGCUCACAGGGAAUAGAGUCAACGAAUUUACUACACCUACCCUUGAGGAAUUACCAGCAGAAUAUCAACAGGCCUACGAAGCACUCAAGAAGAAACGUGGAGAGAGAUAUUUGCAAGAAUACGUCAAGUGCCUUCCUCCAUGUAGCAACCAUGUUGGCCCUUCUACACUAUUGAGGCAAGAUAAAAAAGAAGCUUUGCAAGCAAACCAGCAAAAAAGGAUUCACUCGGCUAAUACGGUGGAUUCGGUUGAAACCGGAUUGAGCAACAGGAUGUUUAAGGCCGAGUGCGUUGCAUCGUGCCAGCCGAGUGCAUCGUUCCAGACGAGUGCAUCACCAGCUAAAGCCGAGUGCAUCAAGCCAACUAUUGCCUCGUGUACGAAAAUAGAAGAUGCAAGCUUGGCUGAGCAAAGGAACGACAAACGCAACAAAUUGGUUGUGCUCGAUUUUUCUGGAUGUAAGGGAGCUUACAUGCUACCUUAUGAGUUUCAUGCUAAAGAUAUUGAUGAGCAUCAAGAACACAGUAAUGGCUGAACACAGUUCAGUUAACGAUGAACAUCAAGACCAAGAAAAUGCGGCCGAGCAAAGUUCAACUGACAAAGAGCGUCCGAGUGAAAUCCACUCGGGCAAUCCGACUGAAAUAUACUCGGGCAAUUCAAGUGAAAUAUACUCGGGCAACCUGAGUGAUGAGGCACCAGAUCCAGAAAAAGAGGAAGAGGCAUUGGAGAAUUAUUCAGAAGUGGAGCAAUGUAUUGUUCCAGUGGUACAACCAUCUUCUCCUUCCAACGUCUUCACAAAGGUACACCUAGCAGAUAGUUUACUCAAUUUUCGAUUUGGUCAAAAUCAUAUUGUUGAUGCACCUAUUAGUAAGAUUCUAAUUAAUUUUGAAAGACCAAUUGAAAUGAGUAAUCUUUUUGUUAGGAAGGAUCUUGUCACUAAUCAUGAUAGUCAACACAUGGUAUCGUUCAUAGAGGUUAAUAGUGACAACUUAUCAAAACCAAAGUUGUUCUUGUCAUGCCAACUGAACUUUGUAUUCAUAUGGACAACUUUGUUUGUUUCAUGCCUAGCUAACAUUUGGACUCCUAUGAGCCGUAUAUUCUGUAAUUAUUUUAGUUGCAGAAACAUAAAGUCAGGUCCAAAGUCCUUCGAAGCCGAUUCAAAUGCAUCAGGAAAAGAAGAUGAAUCUUUCCCAAUUGAUAAAAUUGGCGAGCAAAAAUAUGGUUUUACAACAAUGCAUAUGCCUUCACCUAAUACUACAUCAUAUUAUACAGCCCCUACACAAUUGCAAAGUUUCGGCAACACCCAUGUGCCAUUGCCGAAAGAAUCUAAAAGCAAUGGGGGACAAUCGUAUCCGAAGUGGGCUGAAAAUGAGAAAAAGAUUAAAGCCAAUUUCGCCGCUCGCCGGCAGAAACAAAAAGAAACAGAAUUGGCUCAAGUGAAAGAAGCAUUGCCAAUUGGUAGAAGCAAUGUAAAGAAAGAUGAUUCAGAACAUGAAAGUACUAAGGUUAAAAGAGCCGAAUCAAGGAGUAUAUAUUCUGAAUCCAUCAAAUGCAAAGAGGCAAGCAUUAUUGAGAAAGGGCAUGGCAAGCAUAGCAAAGCGACCAUACUUGAUUUUUCUAAAGUUAAUGGAACCUACUUCCUGCCCUAUGAGUUUUGUGCCAGAGAAAUUGAUGAACUUCAAGGACAAGAAUAAGUAGCCGAACAAAGUUCGGCCGACAAAAAUCUUCAAUGUAAUGAUGCACGAAAUCAACAAAAAGAUGAUGAAGAAGCGUUGGGGAGCCAUCCAAAGGCGGAGCAAGAUAUUGUUCAAGUCACACCACCAUCGUGCUCUCCCAACAUAUUUGAAGAGGUAUGUUUAGCAAGUAAUUUACCUAUUUUCAGAUUUGGUCAGGACUUUAUUGUUGAUGCAUCUAUUAGAAAAAUCCUCAUAAGUAAUUUUGAAAGACCAAUGAAGCAGGGUAAUUUACUUGCUAGCAAUAAAGUUGUUAUUGAGCAUAUCGGUCAACCCAUUACGCCAUUUAUAAAGACCGAUAGUGACUUAUUAUUACAGCCAAAGUUUUCCCCGUUGCUUUAUCUAAAGUUCAUAUCUAUUUGGGUAGCUUUGCUUAUUUCAUACUUGGCUUGCACUUGGUCCCAAUUGAGACAUGUGUGUUCUAACUAUUUUCGUUUUAGAAAUUUAAAGCCAAGAUUAAAUUCUGUUGAGAAAACCGAUGCUAGUAUAAUAUCUUACCCAAAGACAUCGGAGAUAGAUUGCAAAACACAAUGCAUAGCCGAAUGGUGUGAUGCAAAAUCUGAACCAUUCGUUUGCUUCAUUCCGAAGCCGUUCUCACAGCAAGAUCGGCUAGAAAACAAGAAGUAUACCUUCAAUUCAAGCAUGUGUGUUCAAAUAUUUGAUUUGUUGCUGAAAAAUAAUUACAUUACAAUUCUUGAUCACCAUGUUAAGCCAUCAAUCCAAGGACGAAUGUAUUGUAAGUUGCAUGAUUCGUCCAAGCAUAAUUUUGAGGAUUGCAACAUGUUUCGUCAAAUAGUUAAAUCGGCCAUUGAAAAAGGACGAUUGAAGUUUGUUGAAACACCAAGAGAUGACCAGUCUAUUCCGAUUGGUCCCGAUGGCAAAAAGUUUUUGCAUCGACUGCUUCAAGCCGAUCCAUUUAAAGAGAAGGUAAAAACUGCAGGUGAUGGGAUCAAGCUUUCAAGUAAAGAAGUUGUUGAAGAGCAUAAUGAACAUAAUCUUGAGGGUGAGAAUUCCAUCCAAGCUACAAUGGAGACGCCAAGGACUGGGGGGCAGCAAGCAAAUCCAACGAUCGAUGAAAGAAAACCAAAAGAAAACAAAGGCCGAAAUAAGCGCAAGUGUAAAAGAUCAAAAAUCACCUUCGAUGAACUAUUUGAGAAAUAUCAAAAGAAGAGUGAAGAGAAGAAUGCUUAUCGGCCCAAUCAUGCAAAGAAACCAAGAUCACCCCCAAGGCGCAAAUAUGAGGAUCGGUAUUGGCAAUGUGAGAGUUUCAAUGCAACAUAUUCAUAUCCUUAUUUUGGGCCGCCAAUGCCAAUGCCGUGGAUGCCUCCCUAUGCUCAUGUAGAUCCAUAUUCAUCAUGGGACAGGUAUGAUACAAGGGCACAUUCUCCAUCUUAUUUUAGACCAUCUCACCAAUAUUAUGCAGCUCCGAGAAGAUCAACAUUUGAACAGUCACAUGUUAAAGACCGUUUCAAUUAUAAGGAAUCGGUCCGGACACCAUGGAUGAAAAAAGAGGUGGUCAAGCAAGUCUACCGCGUGAAACUAUGAAGGACCGAGCCGAAGGAUUCAACAUCUUUGGUCUACACAUUAUCCAAAUUCUUCAACUAUGUCGUUAACGCCUAUGCCAUGGAAUUCGUCAUCAGGUAUGAUCGGUAACCCUCAAUGGGCUUAUUUUAAUCCAUGGAUGCAAUAUAAUUUCUUACGUCAUGAAAGGGUAUUACCAAGUCACUAUACAUUUGAUUAGCUACAAGUUUGUUGCUGAUCCAAAGGGCCGAAAUACUUGAUUUGUCAUUUCAUUUGUUUAUUUCGGCUAUAUGUGCUUUGAAUGAAGUUUAGAUGGUAAUGGCCGAUGAUAUUUAUCUAUCGUCCUAAGAGUAUGUCAAUGCAUGGCAGGUGUAGUAUUCUAAUAUCGUCCUUAGUUUGAUUGGUGAGCGAGACAAUGUACAUGCUCAUGAAAAUUUAUAUGUAUGCCUAUAUUAUGAUUGAAUGGAGUUGAGACAUCAUGACCGAUGUCAUUGAAUAUAUGCUGCAUAGACCAAUUCAUAGCUGCGGAAUUGGUUGAUGGGCUUAUACUUUGUUUGGAUAUGAUUUGGCUUAUGCAUCUUUGAGAUCUAUAAGAGGCCAAAUCAUAGUUGAUUUUGUUACUGAACAUCGGAUUAGUGUCAUGCAUAAUAUUAAUAUUAGCCUUGUCUCUCUAGUACUAUGGAGAUUAUGUUUUGAUGGUUCAAUUCAUAGCAAUGGCCAAAGUGUUGGUGUUGUUUAUAUAUUUCUUUAUGGUACUAUUUUUUGAAGCCUCGUGCCGCUUAGAAUAUUUUUAUGCACGAUUAAUCAAGGCCGAAUAUGCAUUGUUAUUCGGAUUGACUCUUUUACUUGCUAUAGGUGUUAUACAUAUUGAGGCUUUUGGUGAUUCGUUCUGAGUAGUGCAACAAAUAUCCAAGGAUUAUCAAUGUGUUUUACCGAAUCACUUAUAGUUUAUCUUGGGCUAUGUCUAGAUGAAGAAUUUACCUUGGGUUGCAUUCAAAUUGUUCAUAUAUUUAGACAUGGCAAUUGGAGAGAGUUGGCAUAGCAAGCAUCCGGCUACCAUGUCCAUCAUGUUGUAUUGCAUUUCUCUCAAUAGCCGAUGCUUAGUCUUGUCAACAUAGGUAAGGUCGAACCGAAGUCCAGAACUUCGGCCACUAAUGAAAUUUUUAUGCAGGCCAAAGUAAGGAUUGGAGAAAGUUUAUUGUUGAUUGUCUACAAAAUCCUAGCAAAAGGGUGAACAAUAUGGUUCGGAGGAUGACAUUGAGAUACAUAUCUAUGGAACUUUAUCACCGGAUUGUUAAUGAAGCUGAGAAGGUUUCACCCGAGUUUGCAUCAGAAAGUUCACACAAGACAUGGCCGAUAUAUACUUAUCGUCCUAAGAACAUAUAAAUGGCCGAUGGAGUGUUGACAUCGUCCUUAGAACAAACUUGGUACAAGUAUUUUUCGACACGCUAGGUUUACCGAAAAACAGUGGGGCAUGUGUUGACGCUCAAAAGUGGCACGAUCAUAAAGCAGCAUGCUGGGGCGAAAACCUUGCCGGGGUAAAAUCUUGCCGGUGUGAAAGCUUGCCGGUGUGAAAGCUUGCCGGUGUGAAGGCUUGCCGGCGUGGAAAGCUUGCCGGCACAGAAAGAUCGCCGGUGCUUGCCGGUGUGAAAUCUUGCCGAGGGAGAAACCUUGUCAGGAAGGAACCCUUGCCGGAGUACAAACCUUGCCGGAGUGAAACCUUGCCUGUGUGAAAGCUUGCCGGGUAGAAACAUUGCCGGUGUGGAAAGCUUACUCGGACGGAAAACUUGCCGGGUUGGAGGCUGUGAUAGUCAAUCGAACGAGAAGUUGAAGAUGGGCUCAAAAGGUUAUUCAGAUGAUCUCGGAUGGAAAAAUGAUCUACACGGGUUGUCUUCGUCUCGUCGAAACGAUCGAUUUUGGUAUAAAAAUCAUUCAAAUUCGAGUUUGUAUGCAAAAGUUAGAGCAAUCGGAGUGCAGCCCUGUCACGAGGCGAGAUGUGGCGUGCCCCACCAGACACAUGUCUGACGGGUAGUGCGAGGAAAUAGCCUGUGUUGCGAGACCGAUCUGACCCUCAAGAUGAUCUCUGAUCAAAACACCUUCAACAUGAAAGCUGUUCGUCUCGUCGAAACGGUCAAGAUUGCUUUUGGGCUUGUUUUCAUCCGGGAUCGUUUACCACUGCCAAAAAGACCCGCAAUGUGCAGCCAGUUUAAACCGAACAGUUUUGGAAAGUUCAGAUAAACCAGUCCGAAUUUGACUAGGGUUUUGUACGUGAAUUGAUGUAAUUUUCUUGUAAGGAAAGCCGAGAUAAAUUCUUUGCUUGUACGGGAAGUCCAGCCGCCUCUUAUAUAUGUUGGGGGUGACGGCCGAUUGAAACAACACACAAUCGAACAAACACAUCUACUACCUUUUCAUGUUCAUCUACUUUUUAUCUCUCCCUUGUAUCUUUCUUCUCGUUCUUCGCUAGUUCUUCAUGCUGGAGGGCUGCGGAUCCACGAGGCUUUAGGGCCUAGCUAGCGAAUCGACCUAGGGCAGCCCAUAGCCGCCGCAAUCCCUGACGGGGUCCCUCUCGGGUGCGCGGGGUUUCGGGUCUGCAAAAGCGCCCGCCGACUGUCUUGCGUAUCGCGCUGUCGGUCGGGUCUCCUUCGACGUGAGCUGCGGUGCAUCACCCCUGGCGUCGAGGAUACAUGUGACGUGUUCGUGUGCGAACAACGUGCUCCCUGGCUCCACCCCAUUGAAAAAAUAUACAUCUGGAGGCUGCUUUGUUUCCUCAUCAAAAAAAACUUACGUUAAAAAGAUUGCAUGCAUCCCAGGAAAAAUAAUCAAGAAGUCGGACUCAUCCUUACAAAAACAAGGAACGUGUUAAGUUGACUUCAAAGAAAAAAGGAACAUGUUAAGUUAAAAAAAACAAGAAACCUGUUAAGUUAGAAAAAAACAAGGAACGUGUUGUCCUAGGAAAGAUAUGUGUCAAAUCUUACAAAAAAAAGAAUACACACACGUACGUUCAUGCACUUGGAAAAUAGAAAAAAAAGAACAUCACGUAUGUAUACACUUUGGAAACUCAUUACAUGACCAUGUCUGAUAUACUCCUCUAAUGCUUAACAUUAGUGCCUAAUAAUUUAUAUUUAAAAUUUAAUUUACUGAUCAAAUAUCCCCACUGUUUAAAUUUUAAUUUGGCACAUUGUUUGACUACAGUAUGAACCUAAAUUUCCUCUUAUUAAUAUAUAUCAUGGUAAUAAUCCAAAGGCGACUAAUCUGCGCCGGUGCACCGGCGCAAUCAAUUUGGCCGGACACAGCGCGGCCUUUUGAUUAGAUUGCAUUUAACCAUCAGAUCUGGAAUCGUUUUCUUUCCAAUUAAACGGAUUCAACCAAACAGCAGAGGGGAAAACAAAGCAGCGCCGCCGCCAACACUAGCCAUGGACGAUCGAUGUACCAAAACCUUGAAUAACUGCCGCCGGUCGCCACCCUCGCCGCUGGUGGCCGCCCUCGCCGUCGGUCACCGCCGAUCACCGCCCUCGCUGCCUGCGUUUCUCAUCGGCUUCAUGCAUGCAACAGCAUGCAGUCGUGGUUGCAGGCUUGCAGCUCCGGCUCCGGGGGACAUGGCCGCAUCUCCGGUAACGCCAGCCGCCGACCGCAGCACCUGUCGUUAUGGUCGCGUUGUACCUCGCCGUGUGCCCUCCCGAGGCUCUUGCUGGUUCCAACAAAAAACAAUACGUGUUGUAGCAAAAAAGUUUAUCGCUUCCAGCAAAAAAGCUUACCGCUACAGCCCGCCAUCGUCAUUGUAGCAAAAAUGUUAACCCGAUGUAGCUUUUGUGGUUGCCGACUGCAACAAAAAAUGACGUGGUUGUAGCAAAACACAAAAGAAAAAUGCCGGCCGGCCGCUGUGUAUGGUGGUAACAAACCCUAUAGCCGGUGGUAGCGAAAAACUUCAUAGUUUGCAGCAAAAAAAUGUUGUCGCCCGUCGUCGAGGUUGCAUCGUCUUCAUGAAUUAUGUCGCAAAAAAACAUUGUCGCCGGUAGUAGCAAAUGAAGCCGCCGGUAGUAGCAAAACAAGACACUGGUUCCAGCCAAAAAAUAAAUCAGCGACAGAACCUUUGGUUGGUUACAACAAAAAAACUUGUCGGUUGUAACAUCCCUCGCCGCCGGAUGUAGCAUCUCCCGGGGCUGGUUGCAACACUCCAUAAAAAAAAUGUUGUCUAUGAGCGCAUCCAUGGCGACUGCUGCACCAUCAGCAACGAGGGGAAGAGGAGGCAAUGAAAAUCGUUCGAGUCGUAGCUCCACAGGACGCGGCUGCAGCAUGGGGAGUCCAAAAAUCUGUCACAAGCAACAUGCGCCUCACCAUCCUCCUGCGCAGGAGAGAGAAGAAAAAGGAAUAAGAGGAAGAAGAAAGGAAACGGGAGGAAGAAAAAAGAAACGAUUGGUGGUGGGCUGAGGCAAUUAGUCAAACGAGGGGCACGCGGGGCCGCAGGAUACAGCGCAAUCGAACGAAGCGCGCGCGUCCGGCCGAAGACUCGGCCGGACUGCCGUCUGGAAACGUUUCCCUAAUCCAAAGGCUUUGUCUGAAUGACAAGUCGUCUGGGUUACCGGCUAACUAGAAAAAAGAUAAAUAUGCUAGAGAAUUUCAUAAUAAUUAGAAAUAUCUAGCCUUUAAUUAUGUAAAUCAGAAAAUCACAACCGUUGGAUUUACUUUAAAGGUAAAUUUCUCUAAAUUCCCACCAUUGCCAGUAUGUAGAAACAUGUGCUGCUUCAAUUCUCCCAUAAUCACCAAUCAAUCAACAACACAAAACAUACCUCAGUUAAAAAAACUGAACAAAAAAAAAGAAAAAAGAAGAAAGGACAAGAUACACGCAUGUACACGACAGCCUUGGCUUGAAACACAUCAGUAGAUCAAGUGUCCGCCUCCCUUACACAGAAUAAACUCAUAGGGAAGAAAAUAAUUGUGCAACCUAACCUUAUACGUACUAUUCUAUCCUCACGUCCCAUGAGGUUUACUAGCCUACCGCCGCCGCAUCAUGCCAUCCCCUCCUUUCAGCUCCCAUGCUUUCCAGCACCCUCAUUGCCGCGCCACUACUUGCCUAGGGAUAUUGCUGCUCAGACCGUGGAGCUUAACCUGCUUCUUCUUCAGCAAAUAUGGUACUGCUUUAGGAUCCUUCUCACAUCAGCACGUAUGGGCCUCAUUAUACUGCAGCUCCUGGACCUCCUACAAUUGGUUGGCUAUGGCCAGUUGAUCGAUGUGCCGAAGUCCAGGUCUGUUUGCUGGCACAUAUGCUUUGGAAAUAGGCCACUAUGUUUGUACUUCAAAAUUGUUUCUGUAUUCUUGAGUGGUACAUCCUUUUAAGCGCCAGUUUUUUAUGUCAAUUCAUGCUGACAACACUUAACCUAGCCUUUCAUCUUCACGUACUAAAUACAGGAGCAAGUAAAAACAACAGACCACCUAAUUGCUCUGCAUGUACUACAUAGGAAAAUUUGUCAUGUUCUACGAUCGCACCAUCCCACACUUCUCUCUUGGUAUGGGCGCCAAUUGAGGGAUUGAUAAAACUGAAACGAAGACGUCACGGGGCUGGAAGUACCGCUAGCCUGGUUUGCACUGCAACCUACUCAACGCCAUCAGAAACUAGCAACUGAGGCAGUUGUUGAUCGAUUCUCUCAAAUUGCUCUCAUGUAAGUACUACCCCUUGCAUGUGCGUACAUACCUUUGUUCCAUUCUCAAACAGAUAGAACAUUUAUGAUCGGUGCAUGGCUAUUUUUCAUCACAUGACAUCCAGAUAACAAGCAUGAAAGGACUACAUUGGAGAUCAAAAAAUAUUGGUUCCUGGCUAGAGGACCACUACCUAUGGACUUGUCUCCAUAGAAUUUGUUCCCAAGACGUUAUUUUAAUUAACCUCUUUAGCUUUCUUCCAUUGCAAACGGUGAUGUGCAUCAUGGUAUAUACGUGACCAUCUUGCACAUGUAUACACAAGAGGCUCAGACGGAGGUGCUGGAUUCUGGACGAGGGAAUAUGAAGCAGGAGUGAGCGAAGAGUAAAUAAUGGUGGGAGUACCGAUUGGUGUUAUGAAGAAAAAUGCCAUUCAAAGAUUGAUUAGUGUCAUGGAAGAUUAAUUUCUGAAUGCGAAUAUAUAUGUUACAUUGGUUUGGAUCUUUUUGAGAUAAUUGCACCUAAAUUAGGUUCUUUCUUAUUUCAUAUGUAUACCUUAUUUCAGUAAAAGUUCACAACGAACUUAGUAGGACAAAUAUAAUUUUGUUUGUGCUUUCUGUUGUCCGCCACCAAAGCUCAGUUUGAACUCUCUAGAAAUGGACAAUGAUUUAUGCAUUCUAUAUCUUCUUGAUUGAUUAGUCAUGACAAGGAAAUAAAAUGAUUGACUGAUAUAGCAUAACUUUGGAACGAUCUGUUCGUAGAGGUUACUACAAAUUAGAGUAGUGUCUGUUGGAAUUUUGCUAGUAGGCCUUUGGCCCAAAGCCCAACUAAAAUUCUGAAAUUCUCUUGGCUCAUUCAUGCACACAUGUGAGUGGAGUGAGUGAGACUAAAGUUUAGUCCCUCCCCGAAAGUUGAGAGAGUGUUGCACCUCUUUAUAAGGUGAGCUCUUCUACCACUUGUAUGAGCAUGGGAAGAGGAGACCUACACGCGCGCUCCUCCUCCUCGCUCACCAUGCCUCGUCACGACGCGCCGCGCCGCACCGCGUGGUGGGUUGUGGGAUUGAGCCGAGCCGAGGACGUUGUCUAUAUUUUUGCUGCUCGGGAAAAAUUAAUGAGUCAUUAAUUAAUAAUUAAUGGACGCGUUAAUUACUGAACCGUUUCCGAUUCUUUUGGAUCCUGACGACUCGGACGUGGGGUUUACUCCCACGACCUACCCGACCUGCACUACAUAGCCAGGCAGACGUCUACCUUAGCCGCCGCCCCUUCGUAUGGUUUCUCACCACCGUUACAGAUCAUUGCGCCGCCAAGCAAGUUUUCUCCAUCCCUCGUUUCGGCGUGCACCGGGAGAAGGGACAGCAGGCCUCCGGAACCCCGCCUCUCGUGAUCCUGUACGGAAGAGGGGCGAUCAGGUUUUUGGGGAGCGCAUCGCACGACUGCUGGCAGCGACGACUUCGCGAACGACGACUUCUUCCCCGACCUCGGCAACCUCAUCCUCGAGGACAUGGGCGACAACGUCAACGCCGGCGGUGCUACACCCACUGCACCGUAUGUUAUUCUAUCCUUCUUGUUCGAGAUCGUGGUAGAAUUCAUGUUUCUAGUAUGUGCCCUAGAGGUGAUCUGUUCAUCUACUAUGCUAGUUCGCAUGAUUAGUUUAAUCUCUGCUAUUGCUGUCAUGAUCUAUUUCCUAUUUAUUCGGAUUAAAUCUCGUAGUAAUUUUCUCAUUUUUCCAACAAUCCAAAAACCUAAUUAUAGGCAACUUACUCCGAGUGGUUUUGAUGCGCAUCUGAAAGCCGCCUGCCUUUAAGGGGGCGCAAUAUAAGAGGUGGCGCACGAGAGCAGUCUACUGGUUUCAGAUCAUGGGCUGCUAUGACGCCAUCGAUACCCUCUUUAAAGGCACUCUUCUGAGUGUUCUUGAUGACUCCAUUGUGGAUUCGUAUAUGUCGUUGACAACGGCAAGAAUAUGUGGGCUGCGCUCGAGGCCAAGUUUGGUGCCUCGGAUGCUAGUAGCGAGUUGUACGUCAUGGAGCAAUUCUAUGACUCCAAGAUGACUGAUGAGCGCCCUGUUGUACAGCAGGCUCAUGAGAUACAGUCGCUCGGAAAAGAACUUGAGUACUUCAAGUGUGUGUUGCCGAACAAAUUUUUUGCCGGAGGCAUCAUUGCCAAGCUUCCACCUUCGUGGAACAAUUUUGCUACUUCCCUGAAACACAAGAGACAGGAGUUUUUCGUUGCGGAUCUCAUUGGUACUCUUGAUGUUGAAGAGAAGGCGAGAGCAAAGGAUACACGUGCUCGAGUUGCUGAGGGAGGUUCUAGUGCCCACAUGGUACAGAAGAAGAACUUCCAGCCCGUUCAAAAACAACAAGAACAAAACUCAGGGCAAAGGCAAGUUUGAUACAAAGAACAAGCCAUCACAUUCUACCAACUUCAAGAAGAAUUCUCAUAAGAAGGGGAAGGGACUUUGCCAUGUCUGCGGUGAUCCUAAUCACUGGGCUCUGAAGUGUCCUAACUGCUUUGAGGAGCGCGAACAUGAGAAGAGCGGCAAGUCCGCUAAUGUUGUCAUCGGUGAUACUGAUAUGAAGGAAUCAGGGUACGGUAUUUUUCCUACCAUCCUUUCAGUUUUCCAAACCCCUGAUUGGUUAAUUGACACCGGUGCCAAUGUACAUGUUUGUGCUGAUGCCUCCAUGUUUUCUUCUUACCAGGCCAUUGGGACUUCACCCGUGCUGAUGGGGAACGGGUCACAUGCCAUCGUUCGAGGUGUUGGUACGGUCGAUCUGAAGUUUACUUCGGGGAAGACCGUGCGUCGGAAGAACGUUCAUCAUGUUCCAUCCAUCAAUAAAAAUCUCGUUAGCGGUUCCCGUUUAUGUCGAGAUGGUUUUAAGUUGGUUUUCGAAUACACUAAAGUUGUAAUUUCUAAGUACGGACAAUUUGGUGGAAAAGGCUAUGAGAGCGAAGGCUUGUUUUGCCUGUCUUUGUCAGAUAUUUUCACUAAAGUUAUUAAUAAUGUUUGCCACAACAAUGAGUCUGAUAUUUGGCAUUCACGACUUUGUCACAUUAACUUUGGUUGCAUGACGCGGCUAGCCAAUAUGAAUUUAAUUCCGAAAAUCUCUACUGUCAAAGGCUCUAAGUGCCAAGUAUGUGUGCAAGCUAGCUAAGCAACCUCGCAAGUCCCAUAAGACUGUAGAGGCAAGAGACUUGGCGCCACUAGAGCUUAUACAUUCUGAUAUUUGUGAGAUGAAUGGCGUGUUGACAAAAGGUGGAAAGAGAUACUUCAUGACGUUGAUUGAUGACUCCACUAGAUAUUGUUAUGUGUAUCUUAUGAAAUCAAAAGAUGAGGCUUUGACUUUCUUCAAAAACUAUAAAGCUGAGGCAGAGAACCAACUUGAUCAAAAAAUUAAACGGCUUAGGUCCGAUCAUGGUGGAGUGUAUUUUUCCAAUGAAUUUGAUCUGUUUUGUGCGGAACAUGGUAUAAUCCAUGAGAGGAUGCGUCCCUACUCAGCCUAGUCAAAUGGGGUAGCCAAAAUAAAGAACCGAACUCUAACUGAUAUGGUUAACACCAUGUUAGACACUUCAGGUCUAUCCAAGGAAUGGUGGGGGCAGGCGCUAACGACUGCGUGUCAUGUCCUAAACAGAGUACCCACAAAGCAUAAGACCAUGACUCCAUUUGAGGAAUGUGAAAGGAAAAUGUUGAAACUCUCUUACCUACGUACUUGGGGUUGUUUGGCGAAAGUCAAUAUACCAAUUCCCAAGAAGCGCAAGGUUGGACCAAAAACCGUGGAUUGUGUUCUUCUGGGCUAUGCUUUUCAUAGCAUCGGCUAUAGAUUUUUGAUAAUAAAAUCUGAGGUAUCCGACAUGCAUGUUGGUACGAUUAUGGAGUCGAAUGAUGCAACUUUCUUUGAGGACAUAUUUCCUAUGAAGGAUAUGUCGAGUUCAUCAAAUCAGGAGACACCUACUCCAUCUAGUGAGGAAUUCACUGUAAUUCCUGAACCCACCAUUGCGAUGGAACACGUUGAGAAUCCUGUUGAGGGUGACAAUGGAACUCCUAUGAGGAGUAAGAGACACAGGACUACAAAGUCCUUUGGUGAUGAUUUCAUUGUGUUCCUCGUGGAUGACACACCCAGGACUAUUUCAGAAGCCUGUGCAUCUCUUGAUGCUAACUACUGGAAGGAAGCUGUACGUAGCGAGAUGGAUUCCAUCUUAGGUAACGGAACCUGGGAGAUCACUGACCGUCCUUAUGGGUGCAAACUUGUAGGAUGUAAGUGGGUGUUCAAGAAGAAGCUUAGACCUGAUGGUACGAUUGAAAAGUACAAGGCACGGCUUGUGGCCAAGGGUUAUACCCAGAAAGAAGGUGAAGACUUCUUUGAUACUUACUCACCCGUGGCUAGAAUGACCACAAUUCGGGUGCUACUAUCACUUGCUGCCUCACAUGGUCUUCUCGUUCAUCAAAUGGAUGUUAAGACAGCUUUCCUCAAUGGAGAGAGUUGGAGGAAGAAAUUUACAUGGAUCAGCCAGAUGGUUUUGUAGUACCUAGUUAGGAAGGAAAGGUGUGCAAGUUAUUAAAGUCUUUAUAUGGCCUUAAACAAGCUCCUAAAGAGUGGCAUGAGUAGUUUGAAAGAACAUUAACUGCUGCCGGCUUUGUAGUAAACGAUGAUGACAAGUGCGUGUACUAUCGCUAUGGUGGGGCGAAGGAGUUAUUCUUUCUCUGUAUGUCGACGACAUAUUGAUCUUUGGAGCCAAACUUGAUUUAAUCAAGGAGGUUAAGGAUUUCUUAUCUUGUUGUUUUGAGAUGAAGGAUCUAGGAGUAGCUGAUGUUAUCUUAAACAUCAAGCUGUUGAGAGAUGAGAAUGGUGGGAUCACACUACUUCAGUCUCACUAUGUGGAAAAGGUCUUGAGUCAUUUUGGGUAUAGCGACUGCACACCUUCUCCAACUCCAUAUGAUGCUAGUGUGUUGCAUCGAAAGAAUCGAUGGAUUGCUAGAGAUCAACUGAGGUAUUCUCAUAUUAUUGGCCCGCUUAUGUAUUUGACGAGUGCCACGAGGCCUAACAUCUCAUUUGCUGUUAGCAAGCUGAGUCGGUUUGUGUCAAAACCGGGAGAUGAUCGUUGGCAUGCUCUUGAGAGAGUUAUGCGCUAUUUGAAAGGCACCGCGAGCUAUGGGAUUCACUACACCGGGUAUCCAAGGGUACUGGAGGGUUAUAGUGACUCAAACUGGAAGUCCUGCAAACAGACCAUCUUAACAAGGUCAAGUAUGGAAGCAGAACUCACAGCAUUAGAAACUGCCACUGUGAUAAUCAAACUAUGAUCGUCAAGAUAAACAGUUACGGACAAUAUGAAGUCCUCAAGGCAUGUGAAGAGGAGACUGAAAUCUGUCAGAAAAUUGAGGAACUCUGGAGUUAUUACGUUGGAUUAUAUCGAAACAUCGAAAAAUUUGGCAGAUCCCUUCACAGAGGGUCUAUCACGUAAUGUGAUAGAUAAUGCAUCGAUGGAGAUGGGUCUGAGACCCACCGCAUGAGUUGUCCAUAGUGGUCUAUGUGAUCGGAGAUCCCGUGAAGUAGAAGUGGGAGACAAGUUGUUGAUCAGCUGGGAGGAUAGUAUCCCUAUAUUACCUAUCCCACUCCAUGAAGAUGCAAUACUCUCCUAAUCUGCAUGGCAGGUUGACACUUAUGUUAAUGUGUUCCAAGUGGCUUAUUCGGGUAAGCAGAGAUGUUGUCCUGCAGAACAUCUUCUAAGGAACACACCUAUAUGAAUUUGACUGUUAACGUCGCAGUAUGUGAGAAUUGGGUGUUCUCUAAUAAAUUGAUGAAAAGGCCCUGGAGUAUGACGUAUACGCUCCACCCGCGGGGAAGCCUUGCGGCAGCCCAGUAUCGGUCAAGAAUUUGUGUGAAACUAGUCUCGCAGAAAAUUUGUAGUUCAAGGCGUAGUCCAAACGGAAUAUCAAACGGAGUCCAAACGGAAUGAAACCUUUGGGAACGUGAUUUUCUCAACGAACAAGACCCAGGAGACUUGGACCCUACGUCCAGACACAAAAGAGGAGGCCACGAGGUAGGGGGGCGCGCCCUCCACCCUCGUGGGGCCCCUGUUGCUGAAGGACAUAUGCCCUAGAGGCAAUAAUAAAGUUAUGAUUUAUUUCCUUAUAUCAUGAUAAAUGUUUAUUAUUCAUGCUGGAAUUGUAUUAACCGGAAACAUAAUACAUGUGUGAAUACAUAGACAAACAAAGUGUCACCAGUAUGCCUCUACUUGACUAGAUUGUUAAUCAAAGAUGGUUAUGUUUCCUAACCAUAGACAAAGAGUUGUUAUUUGAUUAACGGGAUCACAUCAUUAGUUGAAUGAUCUGAUUGACAUGACCCAUUCCAUUAGCUUAGCACCCGAUCGUUUAGUAUGUUGCUAUUGCUUUCUUCAUGACUUAUACAUGUUCGUAUGACUAUGAGAUUAUGCAACUCCCGUUUACCGAAGGAACACUUUGUGUGCUACCAAACGUCACAACGUAACUGGGUGAAUAUAAAGGAGUUCUACAGGUGUCUCCAAAGGUACAUGUUGGGUUGGCGUAUUUCGAGAUUAGGAUUUGUCACUCCGUUUGUCGGAGAGGUAUCUCUGGGCCCUCUCGGUAAUGCACAUCACAUAAUCCUUGCAAGCAUUGCAACUAAUGUGUUAGUUGUGAGAUGAUGUAUUACGGAACGAGGAAAGAGACUUGCCGGUAAUGAGAUUGAACUAGGUAUUGGAUACCGACGAUCGAAUCUCGGGCAAGUAACAUACCGAUGACAAUGGGAACAACGUAUGUAGUUAUGCGGUCUGACCGAUAAAGAUCUUCGUAGAAUAUGUAGGAGCCAAUAUGGGCAUCCAGGUCCCGCUAUUGGUUAUUGACCAUAGACGUGUCUCGGUCAAGUCUACAUUGUUCUCGAACCGUAGGGUCUGCACGCUUAAAGUUACGAUGACAAUUUCAUUAUGAGUUUAUGUAUUUUGAUGUACCGAAGGUUGUUCGGAGUCCCGGAUGUGAUCACGGACAUGACGAGGAGUCACGAAAUGGUCGAGACAUAAAGAUCGAUAUAUUGGAAGCCUAUAUUUGGACAUCGGAAUCGUUCCGGGUGAAAUCGGCAUUUUACCAGAGUACCGCGGGGUUACCGGAACCCCCGGGGGGGUUAUUGGGCCUACAUGGGCCUUGAAGAAGAGAGGAGGCAGGAGGUGGCCGCGCGCCCCUCCCCUUCCUAGUCCGAAUAGGACAAGGGAAGGGGGGUGGCGCCCCCCCUUUCCUUCCCCUCUUCCUCCUCUUUCCCCCCUUCUCCUUCUCCAACUAGGAAAGAAGGGAGUCCUACUCCCGGUGGGAGUAGGACUCCCCCUGGCGCGCCCCUCCUUGGCCGGCCGCCCCCUCCCCUUGGUUCCUUCAUAUACGGGGGCAGGGGGCACCCUAGGACACAGAAGUUGAUCUUCGUGAUCGUUCCUUAGUCGUGUGCGGUGCCCCCCUCCACGAUAUUACACCUCGAUCAUAUUGUAGCAGUGCUUAGGCGAAGCCCUGUGACGGUUAAACAUCAAGAUCGUCACCACGCCGUCGUGCUGACCAAACUCCUCCCCGAAGCUUUGCUGGAUCCGAGCCGGGGGUGCGUCAUCGAGCCGUACGUGUCUCAAGAACUCGGAGGUGCCGGAGUAAAGGUGCUUGGAUUGGUUGGACCGGGAAGACGUACGACUACUUCCUCUACGUUGCGUCAACGCUUCCGCUUCGGUCUACAAGGAUACGUAGACAACACUCUCCCCUCUUGUUGCUAUGCAUCACCAUGAACUUGCGUGUGCGUAGGAAAUUUUUUGAAAUUACUACAUUCCCCAACAGUGGCAUCCGAGCCUAGGUUUUAUGGUUUGAUGUUAUACGCACGAGUAGAACACAAGUGAGUUGUGGGCGAUAUAAGUCAUACUGCCUACCAGCAUGUCAUACUUUGGUUCGGCGGUAUUGUUGGAUGAAGUGGCCCGGACCGACAUUACGCGUACGCUUACGCGAGACUGGUUCUACCGCCGUGCUUUGCACAUAGAUGGCUGGCGGGUGUCAGUUUCUCCAACUUUAGUUGAACCGAGUGUGGCUACGCCCGGUCCUUGCGAAGGUUAAAACGGCAUCAACUUGACAAACUAUCUGUCACAGCCCUAGAAUUUGCUUGUAGCUAUUUACCCGAGUGAGCAUGAUGCAUCAUGUCUAAAUUCUGAAAGUUGAAUUGAGGUUAGUAGAAACCCUCAUAAAUCACUUCAAAAAUAAUCAACAUUAAAAUCUUUUCAAAGAAGUCCAAGAAAGUGUUCCUCUUAGUCUCUGAAAAUAUUGGCAAGAGGUAAAACUUAAAACAAUAUUUUUGGAAUCUCAGAGAUAUUUAUUUUGGGCCUUUGAAUUAAUUCAAUAACAAUUUGCAUUGGAUAUAUAUUUUAUAUAUAACUAAUAUAUGUCCAAUAAUUCUAGAACAUUUUAUGUGGUUUGUUAUAUUUUAGUUCUAGCCACAUAAUUAUUUUCAGGAUUUUAUUAAAUGGUUUAGUAUUUUUACUAAACCAAAACAAAACAGAACAAAAUAGAAAAAAACUGAAACAGAAAGCAAACAGAAAAUAGAGAGAGAGAGAGGAGCUACCUGGGCUUACCUGGCGCCCCAACUGGCCCACCUCUGUAGCAGCCCAACUGGCCAAAGCCAGCCCGGCCCAUCAGGGGCAGCACUGUCUUCUUCCUCCUGCCAGGAGGAGAAGCAGCUGCGUGCCCGAUGGCCGGCGAGCCGCGCUGGCUCCUCCCUGCCUGCGUGCCCCCCCUCGACUUCCUGGAUGCCAUGCACUCCCCCUCGCCCCCUGCACCUCUCCUCUCUCCCCCUGGACCCCAUCCCCUCCUCUGCUCCCCUCUCGCGCGCACCACCGAGCGGAGCUCGUCGUCAUCGUCGCCGUACUCGUGGCCACCGGCCACCCCUCGCCCUGCCGCUGCGCCCAAAAGCUCUGCCAUUUCGUCCUCGACCCCCUCACCGAGCCACGCCACCGCGGGAGCCCCACAUCGCGGCUACGAGUCGUCCUCCCCGAGCACGGCCGCCGGACUUCAUCGAUGAAUUCGUCGCCUUCCGGUCGUCCCCGAGCCAGCUGAGCUCCGCUUCGACCUCACCGUGAGAUCCUCUACCAAACCCCUCUCUCCCCGCCGUCUAUUUCCUCCUCUAGCCUCACUAACCACCGUGGCCGAAGCUCGCCGCCGCCGUACCUCAUCGCCGCCACGGCCAUAGCUGCCGCCACCCACGCCCGAGCUUUGCCCCAUGCUCAGCACUCUCCCAGGAGCCGGGCGCGCCCACCCAUUCGACCCGUUGUGCCCCCUAGCGCCAACCCCGACCUCGCCCGAAUUCCGGCCGCCGCAAAAGUUGCCGCCACCGUCGAUUUAGUCAACCCCGGUGCGAGGUGUUGCCACCGAUGGAUGCGCGAGUCUCCCAGCUCGCCGUAGCCACAAACCACGAGCGAAACGAUGCUCUGUAGCUCCGUCCCGAGCAUCUCCGGCGAGCCACGGCCGUGCUUUUGGUCGCCGGCGUCGACCGCUGACGUGGUCGCUUAAUUAAGUCUAAUCACCACUAAUCCCUGCCUAACAGACGCUGACUCACGGGCCCCACCUGUUAAUUAACCACAAGGUUAUACCCUGUUUAAUUUAAGCUAAUGACCGUGGCCCCACGGGUCAGUUUGACCUGGCCACGUCACCGUUGACCUGGUCCCACACGUCAGCCACAGAAACCAGCCCUGGGUCACUGACCAGUGGGCCCCACUAGUCAGGUUUGACCCGGACCAGCCCUGUUGACUUGCUUACGUCACCCUGAUGUCAUGCUGACGCAGUAAUUAAUUUCUGUUUUAUAAUAAUUCAGAAAAUUUCAGAAAAUGUCCAAAACUUCUAAAAAUCAUAGAAAUUAAACUGUAACUCCAAAUAAAAUAAAUUAUAUAUGUAAAAUUAUCAGAAAAAUUCAAGGAAUCUGUUUAUGGCAUUUUCAUGCAUGUUUGAAAAAUGUUUGACCUCUGUUUUGGACAAAACAAUAAAGGGCAUUUAAAUAAUCAUAUAUGGAGUUUGAAUUUGAAUCUUGUAUUCAAACCAACUUCAUUUAAUUGUGUUGUUAGUUGCUUUAGGUCAAUCAAUAGCAUAUUGCCAUGUCAUUAUCAUGCAUCAUAUUGUUGCAUCGCAUUGAUUGUGUCCUUCCUUGUUUGCCGGUAAUUGCCCCCUCUCAGUAGACGUUGUUUCCGACGACGUGAUCGAUGACACCGAUGAAGAGCUAUUCUAUCUUCAGAAGUGCCAGGCAAGCACAACCCCCUUGUUCAUUCCGAUACAAGCCCACUCUCUCGCUCCUGCUCUCUUUUACUGCAUUAGGACAACAAUGAUUCAUUUGUUACUUGUUGCGGUAGUUGAACCCCUUAUCCUCUGCAUGACCUAUCAUUGCCACAGUAAUUAGAUGAAACCCGCUAGCAUGAGUAGGAGUUGUUUGAGCCCUGAUGUGCCUACUCAUUCAUGCUUGUUUGUCAUGCCUGCUACUGCUUAGAGUUGAGUCAGGUCUGAUUCAUCGGGGAUGGAUCGGAGGUGUGUAAACAUGUCCUAUUGUGUGUGAGCUAAGUGUGUGAACACGUUUUGGUAAAGGUAGCGGUGACAGGCCAUGUAGGAGUACAUGGUGGGUUGUCUCAUUGAAACCGUCCACAGGAACUAAGUUCUGUGUUUGUGAUCCAUGAAACAGCUGCUACCACACGUUGGGCCCCGAAAUAUGACCCCGCUCGACUUACUGACCCCUCUCUUCCUCUGUCCAGGAGUUGCAAUUAGUUUCUGGUGUUUAUAGGAUAUGUGUUGGCGGCCGUGUGUAGCGCUGACCCUAGGGGUGGGCUAUGAUGCGGUAGAUACACUGUGGCCCGGUGUACCGGGCGCCCGUUUGGUGUCUCUGGAACCCUGCACACAUCGUUUGGGGCUGUGAGCGAAACUCCGUCCGGAUCUCCUCGCGGAUGGAACCCGAAUAGGCGAUAAACCUGGACUAGAGACUUGUGUGGUUAGUCAGGUCGUGGUCUACACCCACGUCGGCUUUCGCUUGAAGUCUGCCGAGCACAUGUCGUGUGCAGACGCUAAGUGGUGGAAACAUGUGUGACGAAGUACACCCCCGCAGGGUUAUAAAUGAUCUAUUCGAAUAGCCGUGUCCGCGGUAAAGGACUUCUGGGUUGCCUAUAACAGUUCAUAGACAAGUGAAAGUGGAUACUCUAAAAACUCGCAAGAUAAGUGUGAGUGCUACGGAUGGCCUUCUCGUAGGGAGACGAGAGCGGAUCCAUAGUGGUCUAUUGAAUGGUGAAUAUGUGGACUCGUGUGCGCCACCUUAAAAGAGUUGCUUGCCAUCGUAGUUCAGGUUAGCCCCGGAAUCAAAGCUGGCUUGCUGCCGUUAAACUCCACCCCCCUUUGAUGAUACCGAUGCAUAUGUAGUUUAGAUCUGAUGUAAGUAUUGCUGAGUACCUUUGUACUCACGUUUGCUUAAUUUAUGUUUUGCAGAGAGACUUCAGUCUCGCUAGUAGUUCCGCGUGGACUUCGACGUUUAGCUUGAUACCUCAGCUACGAUCUUGUGCCCUCGACAGGAUCUGGUAGAUAGUCAGGCUUCUUAGCCUUUUUCAUUUAUAGAUGUCUGUACUCAGACAUGUUAAGCUUCCGCAUGUGCUUUGCAUUGUAUGCUAUGAUUGUCGGGUCAUGAGACCCAUGCUUGUAAUAUCUAGCUCUUCGGAGCCUAAUGAAUUAAUACUUGAGUCGUAGAGUCUUGUUUUGAUGCCAUGUUGUAUUUACACAUAUCGAGCAUAUUGUGUGUAUGAUUGAAAUGCUUGGUAUGUGUAGGAUCCAACAACCUAGUUGUUUAUCCUUCGCAGCCUUUCUUAUGGGGAAAUGUAGUCUAGUGUUCCUCGAGCCAUAGUAGUCCGCUACAGCCCGGUUCACCGGAGUCCUGCUAGCCCAGCACUACUGUUCAGGACACUUGACUGGCCGGCAUGUGUUUCACUUCAUCCCUAUGUCUGUCCCUUCGGGGAAAUGUCACGCGGUGAUUUCCGGAGUCCUGCCUAGCCUGCUACAGCCCGGGAUCCCCGGAGUCCUGUUAGCCCAGUGCCACAGCCCGGAAUAACUCAUUGAUGACCGACAUGUUCGAUGUGAUUCAUGUAUGCCUGUCUCCAUAGGUCUGUGCCACUUUGGGUUCACGACUAGCCAUGUCGGCCCGGGUUCUUUGUCAUAUGGAUGCUAGCGACACUAUCAUAUACGUGAGCCAAAAGGCGCAAACGGUCCCGGGCCAGGUAAGGUGGCACCCGUGGGAAUACCGUGCGUGAGGCCACAAAGUGAUAUGAUGUGUUACAUGCUAGAUCGGUGUGACCUAGGAUCGGGGUCCUGAUAGCGUUGGUAUCAGAGCCUGACUGCCUGUAGGAUUACCAAGCCAAACUGGUCGAAGUUGAGUCUAGAAAUGCUUUAGUUAUGUAAGGGAAUUGAUUGCGGAAGGGAACGUAAGGCUCUUUUUAUUCCUUAUACCUCAUGCCCUUGUGAUCUGAGUCAUCCUCUUCCUUUCUAUGGGGAUUAAGAACUAGGCUUUCUUAUCUAUCUAUCAGGAUGACGUGUUACUAACCCGUUGACUUAUAGGAUUGAUGGAUUCAUGCUGCAGUUCAGUUCCUACUACUUCCAUAUAUUCAUAACUGGCCGCAGAACCUUGAUAUUAUGAUUCGAGUGGUUAUGCCACCAUUUUUGCAGGAUGUCUCAAAUCUUUUCGAGCAUUUACAGCCGUUAUGCUGUCCGAGUCAUCCCAGGUUUCUAAAUAGUCUGAUGCAUUUGCAAACCUUUUCCCCUGUUCCUGAUGUCCAUUUAGGCCAGGUUAAUCACACUAAUUGUGAGUUGGCGUAUUCUUUUGCCUGGACAUAUAUUUUGGAAUUAUUAUUAUGACCCUAGAUGUCUUAGAGUGCCACCUAGUAAUCGAACCAUGUUUUGCGUUUCUAGUGUGAUGAUUCUGGCCGUUAUUCUUGAAAGCAUCCCGUGAUGCCAUUUAGUUAGUAGGCAUUCUAUUCCUGGGUUUUGAACCCGAGACCCACCCUACCUGCUUCAUGUUGAUAGUGUUUGCUAGUUCCUUAGGACAUUAGUAAACCUUGUGAUAGACCUCGAGGUCCGUGGUAUUUCCUUCUUCCAAUUAUCAUGAACCAUUCAUGGCAGGAGUUCUUUUGAACCAAAAGGUCACGACAGAGUGCUCUUGAUGAGUUCUCCAUUCUAUAUUGUGGCUCUGCCAGUUCUACCUUUCUGCAUGGGUUAUCCGGAAGAAAUAUGUUGAACUCGUUCGACAUACUAACCUAUGCAUCCACAACUCAGAAAGUUAUAUGUUCCUUGAGUUGUUCCUCUUCAGUUGUAUUCCGACCAUCCUCUAUCAGUAGAUAGCCAAGAGUAUGUGUGCAUUUGUGUUCAUCGGUGCCUCUUAUUCUUGUGGUUCGUCGAGCCGUUCUAUUUUAGAAUGACUAGGAGAAACAAACUCCAGUACCUCAUCCAUAUCUAGGGUUGGGUCAAAAUAGUUGUAUUCCGCAGAUCAAAAUGCAACCCAGCUUUUGGUUCUGUUCUACCCUGAAGUAUUACCCACCUUAUGUCAAGAGCGACGUGAGAAUUGCACCUUCUCCUAUGAAUUCUUGACGCAGUGAUACUUCUUGCCAUCAUUGUUCAUUCCUCGGUUCCUGUGUUAUUGUAACCAGAAUGCCGGCACGUGAGUCGUUAUGUGUGAAAUCAAUACUCCUAGCAACUAUGCUGCUUGGUAGUUAAUGGACAAUAUUCUCAUUCUUAGCGUGUUGGUUAUUGAAUUAUCAUUCUAAGACUGAUCGUGCUACCUAGUCCAUAUUUCUGGUGCACACUUCGAUCAAUGGGUUAGGACUGUGCCAAUCCCUCACUCUUUGAUCAUAUCAUCUUGCCCUGAAAAGCAAGGUUGUUCUCGAGCUUAGUAACAUACCGGUGGUUCGUGAUUUUCCGAAUAUCUUCUCAGAAGUGUUACUAGGUUGUCACCUGACCGUUAUGUUGAGUUCAUGAUCAAGAUGGUUUUUCAAUAAACCACUUUUCCCUAAGAAUCUGUGUUGGAUACCCCUGAGCUAGUUGGUUAAGCUUAACAACAACUUGGAGAGUUGGAAGAUGAAAACUUGUCCGACUUAGCUCAUCCCUAAGGGAUAUCCUUGUGUGUGUGGGUGUUGAAGAAAGAUGAUAUAUUCACCAAUUGGUCCUCAUGAUCAGUUGUUGUAUCUAUUAUCUUGUCCAAACCUUGAUUUGAGUGUGGGCUAUCGUCAAAUCAAAUCAGAACCAACGAUGUUCAUAAUGUUGUCUUACUUACGGUUGUCCCUCGAGCAUACACCAUUAUAUAUUUGGUUUGACCAAUACUAUCACAUUGUUCACAUAGUGGUGGAAGUCCAGUGAUAUGGAAAUACCGAUGCGUUGUUGUUGAUCCCAUCAGCAGCCUUUUGUCUCCCCCAUGAGUCAUGUUGAAUGCUACACUAGUAUUGGAAACUUAUAAGCAUUAUCUUUGUGUUUCGUUCAUGAAGCAUAUGUUUGGAUGAAAGAAGUGACUUCCUCUAAUUCAUGUGCACUCGAUGUAAGUUGCCACCAUGAAUUGAGCAAGGUUUGUUUUGUUUCCCUUGGAAUCAUCCCAAAUCAGUCAUGCAUAUGUGCGAAGUAUUCUAUGGUUUGGUAGAUUAAUUACCUCCACUCCAUAUGUGUUCCUAGCACACCAAGCCACUGGUUGAUUUGUUCAAGGAGAAGAAGUUCCUUCUUAAGAAUCAUGACUUAUGUUAGGACUUUGUUAUCCUCGAUAAUGGUUCCCCACCUGAACUCGGUAGUGUUUUAUUAUAAGACUACCAUGUGGUCAUGCUUUUCUGGGACAGCGUGUUCACAUGUGUUUAGCAGAACCAGCUCAUGCUUUGGAGCUUACUACCGUAGUUCAUUCCCCGAGAAUCUCGCAAUGUCGUCUCGUCGAUUUGUGUUGCAAACCUUCAUUUUCCUUUCUAGACUCGAUGAGUCUGGAAUAUCCCGUCACCAACCAGAUCUGAAUCUCAGGCAGAUAUGAUGGUUGGAGCAUUUUCCAAGAACUAUAAUAUUGGUCUCCCGAUAACCGGUAAAGUGGAUGUCGUGGCCAACACAUCCAGCCGGGCGACCUAUUAUUGUAGUAUCUUGAUUGAAGAAAGUUGGCCACCUUCCCAUGAGGAUUUCAUAGGAUUUACUCCAGAAGUUGUUCCUUAUGGAUCUAUUGUAUUCCGAAGUCCGACCACUACUUGGUGGCUAUGCCGAUGCUUAAAGCAUGACCGUGGUUGCCCCCUCUCAGUAGACGUUGUUUCCGACGACGUGAUCGAUGACACCGAUGAAGAGCUAUUCUAUCUUCAGAAGUGCCAGGCAAGCACAACCCCCUUGUUCAUUCCGAUACAAGCCCACUCUCUCGCUCCAGCUCUCUUUUACUGCAUUAGGACAACAACGAUUCAUCUGUUACUUGUUGCGGUAGUUGAACCCCUUAUCCUCUGCAUGACCUGUCAUUGCCACAGUAAUUAGAUGAAACCCACUAGCAUGAGUAGGAGUUGUUUGAGCCCUGAUGUGCCUACUCAUUCAUGCUUGUUUGUCAUGCCUGCUACUGCUUAGAGUUGAGUCAGGUCUGAUUCAUCGGGGAUGGAUCGGAGGUGUGUAAACAUGUCCUAUUGUGUGUGAGCUAAGUGUGUGAACACGUUUUGGUAAAGGUAGCGGUGAGAGGCCAUGUAGGAGUACAUGGUGGGUUGUCUCAUUGAAACCGUCCUCAGGAACUGAGUUCUGUGUUUGUGAUCCAUGAAAUAGCUACUACGACACGUUGGCCCUGAAAUAUGACCCCGCUCGACUUACUGACCCCUCUCGUCCUCUGUCCAGGAGUUGCAAUUAGUUUCUGGUGUUUAUAGGAUAUGUGUUGGCGGCCGUGCGUAGCGCUGACCCUAGGGGUGGGCUAUGAUGCGGUAGAUACACCGUGGCCCGGUGUACCGGGCGCCCGUUUGGUGUCUCGGGAACCCUGCACACAUCGUUUGGGGCUGUGAGCGAAACUCCGGCCGGAUCUCCUCGCGGAUGGAACCCGAAUAGGCAAUAAACCUGGACUAGAGACUUGUGUGGUUAGUCAGGUCGUGGUCUACACCCAUGUCGGCUUUCGCUUGAAGUCUGCCGAGCACAUGUCGUGUGCAGACGCUAAGUGGUGGAAACAUGUGUGACGAAGUACACCCCUACAGGGUUAUAAAUGAUCUAUUCGAAUAGCCGUGUCCGCGGUAAAGGACUUCUGGGUUGCCUAUAACAGUUCAUAGACAAGUGAAAGUGGAUACUCUAAAAACUCGCAAGAUAAGUGUGAGUGCUAUGGAUGGCCUUCUCGUAGGGAGACGAGAGCGGAUCCAUAGUGGUGUAUUGAAUGGUGAAUAUGUGGACUCGUGUGCGCCACCUCAAAAGAGUUGCUUUCAAUCGUAUUUCAGGUUAGCCCCGGAGUCAAAGCUGGCUUGCUGUAGUUAAACUCCACCCCCCCCCUUUGAUGAUACCGAUGCAUAUGUAGUUUAGAUCUGAUGUAAGUCUUGCUGAGUACCUUUGUACUCACGUUUGCUUAAUUUAUGUUUUGUAGAGAGACUUCAGUCUCGCUAGUAGUUCCGCGUGGACCUCGAGGUUUAGCUUGAUACCUCAGCUACGAUCUUGUGCCCUCGACAGGAUCUGGUAGAUAGUCAGGCUUCUUAGCCUUUUUCAUUUAUAGAUGUCUGUACUCAGACAUGUUAAGCUUCCGCAUGUGCUUUGGAUUGUAUGCUAUGAUUGUUGGGUCAUGAGACCCAUGCUUGUAAUAUCUGGCUCUUCAGAGCCUAAUGAAUUAAUACUUGAGUCGUAGAGUCUUGUUGUGAUGCCAUGUUGUAUUUACACAUAUCGACCAUAUUGUGUGUAUGAUUGAAAUGCUUGGUAUGUGUAGGAUCCGACAACCUAGUUGUUUAUCCCUCGCAACCUUUCUUAUGGGGAAAUGUAGUCUAGUGUUCCUUGAGCCAUAGUAGUCCGCUAUAGCCCGGUUCACCGGAGUCCUACUAGCCCAGCACUACUGUUCAGGACACUUGACUGGCCGGCAUGUGUUUCACUUCGUCCCUAUGUCUGUCCCUUCGGGGAAAUGUCACGCGGUGAUUUCCGGUGUCCUGCCUAGCCUCCUACAGCCCGGGAUCCCCGGAGUCCUGUUAGCCCAGUGCCACAGCCCGGAAUCACUCGUUGAUGACCGACAUGUUCGAUGUGAUUCAUGUAUGCCUGUCUCCAUAGGUCUGUGCCGCUUUGGGUUCACGACAAGCCAUGUCGGCCCAGGUUCUUUGUCAUAUGGAUGCUAGCGACACUAUCAUAUACGUGAGCCAAAAGGCGCAAACGGUCCCGGGCCAGUUAAGGUGGCACCCGUGGGAAUACCGCGCGUGAGGCCACAAAGUGAUAUGAUGUGUUACAUGCUAGAUUGGUGUAACCUAGGAUCGGGGUCCUGACACUAUCGUUGUGGUUUUGAUGCGUAGGUAAGAUUGGUUCUUGCUUAAGCCCGUAGCAGCCACGUAAAACUUGCAACAAACAAAGUAGAGGACGUCUAACUUGUUUUUGUAGGGCAUGUUGUGAUGUGAUAUGGUCAAGACAUGAUGCUAAAUUUUAUUGUAUGAGAUGAUCAUGUUUUGUAACUGAGUUAUCGGCAAUUGGCAGGAGCCAUAUGGUUGUCGCUUUAUUGUAUGCAAUGCAAUCGCCCUGUAAUGCUUUACUUUAUCACUAAGCGGCCGGUAGCGAUAGUCGUAGAAGCAUAAGAUUGGCGAGACGACAACGAUGCUACGAUGGAGAUCAAGGUGUCGCGCCGGUGACGAUGGUGAUCAUGACGGUGCUUCAGAGAUGGAGAUCACAAGCACAAGAUGAUGAUGGCCAUAUCAUAUCACUUAUAUUGAUUGCAUGUGAUGUUUAUCUUUUAUGCAUCUUAUCUUGCUUUGAUUGACGAUAGCAUUAUAAGAUGAUCUCUCACUAAAUUAUCAAGAAGUGUUCUCCCUAUGUAUGCACCGUUGCUAAAGUUCGUCGUGCCCAGACACCACGUGAUGAUCGAGUGUGAUAAGCUCUACGUCCAUCUACAACGGGUGCAAGCCAAUUUUGCACACGCAGAAUACUUGGGUUAAACUUGACGAGCCUAGCAUAUGCAGAUAUGGCCUCGGAACACGGAGACUGAAAGGUCGAGCGUGAAUCAUAUAGUAGAUAUGAUCAACAUAAUGAUGUUCACCAUUGAAAACUAAUCCAUUUCACGUGAUGAUCGGUUAUGGUUUAGUUGAUUUGGAUCACGUGAUCACUUAGAGGAUUAGAGGGAUGUCUAUCUAAGUGGGAGUUCUUAAGUAAUAUGAUUAAUUGAACUUCAAUUUAUCAUGAACUUAGUCCCUGAUAGUAUCUUGCUUGUUUAUGUUGAUUGUAGAUAGAUGGCCCGUGCUGUUGUUCCAUUAAAUUUUAAUGCGUUCCUUGAGAAAGCAAAGUUGAAAGAUGAUGGUAGCAAUUACACGGACUUGGUCCAUAACUUGAGGAUUAUCCUCAUUGCUGCACAGAAGAGUUACGUCCUGGAAGCACCGCUGGGUGCCAGGCCUGCUGCUGAUGCAACUGACGACGUUAAGAACGUCUGGCAGAGCAAAGCUGAUGACUACUCGAUAGUUCAAUGUGCCAUGCUUUACGGCUUAGAACCGGGACUUCAACGGCGUUUUGAACAUCAUGGGGCAUAUAAGAUGUUCCAGGUGUUGAAGUUAAUAUUCCAGCAGAAUGCCCGGAUUGAGAGAUAUGAAGUCUCCAAUAAAUUCUAUAGCUGCAAGAUGGAGGAGAAUAGUUCUGUCAGUGAGCAUAUACUCAAGAUGUCUGGGUAUUGUAAUCACUUGAUUCAACUGGGAGUUAAUCUUCCGGAUGAUAGCGUCAUUGACAGAAUUCUCCAAUCACUUCCACCAAGCUACAAGAGCUUCGGGAUGAACUAUAAUAUGCAAGGGAUGGAUAAGACAAUUCCCGAGCUCUUCGCAAUGCUAAAGGUUGCGGAGGUAGAAAUCAAGAAGGAGCAUCAAGUGUUGAUGGUCAACAAGACCACUUGUUUCAAGAAAAAGGGCAAAGGGAAGAAGAAGGGGAACUUCAAGAAGAACAGCAAGCAAGUUGCUGCUCAGGAGAAGAAACCCAAGUCUGGACCUAAGCCUGAAACCGAGUGCUUCUACUACAAGCAGACUGGUCACUUGAAGCGGAACUGCCCCAAGUAUUUGGCGGAUAAGAAGGAUGGCAAAGUGAACAAAGGUAUAUGUGAUAUAGAUGUUAUUGAUGUGUACCUUACUAGAGCUCGCAGUAGCACCUGGGUAUUUGAUACUGGUUCUGUUGCUAAUAUUUGCAACUCGAAACAGGGACUACGGAUUAAGCGAACACUGGCAAAGGACGAGGUGACGAUGCGCAUGGGAAAUGGUUCCAAAGUCGAUGUGAUCGCGGUCGGCAUGCUACCUCUACAUCUACCUUCGGGAUUAGUAUUAGACCUAAAUAAUUGUUAUUUGGUGCCAGUGUUGAGCAUGAACAUUAUAUCUAGAUCUUGUUUAAUGCGAGACGGUUAUUCAUUUAAAUCAGAGAAUAAUGGUUGUUCUAGUUAUAUGAGUAAUAUCUUUUAUGGUCAUGCACCCUUGAAGAGUGGUCUAUUUUUGAUGAAUCUCGAUAGUAGUGAUACACAUAUUCAUAAUGUUGAAGCCAAAAGAUGCAGAGUUGAUAAUGAUUGUGCAACUUAUUUGUGGCACUGCCAUUUAGGUCAUAUCGGUGUAAAGCGCAUGAAGAAACUCCAUACUGAUGGACUUUUGGAACCACUUGAUUAUGAAUCACUUGGUACUUGCGAACCGUGCCUCAUGGGCAAGAUGACUAAAGCACCAUUCUCCGGUACUAUGGAGAGAGCAACAGAUUUGUUGGAAAUCAUACAUACAGAUGUAUGUGGUCCGAUGAAUGUUGAGGCUCGUGGCGGAUAUCAUUAUUUUCUCACCUUCACAGAUGAUUUAAGCAGAUAUGGGUAUAUCUACUUAAUGAAACAUAAGUCUGAAACAUUUGAAAAGUUCAAAGAAUUUCAGAGUGAAGUGGAAAAUCAUCGUAACAAGAAAAUAAAGUUUCUACGAUCUGAUCGUGGAGGAGAAUAUUUGAGUUACGAGUUUGGUGUACAUUUGAAACAAUGCGGAAUAGUUUCGCAACUCACGCCACCCAGAACACCACAACGUAAUGGUGUGUCCGAACGUCGUAAUCUUACUUUACUAGAUAUGGUGCAAUCUAUGAUGUCUCUUACAGAUUUACCGCUAUCGUUUUGGGGUUAUGCUUUAGAGACGGCCACAUUCACGUUAAGUAGGGCACCAUCAAAAUCCGUUGAGACGACAACUUAUGAACUGUGGUUUGGCAAGAAACCAAAGUUGUCAUUUCUUAAAGUUUGGGGCUGCGAUGCUUAUGUGAAAAAGCUUCAACCUGAUAAGCUCGAACGAUAAUCGGAGAAAUGUGUCUUCAUAGGAUACCCAAAGGAAACUGUUGGUUACACCUUCUAUCAUAGAUCCGAAGGCAAGACAUUCGUUGCUAAAAAUGGAUCCUUUCUAGAGAAGGAGUUUCUCUCGAAAGAAGUGAGUGGGAGGAAAGUAGAACUUGAUGAGGUAACUAUACCUGCUCCCUUAUUGGAAAGUAGUUCAUCACAGAAACCGGUUUCUGCGACACCUACACCAAUUAGUGAUGAAUUUAAUGAUGAUGAUCAUGAAAUUUCAGAUCAAGUUACUACUGAGCCUCGUAGAUCAACCAGAGUAAGAUCCGCACCAGAGUGGUACGGUAAUCCUGUUCUAGAAGUCAUGCUACUAGAUCAUGAUGAACCUACGAACUAUGAAGAAGCGAUGGUGAGCCCAGAUUCCGCAAAAUGGCUUGAAGCCAUGAAAUCUGAGAUGGGAUCCAUGUAUGAUAACAAAGUAUGGACUUUGGUUGACUUGCCCGAUGAUCGGCAAGCAAUUGAGAACAAAUGGAUCUUUAAGAAGAAGACUGACGUGACGGUAAUGUUACUGUCUACAAAGCUCGACUUGUCGCAAAAGGUUUUCAACAAGUUGAAGGGAUUGACUACGAUGAGACCUUCUCACCCGUAGCGAUGCUUAAGUCUAUCCGAAUCAUGUUAGCAAUUGCCGCAUUUUAUGAUUAUGAAAUUUGGCAGAUGGAUCUAAAAACUGCAUUCCUGAAUGGAUUUCUGGAAGAAGAGUUGUAUAUGAUGCAACCAGAAGGUUUUAUCGAUCCAAAGGGAACUAACAAAGUGUGCAAGCUCCAGCGAUCCAUUUAUGGACUGGUGCAAGCCUCUCGGAGUUGGAAUAAACUCUUUGAUAGUGUGAUCAAAGCAUUUGGGUUUGUAUAGACUUUUGGAGAAGCCUGUAUUUACAAGAAAGUGAGUGGGAGCUCUAUAGCAUUUCUGAUAUUAUAUGUGGAUGACAUAUUACUAAUCGGAAAUGAUAUAGAAUUUCUGGAUAGCAUAAAGGGAUACUUGAAUAAGAGUUUUUCAAUGAAAGACCUCGGUGAAGCUGCUUACAUAUUGGGCAUUAAGAUCUAUAGAGAUAGAUCAAGACGCUUAAUUGGACUUUCACAAAACACAUACCUUGACAAAGUUUUGAAGAGGUUCAAAAUGGAUCAAGCAAAGAAAGGGUUCUUGCCUGUGUUACAAGGUGUGAAGUUGAGUAAGAAUCAAUGCUCGACCACUUCAGAAGAUAGAGAGAAAAUGAAAGAUGUUCCCUAUGCUUCAGCAGUAGGCUCUAUCAUGUAUGCAAUGCUGUGUACCAGACCUGAUGUGUGCCUUGCUAUAAGUUUAGCAGGGAGGUACCAAAGUAAUCCAGCAGUGGAUCACUGGACGGCGGUCAAGAACAUCCUGAAGUACCUAAAAAGGACUAAGGAUAUGUUUCUCGUAUAUGGAGGUGACAAAGAGCUCAUUGUAAACAGUUACGUUGAUGCAAGCUUUGACACUGAUCCGGACAAUUCUAAAUCGCAAACCAGAUACGUGUUUACAUUAAACGGUGGAGCUGUCAGUUGGUGCAGUUCUAAACAAAGCGUCGUGGCAGGAUCUACAUGUGAAGCGGAGUACAUAGCUGCUUCGGAAGCAGCAAACGAAGGAGUCUGGAUGAAGGAGUUCAUAUCCGAUCUAGGUGUCAUACCUAGUGCAUCGGGUCCAAUGAAAACCUUUUGUGACAAUACUAGUGCAAUUGCCUUGGCAAAGGAAUCCAUAUUUCACAAAAGAACCAAGCACAUCAAGAGACGCUUCAAUUCCAUCCGAGAUCUAGUCCAGGUGGGAGAGAUAGAGAUUUGCAAGAUACAUACGGAUCUGAAUGUAGAAGACCCAUUGACUAAGCCUCUUCCACGAGCAAAACAUGAUCAUCACCAAGGCUCCAUGGGUGUCAGAAUCAUUACUGUGUAAUCUAGAUUAUUGACUCUAGUGCAAGUGGGAGACUGAAGGAAAUAUGCCCUAGAGGCAAUAAUAAAGUUAUUAUUUAUUUCCUUAUAUCAUGAUGAAUGUUUAUUAUUCAUGCUGGAAUUGUAUUAACCGGAAACAUAAUACAUGUGUGAAUACAUAGACAAACAAAGUGUCACUAGUAUGCCUCUACUUGACUAGCUCGUUAAUCAAAGAUGGUUAUGUUUCCUAACCAUAGACAAAGAGUUUUUAUUUGAUUAAUAGGAUCACAUCAUUAGUUGAAUGAUAUGAUUGACAUGACCCAUUCCAUUAGCUUAGCACCCGAUCAUUCUUCAUGACUUAUACAUGUUCCUAUGACUAUGAGAUGAUGCAACUUCCGUUUACUGGAGGAACACUUUGUGUGCUACCAAACGUCACAACGUAACUGGGUGAUUAUAAAGGAGCCCUAUAGGUGUCUCCAAAGGUACAUAUUGGGUUGGCGUAUUUCGAGAUUAGGAUUUGUCACUCCGUUUGUCGGAGAGGUAUCUCUGGGCCCUCUCGGUAAUGCACAUCACAUAAGCCUUGCAAGCAUUGCAACUACUGUGUUACUUGUGAGACGAUGUAUUACGGAACGAGUAAAGAGACUUGCCGGUAAAGAGAUUGAACUAGGUAUUGGAUACCGACGAUCGAAUCUCGGGCAGGUAACAUAUCGAUGACAAAGGGAACAACGUAUGUAGUUAUGCGGUCUCAACGAUAAAGAUCUUCGUAGAAUAUGUAGGAUCCAAUAUGGGCAUCCAGGUCCUGCUAUUGGUUAUUGACCGGAAACGUGUCUCGGUCAUGUCUACAUUGUUCUCGAACCGUAGGGUCCGCACGCUUAAAGUUACGAUGACAGUUUCAUUAUGAGUUUAUGUAUUUUGAUGUACCGAAGGUUGUUCGGAGUCCCGGAUGUGAUCACGGACAUGACGAGGAGUCUCGGAAUGGUCGAGACAUAAAGAUCGAUAUAUUGGAAGCCUAUAUUUGGACAUCGGAAUCGUUUUGGGUGAAAUCGGCAUUAUACCGGAGUACCGGGGGGUUACCGGAACCCCCCGGGGGGUUAUUGGGCCUACAUGGGCCUUGAGGAAGAAGAGAGAAGGAGGUAGGAGGUGGCCGCGCGCCCCUCCCCUUCCUAGUAUGAAUAGGACAAGGGAAGGGGGCGGUGCCCCCCCCUUUCCUUCCCCUCUUCCUCCUCUUUCCUCCCUUCUCCUUCUCCAACUAGGAAAGAAGGGAGUCCUACUCCCGGUGGGAGUAGGACUCCCCCCUGGUGCGCCCCUCCUUGGCCGGCCGCCCCCUCCCCUUGGCUCCUUUAUAUACGGGGGCAGGGGGGCACCCUAGGACACAGAAGUUGACCUUCGUGAUCGUUCCUUAGCCGUGUGCGGUGCCCCCCUCCACGAUAUUACACCUCGAUCAUAUUGUAGUAGUGCUUAGGCGAAGCCCUGCGACGGUUAAACAUCAAGAUCGUCACCACGCCGUCGUGCUGACGAAACUCCUCCCCGAAGCUUUGCUGGAUCGGAGCUCGGGGUGCAUCAUCGAGCUGUACGUGUGUCAAGAACUCGGAGGUGCUGGAGUAACGGUGCUUGGAUUGGUUGGACCGGGAAGACGUACGACUACUUCCUCUACGUUGCGUCAACGCUUCCGCUUCGGUCUACGAGGGUACGUAGACAACACUCUCCCCUCUCGUUGCUAUGCAUCACCAUGAUCUUGCGUGUGCGUAGGAAAUUUUUUGAAAUUACUACAUUCCCCAACAGUUGCUCCACCGACGUACUCCUUCCUCCUAUAUAUACCUGCGUACCCCCAAACGACCAGAUACGGAGCCAAAACCCUAAUUCCACCACCGCAACUUUCUGUAUCCACGAGAUCCCAUCUUGGCGCCUGUUCCGGAGCUCCACCGGAGAGGGCAUCGAUCACGGAGGGCUUCCACAUGAACAGCAUAGCCUCUCCGAUGAAGUGUGAGUAGUUGACCUCAGACCUACAGUCCAUAGUUAUUACCUAGAUGGCUUCUCCUCUCUUUUUGGAUCUCAAUACAAUGUUCUCCCCUCUCUUGUGGAGAACUAUUCGAUGUAAUCUUCUUUUUGCGGUGUGUUUAUUGAGACCGAUGAAUUGUGGGUUGAUGAUCAAGUCUAUCUAUGAAUAAUAUUUGAAUCUUCUCUGAAUUCUUUUAUGUAUGAUUGUUUAUCUUUGCGAGUCUCUUCGAACUAUUAGUUUGGUUUGGCCUACUAGAUUGAUCUUUCUUACAAUGGGAGAAGUGCUUAGCUUUAGGUUCAAUCUUGCGGUGUCCUUUCCCAGUGACAGUAGGGGCAGCAAGGCAUGUAUUGUAUUUUUGCCAUCGAGGACAACAAGAUGGGGUUUUCAUCAUAUUGCAUUAGUUUAUCCCUCUACAUCAUGUCAUCUAGCUUAAGGCGUUACUCUGUUUUUAACUUAAUACUCUAGAAGCAUGCUGGAUAGCGGUCGAUGAGUGGAGUAAUAGUAGUAGAUGCAGGCAGAAGUCGGUCUACUUGUCUCGGACGUGAUGCCUAUAUACAUGAUCAUACCUAGAUAUUCUCAUAAAUAUGCUCAAUUCUGUCAAUUGCUCAACAGUAAUUUGUUCACCCACCAUAGAAUAAUUAUGCUCUCGAGAGAAGCUACUAGUGAAACCUAUGGCCUCGGGAUCUAUGUUUAUCAUAUUAAUCUUCUACUACUUAGUUAUUUCCUUUGCCUUUAUUUUACUUUUCAUUUUUAUCAAAAAAAAUACCAAACAUAUUAUCUUUAUCAUAUCUAUUAGAUCUCACUCUCGUAAGUGGCCGUGUAGGGAUUGACAACCCCUAUUCGUGUUGGUUCCGAGGAUUUAUUUGUUUUGUGCAAGUACGAGGGACUCGCACGUAGCCUCCUACUGGAUUGAUACCUUGGUUCUCAAAAACUGAGGGAAAUACUUAUGCUACUUUGCUGCAUCAUCCCUUCCUCUUCGGGGAAAACCAACGCAGUGCUCAAGAGGUAGCAAGAAGGAUUUCUGGUGCCGUUGCCGGGGAGGUCUACGCAAAAGUCAACAUACCAAGUACCCAUCACAUACCCUUAUCUCCCGCAUUACAUUAUUUGCCAUUUGCCUCUCGUUUUCACCUCCCCCACUUCACCCUUGCCGUUUUAUUCGCCGUCUCUCUCUAUCCUCCCUCUCUUUCUCUAUUUGCCUCUUUUUUCCCGCUUGCUUUCUGUUUGCUUGUGUGUUAGUUGCUUGCUUGUCAUGAUGGCUCAAGAUAAUACUAAAUUAUGUGACUUCACGAUGGCUAAAGCUUGGUUUUCAUCUUUGCCUAAAAAUAGUAAUGAUUCAUGGAAUAAGUGCAAAGAUGCUUUUUUCUCUAAGUAUUUUCCUCCUGCUAAGAUCAUCUCUCUUAGAAACGAUAUUAUGAAUUUUAAGCAACUUGAUCAUGAACAUGUUGCACAAGCUUGGGAGAGAAUGAAACUAAUGGUACAUAAUUGCGCUGCCCAUGGUUUAAAUUUGUGGAUGAUUAUACAAAUAUUUUAUGCCGGAUUGAAUUUUGCUUCAAGAAAUCUUUUAGAUUUGGCCGCGGGAGGCACUUUUAUGGAAAUCACUUUAGGAGAAGCUACUAAACUCAUAGAUAAUAUUAUGGUGAAUUAUGCUCAACGGCAUACUGAAAGAUCUACUAAUAAAAAGGUGCAUGCGAUAGAAGAAAUUAAUGUUUUGAGUGGAAAGAUGGAUGAACUUAUGAAAUUAUUUGCUAAUAAGAGUGUUUCUUCUAAUCCUAAUGAUAUGCCCUUGUCUAGUUUGAUUCAGAAUAAUAACGAAUCUAUGGAUGUGGAUUUUGUUGGUAGGAACAAUUUUGGUAACAACGCGUAUAGAGGAAAUUUCAACCCUAGGCCUUAUCCUAGUAAUCUCUCUAAUAAUUAUGGUAAUUCCGACAACAAUUCUUAUGGAAAUUAUAAUAAGAUGCCCUCUGAUUUUGAAUCUAAUAUUAAAGAAUUUAUUACUUCGCAAAAGAAUUUCAAUGCUUUGAUUGAAGAAAAAUUGCUUAAGAUUGAUGAUUUGGCUAGGAACGUUGAUAGAAUUACUCUUGAUGUUGAUUCUUUGAAACUUAGAUCUAUUCCACCUAAGAAUGAUGUCAAUGAGUCUCUCAAAGCCAUGAGAAUUUCCAUUGAUGAGUGCAAAGAAAGAACCGCUAGGAUGCGUGCUAAGAAAGAUGCCUUUAUAAUAGCGUGUUCUUCUAGUUCCUAUGAAAAUAAUGAUGAAGAUCUAAAAGUUAUUGAUGUGUUCCCUAUUAAAUCUUUGUUUUGCAAUAUGAAUCUUGAUAGUGAUGGGACUGAAUAUGAUCCACCUUUACCUAGAAGGCGUUCCAAGAAUUCAGAAUUUGUUGAUCUUGAUGCUAAAAUUGAUAAAGGAGGGAUUGAAGAAAUUAAAACCCUAGAUGUUGCUAAACCCACUAUUAUGGAUUUCAAGGACUUUAACUAUGAAAAUUGCUCUUUGAUUGAUUGUAUAUCCUUUUUACAAUCCGUGCUAAAUUCUCCUCAUGCUUAUAGUCAAAAUAAAUCGUUUACUAAACAUAUCGUUGAUACCUUGAUGCAAUCUUAUGAAGAAAAACUUGAAUUGGAAGUUUCUUUCCCUAGAAAGCUUUAUGAUGAGUGGGAACCAACUAUUAAAAUUAAAAUUAAAUAUCAUGAAUGCUAUGCUUUAUGUGAUUUGGGUGCUAGUGUUUCCACGAUUCCAAAGACUUUGUGUGAUUUGUUAGGUUUCCAUGAUUUUGAUGAUUGCUCUUUAAACUUGCGCCUUGCGGAUUCCACUAUUAAGAAACCUAUGGGAAGAAUUAAUGAUGUUCUUAUUGAUGCAAAUAGGAAUUAUGUGCUUGUAGAUUUUAUUGUUCUUGACAUAGAUUGCAAUCUUUCAUGUCCUAUUAUUCUUGGUAGACCUUUCCUUAGAACGAUUGGUGCAAUUAUUGAUAUGAAGGAAGGAAAUAUUAGAUUCCAAUUUCCAUUAAGGAAAGGCAUGGAACACUUUACUAGAAAGUCAAUUAAAUUACCUUAUGAAUCUAUUAUGAUAGCCACUUAUGGAUUGUUGGGGAACGUAGUAAUUUCAAAAAAUUUCCUACGCACACGCAAGAUCAUGGUGAUGCAUAGCAACGAGAGGGGAGAGUGUUGUCUAUGUACCCUCGUAGACUGAAGCGGAAGCGUUGACGCAACGUAGAGGAAGUAGUCGUACGUCUUCCUGAUCCGACCGAUCCAAGCACCGUUACUCAGGCACCUCCGAGGUCUUGGCACACGUUCAGCUCGAUGACGAUCCCCAGGCUCCGAUCCAGCAAAGCGUCGGGGAGGAGUUCCGUCAGCACGACUGCGUGGUGACGAUCUUGAUGUUCUACCGUCGCAGGGCUUCGCCUAAGCACCGCUAAAAUAUGACCGAGGUGUAAUAUCAUGGAGAGGGGCACCGCACAAGGCUAAGGAACAAUCACGAAGAUCAACUUGUGUGUCCAUGGGGUGCCCCCUGCCCCCGUAUAUAAAGGAGUGGAGGACGGGAGGGCGACCCUCUCUAUGGCGCGCCCUAGGGGAGUCCUACUCCCAUAGGGAGUAGGAUUCCCCCUUUUCCUAGUCCAACUAGGAGUCCUUCCAUGUAGUAGCACUAGUGCAGAACCGGGCAAUAGCACCGGUUCGUAAGGCCCUUUAGUGCCGGUUAGGUAACCGGCACUAAAAUUUCAGCACUAAAGGCCCCCCCUUUAGUACCGGUUCAGCACGAACCGGUGCUAAAGGGCAACCACAUGGCACGAGCGAGCUCCGGGGGCCGGGAGCCCUUUAGUACCGGUUGGUAACACCAACCGGUACUAAAAUGUUUGGGGGGUUUUUGGUUUUAUGAUUUCUUUUUCAUUAAAUUUUGUGUUUUCCAUUUUAAUUCUUUUUCGUUUGCUGGUAUUUUACGGUACUACACGUUGUACACGUUAUAUAUAUAUAUAUAUAUAAAUAGAAUUUCUAGUAGAACCAAUCAUAUAUAUAUCAUCAAUCAUGUCUCACAAAACACCAUAUUAAUUCACACAUACACACAUGUAUAGCUAUAUACAAUUUCUCCUACAUAUGCAUGUUGCCUUCGGAGCCAGUGGCAUUAGCCUGAUUGGUGCCUUCGGAGCACGAUGACAAUUGGAAGUGGUUCAUGACCUGGUCGAUGGGGGCGGUAGCGGGUAAUAGUAUUCUCCCUUCGGAUUUAUGACCUGGUCGAGCAAAAAUCCUGCUAUUUCCUAUUGAAGUGCUUCUACGCGCUCCGUUUCUAGGAGCUUGUCCCGCACCUCUUUGAACUAUUAAGAAGGAGAUCAAUAUGCAUGUGUAUUAGUUGUGUGACUAGAUAUUGAUAAUGGUGUAAAAAUUGUGAAUAGUGUUCUGACAAGCGUACCCAUUCCUGUCUUUGAGAUCUGCUCCUUCCGGACGCCAUCAUGCGAAUGUUCUCGCAAACGCAGAAUGCACACAGUUCAGUCCCCUGCGCCUGCUUCAGGGCCUUUAUUACGAGAAUGGAAUUUAAUUUGAUCAGAUAAUAAUUAAUCAAGCAUGAUAAUUAAAGAGAUGGCAGCUAGCUAGCUAGCUAGUACUACUUAAUUACUUACCUUGGCUCGAGACCAUUUCAGCUGUGGUUUCCAUUCGCCUUCCGUGUCGCUGAUGAACCUUGCCCAAGCCCUGCCCGCCGACAAAGAAAAUGAAUAAAGGGGUUAUUAAAUAGUUCAUAUCAUGAAAUGAAGAACUAAAUAGGCCGAGAUAUAUAGUUAAUAAUGAUUGAAAUUACCUGUUGACUAUCCCAAACAAGAUGUUAUAGUCACUAUUUCCUUUGAGUAGCGAGUCCAGUAUUUCAACUAUUCCGGCAUCAACUUUAAUGAUACACAAGAUCCAGUGAAAUCUGCAUGCACACACGUUUGCAAGUCUUAAUUAAGCGGGCAUAUGUAAGCAAAAACAUGUAGCUAGCUAGUAGGCAAAAAUAGAGAAUUUGUAGUACAAGAAAGUGUGACUCACUGGCAGUUGUAAGGAAGUAGUAUAUCUUCAUUGUAUUUGAGGAGCUUCAAGAACUCUAGCAUGCUGUCCUCUACCUCUUUUUCAUGAUGCUUGUUUAUUUUCCAUGUGUAUUCAUUAACGGUGUUUGGGUCAAUGAACCCAAUGCCAUAGCGUCCACCUUUUCUCAUUCCAUACAUCUUCAUCCUGCAUAAUACCACAGAAAAGAAUAUAGUAAGGAUAAUUACACGUAAUGAUUGAUCAAAAGGAUCACUACAGCUAGCUUGAGACUUAAAUUACAGAAAGAAAUCACUUACAGACAAUAGCAACUGACGAUAGAUUUGUCGAGUGUGUCUUGAUUGUAUAACUGAAACAGUUCAGAAUACUCAACGGCCACAACUUUCUCAUGGUAGUAAUCAUCCUUCUUGACAUACACCAUGAGGGACUCUCGAUCGGAUCUCUUGGUAAUGUCCAUGUACCAUUGAUGCAAUUCAUACAUUCUCGUUGGGAGCUUCUUGACAUCUUCUGGCUCGACCAAAGGUUGGCCCCGAACAUAUUUCCGUUUUAUUUCCUCCUCUGUAAUCAGAGGCAUGUCCUCGAUCUCGAGGAGUUGUCCAACAGUGAUCUUGAGUUCUUCAGCCUGCAUUAUAUGCUCCUCGGUUAUUACCACAUCGCCCACCUCGGGAAUGUAAACUGUUUGGCCACAAUAAUAUUGGGCGCGCGUACUGUCACGUGUUGUUGGCGGCACAACAAGCGGNNNNNNNNNNNNNNNNNNNNNNNNNNNNNNNNNNNNNNNNNNNNNNNNNNNNNNNNNNNNNNNNNNNNNNNNNNNNNNNNNNNNNNNNNNNNNNNNNNNNNNNNNNNNNNNNNNNNNNNNNNNNNNNNNNNNNNNNNNNNNNNNNNNNNNNNNNNNNNNNNNNNNNNNNNNNNNNNNNNNNNNNNNNNNNNNNNNNNNNNNNNNNNNNNNNNNNNNNNNNNNNNNNNNNNNNNNNNNNNNNNNNNNNNNNNNNNNNNNNNNNNNUUCCCAGCUGGGCAACGGUUUUCCUGCAUUUUUUGACAGCUGCUUGUUGUUUGCUCGAGCUCGAGCUCGCCUCCUUCUGUAGACGUUGUCGAUGUAACUUCCUGAUGUGGCGCUCAUAGUCUGUUUCAACAGGCUUAGGAGCUAGUGGUUGAGCCAUACGAAUGAAGUGGUCAACUACUUCCACAGGCACUUUCUCCCUUGGCGGCGGUGGCGGUUUCGGUCCAAAAUGGGCGUCGACUUCUGCCCGCACUAUGGCAUUGGUUUGCUCCUCAGUCCUGUCGUAAGCCCUCACAGGAAGAGGAGUACUGAGGUUUGGACCAUAUUUAUAUCGCUUGCCUCCACCUGUACUUCCUGUACUAUCACCUCGACUCGUACCGCUACGCACCAUAGCUGCGGGGUGUCUCUUCUGCGAUUGCUGAGGCGGCGGAGACGGCAGACGGGGCUGAGUUAGACGAGGAGGAGUGGCCUGAAGCUGUGCCGGACUUGGAGGAGGAGUGGCCUGAGGUUGUGCCGGACUUGGAGGAGGAGUGGACGUCUGACGCUGUGUCGGACUUGGAGGAGGAGUGGCCUCACACAUUGCCGGACUUGGAGGAGGAGGAGUGGCCUCACGCGUUGAUGGACUUGGAGCGGGAGUCUGCUGACUCGGUGGUGGACUUCGACGAGGAGUCGGGUGACGCGGUGUCGGUGGCCUUCGAAAGAUGAUGCAAUCCUUUCUCCAUAGGAUGACAUGAUGUAUGGCCUCUCCCAAUGUGUGCUCGUCGUCACCUCUAGGAAUGUCAAGUUGUAGCUCCGAAUAUGGGUCCACCACCUCAUCAACCAAGACACGAGCAUAGCCUGCUGGAAUCGGGUUGCAAUGGAAGGUUGCCUCGGGGGAAUUUGAAAAAGCAACGGCGUCCGCCACCUUCAUGGAUAUGUUCUUCAUUUUGAAGUGUACCUCGCAGUUAGUGUUCUCCGUGAUGUCAUCCAUGGGGUAUCUAUCCAGCACUGCGUCGCCCGGGGCGGAACCCACGCUGCUUCUCGGCAUGGAUGGGGUGGUGGUAUCCAAUGCUGGAUCAUCCGCUAGGUGCUGCAGCUGCUGAGACCCCAUUUGCUGGCUAAGUGAGUCGAUCUGCUCCUGCUGCCGCUGGAAUUUAGCUGCCAAUUCCGCUUGACUUGCUUCUAGGCCUUGAAGGCGUUCAUAGUCCCGCUUCCUUUGCUCCUCCUCCAUCUUCCUCUUCUUCUCCUCCGCAAUCUUCUUUCUCGCACGGGUUCUGUAGUCGGCGUUCCAGUCCGAAAACCCCUCAUACCACGGAAUAGCGCCCUUGCCUCGUGGUCUUCCCGGGUGUUCAGGAUUUCCCUGGGCACGCGUAAGCUCGUCCUUCUCUCUGUUGGGCUGAAACACCCCCGAUCGAGCCUCUUCUAUUGCAACAAGUAGCGCAUCGUCGGCUCCAUUCAGACAUGCCUUCGUCAAAACAUUGCCUGUCUUCGGGUCCAACUCCCCCCCAUGCGCAUAGAACCAAGUCCUGCACCUAGGGGGCCAACUCUUAGUAAACGGAGUGGCACCUGCAUCCUCCAUCUCUUUCUCAGACUUAUCCCACUUAGGCAUUGCCACCGUGUAGCCAGCUGGCCCCAGCUUAUGGAACUUAUCCUUUUUUCGGCAUUCUUCUUGUUUAUUCUCGACCGUUCCUUAGCUAAUUCGGAAUCCUUGAAUUUCAUGAAAUCGUCCCAAUGAGAACUUUGAUUCUCUAGUAUCCCCUCGAAUACUGGAGUCUUCCUUCCUCCCUUGACGUACUUCUCCCACGUCGUUCUCUUGUGGUUCUUGAAUGCAACCGCCAUCUUCCUAAAAGCAGCGUCCUUGACUUUCUGCACAUCUGCUUCCGUGAAAUGAUCUGGUAGGGUGAAAUGUUCCAUGAGAGUAUCCCAAAGCAGUUUUUUAUAUUCUCGUCUACAAAAGUAUCAUUUGGACGUGGCUUUGCUGGCUUUCUCCAUUCUUGAAGGGAGAUCGGGAGUUGGUCCUUCACAAGAACUCCACACUAACGAACGAACUUGUCCGCAAUCUUCUUAGGCGCUAAUGGUUCGCCAUUAGGUUUGAAUGCCUCGAUAUUGUACUUUACGCCCUCCUUCAACUUUUUGUUCGGGCCUCGUUUUGUCCUUUUGCCUGAAGAUUUGCUCGAUCCGGAUGGCUGAAAGAAGAAAGAUCGAUUCGUUAAUAUAUCUUCAACUCAUUUAAAACAUGCGAUGAUCACCAGAUUCCUGCUUAUAUAAAUAUAUAUACCUCGCCGGUACAUGUUGUUUCAGGGUCAACAUGUUCUUCGUCGUAGUUCAGGACUUCAUCUUCUCGGUCAUCGCGAUCAAAUAUCAUAUCACCCUCUCCGGUGUUGUUUAGAAAUUCAGAGCCGUCAAAAUCUUCUUCAUUCUGAUCAUCAUCUGGCCCGCGUAUGAUACCGAACAUGGUAUGUUCUCUCUCUCUGUCGGUAUUGUCCGCCAUAGCUUUUAUUUAACUAUGCCAAAAGAAAUAUAAAAUAAUUUAGUAUAAUCUCGAAUAAUAGAUAUAAUCUCGAAUACAUCGUCUCGAAUAAUAGAUAUAAUCUCGAAUACAUCGUCUCGAAUAAUAGAUUUAAUCUCGAAUACAUCGUCUCGAAUAAUAGAUAUAAUCUCGAAUACAUCGUCUCGAAUAAUAGAUUUAAUCUCGAAUACAUCGUCUAGAAUAAUAGAUUUAAUCUCGAAUACAUCGUCUCGAAUAAUAUAUAAUAUUGAAUAGUACAUCAUUGGCUAGGCGGUGGACACCCAAAGAGAAGGAACCCUCACAGGAUCAUAGCUGAAGUGAGAGCCCCGAAGAAACUGCCAGGUUUUGGAGAACCUUCCGCCCUCUAACGCAACCAUGUAGCGAUGGAUGUAAUCGUCCUCCUCCCUGACACGACGACGUACCACCUCCGGCGGGGCCGGCUCCCUCCGCACCGAAACUGGCCCACGCGAACGCCACCAAACGAGAUCAGGGUCGAUCACAGGACCCGGGGCCGGGUUCCUCAUCAAGCGGCGCGCCCCUCCAGGCAGCACCUCCCAGUGCCAGCCCGGCGGAGCCCAGUCCCGGACAUGGGUCAGCUGGACGUCGUCGCGGACGUGUCGACGGUGAGGAUGUGGGCCGGGCAUCGUCGACAACAAAUACUAGCUAUAUGCCCGCAAAAAGUAACAUUUUUUUAAUGAUUGGAAUUUGAUAACUAAAAUUUCUAACAUUUCUAUAUAACACUAAUUAUGCUAUCAUUGCAUAUGUCAAAAUUCUAUAUGCUAUUUCAUACUAAUUAAGCAUCUAACACUAAAAACAGAAAACACAACUUCUAUACAUCCAUUAAAAAAACUGAAAAACAACAUUAUAUAAACAAAUUUCAAUACUAAUUAAACACUAAUUAUAUCCAUCUAACAUGCAUUCAUACAUAUAUGCUAGUGAAAAAAUAAUAAUCUAAAAAAUCUAAACUAAUUAAACAUACAAAAUACGUAUAUACUAAUAUAUACAUGCAUUAAUUCAUACAUAUGUACGUGUGUGUGUGUGUGUGCUCGGGGAGGGGUGGUGCCCAUGGUGGCCGCCGGGGGCGAGGGAGAGGGGUUAGAGGGGGAGAGCUCACAGCAGGGUGACGGCGACGGCCAGGGGCGGCGACGGGCCGGGGUGUGACGCGGGGGCGGCGACGCGGGGACGGUGCGACGGGGACGGGCCUGGGGCGGCGACGGGGACGGGCCCGAUGACGGGGACGGGGGCGGCGACGGCGACAUCGUCGAUUGAUCGGGGUGCGCGGGCGGUGCUUCAAUGGGGAAACAGAGGAAGAAACAAAGGGAGAAUGAAAUUUUCGUAAGUGUUCUAUAUAUAGAAGGCACCUUCAGUACCGGUUGGAGCCACCAACCGGUACUAAAGGCCUGUUUUGGCCAGGCCAAGCCGCGGGAAGCACCCCCCUUUAGUACCGGUUCCUGGCUCCAACCGGUACUAAAGGCCCCCCCUUUAGUACCGGUUGGUGCCACCAACCGGUACUAAAGGGGGGUACGCUGCCAGGCGAGGGGCACAAAACUUUAGUCCCACCUCGCUAGCCGAGGGGCACUCACACCUUCUUAUAAGCCCCGCCGUCGCUGCUGUCUCGAGCUCCACUCUUAAGCACGCCUUCUGGGCCUACCUCUUCUGCGAUGCCCUGUUGGGCCUACUGGGCUAGUGGGCCUGCAUCCUGGCCCAACUUGAAUAUGGGUUUCUAGUCGUAUGCAGGCCGCUGUGGCCCAGUAGGUGGGCUUUUUUUUCUUAUUUUUUUGCUUUAUUUAUUUUUGUGAAUAACUUAACUUUGAAAAUAGAUUUUUCAGUGAUUCUUUUUUCUUAUGUUUAAUAUUAGUGUGUUUUAUCAUUAUAUUCAAUUUGGUAAUGCUUAGGUUAUUUAAAAAAUGAAAUGCCUUUGUAACGGAUGAGUUUUCGUCCGAAACCCUGAUACUUCGAAACAGAUUGUCCAUUUUGUACACGAAGUGCAUCCAGUUUUUGCGGUAACCCUCUCUACUUUUUUGCACAUGCUAUGUGGGUGAAAUUAUGAUACCAUGCCAACUUUCAUCCUUUUCUGAGUUCAUUUGAAAUUCUUUUCAAUUUUAGGGUCAUUUAGGUGAAAAAAAUCAGUAAAUGCAUGAAAGAAUUUGCUUGCACAUAAAAUUUCUUCGCGUUUCAAAUGCCAAAACACAUAACUAGCUACCCUAACUAUUACAGAGAUUCCCUCCUGGGUGUGAAACACAGAAGAAAGUGAUGAUAGUUACGCCGAUCAUAUCCCAGAUCUUUGGGUGUGAAACUUUUUCUUCGCGUGUGUCCCUUUGCGUCGUAGCCAUGGAAAAUCUUCAUCAUUUAACGGGAUGCUCGGGUCAAUAUUCACUGUGAAUGGAGCAAUUUCAUCAAACUUUUCAUAAUCAUCUGACUUGUCUGUUUUGUCAUCCACUCCCAUGAUGUUUCUCUUCCCAGAAAGAACUAUGUGCCGCUUUGGCUCAUCGUACGAUGCAUUCACUUCCUUAUCUUUUCUUUUUCUUGGCUUGUUAGACAUGUCCUUCACACAGAAAACCUAUGCCACAUCAUUGGCUAGGACGAACGGUUCGUCUGCAUACGCAAGAUUGUUGAGAUCCACUGUUGUCAUUCCGUACUGCGGGUCUUCCAUUACCCAGCCUCGUGUCAUAUUAACCCAUUUGCACCGAAACAAAGGGACCUUCAAACCACGUCGAUAGUCAAGUUCCCAUAUGUCCUGUAUAUAACCAUAAUAUGUUUCCUUUCCCGUCUUGGUUUCUGCAUCAAAGCGGACACCACUGUUUUGGUUGGUGCUCUUAUUAUCUUGGGCGAUCGUGUAAAAUGUAUUACCAUUUAUCUCGUACCCUUUGAAAGUCAUUAUAUUCGAAGAUGGUAAUUGGGAUAGCAAGUACAUGUCAUCUUCAAUAGAGGUGUCAUGCAUGGUACGUGGUUGCAACCAGCUGGCGAAACUCCUGGUUUGUUCACGUGUAAUCCAGUCAUCAGACCGCUCCGGGUGUUUGGAGCGUAGCAAAUUCUUGUGUUCAUCCAUAUACGGAGCCACCGAGGCAGAAUUCUGUAGAACUAUGUAGUGUGCUUCAGUGAGAGAAUGUCCAGCCAUAUAUACAUAUUAUUUGUUCCCCUCCUAGCGUGCCUUUUCCAUCCAGUCUGCCCUUAUGCCGCGAUUCAGGAACACCAAUCGGCUUAAGGUCAGGAAUAAAGUCAAUACAAAACUCACUGACCUCCUCAUUUUGACGGCCCUUGGAGAUGCUUCCUUCUGGCCUAGCACGGUUAUGAACAUAUUUCUUUAAGUCUCCCACGAACCUCUCAAAGGGGAACAUAUUGUGUAGAAAUACAGGACCCAAAACGUUAAUCUCUUCGCAUAGGUGAACUAGGACGUGCGUCAUGAUGUUGAAGAAGGAUGGUGGGAACACCAACUCGAAACUGACAAGACAUUGCACCAAAUCAUUCUGUAACCUUGGUAUGAUUUCUGGAUCGAUUACCUUCUGAGAGAUUGCAUUGAGAAAUGCACAUAGCUUCACAAUGGCUAAUCGAACGUUUUCCGGUAGAAGCCCCCUCAAUGCAACCGGAAGUACUUGCGUCAUAAUCACGUGGCAGUCAUGAGACUUUAGGUUCUGGAACUUUUUCUCUGCCAUGUUUAUUAUUCCCUUUAUAUUCGACGAGAAGCCAGAUGGUACCUUAAUAAUGAGUAGGCAUUCAAAGAACAUUUCCUUCUCUUCUUUGGUAAGAGCGUAGCUUGCAUGACCCUGAUGUAUGCCGUCUUUUCCGUGCAUACGUUGCUGGUCCUCCUGUGCCUUAGGUGUAUCUUUUGUCAUCCCAUACACGCCCAAGAAGCCAAGCAGGGUCACACAAAGAUUCUUCGUCACGUGCAUCACGUCGAUUGCGGAGCGGACCUCGAGGUCUUUCCAAUAGUGCAGGUCCCAAAAUAUAGAUUUCUUCUUCCACAUGGGUGCGCGUCCGUCAGCGUCAUUCGGAACAGGUUGUCCACCAGGACCCUUUCUAAAGACCACCUUCAAAUCCUUGACCAUAUCAUGUACAUCAGCACCAGUACGGUGGCGAGGCUUCGUCCGGUGAUCCGCCUCACCUUUGAAAUGCUUGCAUUUCUUUCUUACGGGAUGCCUGCUCGUAAGAAAUCGACGAUGUCCUAGGUACACAUUCUUAUUAGCCAAAUAUAUACUGUCGGUAUCGUCCAAACAGUGCGUGCAUGCGCGGUAUCCCUUGUUUGUCUGUCCUGAAAGGUUACUGAGAGCAGGCCAAUCAUUGAUGGUCACGAACAGCAACGCCUUUAGGUCAAAUUCUUCCCCCAUGUGCUCAUCCCACACACGUACACCUGUUCCAUUCCAUAGUUGUAAGAGUUCUUCAACUAAUGGCCUUAGGUACACAUCAAUGUCGUUGCCGGGUUGCUUAGGGCCUUGGAUGAGCACUGGCAUCAUAAUGAACUUCCGCUUCAUGCACAACCAAGGAGGAAGGUUAUACAAACAUAGAGUCACAGGCCAAGUGCUAUGGUUGCUGCUCUGCUCCCCAAAAGGAUUAAUGCCAUCUGCGCUUAGACCAAACCAUACGCUCCUUGCGUCAUUUGCAAACUCCUUCCCGUACUUUCUUUCGAUUUUUCUCCACUGUGAACCGUCAGCGGUUAGUGUCAACUUUCCAUCUUUCUUACGGUCUUCGCUGUGCCAUCGCAUCGCCUUGGCAUGCUCUUUGUUUUGGAACAAACGUUUCAACCGUGGUAUUAUAGGAGCAUACCACAUCACCUUGGCAGGAAUCUUCUUCCUGGGGCGCCGGCCCUCGACAUCACCAGGGUCAUCGCGGCUGAUCUUAUAGCGCAAUACACCACAUACCGGGCAAGCGUUCAAAUCCUCGUACUCACCACGGUAGAGGAUGCAAUCAUUAGGGCAUGCAUGUAUCUUCUCCACCUCUAACCCUAGAGGGCAGAGAACCUUCUUUGCUUCGUACAUACUCUCGGGCAAUUCGUUGUCCUUUGGAAGGAUAUCCUUUAUCAUUACCAGCAACUUUCCAAAUCCCUUGUCAGAUACACCAUUCUCUGCCUUCCAUUGCAGCAAUUCCAGUGUGGUGCCCAGUUUUUUCUUGUCAGCUACGCAAUUCGGGUACAACAAUUUUUUGUGAUCCCCUAACAUGCACUGCAACUUCUUCUCCAAAUCACUUGCGCAGUUUCUCUUUGCAUCGGCAAUGGCCCGACCUAGAUCAUCAACGGGCUCAUCUGAUGCCUCUUCUUCAGCUUCUUCCCGCAUUGCCGGCUCAGCUUCUUCCCGCAUUACCGGCUCAGCUUCUUCCACCAUUGUUGUAUCAUCGUAUUCAGGGAACCCAUGGCCAGGAUAGCUGUCGUCGUCCUCUUCUUCUUCAUUGUCUUCCAUCAUAACCCCUCUUUAUCCGUGCUUGGUCCAAACAUUAUAAUGGGGCAUGAAACCAGACUUAAACAGGUGGACGUGAAUGGUUCUUGACGUACAGUAAUUGUGACCAUUCUUACAGCGAGCACAUGGACAAGGCAUAAAACCAUCCGCCCCCUUGUUUGCCUCAGCCGCAAGCAGAAAAGUAUGCACGCCCUCAACGAACUGGGGAGAGCAUCGGUCAUCGUACAUCCAUUGCCGGCUCAUCUUCAUUACACAACAACGAAUAGAACAAAUUAAUACAAGUUCAUACAUAAAGUUCAUACAACACUUAAAUGCAACAAACAAAUAACUCUCUAGCUAAAGCAUUUAAAUGCAACAACAAAUACGAUCAAGAUCGCAACUAAGGUAACAAUGGAUCCAACAGCAUAAUGAAACCAAGCCUCACUAUCGAUGGCAUAUUUUCUAAUCUUUCUAAUCUUCAAGCGCAUUUUCUCCAUCUUGAUCUUGUGAUCAUCGACGAUACCGGCAACAUGCAACUCCAAUUCCAUCUUCUCCCCCUCAAUUCUUUUCAAUUUUUCUUUCAAGUACUCGUUUUCUCUUUCAACUAAAUUUAACCUCUCGGCAAUAGGGUAGGUUGGAAUUUCCGGUUGAUGGGCAUAAUUUGUAAUAAACACGAAAUGCAACUAGUUUUAAAAGAGAAUAUACAUACCACAUCCGAAUCAUAACAAGGACUAGGGCCGACGGGGACGGAUAUCAAAACCAUGGCACUAUAUGUAUAACAAACAACGUACAGGUAAGAUAAUUAUACGAGUAACUAUAUAUCCAAAUCACACAAACAUCAAUUUUUAUAUAAAAUUUCAUGAACAAGAGGCUCACCACAAGGUGGUGCCGGCGACGGGACGGUGCGGGCGAUCCACGGUGGCUACGAUGGAGAUUUAGAAGGCACUAAGUAAACCACACCUACAUAUGCAAACUAAAUGUUAUUUUUGACCUCAAAUUGCAUAUAAAUCAAAUACUAGCACAUAUAUAUAUAUCAUCCCAAAUUACUAAACUCACAAAUUAAUCACUAUAUAAAGCAUUGCAAGAGCUAAUCUAGCAACGAGAGAUGAAAGGACAAAGUUGCUAACCUUUGUGAUCAUUUGAAUGGAUGGGGGCCUUCAAAUCUUGACAAAUUUUGGGCAAAAUGUGUGAUGAGCUCGAGAGGAAGAGGGGAAGAACAGAGAGGAGAGGGGAAAGGGGAAGAAUAGAGCGAGCUCGGGUGGACGAAGGGUUUAUGUAGGACGACCUUUAGUACCGGUUUGUGCCAAGAACCGGUACUAAAGGGGCUGGAGGGGCCCCAUACUGACAACAUCCUGCCACCACUCUCAUUAGUACCGGUUCGUGGCACGAACCGGUGCUAAAGGUUCGCCAUGAACCGGUACUAAUGAAAGCAGCCUGGUUAGCCGUUGGAACCGGCACUAAUGUAUACAUUAGUGCCGGCUCAAAUACAAACCGGCACUAAUGUGCUUCAUGUUUGACCCUUUUUCCACUAGUGUAGGAGUAGGAGACAAGGAAGGGGAAGGGAGAAGGGAAAGAAGGAGGGGGCGCGGCCCCUCCCCCUAGUCCAAUUCGGACUAGGCCUUGGGGGGGCGCGCGGCCUGCCCUAGGCAGCCCCUCUCUCUUUCCCGUAUGGCCCAAUAAGGCCCAAUACUUCUCCCGGCGAAUUCCCGUAACUCUCCGGUACUCCGAAAAAUACCCGAACCACUCGAAACCUUUCCGAUGUCCGAAUAUAGUCGUCCAAUAUAUCGAUCUUUACAUCUCGACCAUUUCGAGACUCCUCCUCAUGUCCCCGAUCCCAUCCGGGACUCCGAACUCCUUCGGUACAUCAAAACUCAUAAACUCAAAAUAUAACUGUCAUCGAAACCUUAAGCGUGCGGACCCUACAGUUCGAGAACAAUGUAGACAUGAUCGAGACACAUGUCCGGUCAAUGACUAAUAGCGGGACCUGGAUGCCCAUAAUGGCUCCUACAUAUUCUACGAAGAUCUUUAUCGGUCAGACCGCAUAACAACAUACGUUGUUCCCUUUGUCAUCGGUAUGUUACUUGCCUGAGAUUUGAUCGUCGGUAUCUCAAUACCUAGUUCAAUCUUGUUACCGGCAAGUCUCUUUACUCGUUCCGUAAUACAUCAUCUCGCAACUAACUCAUUAGUUGCAAUGCUUGCAAGGCUUAUGUGAUGUGCAUUACCGAGAGGGCCUAGAGAUACCUCUCCGACAAUCGGAGUGACAAAUCCUAAUCUCGAAAUACGCCAGCCCAACAUGUACCUUUGGAGACACCUGUAGAGCUCCUUUAUAAUCACCCAGUUAUGUUGUGACGUUUGGUAGAACACAAAGUGUUCCUCCGGCAAAUGGGAGUUGCAUAAUCUCAUAGUCAUAUGAACAUGUAUAAGUCAUGAAGAAAGCAAUAGCAACAUACUAAACGAUUGGGUGCUAAGCUAAUGGAAUGGGUCAUGUCAAUCAGAUCAUUCAACUAAUGAUCUGAUCCCGUUAAUCAAAUAACAACUCUUUGUCCAUGGUUAGGAAACAUAACCAUCUUUGAUUAACGAGCUAGUCAAGUAGAGGCAUACUAGUGACACUCUGUUUUCUAUGUAUUCACACAUGUAUUAUGUUUCCGGUUAAUACAAUUCUAGCAUGAAUAAUAAACAUUUAUCAUGAUAUAAGUAAAUAAAUAAUAACUUUAUUAUUGCCUCUAGGGUAUAUUUCCAUCAGUCUCCCACUUGCACUAGAGUCAAUAAUCUAGAUCACAUCGCCAUGUGAUUUAACAUCAAUAGUUCACAUCUUUAUGUUAUUGGUUCACAUCUCCAUGUGACUAACACCCAAAGGGUUUACUAGAUUCAAUAAUCUAGUUCACAUCGCUAUGUGAUUAAGACCCAAAAAGUGAUCAUGUUUUGCUUGUGAGAGAAGUUUAGUCAAUAGGUCUUCCACAUUCAGAUCCGCAUGUAUUUUGCAAAUUUCUAUGUCAACAAUGCUCUGCAUGGAGCUACUCUAGCUAAUUGCUCCCACUUUCAAUAUGUAUCCAGAUUGAGACUUAGAGUCAUCUGGAUCAGUGUCAAAACUUGCAUCGACGUAACCCUUUACGACGAACCUUUUGUCACCUCCGUAAUCGAGAAACAUAUCCUUAUUCUACUAAGGAUAAUUUUGACCGCUGUCAAUAGAUCUACUCCUAGAUCACUAUUGUACUCCCUCUCUUAACACAGUGUAUGGUAUACAAUAGAUCUGGUACACAACAUGGCAUACUUUAUAGAACCUAUGACUGAGGCAUAGGGAAUGACUUUCAUUCUCUUUCUAUCUUCUGCCGUGGUCGGGCUUUGAGUCUUACUCAACUUCACGCCUUGUAACACAAGCAAGAAACUUUUUCUUUGACUGUUCCAUUUUGAACUACUUCAAAAUCUUGUCAAGGUAUGUACUCAUCGAAAAAACUUAUCAAGCGUCUUGAUCUAUCUCUAUAGAUCUUGAUACUCAAUAUGUAAGCAGCUUCACCGAGGUCUUUCUUUGAAAAAACUCCUUUCAAACAUUCCUUUAUGCUUUGCAGAAUAAUUCUACAUUAUCUCCGAUCAACAAUAUGUCUUUCACAUAUACUUAUCAGAAAUGAUGUAGUGCUCCCACUCACUUUCUUGUAAAUACAGGCUUCACUGCAAGUCUGUAUAAAACUAUAUGCUUUGAUCAACUCAUGAAAGCGUAUAUUCCAACUCUGAGAUGCUUGCACCAGUCCAUAGAUGGAUCGCUGGAGCUUGCAUAUUUUGUUAGUACCUUUAGGAUUGACAAAACCUUCUGGUUGCAUCAUAAACAACUCUUCUUUAAUAAAUCCAUUAAGGAAUGCAGUUUUGUUUAUCCAUUUGCCAGAUUUCAUAAAAUGCGGCAAUUGCUAACAUGAUUCGGACAGACUUAAGCGUAGAUACGAGUGAGAAACUCUCAUCGUAGUCAACACCUUGAACUUGUCGAAAACCUUUUUGCGACAAUUCUAGUUUUGUAGAUAGUAACACUACUAUCAGCGUCCGUCUUCCUCUUGAAGAUCCAUUUAAUCUCAAUGGCUUGCCGAACAUCGGGCAAGUCAACCAAAGUCCACACUUUGUUCUCAUACAUGGAUCCUAUCUCAGAUUUCAUGGCCUCAAGCCAUUUAUCGGAAUCUGGGCUCAUCAUCGCUUCCUCAUAGGUCGCAAGUUUGUCAUGGUCAAGUAACAUGACCUCCAGAACAGGAUUACCAUACCACUUUGGUGCGGAUCUCAAUCUGGUUUACCUACGAGGUUUGGUAGUAACUUGAUCUGAAGUUACAUGAUCAUCAUCAUUAGCUUCCUCACUAAUUGGUGUAGGAGUCACAGGAACAAAUUUCUGUGAUGAACUACUUUCCAAUAAAGGAGAAGGUACAAUUACCUUAUCAAGUUUUCUACUUUCCUCCCACUCACUUCUUUCAAGAGAAACUCCUUCUCUGGAAAGGAUCCAUUCUCAGUCAACGAAUAUCUUGCCUUCGGAUCUGUGAUAGAAGGUGUACCCAACAUUUUCUUUAGGGUAUCCUAUGAAGAUGCACUUUUCCGAUUUGGGUUUGAGCUUAUCAGGAUGAAACUUUUUCACAUAAGCAUCACAACCCCAAACUUUAAGAAACGACAACUUUGGUUUCUUGCCAAACCACAGUUCAUAAGGCGUCGUCUCAACGGAUUUUGAUGGUGCCCUAUUCAACGUGAAUGCAGCUGUCUCUAAUGCAUAACCCCAAAACGAUAGUGGUAGAUCGGUAAGAGAUAUCAUAGAUCGCACCAUAUCUAAUAAAGUACGGUUAUGAUGUUCGGACACACCAUUACAUUGUGGUGUUCCAGGUGGCAUGAGUAGUGAAACUAUUUCACAUUGUUUUUAACUGAAGGCCAAACUCAUAACUCAAAUACUCUUCUCUACGAUCAGGUCGUAGAAACUUUAUUUUCUUGUUACGAUGAUUUUUCACUUCACUCUGAAAUUCUUUGAACUUUUCAAAUGUUUCAGACUUAUGUUUCAUCAAGUAGAUAUACUCAUAUCUGCUCAAAUCAUCUGUGAAGAUCAGAAAAUAAUGAUACCUGUCGCGAGCCUCAAUAUUCAUCGGACCACAUACAUUAGUAUGUAUGAUUUCCAACAAAUCUGUUGCUCGCUCCAUUGUUCUGAAGAACAGAGUCUUAGUCAUCUUGCCCAUUAGGCAUGGUUCGCAAGCAUCAACUGAUUCAUAACCAACUGAUUCCAAAAGCCCAUCAGCAUGGAGUUUCUUCAUGCGCUUUACACCAAUAUGACCUAAACGGCAGUGCUACAAAUAAGUUGCACUAUCAUUAUUAACUUUGCAUCUUUUGGUUUCAAUAUUAUGAUUAUGUGUAUCACUACAAUCGAGAUCCAACGAACUAUUUUCAUUGGGUGUGUAACCAUAUAAGGUUUUAUUCAUGUAAACAGAACAACAAUUUAUUCUCUUACUUAAAUGAAUAACCGUAUUACAAUAAACAUGAUCAAAUCAUAUUCAUGCUCAACGCAAACACCAAAUAACACUUAUUUAGGUUCAACACUAAUCCUGAAAUUAUAGGGAGUGUGCGAUGAUGAUCAUAUCAAUCUUGGAACCACUUCCAACAUACAUCAUCACUUCACCCUUAACUAGUCUCUGUUUAUUUUGCAACUCCCGUUUCGAGUUACUAAUCUUUGCAACUGAACUAGUAUCAAAUACUGAGGGGUUGCUAUAAACACUUGUAAAGUACACAUCAAUAACAUGUAUAUCAAAUAUACUUAUGUUCACUUUGCCAUCCUUCUUAUCCGCCAAUCACUUGGGGUAGUUCCGCUUCUAGUGACCAGUGCCUUUGCAGUAGAAGCACUUAGUCUCAGGCUUAGGACCAGACUUGGGCUUCUUCACUUGAGCAGCAACUUGCUUGCUGUUCUUCUUGAAGUUCCCCUUCUUCCCUCUGCCCUUUUCUUGAAACUAGUGGUCUUGUCAACCAUCAACACCUGAUGUUUUUCUUGAUUUCUACCUUCAUUGAUUUCAGCAUCACGAAGAGCUUGGGAGUUGUUUCCGUUAUCCCUUGCAUAUUAUGGUUCAUCACGAAGUUCUACUAACUUGGUGAUGGUGACUAGAGAAUUCUGUCAAUCACUAUCUUAUCUGGAAGAUUAACUCCCACUUGGUUCAAGCAAUUGUAGUACCCAGACAAUCUGAGCACGUGCUCACUAGUUGAGCGAUUCUCCUCCAUCUUUUAGCUAUAGAACUUGUUGGAGACUUCAUAUCUCUCAAGUCGGGUAUUUGCUUGAAAUAUUAACUUCAACUCCUAGAACAUCUCAUAUGGUCCAUGAUGUUCAAAACGUCUUUGAAGUCCUGAUUCUAAGCCAUUAAGCAUGGUGCACUAAACUAUCAAGUAGUCAUCAUAUUGGGCUAGCCAAACGUUCAUAACGUCGGCAUCUGCUCCUGCAAUAGGUCUGUCACCUAGCGGUGCAUCAAGGACAUAAUUCCUCUAUGCAGCAAUGAGGAUAAAACUCAGAUCACGGAUCCAAUCCGCAUCAUUGCUACUAACAUCUUUCAACACAAUUUUCUCUAGGAACAUAUCAAAAUAAACAUAGGGAAGCAACAACGCGAGCUAUUGAUCUACAACAUAAUUUGCAAAAUACUACCAGGACUAAGUUCAUGAUAAAUUUAAGUUCAAUUUAAUCAUAUUACUGGAGAACUCCCACUUAGAUAGACAUCCCUCUAAUCCUCUAAGUGAUCACGUGAUCCAAAUCAACUAAACCAUGUCCGAUCACCACGUGAGAUGGAGUAGUUUCAUUGGUGAACAUCACUAUGUUGAUCAUAUCUACUAUCUGAUUCACGCUCGACCUUUCGGUCUCCGUGUUCCGAGGCCAUAUCUGUAUAUGCUUGCCUCGUCAAGUAUAACCUGAGUAUUCCGCGUGUGCAACUGUUUUACACCCGUUGUAUUUGAACGUAGAGCCUAUCACACCCGAUCAUCACGUGGUGUCUCAGCACGAAGAAGUUUCGCAACGGUGCAUACUCAGGGAGAACACUUCUUGAUAAUUAGUGAGAGAUCAUCUUAAAAUGCUACCGUCAAACUAAGCAAAAAUAAGAUGUAUAAAAGAUAAACAUCAUAUGCAAUCAAAAUAUGUGACAUGAUAUGGCCAUCAUCAUCUUGCUUCUUUGAUCUCCAUCUCCAAAGUACUGUCAUGAUCUAUAUCGUCAUCGGCAUGACACCAUGAUCUCCAUCAUCUUGAUCUAUAUCAAUGUGUCGUCACGUGGUCGUCUCGCCAACAAUUGCUCUUGCAACUAUUGCUAUCGCAUAGCGAUAAAGUAAAGCAAUUAUUGGACGCUUGCAUCUUAUGUAAUAGAGAGACAACCAUAAGGAUUUUGCCAGUUGUUGAUAACUUCAACAAAACAUGAUCAUCUCAUACAACAACUUAUAUCUCAUCACGUCUUGACCAUAUCACAUCACAACAUGCCCUGCAAAAACAAGUUAGACGUCCUCUACUUUGUUGUUGCAAGUUUUACGUGGCUGCUACGGGCUUAAGCAAGAACCAAUCUUACCUACGCAUCAAAACCACAACGAUAGUUUGUCAAGUUGGUGCUGUUUUAACCUUCGCAAGGACCGGGCGUAGCCACACUCGGUUCAACUAAAGUUGGAGAAACUGUCACCCCCAAGCCACCUAUGUGCAAAGCACGUCGGGAGAACCGGUCUCGCGUAAGCAUACGCGUAAUGUCGGUCUGGGCCGCUUCAUCCAACAAUACCGCCGAACCAAAGUAUGACAUGCUGGUAAGCAGUAUGACUUAUAUCGCCCACAACUCACUUGUGUUCUACUCGUGCAUAUAACAUCAACACAUAAAACCUAGGCUCAAAUGCCACUGUUGGGGAACGUAGUAAUUUCAAAAAAUUUCCUACGCACACGCAAGAUCAUGGUGAUGCAUAGCAACGAGAGGGGAGAGUGUUGUCAACGUAGCCUUGUAGACCGAAGCAGAAGCGUUGACGCAACGUAGAGGAAGUAGUCGUACGUCUUCCCGAUCCGACCGAUCCAAGCACCAUUACUCCGGCACCUCCGAGUUCUUGGCACACGUUCAGCUCGGUAACGAUCCCCAGGCUCCGAUCCAGCAAAGCGUCGGCGAGGAGUUCCAUCAGCACGACGGCGUGGUGACGAUCUUGAUGUUCUACCGUCGCAGGGCUUCGCCUAAGCACCGCUACAAUAUGACCGAGGUGUAAUAUCGUGGAGAGGGGCACCGCACACGGCUAAGGAACGAUCACGAAGAUCAACUUGUGUGUCCAUGGGGUGCCCCCUGCCCCCGUAUAUAAAGGAGUGGAGGAGGGGAGGGCUGGCCCUCUCUAUGGCGCGCCCUAGGGGAGUCCUACUCCCAACGGGAGUAGGAUUCCCCCUUUUCCUAGUCCAACUAGGAGUCCUUCCAUGUAGUAGGAGUAGGAGACAAGGAAGGGGAAGGGAGAAGGGAAAGAAGGAGGGGGCGCGGCCCCUCCCCCUAGUCCAAUUCGGACUAGGCCUUGGGGGGCGCACGGCCUGCCCUAGGCAGCCCCUCUCUCUUUCCCGUAUGGCCCAAUAAGGCCCAAUACUUCUCCCGGCGAAUUCCUGUAACUCUCCGGUACUCCGAAAAAUACCCGAACCACUCGGAACCUUUCCGAUGUCCGAAUAUAGUCGUCCAAUAUAUCGAUCUUUACGUCUCGACCACUUCGAGACUCCUCGUCAUGUCCCCGAUCCCAUCCGGGACUCCGAAAUCCUUCGGUACAUCAAAACUCAUAAACUCAUAAUAUAACUGUCAUCGAAACCUUAAGCGUGCGGACACUACGGUUCGAGAACAAUGUAGACAUGACUGAGACACGUCUCCAGUCAAUAACCAAUAGCGGGACCUGGAUGCCCAUAUUGGCUCCUACAUAUUCUACGAAGAUCUUUAUCGGUCAGACCGCAUAACAACAUACGUUGUUCCCUUUGUCAUCGGUAUGUUACUUGCCCGAGAUUUGAUCGUCGGUAUCUCAAUACCUACUUCAAUCUCGUUACCGGCAAGUCUCUUUACUCGUUCCGUAAUACAUCAUCUCGCAACUAACUCAUUAGUUGCAAUGCUUGCAAGGCUUAUGUGAUGUGCAUUUCCGAGAGGGCCCAGAGAUACCUCUCCGACAAUCGGAGUGACAAAUCCUAAUCUCGAAAUACGCAAACCCAACAUGUACCUUUGGAGACACCUGUAGAGCUCCUUUAUAAUCACCCAGUUACGGUGUGACGUUUGGUAGCACACAAGGUGUUCCUCCGGCAAACGGGAGUUGCAUAAUCUCAUAGUCAUAGGAACAUGUAUAAGUCAUGAAGAAAGCAAUAUCAACAUACUAAACGAUCGGGUGCUAAGCUAAUGGAAUGGGUCAUGUGAAUCAGAUCAUUCAACUAAUGAUGUGAUCUCGUUAAUCAAAUAACAACUCUUUGUCCAUGGUUAGGAAACAUAACCAUCUUUGAUUAACGAGCUAGUCAAGUAGAGGCAUACUAGUCACACUCUGUUUGUCUAUGUAUUCACACAUGUAUUAUGUUUCCGGUUAAUACAAUUCUAGCAUGUAUAAUAAACAUUUAUCAUGAUAUAAGGAAAUAAAUAAUAAUUUUAUUAUAGCCUCUAGGGCAUAUUUACUUCAUGGAUUGCCUACCAAAGAUGGCAAUAGCUAGAUCUAUCCUUGCUUGUUAUGCCUAACUAGGGGCGUUAAACGAUAGCGCUUUUUGGGAGGCAACCCAAUUUUGUUUUUAUUCCUUGAUUUUUGCUCCUGUUUAGUAAUAAAUAAUUUAUCUAGCCUCUGUUUUGGUUGUGUUCUUUGUGUUUAAUUAGUGUUUGUGCCAGGUAGAACCGUUAGGAAGACUUGGGGAAAGUCUUGUUACACUUGCUGUAAAAAACAGAAACUUCAGCGCUCACGAGAACUGCUGCCAUUUUUAUUUGGAAAGUGCUAUUUAGUUAAUUAUUUCCGCAGAUGAUUAAUAGAUAAAUUCCUCACGUCCAGCACUUUAUUUUAGAAUUUUUGGGGUUCCAGCUCUUGAGCUAGCUACAGAUUACUACAGACUGUUCUGUAUUUGAAACAUUCUGUUUUUUCGUGUGUUGUUUGCUUAUUUUGAUGAACCUAUGGCUAGUAAAAUAGUUUAUAAACCACAGAGAAGUUGGAAUACAGUAGUUAUAACACCAAUAUAAAUAAAUAAUGAGUUCAUUAAAGUACCUUGAAGUGGUCUUUUUUAUUUUCUUUCGCUAACGGAGCUCACAAGAUUUUCUACUUCAAGUUUGUGUUGUGAAGUUUUCAAGUUUUGGGUAAAAAUUUGAUGGAUUAUGGAACAAGUAGUGACAAGAGCCGAAGCUUGGGGAUGCCCAUGGCACCCCCAAGAUAAUCUAAUUACACCUAAAAGCCAAAGCUUGGGGAUGCCCGGGAAGUCAUCCCCUCUUUCGUCUACUUCUAUGGGUAACUUUACUUGGAGCUAUAUUUUUAUUCGCCACAAGAUAUGUGUUUUGCUUGGAGCGUCUUGUAUUGUUUGACUCUUUAUUUUUUAGUUUACCACAAUCAUCCUUGCUGUACACACCUUUUGAGAGAGCCAUACAUGAUUUGGAAUUUGUUAGAAUACUCUAUGGGCUUCGCUUAUAUCUUUUGAGUUAUAUAGUUUUGCUCUAGUACUUCACUUAUAUCUUUUAGAGCACGGUGGUGGAUUUGUUUUAUAAAAACUAUUGAUCUCUCAUGCUUCACUUAGAUUAUUUUGAGAUGCUUAAUAGCAUGGUAAUUUGCUUAAAAUCCUAAUAUGCUAGGUAUUCAAAGUUAGUAAAAUUUUCUUACGAGUGUUUUUAAUACUAAGAGAAGUUUGAUGCUUGAUGAUUGUUUUGAGAUAUGGAGGUAAUAAUAUCAAAGUCGUGCUAGUUGAGUAGUUGUGAAAUUGAGAAAUACUUGUGUUGAAAUUUGCAUGUCCCGUAGCAUGCACGUAUUGUAAACGUUGUGUAACAAAUUUGAAACAUGAGGUGUUAUUUGAUUGUCUUCCUUAUGAGUGGCGGUCGGGGACGAGCGAUGGUCUUUUCCUACCAAUCUAUUGUUUGGGAACGUACUAAUUUCAAAAAAAAUCCUACGCACACGCAAGACCAUGGUGAUGCAUAGCAACGAGAGGGGAGAGUGUGAUCUACGUACCCUUGUAGAUCAACAGCGGAAGCGUUGAUGCAACAUAGAGGAAGUAGUCGUACGUCUUCCUGAUCCGACCGAUCGAAGCACCAUUACUCCGGCACCUCCGAGUUCUUAGCACACGUACAGCUCGAUGACGAUCCCGGGCUCCGAUCCAGCAAAGGGUCGGGGAGGAGUUCCGUCAGCACGACGGCGUGGUGACGAUCUUGAUGUUCUACCGUCGCAGGGCUUCGCCUAAGCACUGCUACAAUAUGAUGGAGGUGGAAUAUGGUGGCACGGGGCACCGCACACGGCUAAGGAACGAUCUCAAUGAUCAACUUGUGUGUCUAGAGGUGCCCCCUGCCUCCGUAUAUAAAGGAGCCAAGGGGGAGGGGGCCGCCGGCCAGGAGGAGGGCGCAGGAGGAGUCCUACUCCUACCGGGAGUAGGACUCCCCCCCCCCAAUCCUAGUUGGACUAGGAUUCCCCGAGGGGGAAAGAGAGAGAGGGGGGCCGGCCACCUCUCCUAGUCCUAAUAGGACUACGGGAGGGGGGAGGCGCGCGGCCACCUUGGGCUGCCCCUUUCUCCUUUCCACUAAAGCCCAUCAAGGCCCAUAUGGCUCCCGGGGGGUUCCGGUAACCUCCCGGUACUCCGGUAAAAUCCCGAUUUCACCCGGAACACUUCCGAUGUCCAAAUAUAGGCUUCCAAUAUAUCAAUCUUUAUGUCUCGACCAUUUCGAUACUCCUCGUCAUGUCUGUGAUCACAUCCGGGACUCCGAACUAACUUCGGUACAUCAAAAUGCAUAAACUCAUAAUAACUGUCAUCGUAACGUUAAGCGUGUGGACCCUACGGUUCGAGAAUAAUGCAGACAUGACUGAGACACAUCUCCGGUCAAUAACCAAUAGCAGGACCUGGAUGCCUAUAUUGGCUCCUACAUUUUCUACGAAGAUCUUUAUCAGUCACACCGCAUAACAACAUAUGUUGUUCCCUUUGUCAUCGGUAUGUCAUUUGCCCGAGAUUCGAUCGUCAGUAUCCAAUACCUAGUUCAAUCUCGUUACCGGCAAGUCUCUUUACUCGUUCCGUAAUACAUCAUCUCGCAACUAACUCAUUAGUUGCAAUGCUUGCAAGGCUUAAGUGAUGUGCAUUACCGAGAGGGCCCAGAGAUACCUCUCCGACAAUCGGAGUGACAAAUCCUAAUCUCGAAAUACGCCAACCCAACAUCUACCUUUGGAGACACCUGUAGUACUCCUUUAUGAUCACCCAGUUACGUUGUGAUGUUUGGUAGCACCCAAAGUGUUCCUCCGGUAAACGGGAGUUGCAUAAUCUCAUAGUCAUAGGAACAUGUAUAAGUCAUGAAGAAUAGCAACAGCAACAUACUAAACGAUCGGGUGCUAAGCUAAUGAAAUGGGUCAUGUCAAUCAGAUCAUUCAACUAAUGAUGUGACCUCGUUAAUCAAAUAACAACUCUUUGUUCAUGGUUAGGAAACAUAACCAUCUUUGAUUAACGAGCUAGUCAAGUAGAGGCAUACUAGUGACACUCUGUUUGUCUAUGUAUUCACACAUGUAUUAUGUUUCCGGUUAAUACAAUUCUAGCAUGAAUAAUAAACAUUUAUCAUGAUAUAAGGAAAUAAAUAAUAACUUUAUUAUUGCCUCUAGGGCAUAUUUCCUUCAGUCUCCCACUUGCACUAGAGUCAAUAAUCUAGAUUACACAGUAAUGAUUCUAACACCCAUGGAGCCUUGGUGCUGAUCAUGUUUUGCUCGUGGAAGAGGCUUAGUCAACGGGUCUGCAAUAUUCAGAUCCAUAUGUAUCUUGCAAAUCUCUAUGUCUCCCACCUAGACUAGAUCCCGGAUGGAAUUGAAGCGUCUCUUGAUGUGCUUGGUUCUCUUGUGAAAUCUGGAUUCCUUUGCCAAGACAAUUGCACCAGUAUUGUCACAAAAGAUUUUCAUUGGACCCGAUGCACUAGGUAUGACACCUAGAUCGGAUAUGAACUCCUUCAUCCAGACUCCUUCGUUUGCUGCUUCCGAAGCAGCUAUGUAUUCUGCUUCACAUGUAGAUCCCGCUACGACGCUUUGUUUAGAACUGCACCAACUGACAGCUCCACCGUUUAAUGUAAACACGUAUCCGGUUUGCGAUUUAGAAUCGUCCGGAUCAGUGUCAAAGCUUGCAUCAACGUAACCUCUUACGGUGAGCUCUUUGUCACCUCCAUAUACGAGAAACAUAUCCUUAGUCCUUUUCAGGUAUUUCAGGAUGUUCUUGACCGCUGUCCAGUGAUCCACUCCUGGAUUACUUUGGUACCUCCCUGCUAAACUUAUAGCAAGGCACACAUCAGGUCUGGUACACAGCAUUGCAUACAUGAUAGAGCCUAUGGCUGAAGCAUAGGGAACAUCUUUCAUUUUCUCUCGAUCUUCUGCAGUGGUCGGGCAUUGAGUCUGGCUCAACUUCACACCUUGUAACACAGGCAAGAACCCUUUCUUUGCUUGAUCCAUUUUGAACUUCUUCAAAAUCUUGUCAAGGUAUGUGCUUUGUGAAAGUCCAAUUAAGCGUCUUGAUCUAUCUCUAUAGAUCUUUAUGCCUAAUAUGUAAGCAGCUUAACCGAGGUCUUUCAUUGAAAAACUCUUAUUCAAGUAUACCUUUAUGCUAUCCAGAAAUUCUAUAUCAUUUCCAAUCAGCAAUAUGUCAUCCACAUAUAAUAUCAGAAAUGCUACAGAGUUCCCACUCACUUUCUUGUAAAUACAGGCUUCACCGAAAGUCUGUAUAAAACCAAAUGCUUUGAUCACACUAUCAAAGCGUUUAUUCCAACUCCGAGAGGCUUCCACCAGUCCAUAAAUGGAUCGCUGGAGCUUGCACACUUUGUUAGCUCCCUUUGGAUCGACAAAACCUUCCGGUUGCAUCAUAUACAACUCUUCUUCCAGAAAUCCAUUCAAGAAUGCAGUUUUGACAUCCAUCUGCCAAAUUUCAUAAUCAUAAAAUGCGGCAAUUGCUAACAUGAUUCGGACAGACUUAAGCAUCGCUACGGGUGAGAAGGUCUCAUCGUAGUCAACCCCUUCAACUUGUCGAAGACCUUUUGCGAGAAGUCGAGCUUCGUAGACAGUAACAUUACCAUCACCGUCAGUCUUCUUCUUGAAGAUCCAUUUAUUCUCAAUUGCUUGCCGAUCAUCGGGCAAGUCAACCAAAUCCAUACUUUGUUCUCAUACAUGGAUCCCAUCUCAGAUUUCAUGGCUUCAAGCCACUUUGCGGAAUAUGGGCUCACCAUCGCUUCUUCAUAGUUCGUAGGUUCAUCAUGAUCUAGCAGCAUGAUUUCCAGAACAGGAUUACCGUACCACUCUGGUGCAGAUCUCGCUCUGGUUGAUCUACGAGGUUCAGUAGUAUCUUGUCCUGAAGUUUCAUGAUCUUUAUCAUUAGCUUCCUCACUAAUUGGUAUAGGUGUCGCAGAAACAGUUUUUCUGUGAUGUACUACUUUCCAAUAAGGGAGCAGGUAUAGUUACCUCGUCAAGUUCUACUUUCCUCCCACUCACUUCUUUCGAGAGAAACUCCUUCUCUAGAAAUGAUCCAUUCUUAGCAAUGAAUGUCUUACCUUCGGAUUUGUGAUAGAAGGUGUACCCAACAGUCUCCUUUGCGUAUCCUAUGAAGACACAUUUCUCCGAUUUGGGCUCGAGCUUAUGAGGUUGAAGCUUUUUCACAUAAGUAUCGCAGCCCCAAACUUUAAGAAACGACAACUUUGGUUUCUUGCCAAACCACAGUUCAUAAGGCGUCGUCUCAGCAGAUUUUGAUGGUGCCGUAUUUAGCGUGAAUGUGAGCGUCUCUAAAGCAUAACCCCAAAACGAUAGCGGUAAAUCAGUAAGAGACAUCAUAGAUCGCACCAUAUCUAGUAAAGUACGAUUCCGAUGUUCGGACACACCAUUACACUGUGGUGUUCCAGGUGGCGUGAGUUGCGAAACUAUUCCACAAUUUUUCAAAUGUACACCAGACUCGUAACUCAAAUAUUCUCCUCCACGAUCAGAUCGUAGAAACUUUAUUUUCUUGUUAUGAUGAUUUUCAACUUCACUCUGAAAUUCUUUGAACUUUUCAAAUGUUUCAGACUUAUGUUUCAUUAAGUAGAUAUACCCAUAUCUGCUUAAGUCAUCUGUGAAGGUGAGAAAAUAACGAUAUCCACCACGAGCCUCAAUAUUCAUCGGACCACAUACAUCAGUAUGCAUGAUUUCCAACAAAUCUGUUGCUCUCUCCAUAGUACCGGAGAACGGUGUUUUAGACAUCUUGCCCAUGGGGCACGGUUCGCAAGUACCAAGUGAUUCAUAAUCAAGUGGUUCCAAAAGUCCAUCGGUAUGGAGUUUCUUCAUGCGCUUUAUACCGAUAUGACCUAAACGGCAGUGCCACAAAUUAGUUGCACUAUCAUUAUCAACUCUGCAUCUUUUCGCCUCAACAUUAUGAAUAUAUGUGUUACUACUAUCGAGAUUCAUCGAAAAUAGACCACUCCUCAAAGGUGCAUGACCAUAAAAGAUAUUACUCAUAUAAAUAGAACAACCAUUAUUCUCUGAUUUAAAUGAAUAACCGUCUCGCAUCAAACAAGUUCCAGAUAUAAUGUUCAUGCUCAACGCUGGAACCAAAUAACAAUUAUUUAGGUCUAAUAUUAAUCCCGAAGGUAGAUGUAGAGGUAGCGUGCUGACCGCGAUCACAUCGACUUUGGAACCGUUUCCCACGCGCAUCGUCACCUCGUCCUUCGCCAGUGUUCGCUUAAUCCGUAGUCCCUGUUUCGAGUUGCAAAUAUUAGCAACAGAACCAGUAUCACAUACCCAGGUGCUACUGCGAGCUCUAGUAAGGUACACAUCAAUAACAUGUAUAUCACAUAUACCUUUGUUCACCUUGCCAUCCUUCUUAUCCGCCAAUACUUGGGGCAGUUCCGCUUCCAGUGACCAGUCUGCUUGCAGUAGAAGCACUCAGUUUCAGGCUUAGGUCCAGACUUGGGUUUCUUCUCUUGAGCAGCAACUUGCUUGCCGUUCUUCUUGAAGUUCCCCUUCUUCUUCCCUUUGCCCUUUUUCUUGAAACUAGUUGUCUUACUGACCAUCAACACUUGAUGCUCCUUUUUGAUUUCUACCUCCGCAGCUUUCAGCAUUGCGAAGAGCUCGGGAAUAGUCUUGUUCAUCCCUUGCAUAUUAUAGUUCAUCACAAAGCUCUUGUAGCUUGGUGGCAGUGAUUGGAGAAUUCUGUCAAUGACGCAAUCAUCUAGAAGAUUAACUCCCAUCUGAAUCAAGUGAUUAUUAUACCCAGACAUUCUGAGUAUAUGCUCACUGACAGAACUGUUCUCCUCCAUCUUGCAGCUAUAGAACUUAUUGGAGACUUCAUAUCUCUCAAUCCGGGCAUUUUCUUGAAAUAUUAACUUCAACUCCUGGAACAUCUCAUAUGCUCCAUGACGUUCAAAACGUCGUUGAAGUCCCGAUUCUAAGCCGUAAAGCAUGGCACACUGAACUAUCAAGUAGUCAUCAGCUUUGCUCUGCCAGACGUUCAUAACAUCUAGUGUUGCUCCAGCAGCAGGCCUGGCACCUAGCGGUGCUUCCAAGACGUAAUUCUUCUGAGCAACAAUGAGGAUAAUCCUCAAGUUACGGACCCAGUCCGUGUAAUUGCUACCAUCAUCUUUCAACUUUGCUUUCUCAAGGAACGUAUUAAAAUUCAACGAAACAACAACACGAGCCAUCUAUCUACAAUCAACAUAAACAAGCAAGAUACUAUCAGGUACUAAGUUCAUGAUAAGUUUAAGUUCAAUUUAAUCAAAUUACUUAAGAACUCCCACUUAGAUAGACAUCCCUCUAAUCGUCUAAGUGAUCACGUGAUCCAAAUCAACUAAACCAUAACCGAUCAUCACGUGAGAUGGAGUAGUUUUCAAUGGUGAACAUCGUUAUGUUGAUCAUAUCUACUAUAUGAUUCAUGCUCGACCUUUCGUUCUCCGUGUUCCGAGGCCAUAUCUGCAUACGCUAGGCUCGUCAAGUUUAACCUGAGUAUUCUGCGUGUGCAAAAACUGGCUUGCACCCGUUGUAGAUGGACGUAGAGCUUAUCACACCCGAUCAUCACGUGGUGUCUGGGCACGACGAACUUUGGCAGCAGUGCAUACUCAGGGAGAACACUUCUUGAUAAUUUAGUGAGAUAUCAUCUUAUAAUGCUACCGUCAAUCAAAGCAAGAUAAGAUGCAUAAAAAGAUAAACAUCACAUGCAAUCAAUAUAAGUGAUAUGAUAUGGCCAUCAUCAUCUUGUGCUUGUGAUCUUCAUCUCCGAAGCACCGUCAUGAUCACCAUCGUCACCGGUGCGACACCUUGAUCUCCAUCGUAGCAUCGUUGUCGUCUCGCCAAUCUUAUGCUUCCACGACUAUCGCUACCGCUUAGUGAUAAAGUAAAGCAUUACAUCGCGAUUGCAUUGCAUACAAUAAAGCGACAACCAUAUGGCUCCUGCCAGUUGCCGAUAACUCGGUUACAAAACAUGAUCAUCUCAUACAAUAAAAUUUAGCAUCAUGUCUUGACCAUAUCACAUCACAACAUGCCCUGCAAAAACAAGUUAGACGUCCUCUACUUUGUUGUUGCAAGUUUUACGUGGCUGCUACGGGCUUAAGCAAGAACCAAUCUCACCCACGCAUCAAAACCACAACGAUAGUUUGUCAAAUAGACUCCGUUUUAUCCUUCGGAAGGACCGGGCGUAGCCACACUCGGUUCAACUAAAGUUGGAGAAACAGUCGCCCGCAAGGCACCUGUGUGCAAAGCACGUCGGGGGAACCGGUCUCACGUAAGCGUACGCGUAAUGUUGGUCCGGGUCGUCUCGUCCAACAAUACCGCCGAACCAAAGUAUGACAUGCUAGUAGGCAGUAUGACUUGUAUCACCCACAACUCACUUGUGUUCUACUCGUGCAUAUAACAUCAAACCAUAAAACCUAGGCUCGGAUGCCACUGUUUGGGAACGUAGUAAUUUCAAAAAAAUUCCUACGCACACGCAAGAUCAUGGUGAUGCAUAUCAACGAGAGGGGAGAGUGUGAUCUACGUACCCUUGUAGAUCAAUAGCGGAAGCAUUGACGCAAUGUAGAGGAAGUAGUCGUACGUCUUCCUUAUCCGAUCGAUCCAAGCACCAUUACUCCGGCACCUCUGAGUUCUUAGCACACGUACAGCUCGAUGACGAUCCCCGGGCUCCGAUCCAGCAAAGCGUCGGGGGGGAGUUCCGUCAACACGACGGCGUGGUGAUGAUCUUGAUGUUCUACCAUCGCAGGGCUUCGCCUAAGCACUGCUCCAAUAUGAUCGAGGUGGAAUAUGGUGGCAGGGGGCACCGCACACGGCUAAGGAACGAUCUCAAUGAUCAACUUGUGUGUCUAGAGGUGCCCCCUGCCUCCGUAUAUAAAGGAGCCAAGGGGGAGGGGGCCGCCGGCCAGGAGGAGGGCGCAGGAGGAGUCCUACUCCUACCAGGAGUAGGACUCCCCCCCCCCAAUCCUAGUUGGACUAGGAUUCCCCGAGGGGGAAAGAGAGAGGGGGGGCCGGCCACCUCUCCUAGUCCUAAUAGGACUAGGGGAGGGGGGAGGCGCGCGGCCACCUUGGGCUGCCCCUUUCUCCUUUCCACUAAAGCCCAUCAAGGCCCAUAUGGCUCCCGGGGGGUUCCGGUAACCUCCCGGUACUCCGGUAAAAUCCCGAUUUCACCCGGAACACUUCCGAUGUCCAAAUGUAGGCUUCCAAUAUAUCAAUCUUUAUGUCUCGACCAUUUCGAGACUCCUCGUCAUGUCCGUGAUCACAUCCGGGACUCCGAACUAACUUUGGUACAUCAAAAUGCAUAAACUCAUAAUAACUGUCAUCGUAACGUUAAGCGUGUGGACCCUACGGUUCGAGAAUAAUGCAGACAUGACUGAGACACAUCUCCGGUCAAUAACCAAUAGCGGGACCUGGAUGCCCAUAUUGGCUCCUACAUUUUCUCCGAAGAUCUUUAUCGGUCAGACCGCAUAACAAAAUACGUUGUUCCCUUUUCAUCGGUAUGUUACUUGCCCGAGAUUUGAUCGUUGGUAUCUCAAUACCUAGUUCAAUCUCGUUACCGGCAAGUCUCUUUACUCGUUCCGUAAUACAUCAUCUCGCAACUAACUCAUUAGUUGCAAUGCUUGCAAGGCUUAUGUGAUGUGCAUUACCGAGAGGGCCCAGAGAUACCUCUCCGACAAUCGGAGUGACAAAUCCUAAUCUCGAAAUACGCCAACCCAACAUCUACCUUUGGAGACACCUGUAGAGCUCCUUUAUAAUCACCCAGUUACAUUGUGACGUUUGUUAGCACACAAAGUGUUCCUCCGGGAAACGGGAGUUGCAUAAUCACAUAGUCAUAGGAACAUGUAUAAGUCAUGAAGAAAGCAGUAGCAACAUACUAAACGAUCGGGUGCUAAGCUAAUGAAAUGGGUCAUGUCAAUCAGAUCAUUCAACCAAUGAUGUGACCUCGUUAAUCAAAUAACAACACCUUGUUCAUGGUUAGGAAACAUAACCAUCUUUGAUUAACGAGCUAGUCAUGUAGAGGCAUACUAGUGACACUAAGUUUGUCUAUGUAUUCACACAUGUAUUAUGUUUCCGGUUAAUACAAUUCUAGUAUGAAUAAUAAACAUUUAUCAUGAUAUAAGGAAAUAAAUAAUAACUUUAUUAUUGCCUCUAAGGCAUAUUUCCUUCAUCUAUCCCCCUAGGAGCAUGCGCGUAGUACCGAGGUUUUUGAUGACUUGUAGAUUUUUGCAAUGAGUAUGUGAGUUCUUUAUGACUAAUGUUGAGUCCAUGAAUUAUACGCACUCUCACCCUUCCAUCCUUGCUAGCCUCUUCGGUACCGUGCAUUGCCCUUUCCCACAUUGAGUGUUGGAGCAAACUUCGCCAAUGCAUCCAAACCCUGUGAUAUGAUACGCUCUUUCACACAUAAACCUCCUUAUAUCUUCCUCAAAACAGCCACCAUACCUACCUAUUAUGGCAUUUCCAUAGCCAUUCCGACUUAUAUUGCCAUGCAACUUUCCACCAUUCCGUUCAUCAUGACACAUUUAGCAUUGUCAUAUUGCUUAGCAUAAUCAUGUAGUUGACAUAGUAUUUGUGGCAAAGCCACCGUUCAUAAUUCUUUCCUACAUGUCACUAUUGGUCCACUGCAUAUCCGGUACACCGCCGGAGGCAUUUAUAUAGAGUCAUACUUUGUUCUAGUAUCGAGUAGUAAUUAUUGAGUUGUAAAUAAAUAGAAGUGUGAUGAUCAUCAUUAAUAGAGCAUGGUCCCAAAAAGAGAAAAAAGGAAGGGCCAAAAAAAGGCCAAAUAAAAAAAUAUAAAAAAGGGGGGCAAUGCUACUAUCCUUUUUUUCCACACUUGUGAUUCAAAGUAGCACCGUAAUCUUCAUGAUAGAGAGUAUCUUGAUUUGUCACUUUCAUAUACUAGUGGGAAUUUUGCAUUGUAGAACAAUGGGCCUCCUCAAGUGCCCUAGCUCUUCGUGAGCAAGCAAGUUGGAUGCACACCCACUUAGUUUCUUUUGUUGAGCUUUCAUACAUUUAUAGCUCUAGUGCAUCCGUUGCAUGGCAAUCCUUACUCCUUGCAUUAACAUCAAUCGAUGGGCAUCUCCAUAGCCCAUUGAUUAGCCUCAUUGAUGUGAGACUUUCUCCUUUUUGUCUUCUCCACAUAACCCCAGUGAUUAUAUUCUAUUCCACCCAUAGUUUUAUGUCCAUGGCUUGCAAUCAUAUAUUGCGUGAAAGUUUAUAGGUUUGAGAUCACUAAAGUAUGAAACAAUUGCUUGGCUUGUCAUCGGGGUUGUGCAUGAUGAGAGCAUUCUUGUGUGAAGAAAAUGAAGCAUGAUUAAACUAUAUGAUUUUGUAGGGAUGAACUUUCUUUGGCCAUGUUAUUUUGAGAAGACAUAAUUGCUCAGUUAGUAUGCUUGACUCUUUUGGAUCUGAAUAUUCAUACCACAAGUAAGAAGAAUUACAUUAAAAUCAUGCCAAGUAGCACUCCGCAUCAAAAAUUCUGUUUUUAUCAUUUACCUACUCUAGGACGAGCAGGAAUUAAGCUUGGGGAUGCUUGAUACGUCUCCAACGUAACUAUAAUUUUUGAUUGCUCCAUGCUAUAUUAUCUACUGUUUUGGACAAUAUUGGGCUUUAUUAUCCACUUUUAUAUUAUUUUGUAACUAACCUAUUAUCUACUGUUUUGGACAAUAUUGCCUAGAUUUGCUGUUUUUUUGCCUGUUUUAGGGUUUCGAAGAAAAGGAAUAUCAAACGGAGUCCAAACGGAAUGAAACCUUCGGGAACGUGAUUUUCUCAACGAACAAGACCCAGGAGACUUGGACCCUCCGUCAAGACACAAAAGAGGAGGCCACGAGGUAGAGGGCGUGCCUACCCCCCCCCCCCUGCGCGCCCACCACCCUCGUGGGCCCCCUGUUGCUCCACCGACGUACUCCUUCCUCCUAUAUAUACCUACGUACCCCCAAACGAUCAUAUACGGAGCCAAAACCCUAAUUCCACCGCCGCAACUUUCUGUAUCCACGAGAUCCCAUCUUGGGGCCUGUUCCGGAGCUCCGCCAGAGGGGGCAUCGAUCACGGAGUGCUUCUACAUCAACACCAUAACCUCUCCGAUGAAGUGUGAGUAGUUCACCUCAGACCUACUGUUCCAUAGUUAUUAGCUAGAUGGCUUCUUCUCUCUUUUUGGAUCUAAAUACAAUGUUCUCCCCCUCUCUUGUGGAGAAUUAUUCGAUGUAAUCUUCUUUUUGCGGUGUGUUUGUUGAGACCGAUGAAUUGUGGGUUUAUGAUCAAGUCUAUCUAUGAAUAAUAUUUCAAUCUUCUCUGAAUUAUUUUAUGUAUGAUUGGUUAUCUUUGCAAGUCUCUUCGAAUUAUCAGUUUGGUUUGGCCUACUAGAUUGAUCUUUCCUGCAAUGGGAGAAGUGCUUAGCUUUGGGUUCAAUCUUGCGGUGUCCUUUCCCAGUGACAGUAGGGGCAGCAAGGCACGUAUUGUAUUGUUGCCAUCGAGGACAACAAGAUGGGGUUUUCAUCAUAUUGCAUGUGUCUAUCCCUCUACAUCAUGUUAUCUUGCUUAAGGCGUUAAUCUGUUUUUAACAUAAUACUCUAGAUGCAUGCUGGAUAGCUGUCGAUGAGUGGAGUAAUAGUAGUAGAUGUAGGCAGGAGCGGUCUACUUGUCUCGGACGUGAUGCCUAUAUACAUGAUGAUACCUAGAUAUUAUCAUAACUAUGCUCAAUUCUGUCAAUUGCUCAACAGUAAUUUGUUCACCCACCGUAGAAUACUUAUGCUCUCGAGGGAAGCCACUAGUGAAACCUAUGGCCCCGGGUCUAUCUUUAUCAUAUUAAUCUCCUACUACUUAGUUAUUUCCUUUGCUUUUUUACUUUGCCUUUAUUUUACUUUGCAUCUUUAUCACAAAAAUACCAAUAAAAUUAUCUUUAUCAUAUCUAUCAAAUCUCACUCUUGUAAGUGGCCGUGUAGGGAUUGACAACCCCUAUUCGCGUUGGUUGCGAGGAUUUAUUUGUUUUGUGCAGGUACGAGGGACUCGUGCGUAGCCUCCUACUGGAUUGAUACCUUGGUUCUCAAAACCUAAGGGAAAUACUUACGCUACUUUGCUGCAUCAUCCCUUCCUCUUCGGGGAAAACCAACGCAGUGCUCAAGAGGUAGCAAGGGUUCCUUUUUGUCGACGAUCCUAUGUUUCAACCUUGUUUUCCAGGCGGCCAAUGCGUCGCUAAACUUGGGCAUGGCGUGUUUGUUUAUCUUCUUCAUUGCCAGGUCCUUAUCUGGAUCUUUAUUAUCCUUUUCAUUGCGGUUAAUGAACAAGAAUAUCUGGUGCCGCUUCUUUAAAAGGGAGGGCCUCAUAUUAUCUAUCUUCUGUAGUUUCCCAUCGUUGAUCGUGGCAGUUGUCCGUACGAUGCAACCUAUUUGAUUGCCAUAGCACGAUUGCGCUUCCUCGGGCGCUAUUGUCUCAAAAAUACCGUUGUCCAUCUCCGUGACCACCAGUCUAGUACUCGUGAGCUGGUUUCGGCGCCGUGGCCUCUUUGCUUUCGGUUCUAGACCAGCUCCGCUAGUCUCGGCGCCGGUCUCAGUCUCAUCGCCGGUCUGCAUGUCGGUAUCAGUCCCCGAUGCGACAGCACAGUCGCUGCAACAUGGGUAAGGGAGACCACAUCAGUGCUGGGGGGGUCUGAAAAUUGGGACACACUUUCGCGCAUCGCGGGCCGCCUCUCAGACAGCUACUGGGGAGGCGGCGGAGUACCUGGGUGCGCGGUAAAUCCCCGGGAACUCGGUGACCAACUUCCUUCCCGUGUGGUGCAUGGAGACGACGACGACCCCGGCAAAGAGCAGCUUAGCCGUGAGCUGCACAGCCUCGUCCACCUCCUAAGUUGGGUCCUCCGCGCGAGCGUUGCGGGGCCGCCGCUCGGAUGGCUUCUGGAAGGCGCUUGUACAUGGGCAUAGGGUGAAUCCCGGCGAGAGCUAGCCAUUGGCGCGCGCAAGUAGACGACGACGUCCCCGACGAAGAGCAGCCCGGCCAGCUCGCCUCACUCUCCUUUGAUUAGAAUUGAAAGAUUGGGAAGAAGCAGACUUGAGCCUGCAGGGAAAGGAUAAGGUGACGAUGCAGUCUCCACUCGUUCGGGGCGACACGCGAAUUGAAUGUAUGAGAAACGUGACGUGGCAGGGACCCCAAGAUACUCCCUCCAUUUAUUUUUAGUCUGCAUAUAAAGUUUGGUCAAAGUCAAGAUUUGUAAAUUUUAACUAACUUUAUAAUAAAAAAAUAUCAACAUUCACAAUAUGAAAUAAUUAUUACCAGAUGCGUGAAGAAAUGUAUUUCCAUACUAUAUAGUUUUGGUAUUGGAGAUGUUCAUAUUUUUUUAUAUAAAUGGGAAGUAGAGGCACUCUUCCAUAUAAUGAAGUUUAUAAUAUAUGUGCUUAUAUUGUACUAUAAUUGUUUGAAUAACUUAGCAUAUGUUCAGAUGUAUGAUAUCUGUAAUUUAAGCGCUUGAAUUUUACAUAUAAAUAUUUAUUAAUAAAUAUGUACCCCUAUAAUAGCUAGGCCGUGCAGUUGCACGGGUAGAUGACUAGUGAUUACAGUCUUGUUUGUGUGCAAGUCAAGCUUAUCUAGUUUACACGUAACAACUCGUAGAACAUGUUUAUGCUUGCUAAUAACUUCUAGAACACUACAACACUUUACAUGUAAAAGGAAUUUCACGAGUCAUGGCCUACUAAAGCAAGUUACAUUACUAGUCUUAUAUCUAUCUUAACAGACCACACAAGACUACAAACUAAGUACCAUGACAGCCAUGCUUAUCUAGUUUAUGCGUAACAAUUUGCAGAAAAUUACAAACUUAGUUUUAGAAAAAUGGGCAAUCCAGAUUAGUGUUUGAGCUGUAAAGUGAAUAAGAUGAGUCAUGUGUGUUAUCACACCUUUUUGGUGGUGGAAUGAUAGUGCAACAACAAGGAACUUUAAUGAACAGUGCAAGAAUACACUUGUAAGUAGUGCCACCAAACAGAACAUACCAAAUGAUGAUUUUGAGAAGCAUCCAAGCACUUUCCACACAAACAAAUGCCAAUUGUGAAAGAGAUCAUUCCAUGGCAGCUAUAAAUAGCCCCGUAGCAUGACGAUCAUCCUUCCUCAUCCAUCAUUCUCAUAAGUAGAACGCAUCAUUUAAGCCAAGCAAGGUGUGGUCAAUACAAAUCCACCAUGAAGACAUUUCUCAUCCUUGCCCUCCUUGCUAUCGUGGCGACCACCGCCACAACUGCAGUUAGAGUUCCAGUGCCACAAUUGCAGCCACAAAAUCCAUCUCAGCAACAGCCACAAGAGCAAGUUCCAUUGGUACAACAACAACAAUUUCUAGGGCAGCAACAACCAUUUCCACCACAACAACCAUAUCCACAGCCGCAACCAUUUCCAUCACAACAACCAUAUCUGCAGCUGCAACCAUUUCCGCAGCCGCAACUACCAUAUUCGCAGCCACAACCAUUUCGACCACAACAACCAUAUCCACAACCGCAACCACAGUAUUCGCAACUACAACAACCAAUUUCACAGCAGCAGCAGCAGCAGCAACAACAACAACAACAACAACAACAACAACAACAACAACAACAACAACAACAACAACAACAACAACAACAACAACAACAACAAGAACAACAAAUCCUUCAACAAAUUUUGCAACAACAACUAAUUCCAUGCAUGGAUGUUGUAUUACAGCAACACAACAUAGCGCAUGGAAGAUCACAAGUUUUGCAACAAAGUACUUACCAGCUGUUGCAAGAAUUGUGUUGUCAGCACCUAUGGCAGAUCCCUGAGCAGUCGCAGUGCCAGGCCAUCCACAAUGUUGUUCAUGCUAUUAUUCUGCAUCAACAACAAAAACAACAACAACAACAACCAUCGAGCCAGGUCUCCUUCCAACAGCCUCAACAACAAUAUCCAUUAGGCCAGGGCUCCUUCCGGCCAUCUCAGCAAAACCCACAGGCCCAGGGCUCUGUCCAGCCUCAACAACUGCCCCAGUUCGAGGAAAUAAGGAACCUAGCGCUACAGACGCUACCUGCAAUGUGCAAUGUCUACAUCCCUCCAUAUUGCACCAUCGUGCCAUUUGGCAUCUUCGGUACUAACUGAGAAGAAAAUAACUCUAGUACUAGAUAUAUGAAACACCGUUUUCUCAGUCCAUGGUUUGGUCAUUGUAGCGGUGAAAAAAUAAUGUGACAUGCACUAUCAUGUAAGAACCCGAACUAUACUAGUUCAAACUUGGGAAUAAAAGACAAACACAGGUCUUGUCUACAUAUUUAUGUUGCAUUUAUCUAAAGAUAACAAAAUGAGUCUAAAAUUUGAAUUAAAUUGAAGUAUUUUCUUGGACUUUAAUUUGCACAUUAAUUAGAAAUUACUAUCCCUCGAUCUGGUAAAUCUUAACAAAUAGAAUUAUCUUGACCGUUAGAUUUAUGUAACAUAUAUAAUGCUCUGGGCCUCCAACGACUGUACGUGACACAUCUGAACGCACAUAUGUUAAAGAAAAUAUAUUUUGUAAAUGGUGGGCCUCUUUAAAAAGAGAACUUACGUACAUACACCAACUAAGAAAAACACAUACAUGUAAAUGGGAAAAGGAUGAGAUUUUCUCACGUACAUGUGUUGAUGCUUAAAAGUGGCACGAUCAUAAAGCAGCAUGCCGGGGCGAAAACCUUGCCGGGGUAAAAUCUUGCUGGUGUGAAAGCUUGCCGGUGUGAAGGCUUGCCGGCGUGGAAACCUUGCCGGCACAGAAAGAUCGCCGGUGCUUGCCGGUGUGAAAUCUUGCCGGGGGAGAAACCUUGUCAGGGAGGAACCCUUGCCGGAGUACAAACCUUGCCGGAGUGAAACCUUGCCGGUGUGAAAGCUUGCCGGGUAGAAACUUUGCCGGUGUGGAAAGCUUACUCGGAUGGAAAACUUGCCGGGUUGGAGGCUGAGAUAGUCAAUCGAACGAGAAGUUGAAGAUGGGCUCAAAAGGUUAUUCAGAUGAUCUCGGAUGGAAAAAUGAUCUACAGGGUUGUCUUCGUCUCGUCGAAACGAUCGAUUUUGAUAUAAAAAUCAUUCAAAUCCGAGUUCGUAUGCAAAAGUUAGAGCAAUCAGAGUGCAGCCCUGUCACGAGGCGAGAUGUGGCACGCCCACCAGACACAUGUCUGACGGGUAGUGUGAGGAAAUAGCCUGUGUUGCGAGACCGAUCUGACCCUCAAGAUGACCUCUGAUCAAAAAACCUUCAACAUGAAAGUUGUUCGUCUCGUCGAAACGGUCAAGAUUGCUUUUGGGCUUGUUUUCAUCCGGAAUCGUUUACCACCGCAAAAAAGACCCGCAAGGUGCAGCCAGUUUUAACCGAACAGUUUUGGAAAGUUUGGAUAAACCAGUCCGAAUUUGACUAAUGUUUUGGACGUGAAUUGAUGUAAUUUUCUUGUAAGGAAAGCCUAGAUAAAUUCUUGGCUUGUACGGGAAGUCCAGCUGCCUCUUAUAUAUGUUGGGGGUGGCGGCCGAUUGAAACAACACAUAAUCGAACAAACACAUAUACUACUUUUUCGUGUUCAUCUACUUUUUAUCUCUCCCUUGUAUCUUUCUUCUCGUUCUUCGCUAGUUCUUCAUGCUGGAGGGCUGCGGAUCCACGAGGCUCUAGGGGCGAGUGAAUCGACCUAGGGCAGCCCAUAGCCGCCGCAAUCCCUGACGGGGUCCCUCCCGGGUGCGCGGGGUUUCGGGUCUGCAAAAGCGCCCGCCGACUGCCUUGCGUAUCACGCUGUCGGUCGGGUCUCCUUCGACGUGAGCUACGGUGCAUCACCCCCGGCGUCGAGGGUAAACGUGACAUGUUCGUGUGCGAACACACUUUUUGGCGACUCCGCUGGGGACGAAGCUCUGAACAGUCUCCAGCCUGUUCUUGCUACGAGGAGAGCGUCACCAAGCGGCUGCAAUCUACAACGGUAACAUGUAUCGUCAAUCUCCUUGCGUAGAUGCAAAUAGCCAUUAUGUUGAUGUUGCUAGAUCUUUCAACGGACAUGUGAUGUCGGCCAGCCCUAAUGAGGAAAGGCCGACUAGUUAUUCCAUUGGAGAAACUUGGAAUUUACAGAAUCGUGACAUGCAACUUAUGAAUCUGAACUUUCGUGCAUCGGCAACAACUUUCAAUAUGCCGGUGAACAACACGAUUUGUUCGAGUGAUCAAUAUAGGACACCUCAUGUACAGGAGGGUAUCUCAAAGUUUUAUCCAUCGGCAGCCGGCUCGCAAUAUGCGGGUUCAUCCCCAAACAUGCCGAUGAAUGGGGGAAUCGGUCAUGCUUUUGUUAGCUAUUUGGCCGGUUAUCCUCAAACAUCAUAUACUACACCUCAUCAGAUUAAUUGUUCAAUGGCGUAUGAAACUAAAAAUAUUCAUAACUCGGCUCACGUUCACGGUCAUGGCCGAGUGAAUGGAGAUACUAUAGGAGCAUAUGUGCCUAAUAUUGCAGGAGAUGAGGUGGCUCUGGCUGCAUUAAAAAUUUUAGCCCAAAAUAAGAAGAUUAGUGCUAUUUUCCUUGAGCAACACGACAAGGGAUUGGUUCCUGAUUAUGAGGCAAUAAGAGCUAGGGUUUUGAAAGAAGACCAAGUGUUGCCGAUUGAUCAAAUUGUCGAGAGAAAAUAUUCAACAACGAUGCACAUGCCUUCACCUAUCAUUGCAGCAUGUUAUACACCCCCUGUACAAGCGCAAAAUUUCGGCAACAUUAAUUCAUUGCCGAAAGAUCCUAAAAGUAUUGGGGGGCAAGCCGAUCCAAGCAGGGUUGAGUUUAAAGAAAAAUAUCUAGCCCAAGUGGACAAGAUCAAGCCAAAGCUCACAGGGAAUAGAGUCAACGAAUUUACUACACCUACCCUUGAGGAAUUACCAGCAGAAUAUCGACAGGCCUACGAAGCACUCAAGAAGAAACGUGGAGAGGGAUAUUUGCAAGAAUACUUCAAGUGCCUUCCUCCAUGUAGCAACCAUGUUGGCCCUUCUACACUGUUGAGGCAAGAUAAAAAAAGAAGCUUUGCAAGCAAACCAGCAAAAAAGGAUUCACUCGGCUAAUACGGUGGAUUCGGUUGAAACCGGAUUGAGCAACGGGAUGUUUAAGGCCGAGUGCGUUGCAUCGUGCCAGCCGAGUGCAUCGUUCCAGACGAGUGCAUCACCAGCUAAAGCCGAGUGCAUCAAGCCAACUAUUGCCUCGUGUACGAAAAUAGAAGAUGCAAGCUUGGCUGAGCAAAGGAACAACAAACGCAACAAAUUGGUUGUGCUCGAUUUUUCUGGAUCUAAGGGAGCUUACAUGCUACCUUAUGAGUUUCGUGCUAAAGAUAUUGAUGAGCAUCAAGAACACAGUAAUGGCUGAACACAGUUCAGUUAACGAUGAACAUCAAGACCAAGAAAAUGCGGCCGAGCAAAGUUCAACUGACAAAGAGCGUCCGAGUGAAAUCCACUCGGGCAAUCCGACUGAAAUAUACUCGGGCAAUUCGAGUGAAAUAUACUCAGGCAAUCCGAGUGAUGAGGCACCAGAUCCAGAAAAAGAGGAAGAGGCAUUGGAGAAUUAUUCAUAAGUGGAGCAAUGUAUUGUUCCAGUGGUGCAACCAUCUUCUCCUUCCAAUGUCUUCACAAAGGUACACCUAGAAGAUAGUUUACUCAAUUUUCAAUUCGGUCAAAAUGAUAUUGUUGAUGUACCUAUUAGUAAGAUUCUAAUUAAUUUUGAAAGACCAAUUGAAAUGAGUAAUCUUUUUGUUAGGAAGGAUCUUGUCACUAAUCAUGAUAGUCAACACAUGGUAUCGUUCAUAGAGGCUAAUAGUGACAACUUAUCAAAACCAAAGUUGUUCUUGUCAUGCCAACUGAACUUUGUAUUCAUAUGGACAACUUUGUUUGUUUCAUGCCCGGCUAACAUUUGGACUCGUAUGAGCCGUAUAUUCUGUAAUUAUUUUAGUUGCAGAAACAUAAAGCCAGGUCCAAAGUCCUUCGAAGCCAAUUCAAAUGCAUCAGGAAAAGAAGAUGAAUCUUUCCCAAUUGAUAAAAUUGGCGAGCAAAAAUAUGGUUUUACAACAAUGCAUAUGCCUUCACCUAAUACUACAUCAUAUUAUACAGCCCCUACACAAUUGCAAAGUUUCGGCAACACCCAUGUGCCAUUGCCGAAAGAGUCUAAAAGCAAUGGGGGACAAUCGUAUCCGAAGUGGGCUGAAAAUGAGAAAAAGAUUAAAGCCAAUUUCGCCACUCGCCGCCAGAAACAAAAAGAAACAGAAUUGGCUCAAGUGAAAGAAGCAUUGCCAAUUGGUAGAAGCAAUGUAAAGAAAGAUGAUUCAGAACAUGAAAGUACUCCGGUUAAAAGAGCCGAAUCAAGAAGUAUAUAUUCUGAAUCCAUCAAAUGCAAAGAGGCAAGCAUUAUUGAGAAAGGGCAUGGCAAGCAUAGCAAAGCGACCAUACUUGAUUUUUCUAAAGUUAAUGGAACCUACUUCCUGCCCUAUGAGUUUCGUGCCAGAGAAUUUUGAUGAACUUCAAGGACAAGAACAAGUAGCCGAACAAAGUUCGGCCGACAAAAAUCUUCAAUGUAAUGAUGCACGGAAUCAAGAAAAAGAUGAUGAAGAAGCGUUGGGGGGCCAUCCAAAGGCGGAGCAAGAUAUUGUUCAAGUCACACCACCAUCGUGCUCUCCCAACAUAUUUGAAGAGGUAUGUUUAGCAAGUAAUUUACUUAUUUUCAGAUUUGGUCAGGACUUUAUUGUUGAUGCAUCUAUUGGAAAAAUCCUCAUAAGUAAUUUUGAAAGACCAAUGAAGAAGGGUAAUUUACUUGCUAGCAAUAAAGUUGUUAUUGAGCAUAUCGGUCAACCCAUUACGCCAUUUAUAAAGACCGAUAGUGACUUAUUAUUACAGCCAAAGCUUUCCCCGUUGCUUUAUCUAAAGUUCAUAUCUAUUUGGGUAGCUUUGCUUAUUUCAUACUUGGCUUGCACUUGGUCUCAAUUGAGACAUGUGUGUUCUAACUAUUUUCGUUUUAGAAAUUUAAAGCCAAGAUUAAAUUCUGUUGAGAAAACCGAUGCUAGUAUAAUAUCUUACCCAAAGACAUCGGAGAUAGAGUGCAAAACACAAUGCAUAGCCGAAUGGUGUGAUGCAAAAUCUGAACCAUUCGUUUGCUUAAUUCCAAAGCCGUUCUCACAGCAAGAUCGGCUAGAAAACAAGAAGUAUACCUUCAAUUCAAGCAUGUGUGUUCAAAUAUUUGAUUUGUUGCUGAAAAAUAAUUACAUUACAAUUCUUGAUCACCAUGUUAAGCCAUCAAUCCAAGGACGAAUGUAUUGUAAGUUGCAUGAUUCGUCCAAGCAUGAUUUUGAGGAUUGCAACAUGUUUCGUCAAAUAGUUAAAUCGGCCAUUGAAAAAGGACGAUUGAAGUUUGUUGAAACACCAAGAGAUGACCAGUCUAUUCCGAUUGGUCCCGAUGGCAAAAAGUUUUUGCAUCGGCUGCUUCGAGCCGAUCCAUUUAAAGAGAAGGUAAAAACUGCAGGUGAUGGGAUCAAGCUUUCAACUAAAGAAGUUGUUGAAGAGCAUAAUGAACAUAAUCUUGAGGGUGAGAAUUCCAUCGAAGCUACAAUGGAGACGCCAAGGACUGGGGGGCAGCAAGCAAAUCCAACGAUCGAUGAAAGCAAACCAAAAGAAAACAAAGGCCGAAAUAAGCGCAAGUGUAAAAUAUCAAAAAUCACCUUCGCUGAACUAUUGGAGAAAUAUCAAAAGAAGAGUGAAGAGAAGAAUGCUUAUCGGCCCAAUCAUGCAAAGAAACCAAAAUCACCCCCAAGGCGCAAAUAUGAGGAUCCGUAUUGGCAAAGUGAGAGUUUCAAUGCAACAUAUUCAUAUCCUUAUUUUGGGCCGCCAAUGACAAUGCCGUGGAUGCCUCCCUAUACUCAUGUAGAUCCAUGUUCAUCAUGGGACAGGUAUGAUACAAGGGCACAUUCUCCAUCUUAUUUUAGACCAUCUCACCAAUAUUAUGCAGCUCCGAGAAGAUCAACAUUUGAACAGUCACAUGUUAAAGAUCGUUUCAAUUAUAAGGAAUCGGUCCGGACACCAUGGAUGAAAAAAGAGGUGGUCAACCAAGUCUACCGCGUGAAAAGAGAUGGUCGUAAGUGUGCUACUUCAGAUUUGAUCUCAAAUAAUAAAGAGCCAAUUAAAGUGUUGACAUUGUCUACAAAAGGCAAUGAGACGAAGCAACCAAUUAUUGAGAGUCAAAGUGCCAAAUCAGAAGAAAAGAAGUUGAGAGUGCACAAGGUCAAAAAGGAAUUGCCAUUGGUCAGAACAGAAUCAUAGCCGAGAUGCCCACUCGGCUUAUCGUAUUGGCAAAAGAGGGAAUUACACAAACUUAGUGCACAAGAACUUGAAGAAAGGAACAUGGCAUGGGUUCCCAAAGGAAGUGCUCAAAAUAAGAAUUAUGUGCAUGCCUCCAUUACAAGAAGUGCGGCAAAAGUGAAGAAGGAAAAGAGUAAAAACUAUGAAGGACCAAGCCGAAGGAUUCAACAUCUUUGGUCUACACAUUAUCCAUAUUCUUCAACUAUGCCAUUAACGCCUAUGCCAUGGAAUUCGUCAUCAGGUAUGAUUGGUAACCCUCAAUGGGCUUAUUUUAAUCCAUGGAUGCAAUAUAAUUUCUUACGUCAUGAAAGGGUAUUACCAAGUCACUAUACAUUUGAUUAGCUACAAGUUUGUUGCUGAUCCAGAGGGCCGAAAUACUUGAUUUGUCAUUUCAUUUGUUUAUUUCGGCUAUAUGUGCUUUGAAUGAAGUUUACAUGGUAAUGGCCGAUGAUAUUUAUCUAUCGUCCUAAGAGUAUGUCAAUUCAUGCCCGGUGUAGUAUUCUAAUAUCAUCCUUAGUUUGAUGGAGAGCGAGACAAGGUACAUGCUCAUGAAAAUUUAUAUGUAUGCCUAUAUUAUGAUUGAAUGGAGUUGAGACAUCAUGACCGAUGUCAUUGAAUAUAUGCUGCAUAGACCAAUUCAUAGCUGCAGAAUUGGUUGGUGGGCUUAUACUUUGUUUGGAUAUGAUUUGGCUUAUGCAUCUUUGAGAUCUAUAAGAGGCCAAAUCAUAGUUGAUUUUGUUACUGAACAUCGGAUUAGUGUCAUGCAUAAUAUUAAUAUUAUCCUUGUCUCUCUAGUACUAUGGAGAUUAUGUUUUGAUGGUUCAAUUCAUAGCAAUGGCCAAAGUGUUGGUGUUGUUUAUAUAUUUCUUUAUGGUACUAUUUUUUGAAGCCUCGUGCCGCUUAGAAUAUUUUUAUGCACGAUUAAUCAAGGCCGAAUAUGCAUUGUUAUUCGGAUUGACUCUUUUACUUGCUGUAGGUGUUAUACAGAUUGAGGCUUUUGGUGAUUCGUUAUGAGUAGUGCAACAAAUAUCCAAGGAUUAUCAAUGUGUUUUGACGAAUCACUUAUAGUUUAUCUUGGGUUUGUCUAGAUGAAGAAUUUACCUUGGGUUGCAUUAAAUUUUUUCAUAUAUUUAGACAUGACAAUUGGAGAGAGUUGGCAUAGCAAGCAUCCGGCUACCAUGUCCAUCAUGUUGUAUUGCGUUUCUCUCAAUAGCCGAUGCUUAGUCUUGUCAACAUAGGUAAGGCCGAACCGAAGUCUAGAACUUCGGACACUAAUGAAAUUUUUAUGCAGGCGAAAGUAAGGAUUGGAGAAAGUUUAUUGUUGAUUGUCUACAAAAUCCUAGCAAAAGGGUGAACAAUAUGGUUCGGAGUAUGACAUUGAGAUACAUAUCUAUGGAACUUUAUCACCGGAUUGUUAAUGAAGCUGAGAAGGUUUCACCCAAGUUUGCAUCAGAAAGUUCACACAAGACAUGGCCGAUAUAUACUUAUCGUCCUAAGAACAUAUAAAUGGCCGAUGGAGUGUUGACAUCGUCCUUAGAACAAACUUGGUACAAGUAUUUUUCGGCAUGCUAGCUUUACCGAAAAACGGGAGGGCAUGUGUUGACGCUCAAAAGUGGCACGAUCAUAAAGCAGCAUGCCGGGGCGAAAACCUUGCCGGGGUAAAAUCUUGCCGGUGUGAAAGCUUGCCGGUGUGAAGGCUUACCGGCGUGGAAAGCUUGCCGGCACAGAAAGAUCGCCGGUGCUUGCCGGUGUGAAAUCUUGCCGAGGGAGAAAUCUUGUCAGGGAGGAACCCUUGCCGGAGUACAAACCUUGCCAGAGUGAAACCUUGCCGGUGUGAAAGCUUGCCGGGUAGAAACAUUGCCGGUGUGGAAACCUUACUCGGAUGGAAAACUUGCCGGGUUGGAGGCUGUGAUAGUCAAUCGAACGAGAAGUUGAAGAUGGGCUCAAAAGGUUAUUUAGAUGAUCUCGGAUGGAAAAAUGAUCUACACGGGUUGUCUUCAUCUCGUCCAAACGAUCGAUUUUGAUAUAAAAAUCGUUCAAAUUUGAGUUUGUAUGCAAAAGUUAGAGCAAUCGGAGUGCAGCCCUGUCACGAGGCGAGAUGUGGCGCCCCCCACCAGACACAUAUCUGACGGGUAGCGCGAGGAAAUAGCCUGUGUUGCGAGACCGAUCUGACCCUCAAGAUGAUCUCUGAUCAAAAAACCUUCAACAUGAAAGUUUUUCGUCUCGUCGAAACAGUCAAGAUUGCUUUUGGGCUUGUUUUCAUCCGGGAUCGUUUACCACCGCAAAAAAGACCCGCAAUGUGCAGCCAGUUUAAACCGAACAGUUUUGGAAAGUUCGGAUAAACCAGUCGGAAUUUGACUAGGGUUUUGGACGUGAAUUGAUGUAAUUUUCUUGUAAGGAAAGCCUAGAUAAAUUCUUUGCUUGUACGGGGAGUCCAGCCGCCUCUUAUAUAUGUUGGGGGUGACGGCCGAUUGAAACAACACACAAUCGAACAAACACAUCUACUACUUUUUCGUGUUCAUCUACUUUUUAUCUCUCCCUUGUAUCUUUCUUCUCGUUUUUCGCAAGUUCUUCAUGCUGGAGGGCUGCGGAUCCACGAGGCUCUAGGGCCGAGCGAAUCGACCUAGGGCAGCCCAUAGCCGCCGCAAUCCCUAACGGGGUCCCUCUCAGGUGCGCGGGAUUUCGGGUCUACAAAAGCGCCCGCCGACUGUCUUGCGUAUCGCGCUGUCGGUCGGGUCUCCUUCGACGUGAGCUGCGGUGCAUCACCCCCGGCGUCAAGGUUACAUGUGACGUGUUCGUGUGCGAACAACGUGCUCCCUGGCUCCACCCCGUUGAAAAAAUAUACAUUUGGAGGCCACUUUGUUUCCUCAUCAAAAAAAACUUACGUUAAAAAGAUUGCAUGCAUCCCAGGGAAAGUAAUCAAGAAGAAGUCGGACUCUUCCUUACAAAAACAAGGAACGUGUUAAGUUAACUUCAAAGAAAAAGGAACAUGUUAAGUUAAAAAAAAGAAGAAACAUGUUAAGUUAGAAAAAAACAAGGAACGUGUUGUCCUAGGAAAGAUAUGUGUCAAAUCUUACAAAAAAAAGAAUACACACACGUACGUUCAUGCACUUGGAAAAUAGAAAAAAAAGGAACAUCACGUAUGUAUACACUUCGGAAACUCAUUACAUGACCAUGUCUGAUAUACUCAUCUAAUGCUUAAUAUUAGUGCCUAAUAAUUUAUAUUUAAAAUUUAAUUUACUGAUCAAAUAUCCCCAAUGUUUAAAUUUUAAUUUGGCACAUUGUUUGGCUAUAGUAUGAACCUAAAUUUCCUCUUAUUAUUAUAUAUCAUGAUAAUAAUCCAAAGGCGACUAAUCUGCGCUGGUGCACCGGGGCAAUCAAUUCGGCCGGACACAGCGCGGCCUUUUGAUUAGAUUGCAUUUAACCGUCUGAUCUGGAAUUGUUUUCUUUCCAAUUAAACGGAUUCAACCAAACAGCAGAGGGGAAAACAAAGCAGCGCCGCCGCCAACACUAGCCAUGGACGAUCGAUGUAGCAAAACCUUGAAGAACCGCCGCCGGUCGCCACCCUCGCCGCUGGUGGCCGCCCUCGCCAUCGGUCACCGCCGGUCGCCGCCCUCGCCGCCUGCGUUUCUCAUCGGCUUCAUGCAUGCAACAACAUGCACUCGUGGUUGCAGGCUUGCAGCUCCGGCUCCGGGGGACAUGGCCGCAUCUCCGGUAACGCCGGCCGCCAACCAUAGCACCUGUCAUUGUGGUCGCGUUGUACCUCACCGUGUGCCCUCCCAAGGCUCUUGCUGGUUCCAACAAAAAACGAUACCUGUUGUAGCAAAAAAGUUUAUCGCUUCCAGCAAAAAAGCUUUCCGCUACAGCCCGCCAUUGUCAUUGUAGCAAAAAUGUUAACCCGAUGUAGCUUUUGUGGUUGCCGACUGCAACAAAAAAUGACAUGGUUGAAGCAAAACACAAAAGAAAAACGCCGGCCGGCCGCUGUGUAUGGUGGUAACAAACCCUAUAGCCGGUGGUAGCGAAAAACUUCAUAGUUUGCAGCAAAAAAAUGUUGUCGCCCGUCGUCGAGGUUGCAUCAUCUUCAUGAAUUAUGUCGCAAAAAAACAUUGUCGCCGGUAGUAGCAAAUGAAGCCGCCCGGUAGUAGCAAAACAAGACACUGGUUCCAGCCAAAAAAAAUCAGCGACAGAACCUUUGGUUGGUUCCAACAAAAAAACUUGUCGGUUGUAACAUCCCUCGCCGCCGGAUGUAGCAUCUCCCGGGGCUGGUUGCAACACUCUAAAAAAAAGUUGUCUAAGAGCGCAUCCAUGGCGACUGCUGCACCGUCAGCAACGAGGGGAAGAGGAGGCAAUGAAAAUCGUUCGAGUCGUAGCUCCACAGGACGCGGCUGCAGCAUGGGGAGUCCAAAAAUCUGUCACAAGCAACAUGCGCCUCGCCAUCCUCCUGCGUAGGAGAGAGAAGAAAAAGGAAUAAGAGGAAGAAGAAAGGAAACGGGAGAAAGAAAAAAGAAACGAUUGGUGGUGGGCUGAGGCAAUUAGUCAAACGAGGGGCACGCGGGGCCGCAGGAUACAGCGCAAUCGAACGAAGCACGCGCGUCCGGCCGAAGACUCGGCCGGACUGCCGGCUGGAAACGUUUCCCUAAUCCAAAGGCUUUGUCUGAAUGACAAGUCGUCUAGGUUACCGGCUAACUAGAAAAAAGAUAAAUAUGCUAGAGAAUUUCAUAAUAAUUAGAAAUAUCUAGCCUUUAAUUAUGUAAAUCAGAAAAUCACAACCGUAGGAUUUACUUUAAAGGUAAAUUUCUCUAAAUUCCCACCAUUGCCAGUAUGUAGAAACAUGUGCUGCUUCAAUUCUCCCAUAAUCACCAAUCAAUCAACAACACAAAACAUACCUCAGUUAAAAAAAACUGAACAAAAAAAAGAAAAAAAGAAGAAAGGACAAGAUACACGCAUGUACACGACAGCCUUGGCUUGAAACACAUCAGUAGAUCAAGUGUCCGCCUCCCUUACACAGAAUAAAUUCUAGGGAAGAAAAUAAUAGUGCAACCUAACCUUAUACGUACUAUUCUAUCCUCACGUCCCAUGAGGUUUACUAGCCUACCGCCGCCGCAUCAUGCCAUCCUCUCCUUUCAGCUCCCAUGCUCUCCAGCAUCCUCCUUGCCGCGCCACUACUCGCCUAGGAAUAUUGCUGCUCAGACCGCGGAGCUUAACCUGCUUCUUCUUCAGCAAAUAUGGAACUGCUUUAGGAUCCUUCUCACAUCAGCACGUAUGGGCCUCAUUAUACUGCAGCUCCUGGACCUCCUACAAUUGGUUGGCUAUGGCCAGUUGAUCGAUGUGCUGAAGUCUAGGUCUGUUUGCUGGCACAUAUGCUUUGGAAAUAGGCCACUAUGUUUGUACUUCAAAAUUGUUUCGGUAUUCUUGAGUGGUACAUCCUUUUAAGUGCCAGUUUUUUAUGUUAAUUCGACAACACUUAACCUAGCCUUUCAUGUUCACGUACUAAAUACAGGAGCAAGUAAAAAAAACAGACCACCUAAUUGCUCUGCAAGUUCUACAUAGGAAAAUUUGUCAUGUUCUACGAUCGCACCAUCCCACCCUUCUCUCUUGGUAUGGGCGCCAAUUGAGGGAUUGAUAAAACUGAAAUGAAGACGUCACAGGGCUGGAAGUACCGCUAGCCUGGUUUGCACUGCAACCUACCCAACGCCAUCAGAAACUAGCAACUGAGGCAGGUGUUGAUCGAUUCUCUCAAAUUGCUCUCAUGUAAGUACUACCCCUUGCAUGUGCGUACAUACCUUUGUUGCAUUCUCAAACAGAUAGAACAUGUAUGAUCGGUGCAUGGCUAUUUUUAGGUAUAGCGACUGCACAACUUCUUCAACUCCAUAUGAUGCUAGUGUAUUGCAUCGAAAGAAUCAACGGAUUGCUAGAGAUCAACUGAGGUAUUCUCAUAUUAUUGGCUCGCUUAUGUAUUUGACGACUGCCACGAGGCCUAACAUCUCGUUUGCUGUUAGCAAGCUGAGUCGGUUUGUGUAAAAACCAGGAGAUGAUCAUUGCCAUGCGCUUGAGAGAGUUAUGCGCUAUUUGAAAGGCACCGCGAGCAAUGGGAUUCACUACACCGGGUAUCCAAGGGUACUGGAGGGUUAUAGUGACUCAAACUGGAUAUCUGAUGCUAAUGAGAUUAAGGCCACAAGUGGUUAUGUUUUUACACUUGGUGGUGGCACUGUUUCUUGGAAGUCCUGCAAACAGACCAUCUUAAUGAGGUCAACUAUGGAAGCGGAACUCACAGCAUUAGAAACUACCACUGUUGAAGCAGAGUGGCUUCGUGAGUUCUUGAUGGACUUACCUAUAGUUGAAAAACCAAUACCCCCUAUCCCUAUGAACUGUGAUAAUCAAACUGUGAUUGUCAAGAUAAACAGUUCUAAGGACAAUAUGAAGUCCUCAAGGCAUGUGAAGAGGAGACUGAAAUCUGUCAGAAAAUUGAGGAACUCCGAAGUUAUUACGUUGGAUUAUAUCAAAACGUCGAAAAAUUUGGCUGAUCCCUUCACAAAGGGUCUAUCACGUAAUGUGAUAGAUAAUGCAUCGAUGGAGAUGGGUCUGAGACCCACCGCAUGAGUUGUCCAUAGUGGUAACCCACUCUAUGUGAUCGGAGAUCCCGUGAAGUAGAAGUGGGAGACAAGUUGUUGGUCAGCUGGGAGGAGAGUAUCCCUAUAUUACCUAUCCCACUCCCUGAAGAUGCAAUACUCUCCUAAUCUGCAUGGCAGGUUGAUACUUACCUUAAUGUGUUCCAAGUGGCUUAUUCGGGUAAGUAGAAAUGUUGUCCUGCAGAACAUCUUCUGAGGAACACACCUAUAUGAAUUUGACUGUUAACAUUGUAGUCUGUGAGAAUUGGGUGUUCUCUAAUAAAUUCAUGAAAAGGCCCUGGAGUAUGACGUAUACGCUCCACCCGCGGGGAAGCCUUGCGGCAGCCUAGUAUCGGUCAAGAAUUUGUGUGAAACUAGUCUCGCAGAAAAUUUGUAGUUCAAGGCAUAGUCCACUAUUUAAGUUGUGAUCUAGUGUAGCAUAAAUCUCUAAGUGGAAGUUCAACUUCAUAGUCUCCACUAAGCACCGGUAUAUAAACAAUGUUUUGGAACUAAAUGAUGAGAUGUUCCAAUGAGUCUUUGUGGGGGAAUUGUUGGAAUUUUGCUAGUACGCCUUUGGCCCAAAGCCCAACUAAAAUUAUGAAAUUUUCUUGGCCCAUUCAUGCAUACAUGUGAGUGGAGUGAGUGAGACUAAAGUAUAGUCCCACCCCGGAAGUUGAGAGAGAGCACCUCUUUAUAAGGUAAGCUCUUCUACCACUUGUAUGAGCAUGAGAAUAGGAGACCUACACACGCGCUCCUCCUUGCUCGCCACGCCACGCCUCGUCACGACGCGCUGCAGGUUGCGGGAUUGAGCGGAGCCGAGGACAGAGCUAUGCACGUUGUCUAUUUUUUGCUACCCGGGAAAAAUUAAUGAGUCAUUAAUUAAUAAUUAAUGGACGCGUUAAUAACUGAACCGUUUCCGAUUCUUUUGGAUCGUGACGACUCGGACAUGGGGUUUACUCCCACGACCUACCCGGCCCGCACUAUAUAGUCAGUCAGACGUCUACCCUAGCCGCCGCCGCUUCGUAUGGUUUCUCACCACCAUUCCAGAUCAUUGCGCCGCAAAGCAAGUCUUCUCCAUACCUCCUUUCGGCGUGCACUGGGAGAAGGAACAGCAGGCCUUCGGAACCCCGCCGCUCGUGAUCCUGUACGGGAGAGGGGCGAUCAGGUUUUUGGGGAGCGCACUCGCGCGACUGCUGGCAGCGACGACUUCGCGAAUGACGACUUCAUCCCGGACCUCGGCAACCUCAUCCUCGACGACAUGGGUGACAACGUCAACGCCGGCGGUGCUGCAGCCGCUGCACCGUAUGUUAUUCUAUCCUUCUUGUUCGAGAUCGUGGUAGAAUUCAGGUUUCUAGUAUGUGCCCUAGAUGUGAUCUGUUCAUCUACUCUGCUAGUUCGCAUGAUUAGUUUAAUCUCUGCUAUUGCUGUCAUGAUCUAUUUCCAAUUUAUUCGGAUUAAAUCUCGUAGUAAUUUGCUCAUUUUUCCAACAAUGCCAUCUGAUAGAUGAUGUAAUUCUCGUCAAGUUUGACGUUGUUGAGCUAAUUUACAAAAAAACCUCAUCAUUAUUGGAUGUCCUUAACAGCUCAAGAACAAGUUGGGGUCGAACUAAUGGAUUUUACACUUUUACAUUAAAGGUUUAGCUAAAGCUAGCAGGUGUUUUUAAACCUGAUUUUUUUCCUCCUAAAUUUCUUUGUAUUUUCUUAUUGACACUAUUUAUACAAUCAUCUGACAAAGAUUUGCUAAAGCUGCUUGUAGAUACGUUGAAACCUGAAAAGCUUCUUUGGUUUUCUCAUAGGUCUUAAUUCUUAUGUAAUACCAAGAUGCAUUGUGGUAGUGUACAUGUGUUAAAUUCGUGUUGUUAUUCACAAUUUGCGACAAAAUUUAGCUCACGCUACAUUUCAAUAUGUUGAAAUGUGAAAGCUCUUUUUCUUCUCCUUUCUACACCUUGCAUCGGAUUGCAUCCCUUUAGUUAUCCAACAUUUUGUACAACAUGUAGAGAUUAGGAAGUUCAUCAUAGUUUGUCUAUUUCGGUGCUAAUAAAUGUAUGAAAUCUGCAUUUCCAAGCUAUUAGGACAAGUAAAAAAUAAUAAUUUUACUAUAGGAUUCAAAAACAGCAGUUCUGAAGUGCACUUUAUUUAUUUGCGAAAGUGACCACAUUUUGUUUCAUUUUUCUAUAGACAAAUCUACUAAUACAUACUCACGAUAAAACUAUAAAAGUUCUAGUCCGCACAUUGGGCGGGCCACCCGGCUGGUUCGUCUAAAGAAAACAAAAUGAGUCUGGAAUUUGAAUUAAAUUGAAGUAUUUUCUUGGACUUUCAAAUUGAGUAUAGUUAAAGUAGUAAGGACUAUCCACAUCCUUGGCUUGCCCCUAAUCAAUUAUUUCCAGAGAAGCAUUCAAUUCAUCAAUCAAUUACAUUGAUUUUAGUGGCUGGUACUUCUCCUGAACAUCAGUAUAUUCACCGUGGCCACUCCAAAUCGGCAAGAAUGAGGUACCAGUGCUCUGGAGCAGUGCAAGCUAAUUGCUUCUCAUGUGAAGGGGUGCGGGCGCGGGAGAGGUAUUUCUGGUGGGCCAAGGGACUAAGAAGCGACCGUGGCAGCGGUACAGACGCCCGCAAAGCCCCAUAGUUUGUUUUUGAUUUACAGGAAAAUUGCACAUCCAUACUGGCCUGGGGAAUAUAGGACCGUAUUGGAUGGAAAACCAUGUCCGGAUGGUUGCGAGCGGUUUGAGGGUUAGCUUUUGUAACACCCGGUUAGUUAUGCUACAGCAAUUCCCUGCUAAUGAUGUCACGUCACCACGAUUACUGUUGUUAACCUCACAAUGAUUGAAUCCCAUUCAAAUUCAAAUUUAAAAUAAAGGCAAACAUCAAAAGUUUUCAAACAUGAAAACUAAAAUCUUUGAGAGGUGACAAAUAAUGCAUAAGUAAUUAUGGUGGAGAAACCACACUUUAAUUAAAUGUUAAAAUACUCUAAAAUGAAAAAAACAGUGGCUUAAACUAUUAUUUAAAUGCUUUUAAAAUAGUAAAAAUCUUCUAACUAAAUUAUUUGGGUACCAAACUUUUGGUGGCAGUGGUAUAUUUAGUAGAACUAAUUUAGAUGCUAAUUAUAUAAUUUACAAAAUUAGAAUAAAUUGAAAAAUAGGAUAAAACGGAAAAGGAAAGACAAAACAAAUAAAAGCAAAAAGGGGGCAACCCCUCGCUGGGCCUCGGCCUAGCUGGCCACUAGGCGAGCUAGGCUGGCCCCGCUGCCUCCCUUAACCCCCACACUCCUCAUCGAACCCAAGCCCGAUCGCCCCACUUCCCCACACCCCCUCGCCAGCCUCCCCACCCCUUGAUCCCAUCUGGAUCGGCGAGUGUAUUGCCCCCAUCGACCCCGUUGCCAUCGCUAGAUCGCCCGCCGACGUCGCCAGGCCUCCUCCCCGCCGCACGUCUUUGGCUCGCCUCUCCUCUCGCUCCUCUUCCCCGGCCCGAUCUUGAUCGUGAACGAGCAAUGAGCUUGAAGCCCCCCUUCACCGGCGCCAUCACCGUGCGCCACCACCACCGCCUGAAGACCUCACCGUCGCUGAACCUUGCGUCGCCUCCUCGUAUCCCUCCCCUACUCACGUCCUCAAGCCAGGCCGAGCCCCUUCUCGGCAACGCUGUGAGACGCCCCCGUUUCCCUCCUCUUUCCACCGCGUUCACCACGCCGCCCGCCAUGCCCCUCGCCGUGCGCAUGCCCACCACCGCACCAGCCCCCGCUCCGCGCACGACCCUACCCGCGCCCGCGACAUGAUCCCCUUUUCCGCCCUAUCUUCCUGCGCUCGCCGCGGUCCCGAUGCUCCCCCGCGCCUUCUUUCAGGGGCGCCGACUGCCCCUGUCCCGCUGCUCGCCGCCGUGCCUCGCCACCGCUCUACUGCUGCGUUACUACUGUGCUGCGGCCGCCGCCUCUUCCUGCUGCUCCGCCAGCGCCGAAGCUCCCAGUUGGCUCCACCACUGCUCACUUUAAACCGCCGGCCUAAAUGGCCUAACCCCGGCUAAUGAACCCCCACUAACCCACUGACACCGGGACCCACAUUCCCUAAUUAACCAUUUAAUAAAUUAAAACUCUUAAAUUAACAUUAGUGUAUGACAUGUGCGUCCCCUGUUAAUUAAUAAUUUUGCUGCUAGUUUUAUUAGUUUCUGUUUUUCUGCAUAUUUCUUUUGUAUUUGAACACGCUUUAUACAGUAAUAUUUAGCGUAUCAUACACAUACAAAUGUAAUCAUAGCAUAUACAUACAAAUAGUCUCAUCAAAUCAUGUCAUCAUCAUAAUCAUCAUCCAUCACAAAGUGGUCUCUCGUCAUCAUCUCGAAAAUAGCGAUACAAGUCUCGAUUACUUGCAACUACAUCGUCAUCCAUCUAAAUAAUGAUAUACGCGAGAAGAGCUAUUACUAUGAGUACGAGCGGAACUAUGCAGUACAUGAGGCUGUAUCCCUCUCUCGCAUUAGCGUGAACCUAAACUAACUACUGGCUGUUGCUCGGAAACCGGAAACCGGUACACCUAGGCUUGACACUCCGGCCACUCGUCGUAUACUCCUGGCGUAGAACUUCUUCUCCAUCGAUGAUCUAUGUGAAGGAAAUAUGCCCUAGAGGCAAUAAUAAAGUUAUUAUUUAUUUCCUUAUAUCAUGAUAAAUCGUGAUGGGAAUGGGCCGGGUCGGCCCGCUGGGUCACUGACUCGGCCCGAAAUCUCGAGGCCAAUGGGCCAGGGAGGUUGGCCUCGAAUCACAAAACGGGUCAGUGGAGCCGGCCCCGUGUGACCCGAUGGACCAGAUGGGUCGACCCAGCGCUGCCCUAGUCCUCCAUCUAUGCCGCCGCCCCCCACGAUCUCUGUAGCCGCUCCCGAUGAUUUCUUCCGCCGCCGGCCAUCUUUGCCGCCCCUGGCAUCCCCCGACCUUCUCUAUCGGCCGCUCCCGACCUGCUGCCGCCGCCGGCUGCCCCUGAACAUCUUUGCUGGCCUGCUGCCGCCGGCGUUCCUCCCGCAUCUCGUUCGUCGUCUUGGUCGCCGUCGAGCUCGCUGACCUGCGGUCCCGUCCACCAUCUACCUCGCCAUUCCGGUCGCCGUCCUCAUCGUCAUCAUCACGCAGGUGAGACUCUUGCCGGCUUCCUCCCUGUCCCAGCGCAGCUGCAAUGACUGGUCUAGUUUAGGUUCUUGGUCUUGCUGGCACUCUCUGCGUUGUCUGCAAUUGUUUCAGUAGUUGGAGCUUGGAAGAAAUAGUCAACACUCAAAAAUAGACUGUUUGAUUGUUCAGCAUGGGACUUGUUUGAUUGUUCUCAAGAAGAAAUAGUGCUUCAGUUGAGCUCCUGUGUAGCUGCAGUUUAGCAUUCAACAACAGUUUUCUUUUUUGUGCAGCAUGCCACUUUCUUUUUUGUGCAGCAGCUUAGCUGCAGUUUAGCCUUUCGGUCCUCUGAUCCGAGGAAAAGUAAUUAGUGUUACUUCCUGUUGUUGGUUACUAAAUAAACCAGAAAUAGUUGUCCUGUGAAACAAUUUUACUCUGUUUUUUUGUUGAAUCGGCAAAUUUUACUCUGCUGGUAGGAUGGAGUAGUGCAUAUGUUGAUGAUGCUCACGAAAAACCUUCCUGGAGUAGUGCAUAUGUCCAACUGUGAGUUUCUUCUAUUCCUCGAAUGGCCGUUUGGUGUGGUGUUCUCCUAAUUUGUUGCCUGACAAGCUAGGUGUUGUGGGCGUGCUGCAUAAGAAGUAACAAUGGUUAGAAGAUGUAGUUAAUGCUUAGUUUUUUAUGUGAUAUAGGGUCAUGUGACUUCUUUUUCUUGGGCUAGCUGCCAGGUUGAGUUUGCGUAUAUGCAUAUCAGUGUAGCUGAUCCAUCGACAAGUCCAGCAUUUUUUAGUGUCAGUUCAGGGGAUGCUUUACUGGCAGCGAUUUCUGUAGUGUUGCUCAAUGGGAUGCUUUGCCGACAGUGAUUAGACCGUAAACUAAACUAUCCGGUUUCUUAUCUGCAUGCAUCUGCUGUUGAUUUUGAAAGUUAAUGCUCUCUAAUGUUCAUAUAUUUCCCUCUGAUUAGAAAAAUGGAAGAGGAGGAAGGGGACCAUGAGGCAUACCAAAGUGGUGGUUCAUCGUUGAUAUCCGGUGCGAUAAUGAGAAGGGCUCAACCACCCCCAGGGGUGUCUCCUUCUUCGAUAGACAUCUGUAGAGCUUAUCAUGGUGAGUAUUGUUAAUCUUUCUUUUUAUAGGGAUGCAAAUUAAUGGUUGCUAAAAUAAAAAAUACUCAUAAUUGUAAUGUUAACACUCGUGUCCUUUGCUCAGCAGGACGUUCGCAAGACACUCGUAUGGUUGAUUUUGAAGAAGAUGAGGCUGAUGAAGAAGAUGUUGACUAUGAAGAAGCAGAGGAAGGAGAAGAAGAUGAGGAUGAUGAAGAAGAAGAAGAAGAUGAUGAUGAUGAAGAAGAAGAAGAAGAGGGAGAUAAUGUGGAUGAAGAGGGAGAGGUUGAGAUCAUUGACAUGGGAUCGUUUUCUGAACCGGGAAGAAAGUUUUUGUCGAAAGUGUGGAAAGAAUAUGAGCCUAUCCGUGUUGAUGGCAUUGUUGUAGCUGCUGAGUGCAAACACUGUGCAAGGAAUAUUUGUGCUGAGCGUAAACAUGGAACAAGUUCAUUGCGCAAACAUUUGAAGAGAUGCAGGGAAAGGAAGAAGGUUCUUAGAGUUUCUGGACAGCUGAGUGCUUCUAUCGUGAGUCCUGAUGGAGUUGCAAUGGGGCUUUGGACCUUUAAUCAGGCAUUAGCACGCCGAGAGCUGAUGAGGAUGAUAGUGUUGCAUGAAUUGGCAUUCUCAUUGGUGGAGUACGAUGGAUUUAGAAGAUUUGUCUCUAGUUUAAAUCCUAGCUUCAAGAUGAUAUGCAGAAAAACUGUGAAGGAGGACUGCAUGAAAGCAUUUAAGGAAGAGAAGAGAAUUUUGCAAAGGAUGUUCCAAAACUCCAAAUCCAAGAUUUCUUUGACUACGGACCUAUGGACAUCAAAUCAGACAGUGGGGUACAUUUGCAUCACAGCUCACUUCAUUGAUGAGGAGUGGAAGCAGCAGAAGAGGAUAGUGAAAUUUGCAGCUAUGGAGACGCCGCACACAGGAGCUGCAAUGUUCAACGUCAUGGUGAAUUUCAUAAGAGAGUGGAACAUUGAAGAUAAUCUCUUUGCUGUGACGCUAGACAAUGCAUCGAACAAUGGUGCAAUGAUGAAGCUAUUGAAGGCACAUCUCCUGCUUAAGAAGAUGUUACCUGGUGGUGGCAAGUUGUUUCACCAACGUUGUGCCGCCCAUGUCAUAAAUCUGAUAUGUCAAGCAGGAUUGAACUUCCUUGGUCCAGUGAUCAACAUGAUACGUGAAACUGUGAAAUAUAUUCGAAGCUCACCAAGUCGAAAGGAAAAAUUUCAAGAAAUUGUUGAGCAACAUGGUGUAUCAUGUAGGAGAACUCCAAUUCUUGAUGUUCCAACUCGUUGGAACUCAACCUACAUGAUGAUUGAUAUAGCAAAAGAGUAUCGUGGAGUGUUUGACUCUUUGGCCAUUCAAGAUAAACAAUAUACCUUCAAGCCAUCUUUUGAGGAUUGGGAAAAUGCUGAAGAUGUUUGCAGGCUACUGAAGGUAUUUUAUGAAGCCACUAAUGUGAUAUCCGGCACAAAAUAUCCAACUGCUAACUUGUAUUUCCAUGAAAUGUGGAAAGUGAAGCUGACCUUAGAGCAACAACAUUAUGAAGAGGAUUCUGAGAUGGGCACAACGGUCAAAUAUAUGAAGAGAAAAUUUAGAAGGUAUUGGAAGAUGACAUGGUUGAGCCUUUGUAUUCCAGUGAUUUUGGACCCACAAUUCAAGUUGAAAUAUGUUGAUUUCCGAUUUGGCCUAGAGUUUGGGAACGAAGUUGCAGCAAUGAUUGCUAAAAUAAAAAAUGUGUUCCAAGGGUUGUUCAAGGAAUACCUCCAAUUGAAUGACAAUGGAUCAGAUCCCAUGUCACAAGGAGGUGAUGAUGACAUGGCUGUAAGUGGUGAAGAUCCUAUGGCUGAUUGGGUCCAACAUGUCACCCUCACUGCUCGAUCAACAAAUUUGGAUUAUACCGAACUUGAUUCGUACUUGUCAAAGGUACCCAUCCGCCGAAGUGAUCAAUUCAAUAUCCUUACAUGGUGGCAGACGAACUCCAGUGAAUACCCAACGCUGAGUCGCAUGGCAGCUGAUAUCUUGGCGGCUCCUUCCUCUGCGGUGGCAUCCGAGUCCGCCUUCAGCACAGGGAAGAGAGUCCUAUCAGAUUUUCGAAGUCGAAUGACCGCAACGACACUUGAAGCUCUUGUUUGUUUACAAGAUUGGAUAAGGGCCAACGGUAAAGCCAUACGACACAAGUUUCUUCUUUGUUUCUUAUUAAUGCUUCAAGUUUACAAGUUUCUUUUUUUUCUGCAGCUAAUACUCAACGUAGCUUGGCUUCAGUUCAUGACAUUAUAAUGGACUUACAAGGUAUGAGAAAUCUUCUGAUGUAUAUAGUGCCAUGUAUAUGAAGUACACUUAGUAUGAAGUCUGCUUUUUAUUUAGGGAUUUCAUAUCUACAGUUUGUUCCAGGGAACUAUUUGCAAGAUGCAACCCAAACAUGUAGAUGAGUAUAUAGAGUGUUUUACACACAGAACUAGUGCUUUUAUUUUUGGUUUCCCCAAGUUGUAGUUGAUCUCUAAUAUAUAUUUCUUUUUUCUCUCAGAUAUGAAUGUGUAGUUUAGAUUCAUUUUUUUAAUCGCCAAACUAUAUUAAAAAUAUGCAUUGCUAACUACAGUAACUUGAUUAGAAUAUGUUGCGGAGUGGAUGACAGGUAGUGUAUAAUGGAUAUUUAGAAGUGUAUUUUCUUGCAAACCUGAUCAUGAAUUGGUUUUCUGGAACACGCCUUUGCUACUAAGAAUAUUCCUCUGUUCAUAAAUAUAUUAUUUAGUUUUUUUGUGGAUAAAUAUACUAUUUAGUUGAUGUGCACAGAAUUACUCUUGUAACAUUUCUUUGCAAAUACAGAUAUCGAGGACUGAUGCUUGUUGGAGCAAUUGAUGUUAAAGCUCAAGCAGAUGGUGAAGAAGAUAUGUCAGCUUUCUCUAUAACCUACUGGAUGUGAAAAGAUUAGCAUGUUGAACUUGUAAUAUUUUGAUCUUGCAUGAGUCUGUUGGAUUGAGGUCAUUAGCUUGACGUUCUUUGAAAUCUGUAAUCUUUUGGUCUUGUUCGAAUCUGUUGGAUUGAGGUCUUUUGCUUGAUGCUCUUUGAAACAUGUAAUCUCAUGAUCUUGCCAUUCUAGAAACAUUUGCUAAAUUCUGGGUCGGCCUCAUGUACCCAAUGGGUCAAUGGGGCCACAAAAUUCUGAUGAAAUGGGCCGGCCCGUGGCCUCACAUUUUGACCUUGGGGCCACGGGGCCGGGGCCGGGGCCAGGGCCGGGUCGGCCCAUUCCCAUUCUGAAUGAUAAAUGUUUAUUAUUCAUGCUAGAAUUGUAUUAACCGGAAACAUAAUACAUGUGUGAAUACAUAGACAAACAGAGUGUCACUAGUAUGCCUCUACUAGACUAGCUCGUUAAUCAAAGAUGGUUAAGUUUCCUAACCAUAAACAAAGAGUCGUUAUUUGAUUAACGAGGUCACAUCAUUAGUUGAAUGAUCUGAUUGACAUGACCCAUUCCAUUAGCUUAGCACCCGAUCGUUUAGUAUGUUGCUAUUGCUUUCUUCAUGUCUUAUACAUGUUCCUAUGACUAUGAGAUUAUGCAACUCCCGUUUGCCGGAGGAACACUUUGUGUGCUACCAAACGUCACAACGUAACUGGGUGAUUAUAAAGGAGCUCUACAGGUGUCUCCAAUGGUAGAUGUUGGGUUGGCGUAUUUCGAGAAUAGGAUUUGACACUCCGAUUGUCGGAGAGGUAUCUCUGGGCCCUCUCGGUAAUGCACAUUACACAAGCCUUGCAAGCAUUGCAACUAAUGAGUUAGUUGCGGGAUGAUGUAUUACAGAACGAGUAAAGAUACUUGCCGGUAACGAGAUUGAACUAGGUAUUGGAUACCGACGAUCGAAUCUCGGGAAAGUAACAUACCGAUGACAAAGGGAACAACGUAUGUUGUUAUGCGGUCUGACCGAUAAAGAUCUUCGUAGAAUAUGCAGGAGCCAAUAUGGGCAUCCAGGUCCCUCUAUUGGUUAUUGACCAGAGACGUGUCCUGGUCAUGUCUACAUUGUUCUCGAACUGUAGGGUCCGCACGCUUAACGUUACGAUGACAGUUAUUAUGAGUUUAUGCAUUUUGAUGUACCGAAGGUAGUUCGGAGUCCCGGAUGUGAUCACGGACAUGACGAGGAGUCUCGAAAUUGUCACACCCUAGCUAGUUUAUGCAUUAGAGUGUGCAUCAUGUUUACCUUCAUCAGAAAUUGAAAUGGGGAGAGCAGAACCCCCAGCACCCCCCCCCUGAAAUCAACGAGGGUUUACUAAAAAUAAAUUCAAUGAACCUGAAAUGCCCUUGAAAUAUGUUCACCCUCUUUGCCUUGGGUUAGAACCCUUGGGAAAAAUGGUGCAUAUAAUUUUAGGUCAACAAAAGGGGCAUUGACUUAAUUCAUAAAUAUUUGAAUUUGGGCAUUUAAAAUACUAUUAUAUAAUUCAAAUGCUCAAAUAAUGUUGGAACUAUUUUUGGGCCACUGAAAUAUUUCAGAAAGUGUCCAUAAAUAUUUUCAGGAUUUUAUAAAAUGAUUUAGUAUCUGAACUAAAUCAAAACAGAAUAACAGAAAUAGAAAAACAAAAAAAAAUAAAGAGGGAAAGACCAUGGGCCACUUACCUGGCCCAGCGCCAGGCCACUAGCGGCCCAGCCCACCAGGCCGAUGCCAGUCGUCCCCUAGCUCCUGCCAGGAGGACGAAGGGCGUGUGCCCGCGGUGCGCCAGCACGCACACGGCCACCGACGGCCACCUCCUGCUUCGGCCGCCUCCCCGACGUCGCUUUGGACGCCACGCAUCCCCCCCUGACCCCUCGCUCACUCUCUUUCAUCCUCAUCCCCUCCUCUGCUCUCUCUCCCGCGCAACCGCCAUGAGCCCGAGAGCGCCGACGAGGACCACCACGGCCACCGCCUACCCCUCGCUUCCCUGACCAGCUUAGAGGCUCCGCCUCGACCCCGUCUUCCUUCUCACCGAACCACGCCCCGCCGGAAGCCCUGCGUCAUCAAAUUCAAGCUCUUCUUCAAGCUUCGGCACCGACGAUCGCCGCCGUCGAUUCGCUUGCUCCAGUGCCUCCCCGAGCUUGCCGAGGCCACCGCUGCAACUGCUGUGAGCUCCUGUGUCGUUUCCCCCUCCCCCCUGGCUCGAUUUCUUCUUCUAACACCGAUGCCCGUCAGAACCGAGAGCUCUUCGCCGCCGGCCAUGCCGCCACCGUGACCACAGCCGUGCAAGCUCACUCCCGAGCACGGCAACGUGCUCCACACCUCACCAAGAGCACGUGGAACCCAUCAGUUUCCCCUCCCGUGCACCACAACGCCGAUCCGCUCAACUCCCGAACUCCGGCCGCCGCGCAAGUUGCCGCCGCCGUCGUUUUAGGCCACUAGGGCUGCUGCCGUGUGCACAGAUAGAUGCGGGCGAGUCCCAGCUCCGCGUAGAUGCCCUCCGCUGGCCAUUUGGUCGCCGGAGGAGGAUUUCCGAGCCCCUCCGCCGUCUCUGGCCUUGCCGGCGACGAGCCGGGGUCAACUCCGGCGUGUUUUGACCCCGGGUCGGCUGGGUUGACUCCCCCCUGACUCACUGACGUGUGGGCCCAGGCGCCUGCCUAAUUACCAUUAGUUAAUUAGAGUUAAUAAAAAUUAGCUAAUUAGUGAGCCACUGACAUGCGGGCCCCGCCCGGCUAACCAAGUUAGUUAGGGUUAACUAACUUAGUUAGUUGAUUGUGUCACUGACCAGUGGACCCCACUGGUCAUGUUUGACCUGGAGGCGCCAGUUGACCUGCUGACAUCAGGGUGAUGUCAUGCUGACGCAAUAACUCUUUUUCUGGAUUUAAUUUUAUAUAGAAAAUUCCAGAAAAUUGCCUAAACUUCAAAAAUUCAUAGAAAUUCAACCAUAACUCCAAAUGAGACAAAUUAUAUAUGAAAAAUUAUCAGAAAAAUUCAAGGAAUCCAUCUGUACCAUUUUCAUGCAUGUUUGAACAAUGCUUGUCCUCUGUUUUGGACAAAACAAAUAAAGGGCAUUUAAAUAAUCAUAUAUGGGGUUGGAAUUUGAAUCUUGUACUCAAACCAACUCCAUUUAAAUCAUAGCUAGUUGCAUAAGCUCAAGACACAUCCAUAUUGCCAUGUCAUAGCAUGCAUCAUAUUGUUGCAUAUCAUCAUGUGUUGAUUGUGCUCGGUUGUGUUCUUCGUGGUAGGUUCUGCCUCCGAGGAUAUUCACGAGUAUCCAACUGAAGGGCAGUAUCCCGUUACCACUCCAUCAGGCAAGCAACCAUUGAUCAUUCCGAUACAACCCAUGUUCUCGCUCCUACUCUUGUUUACUGCAUUAAGACAACACGAUUCAAACUGCCGUGUGCUACGGUAGUUGAACCCUUAUCCUCUGCAUGACCUGUCAUUGCCACAGUAACUAGAUGAAACCCACUAGCAUGUGUAGGAGUUGAUUGAGCCAUGUUUUGUGAUUCCUACCUUGCUAUGCCUGCUAUGCUUAGAGUUGUGUCAGGUCUGGUUCAUCUGGGGAAUGGGCUAGAGUGAAAUGCUUGUGCCAGUAAAUUGUGGGAUGUGUUGAACAUGUUUUGGUAAAGGUAUCGAUGAGAGGCCAUGUAGGAGUACAUGGUGGGUUGUUUCAUUGAAGCCGUCCCUAAGAACUGAGUUCUGUAUGCGUGAAUUAAGAUUCAGCUACUACCACACAUUGGGCCCUGAAAUAUGACCCCGCUCGACUUACCGACCCCUCUCGCCUCAGUCCAGGAGUUGCAACUAGUUUCUGGUGUUUGUAGGAUAUGUGUUGGCGGCCGUGCGUAGCGCUGACCCUAGGGGUGGGCUAUGUUGCGGUAGAUACACCGUGGCACGGUGUACUGAGUCACCCGUUUGGUGUCUCGGGAACCCUGUUCACAUCGUUCGGGGCCGUUGAGGACACCCCGGCCGGAUUUCCUUGCGGAUGGAACCUGAAUAGGCGAUGACCCUGGACUAGAGACUCGUGAGGUUAGUCAGGUCGUGGUCUACACCCACGUCGGUUUUCGCUUGAAGUCUGCCGAGCACAUUUCGUGUGCAGACGCUAAGUGGUGGAAACAUGUGUGACGAAGUACACCCCUGCAGGGUAUAAAACUAUUCGAAUAGCCGUGUCCGCGGUAAAGGACUACUUGGUUGCAUAUACAGUUCAUAGACAAGUUAAUGGAUACUACUAAAAGACUCAAGAUAAGUGUGAGUACCGAGGAUGGCUCCCUCGCAGGAUACGAGGGAGGAUCCACGGUGGAGUAUUGUGAUGGUGAGUAGUGGACUCGUGUGCAAAAACUAUUUUGCUAAAAGAUUCCGUAGGAUAGCUUAGCCAAGAGUCAAAGCUGGUUUGCUGCAUAAACCCCACCACCUUCUUGAGAAUGAGCAUGUACAGUAGGUUCUGAUGUAAGACUUGCUGAGUACCUUUGUACUCAUGUUUGCUUAUUUAUUGUUUUCAGACGACAACACUGCCCCCUCCGAUGGGUUUUACGUAGACCUUGACGUCGACGAGUGACUAGCCACCCAGGUGGUGAUCCAGGCCAUGGAGGGCCCUAUGUAGAUAGACAGGCUUCGAGAAGCCUUCUUUCUUUCUAGAGUCUGUACCCAGACUAGUUGCUUCCGCAUGUGCUUGUAUGACUGUAUGACUUGAGUGUCGGGUCAUGUGACCCCUACCUGUAUGGAUAUGUUAUGUAUGGCUCCCUGGAGCCUUUAAAUAAAGUACCUGAGUUGUAGAGUUUUGUUGUGAUGCCAUGUUGUAUGUACUCAUAUCGAGCAUAUUGUAUGUAUGAUUGAAAUGCUUGGUAUGAGUGGGAUCCGACAAUCUAGUUGUUUGUCCUUCGCAGCCUUUCUUAUGGGGAAAUGUAGUCUAGUGCUCCUCGAGCCAUAGUAGUCCGCUACAGCCCGGUUCAGCGGAGUCCUACUAGCCCAGCACUACUGUUCAGGACACUUGACUAGCCGGCAUGUGUUUCACUUCGGGGAAAUGUCACGCGGUGAUCUCCGGAGUCCUGUCUAGCCUGCUACAGCCCGGGAUCCCCCGGAGUCCUGUUAGCCCAGUGCUACAGCCCGGAAUCACUCGUUGAUGACCGACAUGUUCGUUGUGAUUCAUGUAUGCCUGUCUCCAUAGGUCUGUGCCGCUUUGGGUUCACGACUAGCCAUGUCGGCCCGGGUUCUCGGUCAUAUGGAUGCUAGCGACAUUGUCAUAUACGCGAGCCAAAAGGCGCAAACGGUCCCGGGCCAUGGUAAGGCGACACCCGUGGGAUACCGUGAGUGAGGCCGCAAAGUGAUAUGAGGUGUUACCGGCUAGAUCGAUGUGGCUUAGAAUCGGGGUCCUGACAGCGUUGGCAUCAGAGCCGGACUGCCUAUAGGUUCGUUCAGCCAAACUGGUCGAUGUCGAGUCUAGAAAUGCUUUAGUUAUAUGUAAGGGAAUUGAUUGUGGGAGGGAACGUAAGGUUCUUUUACUCCUUUACCCUAUGCUUCUGAUCUGAGUCAUUCUCUUCUCAUUCAACGUGGGUUAAGGACUAGGCUCUCUUCUUCUAUCAGGUUCACGUGUUACUAAUCCGUAGUAGUUCAUAGGAUUAUUGCUACGAGUUCCAGUCCAGUUUCUACUAUUUUAGUACGUUGCUAUUUGAAUCAGAACCUUGAUAUGAUGCUGUUGAGCGGUAUUGUGAACUGUUGUGGAUGUCUCAAAUCUUUUUCUGAGCAUUUACAACCGCUAUGCUGCCCAAUUUUCCCUAGGAAUUCUGAUGUCUUUGUCUUGUGGUUGUGCUUUCAGAUGGCCAACCAUUCUCAAAAUCAAGUGGUUCGCCUGACUAGGUGCCUCGACGUGCCCGGUCAUACUGCUAUGUUGGUCCGGGUCAUGAUCGAGACAGGAUACCGUUGGUAUCCCGAAUACACUGUUGAAGAGCAGUUCCGCGACUUUAAUCAAAGCCAGUAUUUAUGCACCGUCAGGAUAUUUCCUUCCUAUCCUGGAUCUACCGAGCCCCUUCACUGUUCCUAUGGACUCGGAGUUACCAUUGAGAUGGCUGUGCAGGAUGCUGCCUAUUUCAUGAUGACCAUCUUGCGAGUCCGGACUGGCCUGCUUCGGAACACUGACUUCCGUUACAUGCCAGCUUCACUUCCGGGAGCGCAGGGGUAUCUUCAGGCUAUCUAUGCUGACUCCACUCAGGAGGACUCAUUAACUCGUACCACCGCUGAGAUGCUCGAAGAUAUGGACCGAGAGAAUCGGGCCUUGAGGCUGGAGCUCUUUAAUACCCGUGCUGAUCAUUGGGCCACAUUGACUCGGUUUGCACCCGCGGUGCAAGCGGGAUGUAUGGAUACCAGGGAUCUGUAUCCUGUGAGAGCAGCUCUGCCAGACAUGGUGGAUUGGCGUGAUGUGGGAGGCAUCACCCCACCCCUUGGUCACCGCAGGCCACCGUUUGUGGGUCCAAGACCUUAUCCUAGCCCCUAUGGUCCACAGGCUCCUCAGGACCGUCUGUUUCCGGAUGAUCACGUUGAACUUCCAGGCUAUGGAGGUGACUUCUAUGAGGACUACUACGGAGCUAUCUGAGUUAGUAGUAGUACCACUAGUAUUGUAGUAGUUGUAUCUCCACUGUCCUGUGUGACUUGUGGAAUACGACUUGGUGUGUAAUCGAUUCCGGAGGUGUAGACAAAUAAUGUAUAGGGACUCGGAAUGCCUCCGAUGAGAUGUAACGUCUACCUUCAUAGUUGUACUGUAGCAUGGGCUUGUACUAAACUAUGUAUGACGAGUAUGACCGUUGGUGUAUAUAUGGCAGUUUUAUAUUACCAUGGCAUACGAAUGAGCAUCUCUGCAUUCCGCGUUAUCCUUUACAUUCUGCACUUCCCUGUUAAGUUUGAGCCAUCCUUGUCUAAACCGUUGUCUUGUUUCCUCCUAGGAUGGUCAACACCCGCGGAAACCCUGCUGCCCCGGAGCAGGGGGAAGCCAAUGCAGCUAGAGGUGAAAAUUUGCCUCACCCGCCUUCCCUGGCCGAAGUGAUGCUGGAGGCGGAAAGGAACAAGCGUGAGACCAACCGCCUGCUGGAGCGGAUUGAGCAGAACACUGCACGCCACCCACGAAAUGACUUGGUGUCAAUCAACGACUUUAUCAAGCUGUACCCACCAAAGUUUAACCAUUCCGUCGAGCCCCUCGACGCGGAUGAUUGGCUUCGCAGCAUCACCCACAAGCUACGUUCUGCCAACGUAGCUGAAGCCGACAAGGUUACCUAUGCUGCUUAUCAUCUUGAGGGCCCCGCUAGCCAUUGGUGGGAAAACUACGAAGCUAUGCGCCCGGUCGGCCAAAUCACUACCUGGGCUGAGUUCAGCGAGGCUUUCCGUGAGCAUCACAUUCCGGAAGGUCUCAUGGAUCGCAAGAGGGAGGAGUUCUGUAACUUCACCCAAGGAAGGCUGACUGUGGAUGCAUAUAGCCGAGAAUUUGGGAACCUGGCACGCUAUGCUCCUGAAGAGGUUUCUACUGACGCCAAGAAGCAGGGAAGGUUCCGUAAGGGACUUAGCCCUGAGCUUCGCUGCGAUCUCCGUCCGCACGAGUGCACAUCCUUCCAGAAGCUGGUCAAUAAAGCUAUCAGUGCUGAGACAGGCCAGACUGAUUAUGACGCUUCACGCAAGCACUCUCGUGAUUUUGGGUCUUCAUCCGGCUCUGGAGCUCAGAAGCGCCGGGUGUGGAUUCCAAGCACCGCACUGCCAGCCAGAUUCACCCCGAGGCCAUCCUUUGAGGCGCCUCAUCCCAACCAGCAAUUUGCACCGCCCAAGCCCUAUGGUGGCCCCGCUGCUAAUGUUGCUCCACGCCCCACUAUGGUAACAUGCUUCAUGUGUGGAGAACCGGGUCACUAUAGUCGAGAGUGUCCCCAGAACAACCCCAAUCAAGCUGGAAAGUCCGUUGGCCGUGGUAAGCCCGCGGGAAAGACUUUCUAUGCCAAGCCGGCCACUACUGCACGUGGCCAUGUAAACUACGUCUCAGCCGAAGAGGCUCAUGAGGAUCCCAACGUCGUCCUUGGUACGCUCCUUGUUAACUGCCAUCCGGCAUCUGUUCUUUUCGAUACUGGAGCAUCUCAUUCAUUCAUAUCCGAGAAUUAUGCUCGGUCGCAUAACACGACAUUCUGUGACAUGCCCACUUCCAUGGUAAUUCAAACUCCGGGUUCCAAAUGGCAAACUUCUAGGGUAAGCCAUGGGAACGAAAUUCUUGUCGAUAGGCUUGUUUUCCUUGCAUCUUUAAUAGCUCUCAAGUCCUCCGACAUAAACAUCAUCUUGGGUAUGGACUGGAUGUCGGCUCAUUAUGCCAAGAUCGAUUGUGCCACUAGAACCGUUCAACUUAUUCAUCCCUCAGGCAAGACAGUUAAUGUCUUAACUCGAGUGGCCAAGCGCCAACUUUACUCUCUCAAUGCCAACCCUCUUCCAGACCUUGAGGACGUUCCGGUAGUCCGAGACUUCCCGGAUGUGUUUCCGGAAGAACUGCCAGGUGUUCCACCUGACCGGGAUGUCGAGUUUGUGAUAGACCUUGUUCCAGGAACCGUUCCAAUUGCUAGAAGACCCUACAAGAUGGCACCCUUAGAACUAGCCGAGCUUAAGAACCAACUCGAUGAGUCCUUGAACAAAGGGUUCAUCCGUCCUAGCUCCUCUCCUUGGGCUUGCCCCGUCCUCUUCGUCAAGAAGAAGGAUGGAACGGAUCGAAUGGUUGUGGAUUACCGACCUGUCAAUCUGGUCACCAUCAAGAACAAAUACCCGCUUCCCAGGAUCAACGACCUGUAUGAUCAGCUCACUGGAUCCUCAGUCUUCUCCAAGAUGGAUUUGAGGCUGGGCUACCAUCAAAUCAAAAUCAGAAACGGGGACAUUCCCAAAACGGCCUUUGUUACUCGUUAUGGCCAAUACGGGUACACCGUCAUGUCCUUCGGUUUAACCAAUGCCCCGGCCACUUUCUCCUGGUUAAUGAACUCGGUUUUCAUGGAGUACUUGGACAAAUUCGUUGUAGUAUACCUCGAUGACAUACUCAUCUACUCCAAGAAUGAAGAGGAACAUGCCGAACAUCUAAGGCUGGUAUUGAUGAAACUUCGAGAGCAUCGCCUUUAUGCCAAAUUCUCCAAGUGUGAAUUUUGGUUGUCAGAAGUGACCUAUCUAGGCCAUGUAAUCUCUGGUAAGGGUAUUGCUGUCAAUCCCGAGCGAGUUCAAGCCGUCCUUGAUUGGACUCCACCUGAAACGGUCAAGCAAGUUCGGAGUUUCCUUGGCCUAGCGAGCUAUUGCCGCCGCUUCGUCGAGAAUUUCUCCAAGGUUGCUAAACCUCUAACUGAACUCCUCAAGAAAGAUAAAAAGUUCGAGUGGACUCCGCAGUGCGAGUUCAGUUUUCAGGAAUUGAAAAGACGCCUGACAUCUGCUCCCGUACUGGUACCACCAGAUUUCUCCAAGGACUUUAUUAUCUAUUGCGACGCCUCGCGACAAGGACUAGGUUGCAUACUCAUGCAAGAUCGUCAGGUAAUUGCCUAUGCUUCAUGGCAAUUACACCCACAUGAGGAAAAUUAUCCCACACAUGAUCUAGAGCUUGCAGCUGUAGUCCAUGCACUCAAAACCUCGCGACAUUACCUCCUCGGUAAUCGUUGCGAGAUCUUCACCGAUCACCAAAGCUUGAAAUAUAUCUUCACCCAACCAGAUUUGAAUCUCAGGCAAAGACGUUGGGUCGAGUUGAUCUCGGAUUACGACUUAGGAAUAACUUACACCCCUGGCAAAGCCAAUGUCAUGGCCGAUCCGCUAAGUCGUAAGUCCUACUGUAACAACCUGCUGUUACAACAAAGUCAACCACUUCUCCAUGAGGAAUUUCGCAAGCUUAAUCUUCACAUUGUUCCUCAAGGAUUCUUGUCUACUCUGGUGGCGAAACCUACCCUUAUGGAUCAAAUCAUAGCUGCCCAAAAGCGUGAUAAGGGCAUAUCCCGGAUUAAGGAAAACAUUGCUAGCGGAGUAGCUAAAUGUUUUUCCAUGGAUGAGCAAGGUGCUGUCUUCUUUGAGAACCGCCUGGUGGUUCCCAAGAACCAACAUCUACGCCAGAUGAUCCUUAAGGAAGCUCAUGAAUCCCCUCUCACCAUUCAUCCCAGUAGUACUAAAAUGUAUCAAGACUUACGCCAGAGGUUUUGGUGGACUAGGAUGAAGAGAGAAAUCGCUCAAUACAUUGCUAAUUGCGACGUUUGUCGUCGUGUUAAAGCAGAGCAUCAACGGCCUGCUGGCACCCUUCAACCUUUGGCUAUUCCUGAAUGGAAAUGGGACAAAAUCAGUAUGGAUUUCAUCACUGGGUUUCCCAGGACCAAGAGGGGAAAUAAUGCCAUCUUCGUCGUGAUCGACCGUCUUUCCAAAGUAGCCCAUUUUCUACCUGUUCGUGAGAGUAUCACCGCUAGCCAGCUAGCUGACCUAUACAUCUCCCGAAUAGUGUCUCUUCAUGGUGUCCCAUUGGAAAUUAACUCAGACCGUGGAAGUCUCUUCACCUCUCGAUUUUGGGAAAGUUUCCAAAAUGCUAUGGGAACUCAUCUCUCCUUUAGCACCGCCUUCCAUCCUCAAUCAAGUGGUCAAGUAGAGCGAGUAAAUCAAAUUCUGGAAGAUAUGCUCCGAGCUUCUGUUAUCUCGUUCGGAAUGAGUUGGGAAAAAUGCCUUCCAUUCGCGGAGUUUGCUUAUAACAAUAGCUAUCAAGCUAGUUUGGGCAAGGCUCCCUUCGAAGUUCUCUAUGGACGAAAAUGUCGAACGCCUCUUAACUGGUCAGAAACCGGGGAAAGGCAACUCUUUGGCCCGGAUAUGAUUCAGGAAGCAGAAGAGCAGGUUCGCGUUAUUCGUGAGAAAUUGAAAACGGCCCAAUCUCGCCAAAAGAGUCAAUAUGAUCGUAAGCAUAAGCCAAUGACAUUUGAAAUUGACGAGAAAGCUUAUCUUCGGGUUACCCCGUUAAAGGGAACCCAUCGCUUCGGUAUCAAAGGCAAAUUGGCUCCUCGUUACAUUGGACCCUUUCGCAUUCUUGCCAAACGAGGAGAAGCUGCCUACCAAUUGGAACUACCUCCGCAUCUUUCCAGAGUUCACGACGUCUUCCACGUUUCGCAACUCAGGCGUUGCUUCGCGGAUCCUAUCCGUGGAGUGGACCACGAAACGCUUGAUUUACAAGAUAACCUCUCUUAUCGGGAAUACCCCGUUCGUAUCCUUGAUCAAGCCGAGCGUACCACUCGACGUCAUAAUAUCAAGUUUCUCAAGGUUCAAUGGUCACACCAUUCCGAGGAAGAAGCCACUUGGGAAAGGGAGGAUCGUCUUCGACUCGAGUACCCCGCCUUCUUCCCAGAUGAUCCUAAAUCUCGGGACGAGAUUCUAUUGAGUGGGGGUGAGUUGUCACACCCUAGCUAGUUUAUGCAUUAGAGUGUGCAUCAUGUUUACCUUCAUCAGAAAUUGAAAUGGGGAAAGCAGAACCCCCAGCACCCCCCCUGAAAUCAACUAGGGUUUACUAAAAAUAAAUUCAAUGAACCUGAAAUGCCCUUCAAAUAUGUUCACCCUCUUUGCCUUGGGUUAGAACCCUUGGGAAAAAUGGUGCAUAUAAUUUUAGGUCAACAAAAGGGGCAUUGACUUAAUUCAUAAAUAUUUGAAUUUGGGCAUUUAAAAUACUAUUAUAUAAUUCAAAUGCUCAAAUAAUGUUGGAACUAUUUUUGGGCCACUGAAAUAUUUCAGAAAGUGUCCAUAAAUAUUUUCAGGAUUUUAUAAAAUGAUUUAGUAUUUGAACUAAAUCAAAACAGAAUAACAGAAAUAGAAAAACACAAAAAAAAAUAAAGAGGGAAAGACCAUGGGCCACUUACCUGGCCCAGCGCCAGGCCACCAGCGGCCCAGCCCACCAGGCCGAUGCCAGUCGUCCCCUAGCUCCUGCCAGGAGGACGAAGGGCGUGUGCCCGCGGUGCGCCAGCACGCGCACGGCCACCGACGGCCACCUCCUGCUUCGGCCGCCUCCCCGACGUCGCUUUGGACGCCACGCAUCCCCCCCUGACCCCUCGCUCACUCUCUUCCAUCCUCAUCCCCUCCUCUGCUCUCUCUCCCGCGCAACCGCCAUGAGCCCGAGAGCGCCGACGAGGACCACCACGGCCACCGCCUCCCCCUCGCUUCCCUGACCAGCUUGGAGGCUCCGCCUCGACCCCGUCUUCCUUCUCACCGAACCACGCCCCGCCGGAAGCCCUGCAUCGUCGAAUUCAAGCUCUUCUUCAAGCUUUGGCACCGACGAUCGCCGUCGUCGAUUCGCUUGCUCCAGUGCCUCCCCGAGCUUGCCGAGGCCACCGCUGCAACUGCUGUGAGCUCCUGUGUCAUUUCCCCCUCUCCCCUGGCUCGAUUUCUUCUUCUAACACCGAUGCCCGUCGGAACCGAGAGCUCUUCGCCGCCGGCCAUGCCGCCACCGUGACCACAACCGUGCAAGCUCACUCCCGAGCACGGCAACGUGCUCCACACCUCACCAGGAGCACGUGGAACCCAUCAGUUUCCCCUCCCGUGCACCACAACGCCGAUCCGCUCAACUCCCGAACUCCGGCUGCCGCGCAAGUUGCCGCCGCCGUCGUUUUAGGCCACUAGGGCUGCUGCCGUGUGCACAGAUAGAUGCGAGCGAGUCCCAGCUCCGCGUAGAUGCCCUCCACUGGCCAUUUGGUCGCCGGAGGAGGAUUUCCGAGCCCCUCCGCCGUCUCUGGCCUUGCCGGCGACGAGCCGGGGUCAACUCCGGCGUGUUUUGACCCCGGGUCGGCUGGGUUGACUCCCCCCGGACUCACUGACGUGUGGGCCCAGGCGCCUGCCUAAUUACCGUUAGUUAAUUAGAGUUAAUAAAAAUUAGCUAAUUAGUGAGCCACUGACAUGCGGGCCCCGCCCGGCUAACCAAGUUAGUUAGGGUUAACUAACUUAGUUAGUUGAUUGUGUCACUGACCAGUGGACCCCACUGGUCAGGUUUGACAUGGAGGCGCCAGUUGACCUGCUGACAUCAGGGUGAUGUCAUGCUGACGCAAUAACUCUUUUUCUGGAUUUAAUUUUAUAUAGAAAAUUCCAGAAAAUUGCCUAAACUUCAAAAAUUCAUAGAAAUUCAACCAUAACUCCAAAUGAGACAAAUUAUAUAUGAAAAAUUAUCAGAAAAAUUCAAGGAAUCCAUCUGUACCAUUUUCAUGCAUGUUUGAACAAUGCUUGUCCUCUGUUUUGGACAAAACAAAUAAAGGGCAUUUAAAUAAUCAUAUAUGGGGUUGGAAUUUGAAUCUUGUACUCAAACCAACUCCAUUUAAAUCAUAGCUAGUUGUAUAAGCUCAAGACACAUCCAUAUUGCCAUGUCAUAGCAUGCAUCAUAUUGUUGCAUAUCGUCAUGUGUUGAUUGUGCUCGGUUGUGUUCUUCGUGGUAGGUUCUGCCUCCGAGGAUAUUCACGAGUAUCCAACUGAAGGGCAGUAUCCCGUUACCACUCCAUCAGGCAAGCAAGCAUUGAUCAUUCCGAUACAACCCAUGUUCUCGCUCCUGCUCUUGUUUACUGCAUUAAGACAACACGAUUCAAACUGCCGUGUGCUACGGUAGUUGAACCCUUAUCCUCUGCAUGACCUGUCAUUGCCACAGUAACUAGAUGAAACCCACUAGCAUGUGUAGGAGUUGAUUGAGCCAUGUUUUGUGAUUCCUACCUUGCUAUGCCUGCUAUGCUUAGAGUUGUGUCAGGUCUGGUUCAUCUGGGGAAUGGGCUAGAGUGAAAUGCUUGUGCCAGUAAAUUGUGGGAUGUGUUGAACAUGUUUUGGUAAAGGUAUCGAUGAGAGGCCAUGUAGGAGUACAUGGUGGGUUGUUUCAUUGAAGCCGUCCCUAAGAACUGAGUUCUGUAUGCGUGAAUUAAGAUUCAGCUACUACCACACAUUGGGCCCUGAAAUAUGACCCCGCUCGACUUACCGACCCCUCUCGCCUCAGUCCAGGAGUUGCAACUAGUUUCUGGUGUUUGUAGGAUAUGUGUUGGCGGCCGUGCGUAGCGCUGACCCUAGGGGUGGGCUAUGUUGCGGUAGAUACACUGUGGCACGGUGUACCGAGUCACCCGUUUGGUGUCUCGGGAACCCUGUUCACAUCGUUCGGGGCCGUUGAGGACACCCCGGCCGGAUUUCCUUGCGGAUGGAACCUGAAUAGGCGAUGACCCUGGACUAGAGACUUGUGAGGUUAGUCAGGUCGUGGUCUACACCCACGUCGGUUUUCGCUUGAAGUCUGCCGAGCACAUUUCGUGUGCAGACGCUAAGAGGUGGAAACAUGUGUGACGAAGUACACCCGUGCAGGGUAUAAAACUAUUCGAAUAGCCGUGUCCGCAGUAAAGGACUACUUGGUUGCAUAUACAGUUCAUAGACAAGUUAAUGGAUACUACUAAAAGACUCAAGAUAAGUGUGAGUACCGAGGAUGGCUCCCUCAUGUGACCCCUACCUGUAUGGAUAUGUUAUGUAUGGCUCCCUGGAGCCUUUAAAUAAAGUACCUGAGUUGUAGAGUUUUGUUGUGAUGCCAUGUUGUAUGUACUCAUAUCGAGCAUAUUGUAUGUAUGAUUGAAAUGCUUGGUAUGAGUGGGAUCCGACAAUCUAGUUGUUUGUCCUUCGCAGCCUUUCUUAUGGGGAAAUGUAGUCUAGUGCUCCUCGAGCCAGAGUAGUCCGCUACAGCCCGGUUCACCGGAGUCCUGCUAGCCCAGCACUACUGUUCAGGACACUUGACUGGCCGGCAUGUGUUUCACUUCGUCCCUAUGUCUGUCCCUUCGGGGAAAUUUCACGCGGUGAUCUCCGGAGUCCUGUCUAGCCUGCUACAGCCCGGGAUCCCCCGGAGUCCUGUUAGCCCAGUGCUACAGCCUGGAAUCACUCCUUGAUGACCGACAUGUUCGUUGUGAUUCAUGUAUGCCUGUCUCCAUAGGUCUGUGCCGCUUUGGGUUCACGACUAGCCAUGUCGGCCCGGGUUCUCGGUCAUAUGGAUGCUAGCGACAUUGUCAUAUACGCGAGCCAAAAGGCGCAAACGGUCCCGGGCCAUGGUAAGGCGACACCCGUGGGAUACCGUGCGUGAGGCCGCAAAUUGAUAUGAGGUGUUACCGGCUAGAUCGAUGUGGCUUAGAAUCGGGGUCCUGACAGAAAUGGUCGAGACAUAAAGAUUGAUAUAUUGGAAGCCUAUAUUUGGAUAUCGGAAGUGUUCCGGGUAAAAUCGAGAUUUUGCCAGAUUACCGGGAGGUUACCAGAACCCCCCGGGAGCCAUAUGGGCCUUAUUGGGCUUUAGUGGAAAGGUGAAAAGGGCUGCCAUGGUGGGCUGCACGCCUCCCCCCUCCCCUAGUCCUAUUAGGACUAGGAGAGGUGGCCGGCCACCUCUCUCUCUCUUUCCCCCUUGGGAGUCCUAUUUGGAAUAGGAUUGGGGGGGAGUCCUACUCACGGUAGGAGUAGGACUCCUCCUGCACCCUCCUCUUUGCCGGCCAGCCCCUCCCCCUUGGAUCCUUUAUAUACAGGGGCAGGGGGCACCUCUAGACACACAAGUUGAUCAUUGAGAUCGUUCCUUCGCCGUGUGCGGUGCCCCCUGCCACCAUAUUCCACCUCGAUCAUAUCGUUGUAGAGCUUAGGCGAAGCCCUGUGUCGGUAGAACAUCAAGAUCGUCACCAUGCCGUCGUGCUGAUGGAACUCCUCCACGAAGCUUUGCUGGAUCGGAGCCCGGGGAUCGUGAUCGAGCUGUACGUGUGCUAAGAACUCGGAGGUGCCGGAGUAACGGUGCUUGGAUCGGUCGGAUCGGGAAGAAGACGUACGACUACUUCCUCUACGUUGUGUCAACGCUUCCGUUGCGAUCUACAAGGGUACGUAGAUUAGACUCUCCCCCUCGUUGCUAUGCAUCACCAUGAUCUUGCGUGUGCGUAGGAAAAUUUUGAAAUUACUACGUUCCCCAACACUAUGCACCUGCAUCGUCACAUGAGUCGAUGAUAUGCAACAUAUAUAGUUGAGCAUCAGAAAGAGAUAGACUUGGCAAAAAUAGAAGCAACAUAUCAUAAGCAUAAAUAACAAAGUUCAUCGUACCCAAAAUGCCCUAACUAGAGUGAUCUUCGGUAGUCAAGGAGGAAGGUUUAAUUACAUCACAAAUAAUGUUUCGUCGUGCAUAACUCAAAGUUCCGUCAUACAGAAGGUAUGAACUAAACGGACACAUUGUCAUAUUUCGAAAAUCACUCCAACAUGGCGUGCCAUCCAUCCAAGUCAAGGAGAUAGUGCCCGAGCUUAGUGAAAGGCUUCAGGUCGAGACGCUGAGCGGCUACGCGUGUUCGGACUCUUCCCAUGACAUUUGUCCUUCUUCAUAGAACAUCCCUGUUUUUUCGACGACCUCCAUCAUGAUGAUUUGGGCAAGUUCGCACUGGAAGUGAUAUAACUCAUCUUGAAGUCGAUGAUCCUCGAUAUCUUCUAAGUUCUUUGCCCAUUGCAGAAUAUGGGCAUGGCUGAAUUUAGGUGACAUGCAAAGGUUCUGGUGAUCCUGUCUGUACUCCAUCAUGUGGUGUAGGACAUAGAACCCAUCAUCAAGAGAAUCACUCGGUUGCUGGAUGCAGCUGAAGUCGGUCUUAUGGGCCUGCCGUCCCUUUUCUUCUUGUCCUUGACCUCUCCACCCCGUGCAUCGUAGUAAAACAUAGCACUAUCGAGAACAAACUUGAUGUGGGUGUAAUCCUUUUUGUUAAUGUUCUUCGACGAGUCCACAAUAUCGGGGGUAGAGGAUGAUGAGGACGGCGCGCCUGCCGUUGCGCAAAAUAAGUACACCUCAAAUGAAUUAAACUCCAUCGUUCAAAUGAAUGAUUGAAAUCGAAGGAAGGAUAUCUGCGCGGAUGACUUACACGGGAUGAUAAGGCACGAGAAUCGCCUCCUUGUCCUUAUUGGCAAGCAUGAAAUUGACGAUGUAUUCCUCGUGUAUUCAUGGUGCUUUGCGCGGACUCCCAAGACGCCCUCGUGCAUGAAGUACGGGUCAGCGACAUAGAUAUGAGGUAUCUGCUCAACCCCGAUGAGGUAGUUCAUGUGCAAGGCAUAAAGGCGGACAAACAUAAAAUCCAGCUUCUUUAAGUGAAACAUGUUGAAGAUGUAAUCAGAUCGAAGGAAAAACUUCUUCGAGGGGAAUGUGUCGACGUACGACAAUUGCCCGGCACGUUAACCACGUAGAGAGGGUAUCCUGGAUUUUUCGAGGCGAUGAGGCCUUUCUCUAUCCGCAACACGUCGUCAUGAAGUCUCCUUAGAUCGCCGGAUCUGGCCCCUAGCGCUGCUUUCGGUAGGAUUGGUUCACCAGGAUACGCCAUUUUGCCGCUCCGGGGACAUCUAUACGGUCUUGAACCCGAGGCUGCUGAGGCGGCUGGAUCAUAGAAGCAGCUUUGUUGGCUUUCCUCAGUGUAUUCCUAGGCUUCUUUGCUACAGGAAGGUCAUCUAUGAUAUGUUCAGCCUCCAGAGGCGGCAAUUCAGGCACCGACUCAUGACGCUCAAACCCUGAGUAGGCGCCAGUAUUGAGAUACUGUUGAGUGCCAUUGUUGUCCUCAUCUAUGGCGGUGUCACCAGCGACAAAUGGAGCCUCUUCCUCACCCCGUUCGCUAUCACCCAGCACGACAGCCGGCGCUAAUUGGGUAGGUGGGGUGUUGAUGUUCAUACCUAACUGCGUGCUCGUGUGUGUGCUCCCGGCCGUCUCCAAACAAAGUAGACUCUUUGGCCACAACAGGACCCACCCAUUGCAAUCACCAAUCCCCUGCGGGAUCUCGUCGUCAUUCCCCCUAGUACCGGAGGAGCCAAAUUCUCCUGGCCUGGUUUGACACUGGCCACGGAAACUUUGUAGACGUCCGAGGGGAUCGGUCGGCCGUGGAACAAUGGUUCCUUAGGCUUCAUUAUCGUCACCUUCCCCACGUCCACCUCCUGGUAGCGGAUGUUGUACAAUAUGGUGCACGGGGUUACAUUGGCCUGCAAAGACAUUUCUGCGAUGUGAGAUAUCCGACAGGCAACAAAAAAUGGGAGAUUAUACAUUUAUUGAAGAGGGCUGGUGUGACAGAUAUAGUGAGGGCGUCGAGCUCAUCCAAAGAUGAAGCACCGCUGAGCACGUCCGGUGUCGGAGCCGGUGCGGGAGCAGGUGCAGGUGCUGGUGCAACGCUAGUCGAGCUGCUCCCGAAGAAGUCAGCAAGGGGAAAGUCCGCUGCAUUUUUUUUCUGGAUUUUGCGUGCUCGAAUUGAAAACGGCCGAAACCAAGACAGUAGACAUAUCUGCAACCACCUGUUUUGCGGCAGCUAUCGCUGUUGCGACUGUCUCAGAUGAUUUCUUCUCAAUCGGAAUCUAAACCUUCUGGCUGAUGUUUUCUUCAGUUAACCUCCGUCUUUCCUUUCGCUCCUCCGUGGUCUCACGGUAGUACUUCUUCCACGUGGCGCCGUCUACGACACCGUCCACGCGUCCAUACGACGGCCGAUUCUCCACCAGGAGUCCUUUCAAUAUGUUCAAUACCCGGUUGAAUGGAGUCUACCACUUGGGCCUCGCCAACGCCUCAGACGGCGAGUCACUUUCGGCUGCAAUCUUGUGCUGCUCUCUCUUCAAAAGGAACAAGGAUCGUUUACAAAUAUGACUAAACGUGCAGUCGAAUUGAUCAGAAACUAAAAUUACCAGCAGUCUCGUGAACUCCGUCGUGAUCGGGUCCGUCUUAAAAACCUUCUUGACUGAGUCCCAAUGGUGCCGUGCCCCGAGGACGUCACGCUCCUGCGGGACGGUGAAGUCCGCCAAGGGGUCUGGGAUGCCCAGACGUUCGCGUUCCGCGUCCUCCUUGGCCCAUAUGGACCUCUUCCCGCCGUAACCACGGCUUCCGAGGUGGUGGCGCCCCAUGUUCCUUUGUUGAAGCCCUUUCAUGUACUUCGACUUUUUUUUGGCAGCUUCGGCCUCGCAAGCCGCCUUGAAUUUUUCAAAGUGCUCUCCCGUGAUUGUCGGAUUAUCCUUUACAAUCUCGGAGUAUGGUUCCUUUUUGUCGACAAUCCGAUGUUUCAACCUUGUUUUCCAGGUGGCCAACGUGUCGCUAAACUUGGUCAUGGCGUGUUUGUUUAUCUUCUUCAUUGCCGGGUCCUUAUUUGGAUAUUUAUAAUCCUUUUCAUUCCGGCCCGGGAACAACAAUAUCUGGUGCAGCUUCUUUAGGAGGGAGGACCUCAUAUUAUCUAUCUUCUGUAGUUUCCCAUGGUUGAUCGUGGCAGUUAUCCGUACGAUGCAGCCUAUUUGAUUGCCGUAGCACGAUCGCGCUUCCUUGGGCGCUAUUGUCUGAAAAAUACGGUCGUCCAUCUCCGUGACCACCAGUCUAGUUGUCAUGAGCUGGUUUGGGCGCCGUGGCUUCUUAGCUUUCGGUUCUAGAUCAGCUCCGCUAGUCUCGGCGCCGGUCUCAGUCUCAUCGCCGGUCUGCAUGUCGGUAUCAGUCCCCGAUGCGACAGGUCGGCCCAGCAACAACAUUCGUUGAUCGUCGGCAAGGCUCAAAAAUUCAUCUGCCGCCAGGUAGACGUGUCGCAAUCACCAGAACCCUAUCCUUCAUCAUUGCUAGCCAUGUUUCCUACGAUUAUAUCUAGUCAAUUAAUUCUAGACCUAAUAAAAUGAAUAAUGACAUAAAACAGGCCAAUGUUUUGCAGGAUUACAACUCAACCCAUUGCAGAUUAGAAAACAAUCCCGUGUGAAUGCACAGGCUGACGACUAGUAUAUAUAAAGCUUAAUGGUGCCUAAGAAAGCUCGCACAAUUUUACAGUGGCUAUGGAAAUGUGUUGCCAAACUUUGACAUAAGAUUUUCGUUUGGCAUCCAGAGUUGCAAAACGCUUGUGUUGUCCUUAAUCCAUGGCCACUCUAAUUUUUCCGGCUGGGCCUUCCCUGUGGUAUCGCGGCAAGGCUUGCGUGUGUAUAUGUUUCCUUUAACUACCACUAGCACAUAUGCCCGUGCGUGCGUUGCAACGGGAGAGAUAAUGGCGUAUCCACCAAUAUAUCUAACAGCAUGACCCAACAAUAUCCGAAUGAUGUCACCCGAUGACGGCAGGAAGGCACGCACAGAGGUCUAGUAAAAACUCAUAUCAAUUGUAAGGGCAUGGUUAAUUCGCGUGAAUUCAGGGGUGUGAGAUUAGUUAGUGUUGGUCCCACAAUUGAAUUCGGGGGGUGAUUAGUUAGUGUGGGCCCACCCUCGAAUUCACGGGGGGAGACAAAAUAAUUAGGGUGAGGAGAGAUUUACGGGGCUUGGUCCCCAGAUGCGUUGUGGCAGUCAUUAUUCGAGCAUUGCAAUGCUCGCACGUGACGAGCUCUUUUUCCAAUUGUAUAUUAAGAAGCAUGCUACAGAUACAAUGUUUUUGAUACGUUUUUUGUACAAUGAUCCUGAUCUUAAAGGGCCACCUAAUUUUUAUAUCUUAAAGGCAUUAUUUGUAAGUUGUCGUGAAAAAAAUCUCGCUAAAAGGGUUGUGUUAGACCAUCUUCAGUACAUUAGAAAUAACGAAUUAUAAUUCCUUGGCAUUUGAAGAAACAAUCGCUACUUAUUUACACAUACAAUUCUUUUGGUACGAUUUUGAAAUCUUGAAGGCAUUAUUUGUAAGUUGAAGCAAUUUUGAAAUCUCACUAAAAGGUCUGUUAGACCCUCUAGAGCUUUAGAAAUAACUAAUUAUAAUUUUGCAAAAAAAAGAAAUAACUAAUUAUAAUUCCUUAAGCAUCUGACCGAAACGACCCCGAAUUAUUGUCUGGGUAGUAAUUCCUUUGCAACAUUAUUCUCUCCUUUUUUGAAGGAGCUCUUGCCUGGGUAGUAAUUCCUAUUUGCAAGGUUAUUCUCUCCUUCAUUUUUACAGGAGCUCUCCUUCCUUAUACUAAUUGGUCAUUAUCCUCUCCUUCCUUUUUCUUUUUGCCAAACUCUCUUUCCAUACUUAUGCCGCUAACCACGCCACUCUUUUUCCUUAUUUAUGCCCUUUGAUCACGCCACACAUCUCAUGAAAUCUAAGCCAUAUCACCCAUCUUUUUUCCUUAUUCUCAAAGGCGCUUUCCUCACAAACAGUAGUUCUCUAGGAUGCUUAACGAUUUUGAAACAGAAACAUAUAUAAAUCGGUAGAACGGGUUGUCAAGCAGCGAGGUGGUACUAGUUUAUAAAGAAACAAAUUAACCUUUUCUUUUUGUGUAAUGAUGCCUUGGUUCGGCUGGUUGCUGCCUUUGCCCUUGAUGUGCAGCGUUGGGAAAAGGAUGGGCGAAGUGGACGAACCAAAAACGGACAAAAUUACGGUAGUAAGAAGCGAUAGCCCAUUUAUUAGUAGGUAUAGAUAUAGAUGUCGAGGAUGAGGAUUUACUGCACACAAGUGCGGGGGCACUCAGGUCCUGGUGCCGGCCUUUUAUUUUGGCUUCCGAUUUUCAAACUUCUAUAUCUUUUAAACGAAAAGUUCAAUUUAAGUUACGUUUUCAUAUUCGUGCUUCUCGCGGCCAGCGCUUUCAAAUAAGAUCCAUUUUGCAUACAUUUUGGCUGCUUUUGGAAACAUUGCUAAGUUUCAUUGUUUGAAACUUAGUACGAGCGACCGAUAAAAUUUAAUUAUUUUGUGUCUACGACCAACAGGAGAAAUUGCUUAAAAUUACAUCUUUGAAACUGGUCAUUUUUUUACUGUGUCCUACUUCACGAAUCACGAGGCAAAUCAAGUAGGCGGCAUGCCCUGGCCGGUGAGUGCCAUUGCACUUACUUGCCCCAGCGAUUUUCCGCGUGCAUUGUAGAAUUCUUUCUCCGAGUCCUGUGAAUUAAAGAUGGUGCAGACAAAAGUAUAUCCUAUAUGCGUACAUGUGCAUGAUCAGAACAUGUUUUUACGUGCGUCUACUAUAAAUCAUGACCAUUUUUAACACAAAUCAUGACCAUUCAUGAUUAGUGAAUCAUACUGUCUUAACUUAUGUGAAAUCAUGUGGAGUAAUAUAAUAUAAUACAAUAGAUAGACAGAUCCAUGUUGUAUUAUUUUUUGUUUACAAAAAAAUCUGUAAUUACACAUUUUGAUUUAUGCAUUUGUUUACAAAAAAACAGUAACAUUUCAUGGUGGAAAGUUUGUAUUGUUUCAUACUGAACACCAAUGUUUUCCUGUAAAAGAAAAUAAUGCCUACGCAUAUGCUUUUAUAUUAUUAUUAUUCUUUCAAACUUAUUCAUAUAGUAUUUUUGAUUGUGCAACCAUAAUUUUUAUUAUCUCUCUCGUUCCACUACAUGCUCUUACUCAAUGAUUUUCUUUAUAAUGGGUGUUUUUAUUAACUCAAAAUAUAGCAUCAAGCGGAUACAGAACAUACUGAGCCACACCCGGUCUCUGCAUAACUAAGAUGCACACAGCCAAAAGCGGAAGUCUGACAAAAAUAAGAUAAGAAAAUCGACAUAUCGACAACAGUGAGUCAUAUAGUUCCGACACUAUGCCUCUGUCGAAGGAGGGGGUGGAGCGAUCUAGAGAUUAUGCUGCCUUCCAUGUUGAGUAAACACCUCCCUGGCCACUUGUUCCAACUGCAUAGACGCCGCCACGAAUAACGGUUGGUACUCUGUUCGGUGUAGCAUACACCAUGUAGGAAGUGAGUGCUCACUCCUAGUUACUGAAUUAUGUACACACUAGUAGAAAAAGGCCCAUUUGUCCCGGUUCGUAAGGCCCAUUUGUCCCAGUUGGGGAACCGGGACUAAAGGGUCGGUACUAAAGCCCUACACCUUUAGUCCCGGUUCUUACACCAACCGAGACAGAUGGGGCUCCACGUGGCCGUUGCGGCUUACCGUGGCAGGUGGGCCUUUUGUCCCGGUUGGUAGCACCAACCGGGACCAAUAAGCUACCACGCGUCAGCAUUUGAGGGGCUANNNNNNNNNNNNNNNNNNNNNNNNNNNNNNNNNNNNNNNNNNNNNNNNNNNNNNNNNNNNNNNNNNNNNNNNNNNNNNNNNNNNNNNNNNNNNNNNNNNNNNNNNNNNNNNNNNNNNNNNNNNNNNNNNNNNNNNNNNNNNNNNNNNNNNNNNNNNNNNNNNNNNNNNNNNNNNNNNNNNNNNNNNNNNNNNNNNNNNNNNNNNNNNNNNNNNNNNNNNNNNNNNNNNNNNNNNNNNNNNNNNNNNNNNNNNNNNNNNNNNNNNNNNNNNNNNNNNNNNNNNNNNNNNNNNNNNNNNNNNNNNNNNNNNNNNNNNNNNNNNNNNNNNNNNNNNNNNNNNNNNNNNNNNNNNNNNNNGGUUAAUUUUGGAGGGUUUCAUAUAUUGUGUUAGGUAGCUAAUUAAUUAAUACAGAGAAGUGUCAUCUCUUAUCUCCGUGCUUGGUCGACGCUACGUACUAUACGUACAGAGAGGCCCUCGACACGCUAGCCAGUAAGCAAAUGAAGGAAACCAUUAAGUACAGAAGUUCGUCAUGAACAUAUGCAUACAAACUAAGUGAUAUCGACCUCUCCUUCUCUGAGAGAUAGGUCGAACAACAAGUUUCCGUAUAUCUAUCCGGCGCUACUAGCUACAUAUAUACAAUAUUAAGAUCUCUUACAAUAUAAUCCCCUAAUUAUAUAUGAACUCAGCUUUCAGAUGGUAUUCUCCGGCUUUAUUGAUGACGUGGUCAAGAAAGAAUCCCUCCAAUUCCUCUUGAAUUGCUUUGAUGCGAUCUUCUGGUAGGAGUUCAUCCCGCAUCUGCCACAUCUAAUUUGAAGAAGGGGGUCAAUCACUAGUAGAAUAACAGCCAUUUGUCCUGGUUCGUAAGGCUCAUUCGUCCUGGUUGGGGAACCGAGACUAAAGGGUCGUUACUAAAGCCCUACACCUUUAGUCCCGGUUCUUACACCAACUGGGACAGAUGGGCCUCCACGUGGCCGCUGCGGCGAGCCCAGGCAGGAGGUCCUUUGGUCCCGGUUAGUGGCACUGAUACUUCUCCAACGUAUCUAUAAUUUUUGAUUGCUCCAUGCUAUUAUGUUAUCUAUUUUGGAUGUUAAUGGGCUUUAUUUUACACCUUUAUAUCAUUUUUGGGACUAACCUACUAAUCGGAGGCCCAGCCCAAAUUGUUGUUUUUUUGCCUAUUUUAGGUUUUCGAAGAAAAGGAAUAUCAAACGAAGUCCAAACGGAAUGAAACCUUCGGGAACGUGAUUUUCUCAACGAACAUGAUCCAGGAGACUUGAAGUGUGCGCCAAGAAAGAAGGGAGGAAGGCAAGAGGCAGGGGGCACGCCUACCCCCCUUGGGCGUGCCCUCCACCCUCGUGGGCCCUCCGCUGCUCCAUCGACGUACUUCUUCCUCCUAUAUAUAUCCACGUACCCCUCGAACAUCCAGGAGCACCACGAAAACCUAAUUCCACCGCCGCAACCUUCUGUACCCGAGAGAUCCCAUCUUGGGGCCUUUUCCGGAGGUCCACCGGAGGGGGCAUCGAUCACGGAGGUCCUCUACAUCAACUCCAUGGCCUAUCCAGUGAUGUGUGAGUAGUUCACUUCAGACCUACGGGUCCAUAGUUAUUAGCUAGAUGGCUUCUUCUCUCUCUUUGGAUCUCGAUACAAAGUUCUUUUCGAUUUUCUUGGAGAUCUAUUUGAUGUAACCUUAUUUUGCGGUGUGUUUGUCGAGAUCCGAUGAAUUAUGGGUUUAUGACCCAGAUUAUCUAUGAACAAUAUUUGAUUCUCCUCUAAAUUCUUUUAUGUAUGAUUGGUUUAUCUUUGCAAGUCUCUUCGAAUUAUCAGUUUGUUUUGGCCUACUAGAUUGAUCUUUCUUGCAAUGGGAGAAGUGCUUAGCUUUGGGUUCAAUCUUGCGGUGUUUGAUCCUAGUGACAGAAAGGGAACCGAUACGUAUUGUAUUGUUGCCAUCGAGGAUAAAAAGAUGGGGUUUAUAUCAUAUCGCAUGAGUUUAUCCCUCUACAUCAUGUCAUCUUCCUUAAAGCAUUACUCUGUUCUCUUGAACUUAAUACUCUAGAUGUGUGCUGGAUUGCGGUCGAUGUGUGGAGUAAUAGUAGUAGAUGCAGAAUCGUUUCGGUCUACUUGUCUCGGACGUGAUGCCUAUAUACAUGAUCAUACCUAGAUAUUCUCAUAACUAUGCUCAAUUCUGUACAAUAUGGUGCACGCGGUUACAUCGGCCUGCAAAGACAUUUCUGCGAUGUGAGACAUCCGAAAAGCAACGAAAACGGGAGAUUAUACAUUUAUUGAAGAGGGCCGGAGUGACAGAUACCGUGAGGGUCUCGAGCUCAGCCAAAGACAAAGGACAGAUGAGCACGGCCUAUGUCGGAGCCAGUGCGGGAGCCGGUGCGGGAGCAGGUGCAGGUGCAGGUGCUGGUGCAAUGCUAGUCGAGCUGCUCCUAAAGAAGUCAACAAUGGGAAAGUCCGCUACAUUUUUUCUGGAUUUUGCGUGCUCCAAUUGAAUACAGCUGGAACCAAGACAGUAGACAUAUCUGUUGGAAAUAUGCCCGAGAGCCAAUAAUAAAUUGGUUAUUAUUAUAUUUCCUUGUUCAUGAUAAUCGUUUAUUAUCCAUGCUAGAAUUGUAUUGAUAGGAAACUCAGAUACAUGUGUGGAUACAUAGACAACACCAUGUCCCUAGUAAGCCUCUAGUUGACUAGCUCGUUGAUCAAUAGAUGCUUACGGUUUCCUGACCAUGGACAUUGGAUGUCGUUGAUAACGGGAUCACAUCAUUAGGAGAAUGAUGUGAUGGACAAGACCCAAUCCAUAUCUAGCACAAGAUCGUGUAGUUCGUAUGCUAAAGCUUUUCUAAUGUCAAGUAUCAUUUCCUUAGACCAUGAGAUUGUGCAACUCCCGGAUACAGUAGGAGUGCUUUGGGUGUGCCAAACAUCACAACGUAACUGGGUGGCUAUAAAGGUGCACUACGGGUAUCUCUAAAAGUGUCUGUUGGGUUGGCACGAAUCGAGACUAGGAUUUGUCACUCCGUGUAAAUGGAGAGGUAUCUCUGGGCCCACUCAGUAGGACAUCAUCAUAAUGAGCACAAUGUGAUCAAGGAGUUGAUCAAGGGAUGAUGUCUUACGGAACGAGUAAAGAGACUUGCCGGUAAUGAGAUUGAACAAGGUAUCGGGAUACCGACGAUCAAAUCUCGGGCAAGUAUCGUACCGAUAGACAAAGAGAAUUGUAUACGGGAUUGAUUGAAUCCUUGACAUCGUGGUUCAUCCGAUGAGAUCAUUGUGGAGCAUGUGGGAGCCAACAUGGGUAUCCAGAUCCCGCUAUUGGUUAUUGACCGGAGAGUUGUCUUGGCCAUGUCUGCAUGACUCCUGAGCUCGUAGGGUCUACACACUUAAGGUUCGAUGACGCUAGGGUUAUAGGGAAAGUAUGUACGCGGUUACCGAAUGUUGUUCGGAGUCCCAGAUGAGAUCCCAGACAUCACGAGGAGUUCUGGAAUGGUCCGGAGGUAAAGAUUUAUAUAUGGGAAGUUCCGUUUUGGUCACCGGAAAUGUUUCGGGUGCUAUCGGUAACGUACCGGGACCACCGGGAGGGUCCCAGGGGUCCAUCAGGUGGGGCCACCAGCCCCGGAGGCCUACAUGGGCCAAUAGUGGGAAGGGACCAGCCCCUAGGUGGGCUGGGGCGCCUCCCGACAAGGCCCAAGUCGCCUCCAAGAGGGGAAGGGGGCAAACCCUAGGGCAGAUGGGCCCCAAGGCCCACCCUAGGUGCGCCUCCCCCUCUCCCCCUUGUAGCCGCCACCCUAGAUGGGAUCUAGGGCUGCCGCACCCCUUGGGGUGGGAACCCUAGAGGGGGCGCAGCCCCCUCCCCUCCCCCUAUAUAUACUUGAGGUAUGGGGGCUGCCCAACAUACGAUUUGAUCUCUCUCUUGGCGCAGCCCUACCCCUCUCCCUCCUCGUCUCUCAUAGUGCUUGGCGAAGCCCUGCUGGAGUUCCGCGCUCCUCCACCACCACUACCACGUCGUCGUGCUGCUGCUGGACGGACUCUUCCCAACCUCUCCUUCUCCCCUUGCUGGAUCAAGGCGUGGGAGACGUCACCGGGCUGCAGAUGUGUUGAACGCGGAGGCGCCGUGGUUCGGCGCUUAGAUCGGAAUCAACCGAGAUCUGAAUCGCUACGAGUACGGCUCCUUCAUCCGCGUUCUUGCAACGCUUCCGCUUAGCGAUCUACAAGGGUAUGUAGGUGCACUACCCUUCCCUUCGUUGCUAGGUUACUCCAUAGAUUGAUCUUGGUGAUGCGUAGAAAAUUUUAAAUUUCUGCUACGAUCCACAACAGUGGCAUCAUGAGCUAGGUCUAUGCGUAGUUUCUAUGCACGAGUAGAACAUAAAACAGUUGUGGGCGUCAAUAUUGUCAAUUACUUGCCGUUAGUAGUCUUAUCUUGAUUCGGCGGCAUCGUGGGAUGAAGCGGCCCGGACUGACCCUACACGUACGCUUACGUGAGACUUGUUCCACUGACUGACAUGCACUAGUUGCAUAAGGUGGCUAGUGGGUGUCUGUCUUUCCCACUUUAGUCAGAUCGGAUUCGAUGAAAAGGGUCCUUAUGAAGGGUAAAUAAAAAUUGGCAUACCACGUUGUCGUUUUGGCGUAGGUAAGAAAUGUUCUUGCUAGAAACCUAUAGGAGCCACGUAAAAACUUGCAACAACAAUUUGAGGACCUCUAACUUGUUUUUGCAGCAUGUGCCGUGUGAUGUGAUAUGGCCAAAAGGAUGUGAUGAAUGAUAUAUGUGAUGUAUGAGAUUGAUCAUGUUCUUGUAAUAGGAAUCACGACUUGCAUGUCGAUGAGUAUGACAACCGGCAGGAGCCAUAGGAGUUGUCUUUAUUUAUUUAUGACCUGCGUGUCAACAUAAACGUCAUGUAAUUACUUUACUUUAUUGCUAAAGCGUUAGCCAUAGUAAUGGAAGUAAUAGAUGACAAGACAACUUCAAGAAGACACGAUGAUGGAGAUCAUGAUGAUGGAGAUCAUGGUGUCAAGCCCGUGACAACGAUGAUCAUGGAGCCCCAAAGAUGGAGAUCAUAAGGAGCAAAAUGAUAUUGGCCAUAUCAUGUCACUAUUUGAUUGCAUGUGAUGUUUAUCAUGUUUUACCUCUUAUUUUCUUAGAACGACGGUAGCUUAAAUAAGAUGAUACCUCGCAAUAAUUUCAAGAAAGUGUUUCCCCUAACUGUGCACCGUUGCGAAGAUUCGUUGUUUUGAAGCACCACGUGAUGAUCGGGUGUGAUAUAUUCUAACGUUCAAAUACAACAGGUGUAAGCCAGAUUUACACACACAAUACACUUAGGUUGACUUGAUGAGCCUAGCAUUUACAGACAUGGCCUCGGAACACGGUAGACCGAAAGGUCGAGCAUGAGUCGUAUAGAAGAUACGAUCAACAUGAAGAUGUUCACCGAUGUUGACUAGUCCGUCUCACGUGAUGAUCGGCCACGGCCUAGUUGACUCGGAUCAUGUUUCACAUAGAUGACUAGAGGGAUGUCUAUCUGAGUGGGAGUUCAUUAAAUAAUUUGAUUAGAUGAACUUAAUUAUCAUGAACAUAGUCCAAAUUGUCUUUGCAAAUAUGUUGUGGAUAAAUAGCUCACGCUUUAGCUCCCUGUUUUAAUAUGUUCCUAGAGAAAAGACUAACUGGAAAGAUAUUGUAAGCAUUAACGCUGACUAGGUCUGUUGCCUGAGGAGUGUCCUCACUGCUACACAGAAGGCUUAUGUCUUUGAUGCACCGCUCGGUGUGCCAACCCCUCCGGCGUCGUCUGUGGAUGUUGUGAACACCCGACAGACACAUCCUGAUGACUACUUGAAAGUUUAGUGCACCAUACUUUACGGCUUAGAAUCGGGAUUCCAAUGACGUUUUGAACGCCAUAAGACAUAUGAGAUGUUCCAAGAGCUGAAAUUGGGAUUUCAGGCUCAUGCCCGUGUUGAGAGGUAUGGACCUCUGACAAGUGCUUUUGCCAACAAGAUGGAGUAGAAUAGCUCAGCUAGAGAGCAUGUGCUCGGAAUGUCUGGGUGCUACAAUCACUUAAAUCAAGUGGGAGUUAAGCUUCCAGAUAAGAUAGUGAUUGAUAGAGUUCUCUAGCCACUAUCACUAAGAUACUAGAUCUUCGUGAUGAACUAUGACAUGCAAGGGAUGGAGUUGAUCCCGGAGCUGUUCACGGUGCUUAAGAUCGCAAAAGGUAGAAAUCAAGAAGGAGCAUCAAGUGUUGAUGGUUUAACAAGACCACUAGUUUCAAGAAGGGCAAGGGCUAGAAGGGAAACUUCAUGAAUGGCAAACCAGUUACCAAUCAAGUGAAGGAACCCAAGGUUGAACCCAAACCCGAGACAAAGUGCUUCUAUUGUAAGGGGAACAGUCACUGGUAGCGGAACUACCCCAAAUACAUGGUAGAUAAGAAGGAUGGCAACUUCAACAAAGUAUAUACAUGUUAUUAAUGUGUACCUCACCAGUACUCUUGGUAGCACCUGGGUAUUGGAUACCGGUUCAGUUGCUAUUAUUGGUGACUUGAAGCAAAAGCUACGGACUAAACGGAGACUGGCUAAGGGCGAGGUGACGUUGUGUGGUGGAAGUGUUUCCAAAGUUGAUAAGAUCACCAUCGCAUGCUCCAUCUGCCUUUGGGAUUAGUAUUGAACCUAGAUAAAUGUUAUCAGGUGUCUACGUUGAGGAUGAAUAUGAUUAGAUCAUGUUCAUUGCAAUACGGUUAUUCAUUUAAGAUAGAGAAUAAUGGUUAUUCUGUUUACAUGAAUAAUACCUUUCAUGGUCAUGCACCCUAUGUGAAUGGUUCAUUGAAUCUCGGUCGUGGUAAUACAGAUGUUCACGCCAAAAGAUGUAGAGUUAACAAUGAUAGUACCACUUUCUUGUGGAACUGCCGCUUAGGUCAUAUUGGCAUAAGAUGCAUGAAGAAACUCCAUGUCGAUGGAUGUUUGGAGUCAAUUGAUUUUGAAUCGCUUGACACAUGCGAGCCAUGAUUCAUGGGCAGGAUGACUAAGACCCCGUUUUCAGGUAAAAUAAAACGGGCAAGUGACUUCUUGGAAAUCAUACAUGCUGAUGCAUGUGUUCCAAUCAGAAUUGAAGCGUGCGGUGGAUAUCGCUAUUUUCUCAUCUUCACUGACGAUUUGAGUAGAUAUAGGUAUAUUUACUUAAUGAAGCACAAGUCUGAAACAUUUGAAAAGUUCAAGCGAUUUUAGAGUGAAGUUAAGAACCAUCAUAUAUAAUAAGAAGAUCAAAUUCCUACGAUCUGAUCGAUGAGAAUUUCUGAGUUAUGAGUUGGGCAAUCACUUAAGACAUUGUGGAAUUGUUUCAUAGUUGAAGCCACCUGGAACAACACAGGGUAAUGGUGUGUCCGGACGUCGUAAUCGAACCUUAUGAGAUAUGGUGCGAUCUAUGAUGUCCCUUACCGAUCUACCAUUUUCAUUUUGAGGAUAUGCGUUAGAGAAAGCUGCAUUCACUUUUGAUAGGACACCAUCUAAGUCCGUUGAGAUGACGUCGUAUGAAUAUGGUUUGGCAAGAAACCAAAAUUGUCGUUUCUUAAUGUUUGGGGCUGCGAUGCUUAAGGCUUCAGGCGGAGAAGAUCGAACCCAAAAGAGGACAAACACAUCUUCAUAGGAUACCCAAAGGUGACAGUUUGGUAUACCUUCUAUCUCCAAUCUGAGGGCAAGUUGUUUGUCGCUAAGAAUGGUUCCUUUCUCGAGAAGGAGUUUCUCUCGAAAGAAUUGAGUGGGAAGAAGAUAGAACUUGAUGAGGUUGUCGAACCUUUGUUUCAACCAGAGAGUGAUGCAACACAGAAAGAUGUUUUCUGUGGCACCUACGUCUGUUGAAGAGGAAGUUAAUGAUAGUGAUCAUGAAGCUUCGGAUCAAGUUGCUAUCGAACCUCAUAGGUCGACCAGGAUAUGUACUACUCCUGAGUGGUACGGUAAUCCUGUCUUAGAUAUCAUGUUGUUAGACAACAAUGAACCCAUGAGCUAUGGAGAAGCGAUGGUGGGCCCGUAUUCCGACAAAUGGUUAGAAGCCAUGAAAUCCGAGAUAGGCUCCAUGUAUCAGAACAAAGUAUGGACUUUGGUGGACUUGCCCGAUGAUCGGCGAGCCAUUGAGAUAAAUGGAUCUUUAAGAAGAAGACGGACGUGGGCGGUAAUGUUACCAUCUAUGAAGCUCGACUUGUGGGAAAGAGUCUUUUCACAAGUUCAAGGAGUUGACUACGAUGAGAAUUUCUCACCCGUAGCGAUGCUUAAGUCCGUCGGAAUCAUGUUAGCAUUAGCUGUAUUUUUCGAUUAUGAAAUCUGACAGAUGGAUCUCAAAACAAGUUUUCUUACCAGUUUUCGUAAGAAAAAGUUGUAUGUGAUACAAUAAAAGGUUUUGUCGAUCCUAAGGAUGCUAAAAGGUAUGCUGGCUCCAGCAAUCCUUCUAUGGACUAGAGCAAGCAUCUCGAAGUUGGAAUAUAUGCUUUGAUGGAGUGAUCAAAGCUUUUAGGUUUAUACAAUGUUUGCUAGAAACUUGUAUUUACAAGAAAGUGAGUGGGAGAACUACAACAUUUCUGAUAAGUAUAUGUGGAUGACAUAUUGCUGAUUCAAAAUAAUGUAGAAUUUCUGGAAAGCAUAAACGGUUGUUUGAAGAGUGAUUUUCAAAGGCAGACCUGGAUAAAGCUGCUUACAAAUUGGGCAUCAAGAUCUGUAGAAAUAGAUCAAGACGCCUGAUGAUACUUUCAAAGAACGCACACCUUGACAUGUUUUUGAAGGAGUUCAAAAUAGAUCAGGCAAAGAAGGGGUUCUUACCUGUGUUGUAAGGUGUGAAGUUGAGUAAGACUUGAAAGCUUGACCACGACAGAAGAAAGAGGAAGGAUGAAGGUCAUCCCCUAUGCUUUUGUCAUAGGCUCUAUACGGUAUGCCAUGCUGAGUACCACACCAGAUGAGUGCCUUGCCACAUGUCUGGCAAGAGGGUACAAAGGUGAUCUAGGAGUGGAUCACCAGAUAGCGGUCAAAAUUGUCCUUAGAGGAAUAAGGAAAUGUUUCUCAGUUACGGAGCUGAUAAAGAGUUCGACAUAAAGAGUUACGUCGAUACAUGCUUAAACACCAAUCCGGAUAGCUCUGAGUAGAGAUACCAGAUACGUAUAAUGGAGCAACAAUUUGGAAUAGCUCCAAGUGGAACGUGGUAGCAGCAUCUACGAUAUGACAUAAAGUUUUGGGAAAUACAUAGGGAUCUGAAUAUUACAGACCCGUUGACUACAACCUCUCUCACAAGCAUAACAUGAUCAAACCCAGAACUCAUUGAGUGUUAAUCGCAUAGUGAUGUGAACUAGAUUAUUGAAUCUAGUAAACUCUUUAGAUGUUGGUCACAUGGCGAUGUGACCAGUGAGUGUUAAUCACAUGGCGAUGUGAACUAGAUUAUUGACUCUAGUGCAAGUGGGAGACUGUUGGAAAUAUGCCCUAGAGCUAAUAAUAAAUUGGUUAUUAUUAUAUUUCCUUGUUCAUGAUAAUCGUUUAUUAUCCAUGCUAGAAUUGUAUUGAUAGGAAACUCAGAUACAUGUGUGGAUACAUAGACAACACCAUGUCCCUAGUAAGCCUCUAGUUGACUAGCUCGUUGAUCAAUAGAUGGUUACGCUUUCCUGACCAUGGACAUUGGAUGUCGUUGAUAACGGGAUCACAUCAUUAGGAGAAUGACGUGAUGGACAAGACCUAAUCCUAAGCCUAGAACAAGAUCAUGUAGUUCGUAUGCUAAAGCUUUUCUAAUGUCAAGUAUCAUUUCCUUAGACCAUGAGAUUGUGCAACUCCCAGAUACAGUAGGAGUGCUUUGGGUGUGCCAAACGUGACAACGUAACGGGGUGGCUAUAAAGGUGCACUACGGGUAUCUCUGAAAGUGUCUGUUGGGUUGGCAUGAACCGAGACUGGGAUUUGUCACUCCGUGUAAACGGAGAGGUAUAUCUGGGCCCACUCGGUAGGACAUCAUCAUAAUGUGCACACUGUGAUCAAGGAGUUGAUCACGGGAUGAUGUAUUACGGAACGAGUAAAGAGACUUGCCGGUAACGAGAUUGAACAAGCUAUCGGGAUACCGACGAUCGAAUCUCGGGCAAGUAUCAUACCGAUAGACAAAGGGAAUUGUAUACGGGAUUGAUUGAAUCCUUGACAUCAUGGUUAAUCUGAUGAGAUCAUCGUGGAGCAUGUGGGAGCCAACAUGGGUAUCCAGAUCCCGCUGUUGGUUAUUGACCGGAGAGUUGUCUCGGCCAUGUCUACAUGACUCCCGAGCCCGUAGGGUCUACACACUUAAGGUUCGAUGACGCUAGGGUUAUAGGGAAAGUAUGUACACGGUUACAGAAUGUUGUUCGGAGUCUUGGAUGAGAUCCCGGACGUCACGAGGAGUUCCAGAAUGGUCCAGUGGUAAAGAUUUAUAUAUGGGAAGUCCCGUUUUGGUCACCGGAAAGGUUUCGGGUGCUAUCGGUAACGUACCGGGACCACCGGGAGGGUCCCAGGGGUCCAUCAGGUGGGGCCACCAGCCCCGGAGGCCUACAUGGGCCAAUAGUGGGAAGGGACCAGCCCCUAGGCGGGCUGGGGCGCCUCCCACCAAGGCCCAAGGCGCCUCCAAGAGGGGAAGGGGGCAAACCCUAGGGCAGAUGGGCCCCAAGGCCCACCCUAGGUGCGCCUCCCCCUCUCCCCCUUGUAGCCGCCACCCUAUAUGGGAUCUAGGGCUGCCGCACCCCUUGGGGUGGGAACCCUAGAGGGGGCGCAGCCCCCUCCCCUCCCCCUAUAUAUACUCGAGGUAUGGGGGCUGCCCAACAUAUGAUUUGAUCUCUCUCUUGGCGCAGCCCUACCUCUCUCCCUCCUCGUCUCUCAUAGUGCAUGGCGAAGCCCUGCUGGAGUUCCGCACUCCUCCACCACCACCACACCGUCGUUCUGCUGCUGGACGGAGUCUUCCCAACCUCUCCUUCUCCCCUUGCUGGAUCAAGGUGUGGGAGACGUCACCGGGCUGCACGUGUGUUGAACGCGGAGGCGUCGUGGUUCGGCGCUUAGAUCGGAAUUAACCGCGAUCUAAAUCGCUACGAGUACGGCUCCUUCAUCCGUGUUCUUGCAACGCUUCCGCUUAGAGAUCUACAAGGGUAUGUAGAUGCACUCCCCUUCCCUUUGUUGCUAGAUUACUACAUAGAUUGAUCUUGGUGAUGCGUAGAAAAUUUUAAAUUUCUGCUACGAUCCCCAACAAUAUCUGCAACCACCUGUUUUGCGGCAGCUACUGCUGUCGCGAAUGUCUUAGAUGAUUUCUUCUCAACCGCAAUCUCAACCUUCUUGUCGAUGUUUUCUUCAGUUAACCUCCAUCUUUCCUUUCUCUCCUCCGUGGUCUCACAGUAGUACUUCUUCCACGUGGCCCCGUCUCCGACACCGUGAACGCGUCCAUACGACGACCUAGUCUCCACCGGCAGUCCUUUCAAUAUGUUCAAUGCCCGGGUGAAUGGAGUGUCCCACUUGGGCCUCGCCAACGCCUCAGACGGUGAGUCGCUUUCAGCCACAAUCAUGUGCUUCUCUCUCUACAAAAGGAACAAGGAUCAUUUACAAAUAUGACUAAACGUGCAGUCGAAUUGAUCAGAAACUAAAAUUACCAGCAGUCUCAUGAACUCCGUCGUGAUCGGGUCCGUCUUGAAAACCUUCUUGACCGAGUUCGAAUGGUGUCGUGCCCUGAGGACGUCAUGCUCCUAUGGGACGGUGAAGUCCGCCAAGGGGUCUAGGAUGCCAGACUUUCGUGUUCCGUGUCCUGCUUGGCCCAUAUGGACCUCUUCCUGCCGUAACCACGGCUUCUGAGGUGGUGGCGCCCCAUGUUCCUUUGUUGAAGCCCCUUCAUGUACUUUGACUUUGUUUUGGCGGCUUCGGCCUCGCAAGCCGCCUUUAAUAUUUCAAAGUGCUCUCCCGUGAUUGUCGGAUUAUCCUUUACAAUCUCGGAGUAGGGUUGAUACGUCUCCAACGUAUCUAUUAUUUUUGAUUGCUCCAUGCUAUAUUAUCUACAGUUUUGGACAUUAUUGGGCUUUAUUAUCUACUUUUAUAUUAUUUUUGGGACUAACCUAUUAACCAGAGGUCCAGCCCAGAAUUGCUGUUUUUUUGCCUGUUUUAGGGUUUCGAAGAAAAGGAAUAUCAAACGGAGUCCAAACGGAAUGAAGCCUUCGGGAAUGAGAUUUUCUCAACGAACAAGACCCGGGAGACUUGGACCCUACGUCAAGACAAAANNNNNNNNNNNNNNNNNNNNNNNNNNNNNNNNNNNNNNNNNNNNNNNNNNNNNNNNNNNNNNNNNNNNNNNNNNNNNNNNNNNNNNNNNNNNNNNNNNNNNNNNNNNNNNNNNNNNNNNNNNNNNNNNNNNNNNNNNNNNNNNNNNNNNNNNNNNNNNNNNNNNNNNNNNNNNNNNNNNNNNNNNNNNNNNNNNNNNNNNCACCGACGUACUUCUUCCUCCUAUAUAUACCUACGUACCCCCAAACGAUCAUAUACGGAGCCAAAACCCUAAUUCCACCGCCGCAACUUUCUGUAUCCAUGAGAUCCCAUCUUGGCGCCUGUUCCGGAGCUCCGCCGGAGGGGGCAUCGAUCACGGAGGGCUUCUACAUCAACAGCAUAGCCUCUCCGAUGAAGUGUGAGUAGUUGACCUCAGACCUACGGGUCCAUAAUUAUUACCUAGAUGGCUUCUUCUCUCUUUUUGGAUCUCAAUACAAUGUUCUCCCCCUCUCUUGUGGAGAACUAUUCGAUGUAAUAUUCUUUUUGCGGUGUGUUUAUUGAGAUCGAUGAAUUGUGGGUUUAUGAUCAAGUCUAUCUAUGAAUAAUAUUUGAAUCUUCUCUGAAUUCUUUAAUGUAUGAUUGUUUAUCUUUGCAAGUCUCUUCGAAUUAUCAGUUUGGUUUGGCCUACUAGAUUGAUCUUUCUUACAAUGGGAGAAGUGCUUAGCUUUGGGUUCAAUCUUGCGGUGUCCUUUCCCAGUGACAGUAGGGGCAGCAAGGCAUGUAUUGUAUUGUUGCCAUCGAGGACAACAAGAUGGGGUUUUCAUCAUAUUGCAUUAUUCUAUCCCUCUACAUCAUGUCAUCUAGCUUAAGGCGUCACUCUGUUUUUAACUUAAUACUCUAGAUGCAUGCUGGAUAGCGGUCGAUGAGUGGAGUAAUAGUAGUAGAUGCAGGCAGGAGUCGGUCUACUUGUCUCGGACGUGAUGCCUAUAUACAUGAUCAUACCUAGAUAUUCUCAUAAAUAUGCUCAAUUCUGUCAAUUGCUCAACAGUAAUUUGUUCACCCACCAUAGAAUAAUUAUACUCUCAAGAGAAGCUACUAGUGAAACCUAUGGCCCCCGGGUCUAUCUUUAUCAUAUUAAUCUCCUACUACUUAGUUAUUUCCUUUGCUUUUUCCUUUGUAUUUCCUUUGCUUUUUUCCUUUGCCUUUAUUUUACUUUUCAUCUUUAUCACAAAAAUACCAAACAUAUUAUCUUUAUCAUAUCUAUCAGAUCUCACUCUCGUAAGUGGCCUUGUAGGGAUUGACAACCCCUAUUCGUGUUGGUUGUGAGGAUUUAUUUGUUUUGUGCAAUUACGAGGGACUCGCGCGUAGCCUCCUACUGGAUUGAUACCUUCGUUCUCAAAAACUGAGGGAAAUACUUACGCUACUUUGCUGCAUCAUCCCUUCCUCUUCGGGGAAAACCAACGCAGUGCUCAAGAGGUAGCAAGAAGGAUUUCUGGUGCCGUUGCCGGGGAGGUCUACGCAAAAGUGAACAUACCAAGUACCCAUCACAUACCCUUAUCUCCCGCAUUACAUUAUUUUCCAUUUGCCUCUCGUUUUCACCUCCCCCACUUCACCCUUGCUGUUUUAUUCGCCCUCUCUCUCUAUCCGCCCUCUCUUUCUCUAUUUGCCUCUUUUUUCCCGCUUGCUUUCUGUUUGCUUGUGUGUUAGUUGCUUGCUUGUCACGAUGGCUCAAGAUAAUACUAAAUUAUGUGACUUCACAAUGGCGAAAGCCUGGUUUUCGUCUUUGGCUAAAAAUAGUAUUGAUUCAUGGAAUAAGUGCAAAGAUGCUUUUAUCUCUAAGUAUUUUCCUCCUGCUAAGAUCAUCUCUCUUAGAAACGAUAUAAUGAAUUUUAAGCAACUUGAUCAUGAACAUGUUGCACAAGCUUGGGAGAGAAUGAAACUAAUGGUACAUAAUUGCCCUGCCCAUGAUUUAAAUUUGUGGAUGAUUAUACAAAAUCUUUAUGCCGGAUUGAAUUUUGCUUCUAGAAAUCUUUUAGAUUCAGCCGCGGGAGGCACUUUUAUGGAAAUCACUUUAGGAGAAACUCCUAGAUAAUAUUAUGGUCAAUUAUUCUCAACGGCAUACUGAAAGAUCUAAUAAUAAAAUGGUGCAUGCGAUAGAAGAAAUUAAUGUUUUGAGUGGAAAGAUGGAUGAACUUCUGAAAUUAUUUGCUAAUAAGAGUGUUUCUUCUGAUCCUAAUGAUAUGCCCUUGUCUAAUUUGAUUGGGAAUAAUAAUGAAUCUAUGGAUGUGGAUUUUGUUGGUAGGAACAAUUUUGGUGACAACGCGUAUAGAGGAAAUUUCAACCCUAGGCUUUAUCCUAGUAAUCUCUCUAAUAAUGAUGGUAAUUCCUACAACAAUUCUUAUGGAAAUUAUAAUAAGAUUCCCUCUGAUUUUGAAUCUAAUAUUAAAGAAUUUAUUACUUUGCAAAAGAAUUUCAAUGCCUAGAUUGAAGAAAAAUUGCUUAAGAUUGAUGAUUUGGCUAGGAACGUUGAUAGAAUUACUCUUGAUGUUGAUUCUUUGAAACUUAGAACUAUUCCACCUAAGCAUGAUGUCAAUGAGUCUCUCAAAGCCAUGAGAAUUUCCAUUGAUGAGUGCAAAGAAAGAACCGCUAGGAUGCGUGCUAAGAAAGAUGCCUUUAUAAGAGCGUGUUCUUCUCGUUCCUAUGAAAAUAAUGAUGAAGAUCUAACAGUUAUUGAUGUGUUCCCUAUUAAAUCUUUGUUUUGCAAUAUGAAUCUUGAUAAUGAUGGGACUGAAUAUGAUCCACCUUUACCUAUCAGGCGUUCCAAGAAUUCAGAAUUUGUUGAUCUUGAUGCUAAAAUUGAUAAAGGUGGGAUUGAAGAAAUUAAAACCCUUGAUGUUGCUAAACCCACUAUUAUGGAUUUCAAGGAAUUUAACUAUGAAAAUUGCUCUUUUAUUGAUUGUAUAUCCUUGUUACAAUCCAUGCUAAAUUCUCCUCAUGCUUAUAGUCAAAAUAAAGCGUUUACUAAACAUAUCGUUGAUGCCUUGAUGCAAUCUUAUGAAGAAAAACUUGAAUUGGAAGUUUAUAUCCCUAGAAAGCUUUAUGAUGAGUGGGAAUCAACUAUUAAAAUUAAAAUUAAAUAUCAUGAAUGCUAUGCUUUAUGUGAUUUAGGUGCUAGUGUUUCCAUGAUUCCAAAGACUUUGUGUGAUUUGUUAGGUUUCCGUGAUUUUGAUGAUUGCUCUUUAAACUUGCGCCUUGCGGAUUCCACUAUUAAGAAACCUAUGGGAAGAAUUAAUGAUGUUCUUAUUGAUGCAAAUAGGAAUUAUGUGCCUGUAGAUUUUAUUGUUCUUGACAUAGAUUGCAAUCUUUCAUGUCCUAUUAUUCUUGGUAGACCUUUCCUUAGAACGAUUGGUGCAAUUAUUGAUAUGAAGGAAGGAAAUAUUAGAUUCCAAUUUCCAUUAAGGAAAGUCAUGGAACACUUUACUAGAAAGUAAAUUAAAUUAACUUAGGAAUCUAUUAUGAUAGCCACUUAUGGAUUGCCUACCAAAGAUGGCAAUACCUAGAUCUAUCCUUGCUUGUUAUGCCUAGCUAGGGGCAUUAAACGAUAGCGCUUGUUGGGAGGCAACCCAAUUUUGUUUUUAUUCCUUGAUUUUUGCUCCUGUUUAGUAAUAAAUAAUUUAUCUAGCCUCUGUUUCGGUUGUGUUCUUUGUGUUUAAUUACUGUUUGUGCCAAGUAGAACCGUUAGGAAGACUUGGGGAAAGUCUUGUUACACUUGCUGUAAAAAACAGAAACUUCAGCGCUCACGAGAACUGCUGCCAUUUUUAUUUGGAAGUGCUAUUUAGUUAAUUAUUUCUGCAGAUGAUUAAUACAUAAAUUCCUCACGUCCAGCAAUUUAUUUUAGAAUUUUUGGAGUUCCAGCUCUUGAGCUAGCUACAGAUUACUACAGACUAUUCUGUUUUUGAAAGAUUCUGUUUUUUCGUGUGUUGUUUGCUUAUUUUGAUGAACCUAUGGCUAGUAAAAUAGUUUAUAAACCAUAGAGAAGUUGGAAUACAGUAGGUAUAACACCAAUAUAAAUAAAUAAUGAGUUCAUUAUAGUACCUUCAAGUGGUCUUUUAUUUUCUUUCGCUAACGGAGCUCACGAGAUUUUCUACUUUAAGUUUUGUGUUGUGAAGUUUUCAAGUUUUGGGUAAAGAUUUGGUGGAUUAUGGAACAAGGAGUGACAAGAGCCUAAGCUUGGGGAUGCCCAUGGCACCCCCAAGAUAAUCUAAGUACACAUAAAAGCCAAAGCUUGGGGAUGCCCCGGAAGUCAUCCCCUCUUUCGUCUACUUCUAUCGGUAACUUUACUUGGAGCUAUAUUUUUAUUUGCCACAUGAUAUGUGUUUUGCUUGGAGCGUCUUGUAUUAUUUGACUUGUCAGGACCCCGAUUCCAAGCCACAUCGAUCUAGACGGUAACACCUCAUAUCACUUUGCAGCCUCACGCACGAUAUUCCACGGGUGUCGCAUUACCAUGGCCUGGGACCGUUUGCGCCUUUUGGCUCACGUAUAUGAUAGUGUCGCUAGCAUCCAUAUGACAGAGAACCCGGGCCGACAUGGCUAGUCGUGAACCCAAAGCGGCACAGACCUAUGGAGACAGGCAUACAUGAAUCACAUCGAGCAUGUCGGUCAUCAGCGAGUGAUUCCGGGCUUUAGCACUGGGCUAACAGGACUCCGGGGAACCCGGGCUGUAGCAGGCUAGGCAGGACUCCGGAAGUCACCGCGUGACAUUUCCCCGAAGAGACAGACAUAGGAACAAAGUGAAUCACAUGCUGGCCAGUCAAGUGUCCUGAGCAGUAGUGCUAGGCUAGCAGGACUCUGGUGAACCGGGCUGUAGCGGACUACUAUGGCUCGAGGAACACUAGACUACAUUUCCCCAUAAGAAAGGCUGCCAAGGAUAAACAACUAGAUUUUCGGAUCCCACUCAUACCAAGCAUUUCAAUCAUACACACAAUAUGCCCGAUAUGAGUACAUACAACAUGGCAUCACAACAAAACUCUACAAAUCAAGUACUUUAUUUAAAGGCUCCAGAGAGCCAUACAUAACAUGUUCAUACAGAUAGGGGUCACAUGACCCGACACUCAAGUCAUACAAUCAUACAAGCACAUGCGGAAGCAACCGGUCUGAGUACGGACACUAGAAAGAAAGAAGGCUCCUCGAGGCCUGUUUAUCUACAUAGGGCCCUCCAUGGCCAGGAUCACCACCUGGGUGGCUAGUCACUCGUCGACGUCAAGGUCUACAUAGAACCCAUCGGAGGGGGCGGUGUUGUCGUCUGAAAACAGUAAUUAAGCAAACAUGAGUACAAAGGUACUCAGCAAGUCUUACAACAGAACCUACUAUACAUGCUUAUUCUCAAGAAGGUGGUGGGGAUAUUGCAGCAAGCCAGCUUUGACUCUUGGCUAAACUAUCCUAUGGAACUUCUCUAGUAAAAUAGUUUUCGCACACGAGUCCACUACUCACCAACACAAUACUCCACCGGGGAUCCUCCCUCGUCAUCCUACGAGAGGGCCAUCCUCGGUACUCACACUUAUCUUGAGUCUUUUAGUAGUAUCCAUUUACUUGUCUACGAACUGUAUAGGCAACCAAGUAGUCCUUUACCGCGGACGCGGCUAUUCGAAUAGUUUUAUACCCUGCAGGGGUGUACUUCGUCAUGCACGCUUUCACCACUUAUCGCCGUUUACACGACAUGUACUCGGCAACCUUCAAGCGGAAGCCCAGUGAGGGUGUCGGCCACGGCCUACCUAAACACUUAAGUCUCUAGUCCAGGUUUAUCGCCUAUCCAGGUUCCAUCCGCAGGGAGUCCGGCCGAGGUUUCCACAUACGGCCCGAACGAUGUGAACAGGGUCCCGAGACGCCAAUCGGGCACCCGGCAUACCCGGCCACGGUGUAUCUACCGCAACAUAGCCCACCCCUAGGGUCAGCACUACGCACGGCCGCCAACACAUAACCUACAAGCACCAGAAACUAUUUGCAACUCCUGGACAGAGUACUAGGGUGAUUAAGAAGCCGAGAGGGUCAAUUAAGGAUCCCAAUGCAUGGUAGUAGCUGAAUCUUAAAUCGCACAUACAGAUCUCAGUUCUUUGGGACGGUCUCAAUGAAACAACCCACCAUGUACUCCUACAUGGCCUCUCAUCGAUACCUUUACCAAAACAUGUUCAACACAUUCCUCAUAUUACCGACAUAAUCAUAUCACUCUAGCCCAUCACCCAGAUGAACCAGACCUGACACAACUCUAAGCAUAGCAGGCAUAGCAAGGUAGGAAUCACAGACAUGGCUCAAUCAACUCCUACACAUGCUAGUGGGUUUCAUCUAGUUACUGCGGCAAUGACAGAUCAUGUAGAGGAUAAGGGUUCAACUACCGUAGCACACAGUAGUUUGAAUCGCGUUGUCUUAAUCCAGUAAACAAGAGCAAAGGCGAGAACAUGGGUUGUAUCGGAAUGAUCAAUGGGUUGCUUGCCUGAUGGAGUGGUAGCGGGAUACUGCCCUUCAGUUGGAUACUCGUGAAUAUCCUCGGAGGCAGAACCUACCACGAAGAACACAUCGGAACACAAUCAACACAUGACGAUAUGCAACAAUAUGAUGCAUGCUAUGACAUGGCUAUGGUGUUGGCCUAAUGCAAGCUAAAAUAGAAAGGGAUGAACUCAUUUGAAUCAAAGAUUCAAAUAUUAGCUCAUUAAACAUGGCCUUAAUAGUGGAUUUCCUUAUUCUGCUUAAACAGCAAGGUAAACUUGUUUUUUCAUGCAUGAAACCAUUACAUAUGGAUAGAUUGAAUUUUUCUGAUAAAUUUUUCAUAUAUAAAUUAUUUCAUUUGGAGUUACGGUUGAAUUUCUAUGAUUUUUAGAAGUUUUAAACAUUUUCUGGAAUUUCCUGAAUAAAGAUAAAUCCAGAAAAUGCAUUACUGCAUCAGCAUUGCGUCAUGCUGACCUCAGCAGGUCAAAGGCGCCAGCCCAGGUCAAACCUGACUGGUGGGCCCCUUCUGUCAGUCUCUGAGUUAAAUAACAGGAUUAGAUUAACACUAAUUAGCUGUCAGUGGGGCCUGGGCCCACAUGUCAGUGACUGAUUAAAAUAAAAUUAGUUAAAACUAAUCCUAGAUUAGUUAGCAGACCGGCCCCACCUGUCAUAGACUCAGGGGGGUCUACCUGGGCCCACCCAGGGUCAAACUGGGUCAAACUCACCGGCGUUGAGCAGCCGGCGAGGCCCGAGACGGUGGCGCAGCUCGGAAAACGCCUAUAGGGCAUGAGGGAGGCCGUUCUUGGGCUCGUUGGAGAGCUCUUGCAAUCGCGCAUCUAGUGGUGGUGGUGGCCGAGCCUACGGUGGCCGGAGACGACGACGGCGAGCUCCAAGGCGGCGGCCGGAGUUCGGCCAUGUGCGGGGUGUGGGCUGCGGUGUGCAAACGUGGAAACUGAGGCGCUAGCGAGGCACUACGCGAUGCGGCAAGCAUGUUGCGUAGCACGGGAUGACCAAAUGGUCGCCGAAGCGGCACCGGCGACAAGCUCGAGCGGAGACGAGCUUCGGCCAUGGUGGAACUAUGGCCUAGAGGGUGCAAACGCGUGGAAAAGAAGAGGGGAAAGGUGGGGGAGCUCACAGGGAGGUCGAUGAGCAGCUCAGCGGGCUUGGGGGCGACCGGAGUGAGGCGAAUCGAUGAGCGGUGUCCGGUGGGUACCGAGGUUGAAGACGAUCCGAUGGCGGCGAUGCAGGGCCUCCGGCGAUGCGUGGCUCGGUGGGGAGGGCGAGGGCGUCACGGCAGAGCUUCUGGACAGGUCUGAGAGGCGAGAGGGUGACGGAGGGCGUGACUACGGCGGUGAGAGGGCGACGGGUGCGUCGGCCAUCGCGGGAGAGGGAGAGGGAGACGCGGUGGAGAGUGAGAGAGGAUGAGAGGGGGACGUGGGGGUCGCGUGGCAUUCCCUAGACGUCUCCCGGUGUCGGCGGAAGCAGGAGGUGGCCGGCGUGUGGCCGCGGGCGUCGGCCACGCGCUCCGCGUCCUUCUGGCACGAGGAGGACGACGACUGGCAGCGCCAGUAGGCUGGGCCGAGCCAGGUGGGCUGGCCAGCACAGGUAAGGCCCAGGUGGGCUUCUCCCUCUCUUUUUUUAAUUUGUUUCUGUUUUCUAUUUAACUGUAACUGUUGGGCUUUAUUUAAAAUACUAAAACAUUUCCAAAAAUCCUGAAAAUAAUUGUGGGCUCUAUUUGGAUUAUUUCCAACAGCAAACAUUUAUUUCCAGAAUUAUUUGAGCAUCUAAAUUAUUUAAUAGCAUUUAAAUGUCCAAAUUCAAAUACUUAUGAUUUAAAUCAAUGACCUUCUGUUGACCAAGAAAAAUUGUGCACCAAUUUUGCCAGAGGUUCUAACCCAAGACAAAGAGGGUGAACUUUUUAGAAGGGCAUUUCAGGUUCAUUGAAAAUAAUUUUAGUAAACCCUAGUUGUUUCCAGGGGGGUGUUGGGGGUUUGUGCCUUCCCCAACUCAAAUUUAAGAGGAAUUUAAACAUGAUGCACAUUCUAAUGCUUGAACUAGCUAGGGUGUGACAACUCACCCCCAGUCAAAAGAAUCUCGUCCUGAGAUUUAGGAUCCUCUGGAAAGAAGGUGGGGUACUCGAGUCGAAGACGAUCCUCCCUUUCCCAAGUGGCUUCUUUCUCGGAAUGGUGUGACCAUUGAACCUUGAGAAACUUGAUAUUAUGACGUCGAGUGGUACGCUCGGCUUGAUCAAGGAGACGAACGGGAUAUUAUCGUUAAGAGAGAUUAUCUUGUAGAUCAAGCGUUUUGUGGUCCACUCCACGAAUAGGAUCCGCGAAGCAACGCCUGAGUUGUGAAACGUGGAAGACAUCAUGAACUCUGGAAAGAUGCGGAGGUAGUUCCAAUUGGUAGGCAACUUCUCCUCGUUUGGCAAGAAUGCGAAAGGGUCCAAUGUAACGAGGAGCCAAUUUGCCUUUGAUACCGAAACGAUGGGUUCCUUUUAAUGGGGUAACCCGAAGGUAAGCCUUCUCGUCGACUUCAUAAGUCAUAGGCUUAUGUUUACGAUCAUAUUGACUCUUUUGACGAGAUUGGGCUGUUUUCAAUUUCUCACGAAUAACGCGAACCUGCUCUUCCGCUUCCUGAAUCAUAUCCGGUCCAAAGAGUUGUCUUUCCCCGGUUACUGACCAGUUAAGAGGCGUUCGACAUUUUCGUCCAUAGAGAACUUCGAAAGGAGCUUUGCCCAAGCUAGCUUGAUAACUAUUAUUAUAAGGAAACUCCGCGAAUGGGAGGCAUUUCUCCCAACUCAUUCCGAACAAGAUAACAUAAGCUCGGAGCAUAUCUUCCAGAAUUUGAUUGACUUGCUCUACUUGACAACUUGAUUGAGGAUGGAAGGCUGUACUAAAAGAGAGACGAGUUCCCAUAGCAUUUUGGAAACUUUCCCAAAAUCGAGAGGUGAAGAGACUCCCACGGUCUGAGUUAAUUUCCAAUGGGACACCAUGGAGAGACACUAUUCGGGAGAUGUAUAAAUCGGCUAGCUGGAUAGCAGUGAUAUUCUCACGAACAGGUAGGAAAUGGGCUACUUUGGAAAGACGGUCGAUCACGACGAAGAUGGCAUUAUUCCCUCUCUUGGUCCUGGGAAACCCAGUAAUGAAAUCCAUACUGAUUUUAUCCAAUUACCAUUCAGGAAUAGCCAAAGGUUGAAGGGUGCCAGCAGGCCGUUGAUGCUCUGCUUUAACACGACGACAGACGUUGCAGCUAGCAAUGUAUUGAGCGAUUUAUCUCUUCAUCCUAGUCCACCAAAACCUGUGGCGUAGGUCUUGAUACAUUUUAGUGCUACCGGGAUGAAUGGUGAGAGGGGAUUCAUGAGCUUCCUUAAGGAUCAAUUGGCGUAGAUGUUGUUUCUUGGGAACCACCAAACGAUUCUCAAAGAAGACAGCACCCCGCUUAUCCAUGAAAAAACAUUUAGCAACUCCACUAGUAAUGUUUUCCUUAAUCCGGGAUAUGCCCUUAUCAUACCACUGGGCGGUUAUGAUCUGAUCCAUAAGGUUAGGUUUCGCCACCAGGGUGGAUAGGAAUCCUCGAGGAACAAUGUGAAGAUUAAGCUUACGGAAUUCCUCAUGCAGAAGUGGUUGACUUUGUUGUAACAUCGGGUUGUUACAAUAGUAUUACGGCUUAGCGCAUCAGCCAUGACAUUGGCUUUGCAUGGGGUGUAGGUUAUUCCUAAGUCGUUAUCCAAGAUCAACUCAACCCAACGUCUUUGCCUGAGAUUCAAAUCUGGUUGGGUGAAGAUAUAUUUCAAGCUUUGGUGAUCGGUGAAGAUCUCGCAACGAUUACCGAGGAGGUAAUGUCGCCAAGUUUUAAGUGCAUGGACUACAGCUGCCAGCUCUAGAUCAUGUGUGGGAUAAUUUUCCUCAUGUGGGUGUAAUUGCCGUGAAGCGUAGGCAAUUACCUGAUGAUCUUGCAUGAGUAUGCAACCUAGUCCUUGUCGCGAGGCGUCGCAAUAGAUAAUAAAGUCCUUGGAGAAAUCCGGUGGUACCAGUACGGGAGAAGAUGUCAGGCGUCUUUUCAGUUCCUGAAAGUUGAACUCGCACUGUGGAGUCCACUCAAACUUUUUAUCUUUCUUGAGGAGUUCAGUUAGAGGUUUAGCAACCUUGGAUAAAUUCUCGACGAAGCGGCGGCAAUAGCUCGCUAAGCCAAGGAAGCUCCGAACUUGCUUGACCGUCUCAGGUGGAGUCCAAUCAAGGACGGCUUGAACUCGCUCGGGAUUGACGGCAAUACCCUUACCAGAGAUUACAUGGCCUAAAUAGGUUACUUCUGGCAACCAAAAUCGACACUUGGAGAACUUGGCAUAAAGGCGAUGCUCUCGAAGUUUCAUCAAUACCAGCCUUAGAUGUUCGGCAUGUUCCUCUUCAUUCUUGGAGUAGAUGAGUAUGUCAUCGAGGUAUACUACGACGAAUUUAUCCAAGUACUCCAUGAAAACCGAGUUCAUUAACCGGGAGAAGGUAGCCGGGGCAUUGGUUAAACCGAAGGACAUAACGGUGUACUCGUAUUGGCCAUAACGAGUAACAAAGGUCGUUUUGGGAAUGUCCCCGUUUCUGAUUUUGAUUUGAUGGUAGCCCAACCUCAAAUCCAUCUUGGAAAAGACUGAGGAUCCAGCGAGCUGAUCAUACAGAUCAUUGAUCCUGGGAAGCGUGUAUUUGUUCUUGAUGGUGACCAAGUUGACAGGUCGGUAAUCCACAACCAUUCGAUCUGUUCCAUCCUUCUUCUUGACGAAGAGGAUGGGGCAAGCCCAAGGAGAGGAACUAGGACGGAUGAAACCCUUUUUCAAGGACUCAUCGAGUUGGUUCUUAAGCUCGGCUAGUUCUAAGGGUGCCAUCUUGUAGGGUCUUCUAGAAAUUGGAACGGUUCUUGGAACAAGGUCUAUCACAAACUCGACAUCCCUGUCAGGUGGAACACCUGGCAGUUCUUCUGGAAAGACAUCCGGAAAGUCUCGGACUACCGGAACAUCCUCAAGGUCUAGAAGGGGGUUGAUAUUUAGGGAGUAAAGUUGGCGCUUGGCCACUCGAGUUAAGACAUUAACUGUCUUGCCCGAUGGGUAAGUUGAACGGUUCUAGUGGCACAGUCAAUCUUAGCAUAAUGAGCUGACUUCCAGUCCAUACCUAAGAUGAUGUUUAUGUCCGAGGACUUGAGAGCUAUUAAGGCUGCAAGGAAGACAAGUCUAUCGACAAGAAUUCGUUCCCAUGGCUUACUCUAGAAGUUUGCCAUCUAGAGCCAGGGGUUUGAAUUUCCAUGGUAGAGGGCAUGUCACAGAAUGUGGUGUUGUGCAAUCGAGCAUAGUUCUCGGAUAUGAAUGAAUGAGAUGCUCCAGUAUUGAAAAGAACAGAUGCCGGAUGGCAGUUAACAAGGAGCGUACUAAGGACGACGUUGGGAUCCUCAUGAGCCUCCUCGGCUGAAACAUAGUUGACAUGGCCACGUGCAGUGGUGGCCGGCUUGGCGUAGAAUGUUUUUCCGACGGGCUUACCACGGCCAACGGACUUUCCAGUUUGAUUGGGGUUGUUGUUCUGGGGACACUCUCGGCUAUAGUGACUCGGCUCUCCACACUUAAAGCAUGUCACCACAUUGGGGCGUGGAGCAGCAUUAGCAGCGGGGCCACCAUAGGGCUUGGGCGGUGCAAAUUGCUGGUUGGGACGUGGUACCUCAAAGGAUGGCCUCGGGAUGAACCUGGGUGGCAGUGCCGUGCUUGGAAUCCACACCCGGCGCUUCUCAGCUCCAGAGCCAGAUGAAGAGCCAAAAUCACGGGAGUGCUUGCGUGAAGCGUCAUAAUCAGUCUGGCUUGUCUCAGCACUGAUGGCUUUAUUGACCAACUUCUGAAAGGAGGUGCACUCGUGCAGAUGAAGAUCGCGGCGAAGCUCAGGGCUAAGUCCCUUGCGGAACCUUGCCUGCUUCUUAGCAUCAGUAGAUACCUCUUCGGGGGCAUAACGUGCCAGAUUCCCAAAUUCACGACUGUAAGCAUCCAUAGUCAGUCUUCCUUGGGUGAAGUUGAAUAACUCCUCCCUCUUGCGAUCCAUGAGACCUUCCAGAAUGUGAUGCUCACGGAAAACCUCACUGAAUUCAGCCCAAGUAGUGAUUUGGCCGACUGGGCGCAUAGCUUCGAAGUUUUCCCACCAAAGGCUAGCAGGGCCUUCGAGGUGAUAGGCAGCAUAAGUAACCUUCUCGGCUUCGGCUACGUUGGCAGAACGUAGCUUGUGGGUGAUGCUGCGAAGCCAGUCAUCCGCGUCGAGGGGCUCGACGGAAUGGUUAAACUUUGGUGGGUACAGCUUGAUAAAGUCAUUGAUUGACACCAAGUCAUUUUGCGGGUGGCGUGAAGUGUUUUGCUCAAUCCGCUCCAGCAGGCGGUUGGUCUCACGCUUGUUUCUUUCCGCCUCCAGCAUUACUUCAGCCAAAGAAGGCAUGUGAGGCAGAUUUUCACCUCUAGCAGCACUGGCUUCCCCCUGCUCCGGGGCUGCAGGGUUGCUGCGGGUGUUGACCAUCCUAGGAGAAAACAAGACAACGGUUUAGACAAGGAUGGCUCAAACUUAGCAAGGAAGUGCAUAAUGUAAUGGAUAACACGGAAUGCAGAGAUGUUCAUCCGUAUGUCAUGGUAAUAUAAAACUGCAAUAUAUAUACCAACGGUCAUACACAUCAUACAUAGUUUAGUACAAGCCCAGGCUACAGUACAACUAUGAUGAAAGACGUUACAUCUCAUCGGAGGCAUUCCAAGAUCCUAUACAUUAUUGUCUACACCUCCGGAAUUGAUUACACGCAAAGUCAUAUUCCACAAGUCACGCAGGACAGUGGAGAUACAACUACUACAAUACUAGUGGUACUACUAUGUCACGACCGGUUUUCCAAUAAAAAUAUUUAUUGAGAAACCAAUCUUUUGAGUCCAGUAUGAGGGAAAUCCUCCUCACUGGUAGACAAAAUUCUUGAUACAAUAAGCCAGUAGCAAAGAAUAUAUUACAAGGUUGAGCUAGGGCUGCUCAACAAUUUAUAACAAGCGCGCCAACAAUUAUAUAUAAUGGCGGAUAUACCACAAUGGUGUGGUGGCAUACUACUGACUCGGGGAUAAAGUGAUGGUGGAAUAACACAGUGGGGAGUGUGAUAACAUGACUCUCAAACUGGCAUCUCAUCGAGCGUCGAGGUGAGGCUCGAUGAAUUUUAUUCGGGUUGCGGAAGCGAAUAUAAUACAUUGACCGAAUCCAGGGUCGCACGAGACUGAUUGGGACUCCUCUAGGCGUCGGACUCGCUAUCGAACUAUUCAUCCAUGAGAUCGCCUUCGUCAGCAUCUGGCCAAAUCAACAAGCCAGUGAGUACUUUGAUAGUACUCGCAAGACAGUUUGGACUUAAGAUAUAACAAAUGCAUGCAUGAAUGCGUCAUGAUUAAUUCACCAAAUGUGCAUUCCAAAAAUUAGCAUAACAAAGCAAGUAAAAGGGAAACGGCGGUAGUCCGCCUGAAAUCCCAACAAAAGCAUAAAUGAAAACCGAUCGGGUGUCUGAAGCGAUGCCUCGAAAGGUGAACAAAUAAAUAAAGGAGAAAGUCAUGCCACAGUCGGGCGUCUUCACGACACCACAUAAAGGGCUUUGAAAGAAAUGCCACAGUCGGACGUCGGGGCGACAUCACAGAAAGGGCUUUAAAAGAAAUGCCACAGUCGGACGUCGGGGCGACAUCACAGAAAGGGCUUUAAAAAAAUGCCACAGUCAGAANNNNNNNNNNNNNNNNNNNNNNNNNNNNNNNNNNNNNNNNNNNNNNNNNNNNNNNNNNNNNNNNNNNNNNNNNNNNNNNNNNNNNNNNNNNNNNNNNNNNNNNNNNNNNNNNNNNNNNNNNNNNNNNNNNNNNNNNNNNNNNNNNNNNNNNNNNNNNNNNNNNNNNNNNNNNNNNNNNNNNNNNNNNNNNNNNNNNNNNNNNNNNNNNNNNNNNNNNNNNNNNNNNNNNNNNNNNNNNNNNNNCGGACGUCGGGGCGACAUCACAAAAAGGGCUUUAAAAGAAAUGCCACAGUCGGAUGUCGGGGCGACAUCACAAAAAGGGCUUUAAAAGAAAUGCCACAGUCGGACGUCGGGGUAACAUCACAGAAAGGGCUUUAAAAGAAAUGCCACAGUCGGACUUCGGGGCGACAUCACAGAAAGGGCUGUAAAAGAAAUGCCACAGUCGGACGUCGGAGCGACAUCGCAGAAAGGGUUUUAUUCACAAGUAAAUAAUAAUCAUAAUAAAUAUUCAAUUCAUGAUAAUAAACAGGUUAGUCCAUCCACAGGAAUAACAUUUAGCCGGGCUUAGCACUCAUGGGAUUCACCGGAGUCUCUGUCAUCAAACUGAUACUGUUAGGCCAAGAUGAUACGAAUUUGGACAUGGAAUAGAUGAUUCAAGGAAUGUAUGACUCUGCAGAGUUUGUACAAAAUUUUUUCCCACAGCCAACGGAUUUCCGUAGUCACGAGGGACUAGUUCCGUUUACGGUUUUUCGGAAGAAAACACAGCUAACCAAUACACACCCAUCCUACCUCUCGAUGCCAGGACUCACCCUAGACAUCGUCCAAGAAAAACUUUUGAGACGGGGAGAUCACAAUCUCGAAUAGCAUGGGAUCAAAUUUAUAUAUGCGCGCUCUAAGGGGUGCCCCCCUCUCGGUCCCAACCGGAAACACCCAUGCCCCCUGACCGGAUGACUGGCUUUAAUCCAGGGCCAUGGAACCAUCAUCCUGGCCUCUCCUUUUGGUGUGUACCAGGAAAGCGGUUUGCAACUUACUAAGCCAUAUUCCUUGCGAAAAACAUGUGGUAGUACAGGGAAGGAAAUGGGAGGAACUGGACUGGUACGGUUUGACCCUGAAGUCAUAUAGUCUGGCAUAAGACUGGCAUGCUACAACACUGCCAUCUUACCCAUCCUCAUGCCAACACAUGGCCAUUCAUACUCACAUCCAUCCACUUAUGGAUCAUCGAACUCACUUACCUCAACAUUUCAUAAAAAAAAUAACGUUCAUCGGUAUGCUCAUCAACAUGCCAUGAAACUAACUAAAUGCAAAACAUGCCAAGACACUCAUCAUAUCAAAAGUUCAAACAUGCUUGCCUGGUUCAGAGUAGUCGGAGCCUAGCUCGGUGAAGUUCGCGGCUCCGUCACCUCCUUCGGUAUCUAUGGUAUAAAGAAAAUAUAUGCGCUAUCGUAAAUUCCAAGAGGUGCACAGAAAGUAUUCCAAAUAUUUUUCAAAUAAAUAUGAUAAAAAACUAGACAAAAAUCUGAAGAGGACAGGAAAAGAAUCACUCAAAAAUUCCUUUCUGUUAAAAAGUUAUAAGGGUUUUAAUCCAAGGACUUAUCUGUAAUGAAACAGAAAGUUUCCAGGGGCUAGUUUAUAAAAACAGAAAACGCUUCGGCAGAAACUACGCCAGCCCAGAGGGAAGGCGCAUUUGGCAGAAGGCGUUUUCAGAAAACGAUUCGCUUAGACAGGAUAGAGAGGCUGACAGCGGGUCCCGCCCGUCAGGUUUAAACUUUCAAACGGGGGGGGGGGCAGAUUUCGCCGGUGCCCGAGAGCCGCGGUGGUCGCCGGCGGCGAUCCACGGCCAGGCAGGGUGAUCGGAGAUUACCAACGUGCUCACCGUGUCCUUCCGCAAUGGUGGGUGGUGGUGUUGGUCGCCGGUGAGCACCACGUCGACGCAGAGCUUGGUCGGGAAGGUUUAGGGAGUUGGGCGUCAUCGCGAAGUUGCACCGGUUCCAUUUAGGUGCUAAGCGAGCUUGGAUUGGGGUGCUAAGGGCGAAGUCGACGGAACGGGGCGGCGCGGGCCCGUCGGCGGCAGGGAGCAUGUUUCGUGCUUGCCGGGCCGCAGUGAUGGUGCCACGGGCGUGCGCUGGCAUGCAUGAGGACAUGCGGAGAGCCAGGGAGCUUUGGGUGGCGCCGAACGGCGUUCUGCCGUGGUGUGCCUUCUGUCGGCCGCCACAGGAGGUCCCGACGCCGCAGAAGACGCCGGCGAGGGCGGGCCAGCGCGCCACUGACGCCAGGAAAGCUCCAAGCACGCGUGUGAAGCUCCGGACAAGAGGGAGGGGCUGCGAGCAUCGAGCCAAAGGCACUGUGAGCAUAUGCCUGAAACUCUGAAGAAAACGACACUGUAAAACUGAAUUUUACUGAACUUUUCUGAAAAAUGCAAAGAACAGUGCAGCUCAGGUGAUCGACAGAAUGUUUUUGGCAUCUAGGGAUUUUUCCUUGAGCUAAAACUUGGUGGAGUGGCCUCUCAUUGCUCCAGUAGGCUGCCUGAAUUUUGGUGGAAUUUUUUUGGAGAAGUGUAGAUAUGAAUUUCACCAAAUUUGGCAAAUCUGGUCCAAACUUGCAGUGAGUGAAAUUGAAAUAUUUGAAAAGAAUAAGAGUGGAUCAAGAUGGUUCUAGGUUGUGGGUACUAAAGACAAUCCAGGGAAGUUGGUUUGGGAUAAAAACUCAAAGGCAAAGUGAUACUUGCUUUGAAAAUCACUUAAGCUCAAAAUAAAUGGCAGAAAUGUUUUGGGGGAUAAAAUAAUUGAAAUAAAAUCCAAAACUUGUUUGGACUUGUUGAGACAGAGAAUUUAGAUUGUUCAAAGGUGGAGGGAUGGAUUUUGAGAGGAUUUACUAUAGGAGACAUGGUAAAACCAUGGGUGUUUUCAAAAAGAAAGAAGUCCCAAAACUCCUAGGGUUUCCUUUUUUUUGAAAAAAAUAAGUUUGAGAGGGUAACAACCAGAAGGAAAAGCUCCCAAAAACUUCAACACCAAAUUUGAAAAGGGAAAAGAAAAUCCUUGACAAAGGAAAGGAAGUUUUUAAGAGGAAGGAUUUCUGGAAAAGAAAUUUUUAAAAAACCCUCUUUUAAAAUCCAACAAGGUUUUGAUAAAAACCAAAUUAAAAUUUUGGAGUGUCACAGCACUUACCCCCUUAGGAAAAAUCUCGUCCCCGAGAUUUCAGCUGAUCCUUAAAUAAGCGAGGAUGCUCUGUCCGAAGAAAAUCCUCUCUUUCCCAAGUUGUUUCACUGUCGGUGUGAUUGCUCCACUGGACUUUGAAAAACUUGAUGGUCUUCUGUCGGGUCCUCCUUUCAGACUCCUCUAAUAUUCUUACAGGACGUUCCCGAUAAGUGAGGUCUGGCUGCACGUCGAUGUUCUCAUGGGAUACUUGUUUCUCUGGGUUGCUUACGCACUUCCUCAAUUGCGAGACGUGGAACACGUCGUGGACAUCGGAUAAUUCCUCGGGUAAGUCUAGCUGGUAGGCUACCGUGCCUCUUCGUGCCCUUAUACAGAAAGGUCCGAUGAAUCUUGGUGCUAGCUUCCCUUCAAUCUUGAACCAUUGCAAUCCGCUCAUAGGGAUACUCUUAGGUAUACGAACUCACCGGGUUCGAAGCUGACCCCACGAUGUUUCUGAUCGUAAUAACUCUUCUGUCGACUUUGAGCAGUCUUAAGUCGGUCUCUGAUUAGUUUGACUUUUUCCUCGGCUUCUCUGAGCAUGUCUGGUCCGAAGAUGCGGCUGUCUCCGGUCUCUGACCAAUUUAACGGGGUACGACAUCUUCGUCCGUAUAAGGCCUCAAAUGGUGCCAUUUGCAGGCUGGCCUGGUAGCUAUUGUUGUACGCGAACUCGGCGUAUGGCAGGCUUUCUUCCCAACUAUUUUCAUAGGUGAGGACACAUGCUCUCAGCAUGUCUUCUAAAACCUGGUUUACGCGUUCUGUUUGCCCAUCGGUCUGUGGGUGGUAUGCGGUACUGAAGGCUAGUUGGGUUCCCAGAGCCUGUUGUAAAUGCUCCCAAAAGCUCGAGACGAACUGAGUGCCUCUGUCGGACAUUAUAGUCUUCGGGACACCGUGCAGACAAACUAUGCGGGAAAGAUAAAUCCUGGCAAGCCUCUGAGUGGUGUGGGUCGUCUUUAUUGGAAUAAAGUGUGCCACUUUGGUUAACCUAUCAGUGAUGACCCAUAUGGCAUCAUUCCCGUGUCGUGACCGAGGUAGUCCGACAAUGAAAUCCAUCCCUAUUUCAUCCCAUUUCCACUCAGGUAUUUUGUUCGGUUGCAGUAGUCCGGCUGGUCUCUGAUGCUCAGCUUUUAUGCGUUGACAUGAGUCGCAGCGCGCAAUGAAGGUGGCUAUGUCCCUCUUCAUACUGUGCCACCAAAAUCUUUCCUGAAUAUCUUUAUACGUUUUGGUUCCUCCAGGGUGGAUCGAGUACGAGGCGGUGUGGGCUUCAGCUAAAAUUUGCUAUUUAAGGUCUUCUAUGUUUGGCACGCAGAGUCUGUCUCCGUACCAUAAUAUUCCUUCAUUGUCUAUGACUAAUUCCGAGGCUUUGCCCAUACUCACCUUUCUUUUGAUGCCUUCGAUGCUGGGGUGACCGGGCUGAGCUCCUUUAAUUUCCCCCACAAGGUCGGGUUGUAUUUCCAAGUUUGAUAUGGUGCCUUCUGCUACCAUCAUCAAGUUGAGCUUGGCAAAUUCUUGUUGGAAUUCGGGCCUCAAUCUGUGCAAAUUGUUGUCGUCGGAGCUGGGAUUCCGACUAAGAGCAUCGGCCACUACAUUUGCUUUUCCUGGAUGGUAAUGGAUACCAACAUCAUAAUCCUUUACCAAUUCCAACCAACGUCGUUGCCGUAAGUUUAGUUCUGGCUGUGUGAAAAUAUAUUUGAGGCUUUUGUGAUCCGUAUAUAUUUCACAUCGAUUCCCAAGUAAGAAAUGCCUCCAUUCCUUGAGUGCAUGAAUAACUGCUGCCAUUUCUAAGUCAUGAGUGGGAUAAUUUUCCUCAUGCUUACGAAGUUGCCUUGAAGCGUAGGCGACAACCUUGCCUUCCUGCAUCAACACGCAUCCGAGGCCCUUUCUGGACGCGUCACAAUAUACUUCAAAAUUCUUGUGUAUGUUGGGUACAAUUAAUACCGGUGAUGUCGUUAAUUUCCGUUUUAGCUCUUGGAAACUUUUCUCGCAGGCUUCUUUCCAUUCAAACUUCUUGUCUUUCUUGAGUAACUGUGUCAUAGGCUUGGCUAUGGUGGAGAACACUUCAAUAAAACUGUGGUAAUAUCCUAACAUUCCCAAGAAACUUCGUAUGUCCGUUACGCUGGCUAGUGACAUCCAGCCAAGUAUGGCCUUGACUUUCUCUGGGUCCACUGCGAUACCGUCUUGGGUCAGUACGUGGCCUAGAAAGCCUACUUUUCUUAGCCAAAAUUCGCACUUGCUGAACUUGGCAUACAAUUGGUGUUUUCUGAGCUCUCCUAGCACAAUCUUGAGAUGUUCUGCGUGCUCUUCUGGUGUCUUGGAGUAUACCAGAAUAUCGUCGAUGAAUACCACGACGAACUUGUCCAUAAACUUCAUAAAUACUUUGUUCAUGAGGUGAACAAAAUAUGCGGGGGCGUUAGUUAAUCCAAAUGGCAUCACUGUGAACUCGUACAGUCCAUAUCUGGAGGUGAAGGCUGUUUUGGGAAUAUCUUCUGUUCGCACCUUUAAUUGAUGGUAUCCUGACCUUAAGUCAAUUUUUGAGAAUACCUUGGCCUGAGCGAGUUGAUCAAACAAAUCGUUUAUCCUUGGCAUCGGGUAUUUGUUCUUGACUGUGACCAUGUUAAGUGCUCGAUAGUCAAUACACAAUCUCAGUGUUCCAUCCUUCUUUUGGCAAAUAAAAUUGGUGAUCCCCAAGGUGAGGAGCUGGCUCGAAUGUAUCCUUUGUCUAGCAAUUCCCUUAUUUGUUUCUUCAACUCAACUAAUUUGGAUGGUGCCAUUCGGUACGGUUUCUUGUAUAUGGGGGUGGUUCCUAGUGCGAGCUCAAUGCUGAACUCUAUCUCUCGGUCUGGUGGCAUGCCUGGUUGCUCUUCAGGGAAUACGUCUGGAAAUUCACACACUACUGGAACCUUGUUUAGCUCAGAAAUGUCCACCUUAUUCAAUCUCGGUUGGCAGGGUAUUUUUCCUUCCUUGGCUGAUACUCUUAUUGUCUUCCCUUGGUGGUGUGUGAGAAUUACGGUCCUGUUGAAACAGUCGAUAAACCCCUUGUUGGUGGUUAGCCAAUCCAUCCCUAGGAUGACAUCCAGUCCUUUAUUUUCCAACACAAUAAGAUUUGCGUGAAACUCCAAUCCUUCGAACUCAAUGACCACAUUCUGACACUAAUUCUGAGUAACUUGCUGAAUCCCAGGGGACUUGAUGAUCAUGGAUUUCUCCAAAGGAAGCAUCGAAAAAUUAUUUUGCAAAGCAAAACUUUUCAAAAUGAAAGAGUGAGAAGCUCCAGAAUCAAACAAAACCGUUGCAGGUAUUGUGUUGACAGGAAACGUACCGAGUACGAUAUCCGGAGCAUUUUGUGCCUCCUCUUUGGUUACGUGGUUCAGAUGAUCCUUCCUGUGGUUGUUGUUGGGAUUGAAAUUGUUUCGCUUGGGCACUGAAUUACUGCCGCCGUUGUUCGGCUUUGGGGUUGAGUUCCUUGGCUUGGGGCACUGUUUGGCAUAGUGCCCUUCUUCUCCACAAGUGUAACAAGUAACGCCGGGGCGAUAUGUGAACUCCUUGUCCCUUGCAUGAAAAUUCUUGAUUGGGAGUGAGACGUUGGAUGAGGAUUUGUGCGUCCCACCCUUUUUGAAAUCUGUCUUGCUCCGGUGAUUGCGAGCAAGGUUAGUCUGGUCCCUUUUUCGCUUGCGGAUAUCUUCCAGACUGCGUCUCUCAUUCUCCAGAGUAAUGGCUUUGUCCACCAGUGUUUUAAAAUCAGGAAAAGUGUGCACGACCAGUUGGCAUUUAAGCGCGGGCACCAUACCGUCAAGGAAUUUCUCCAUCUUCUUGCUUUCAGUCAUACGCUCUUCAUUGGCGUAGCGGGACAAUAGAGUAAAUUGACUGUUGUAAUCUGACACUGUCAUGUUCCUUUGCUUGAGGUCGUCGAACUCUCUCUUCUUGAUUUUCAUAAUACUCUUAGGAAUGUGUGCACCACGGAAACCUUCCUUGAAAUCAUCCCAGGUUAUGUCAUUUUCAUUGGGAUGCAUGUGCAGAAAAUUCUCCCACCACGAUGCGGCUGCUCCUGUGAGAUAGUGCGGAGUAUACAGUGCUUUUUCGGGGUCUGAACAUUUUGCAAUAUCUCUAAGCCAGUCCUCGGCUUCAAGAGGUUUGUCAGUGUGAGAAAAUGUUUGGGGACGUGUCUUCUGAAGCUUAGAUAACUUGGAUUGCUGCUGAUACUGUCCAUGGUGAUUCCCCAUGUUGAUGACUUGGUUCAUCAUUUCACGAUGUUGUUGCUGACUUUGUUCAUAUAGGCGGCACAUUUGGGAAAGUGUCGUUUCACUGUCCUGUUGACUCGACUGCCCUUGUGUGAAAUUGUUGCCUGGUUGAGUGUCAUAAUUUUCCUCUGGUGGAGUAGGCAUGGAGCGAGUCCAAGGACGAGACAUUUUUCACUAUGGGGAUAUAAUUUGCAAAACUCAUAAGAAAAGCGAAAAUGGUCGCAAAAACAAAUCCAAAAUUGCACAAGGAUGGCAAAUAAUUUAAAUGACCAAGAUCACUUAAGAAAACAAAUCGAAUUGCGCACGGAGAAGGACUGCUCAUUACAUAUCUUACACGCGGGCGAUAAUUAUACAAUACAUCACUCAGGAUAUGUGUACAUAAUCCUGACAUGUUAUUUAGGCUAGUGCACUUCUCUAGUUCCUACAUGAUGCGCAAACAAGCUACUCCUCACAACCUAUGUACAUAUCUUACAAAGCGGUACAUCGCAUGACGGGCAAGCGCACUCAGCCGGAAAUGUUGACGAUCUCCUUGGCCCUGCCAAGGGUGAGGCGCAGUGAGGCUGGGGACUCGACCUCCUCCUCACUAAUAGGCUCCAGACGUGAAGAGCUGCGUCGGGUAGAUGGAGCGGGUGCCAGGGGCGGAGCAACACGAAUAGGAGUAGGCACAACGGGUGGUGCAGUGCGCGCUGGAGUGGGCGCAAUGGCCUGGUUGAACUCCUAAGUGGUAGGCGGGCGACGAGUAGGUGCAAAAGAUGCUGAUGACAAGACCAAAGUCAGUGGCGGUGCGGCGGGUAGGAGCUCCCUCCUAUUGGUGGCACAGCCAUGGAUUGAGUCCAUGCGGGCAGCUACGAAGUCGUCCACCAGGUUGUCGAAGGCUGCCUCCAGAGCCCGGAGAUACUCAAUAAGCAUCUCAAAAGCCUCAUCUUGUUCUCCUCUGGGGCAGGAGAAUGCGUAGUGACAGGUGUAAGGCACAUGGCAUGGAAGAUAGCGGUAGCGACGAGUCUUCAUCGCGGGAAGGACAUCCCUGAGGCGAGCUAUCGCCUCACGGGCUGCCAUCUGCAUAGCAUGCCUCUCCGUAGGCAUGGCUCUUCCCACGAACCGGAAGCGGCGUAACUCACCACGCCCUCCCCUGAACUGCACCGUGACCUGGUGCAUGGUCAGAUUGUCGCUGACCUUGUGCUGGUAGAGUGUGAAGACUAGGCGCACAGACAGCCCCAUCGCGACCUGAACGAUGAAGGAGAGAAGCUUGACGAACCCAUUGGGCACGUUGGCGAAGGUUUGAGACUCGCAGCUGUUGUCGGCCAUCUACAAAAGUAGGCAAAAUUCCUGCAUGGUCAGAUCAUAAAUUUAUGCUGACUGUCAGAAAAUGACUACCAUUGCAAAAAUAUAAAUUAGCUCUAUUAUGCUAAUAACGAAUUAGCGAUCGCACCUAGUGGCUUCCUACGGUCAGCCUGACUCUGAUACCAAGCUUGUCACGACCGGUUUUCCAAUAAAAAUAUUUAUUGAGAAACCAAUCUUUUGAGUCCAGUAUGAGGGAAAUCCUCCUCACUGGUAGACAAAAUUCUUGAUACAAUAAGCCAGUAGCAAAGAAUAUAUUACAAGGUUGAGCUAGGGCUGCUCAACAAUUUAUAACAAGCGCGCCAACAAUUAUACAUAAUGGCGGAUAUAACACAAUGGUGUGGUGGCAUACUACUGACUCGGGGAUAAAGUGAUGGUGGAAUAACACAGUGGGGAGUGUGAUAACAUGACUCUCAAACUGGCAUCUCAUCGAGCGUCGAGGUGAGGCUCGAUGAAUUUUAUUCGGGUUGCGGAAGCGAAUAUAAUACAGUGACCGAAUCCAGGGUCGCACGAGACUGAGUGGGACUCCUCUAGGCGUCGGACUCGCUAUCGAACUCUUCAUCCAUGAGAUCGCCUUCGUCAGCAUCUGGCCAAAUCAACAAGCCAGUGAGUACUUCAACAGUACUCGCAAGACAGUUCGGACGUAAUAUAUAACAAAUGCAUGCAUGAAUGCGUCAUGAUUAAUUCACCAAAUGUGCAUUCCAAAAAUUAGCAUAACGAAGCAAGUAAAAGGGAAACGGCGGUAGUCCGCCUGAAAUCCCAACAAAAGCAUAAAUGAAAACCGAUCGGGUGUCUGAAGCGACGCCUCGAAAGGGUGAACAAAUAAAUAAAGGAGAAAAUCAUGCCACAGUCGGGCGUCUUUGCGACACCACAUAAAGGGCUUUAAAAGAAAUGCCACAGUCGGACGUCGGGGCGACAUCACAGAAAGGGCUUUAAAAGAAAUGCCACAGUCGGACGUCGGGGCGACAUCACAGAAAGGGCUUUAAAAAAAUGCCACANNNNNNNNNNNNNNNNNNNNNNNNNNNNNNNNNNNNNNNNNNNNNNNNNNNNNNNNNNNNNNNNNNNNNNNNNNNNNNNNNNNNNNNNNNNNNNNNNNNNNNNNNNNNNNNNNNNNNNNNNNNNNNNNNNNNNNNNNAACCGAUCGGGUGUCUGAAGUGACGCCUCGAAAGGUGAACAAAUAAAUAAAGGAGAAAAUCAUGCCACAGUCGGGCGUCUUAGCGACACCACAUAAAGGGCUUUAAAAAAAAUGCCACAGUCGGACGUCGGGGCGACAUCACAGAAAGGGCUUUAAAAGAAAUGCCACAGUCGGACGUCGGGGCGACAUCACAGAAAGGGCUUUAAAAGAAAUGCCACAGUCGGACGUCGGGGCGACAUCACAGAAAGGGCUUUAUUCACAAGUAAAUAAUACUCAUAAUAAAUAUUCAAUUCAUGAUAAUAAACANNNNNNNNNNNNNNNNNNNNNNNNNNNNNNNNNNNNNNNNNNNNNNNNNNNNNNNNNNNNNNNNNNNNNNNNNNNNNNNNNNNNNNNNNNNNNNNNNNNNNNNNNNNNNNNNNNNNNNNNNCAGAAAGGGCUUUAAAAAAAUGCCACAGUCAGACGUCGGGGCGACAUCACAGAAAGGGCUUUAAAAGAAAUGCCACAGUCAGACGUCGGGGCGACAUCACAAAAAGGGCUUUAAAAGAAAUGCCAUAGUCGGACGUUGGGGCGACAUCACAGAAAGGGCUUUAAAAGAAAUGCCACAGUCGGACGUCGGAGCGACAUCGCAGAAAGGGCUUUUAUUCACAAGUAGAUAAUACUCAUAAUAAAUAUUCAAUUCAUGAUAAUAAACAGGUUAGUCCAUCCACAGGAAUAACAUUUAGCCGGGCUUAGCACUCAUGGGAUUCACCGGAGUCUCUGUCAUCAAACUGAUACUGUUAGGCCAAGAUGAUACGAAUUUGGACAUGGAAUAGAUGAUUCAAGGAAUGUAUGACUCUGCAGAGUUUGUACAAAUUUUUUUCCCACAGCCAACGGAUUUCUGUAGUCACGAGGGACUAGUUCCGUUUACGGUUUUUUGGAAGAAAACACAGCUAACCAGUACACACCCAUCCUACCUCUCGAUGCCAGGACUCAGCCUAGACAUCGUCCAAGAAAAACUUUUGAGAUGGGGAGAUCACAAUCUCGAAUAGCAUGGGAUCAAAUUUAUAUACGCGCGCUCUAAGGGGUGCCCCCCUCUCGGUCCCAACCGGAAACACCCAUGCCCCCUGACCGGAUGACUGGCUUUAAUCCAGGGCCAUGGAACCAUCAUCCCGGCCUCUCCUUUUGGUGUGUACCAGGAAAGCGGUUUGCAACUUACUAAGCCAUAUUCCUUGCGGAAAACAUGUGGUAGUACAGGGAAGGAAAUGGGAGGAACUGGACCGGUAGAGUUUGACCCUGAAGUCAUAUAGUCUGGCAUAAGACUGGCAUGCUACAACACUGCCAUCUUACCCAUCCUCAUGCCAACACAUGGCCAUUCAUAAUCACAUCCAUCCACUUAUGGAUCAUCGAACUCACUUACCUCAACAUUUCAUAAAAAAAUAACGUUCAUCGGUAUGCUCAUCAACAUGCCAUGAAACUAACUAAAUGCAAAACAUGCCAAGACACUCAUCAUAUCAAAAGUUCAAACAUGCUUGCGUGGUUCAGAGUAGUUGGACCCUAGCUCGGUGAAGUUCGCGGCUCUGUCACCUCCUUCGGUAUCUACGGUAUAAAGAAAAUAUAUGCGCUAUCGUAAAUACCAAGAGGUGCACAGAAAGUAUUCCAAAUAUUUUUCAAAUAAAUAUGAUAAAAAACUAGACAAAAAUCUGAAGAGGACAGGAAAAGAAUCACUCAAAAAUUCCUUUCUGUUAAAAAGUUAUAAGGGUGUGAAUCCAAGGACUUAUCUGUAAUGAAACAGAAAGUUUCCAGGGGCUAGUUUAUAAAAACAGAAAAUGCUUCGGCAGAAACUACGCCAGCCCAGAGGGAAGGCGCAUUUGGCAGAAGGCGUUUUCAGAAAACGAUUCGCUUAGACAGGAUAGAGAGGCUGAUAGCGGGUCCCGCCCGUCAGGUUUAAACUUUCAGACGGGGGUGGCAGAUAUCGCCGGUGCCCGAGAGCCGCGGUGGUCGCCGGCGGCGAUCCACGGCCAGGCAGGGUGAUCGGAGAUUACCAACGUGCUCACCGUGUCCUUCCGCAACGGUGGGUGGUGGUGUUGGUCGCCGGCGAGCACUACGUUGACGGCGGUCUUGACUCCGGCGGACGAUGGUUCGGGCGUUGAUGGAUCUCGCCGAGGAGGGCUGCAAGGAUCAAAUUGAGGUGGGGGUUAGAGCACUAGGUGUAAGAGAAGGCUACGGAUGAGGUUUGGGCGCCGGAGAUGGCCUCACCGGAGUGAAUCGAGGUGGAGGCCGAGGCGGAGCGAGGCGGCCGGAGUUGGGGAAGGAGACCUCCUCGAGGUCCUCCUGGUGGCUUGGCAGGGUCCUGGAGAGGUGCAGUGAAGGUGUGGGUCUCGUGAGCGAGCUCGGGGUCCUUUUUAUAGGCGAGCCGAGGCGGUGGCCGUGAAUGGGGAUCUCCGGCGAAGGUUACGGCGGCGCAGAGCUUGGUCGGGAAGGUUUAGGGAGUUGGGCGUCAUCGCGGAGUUCCACCAGUUCCAUUUAGGUGCUAAGUGAGCUUGGAUUGGGGUGCUAAGGGCGAGCUCGAUGGAACAUGGCGGCGCGGGCCCGUCGGCGGCAGGGAGCACGUUCCGUGCUUGCCGGGCCGCGGUGAUGGUGCCACGGGCGUGCGCUGGCAUGCAUGAGGCCACGCGGAGAGCCAAGGAGCUUUGGGCGGCACCGAACGGCGUUCUGCCGUGGUGUGCCUUCUGUCGGCCGCCACAGGAGGUCCCGACGCCGCAGAACACGCCGGCGAGGGCGGGCCAGCGCGCCACCGACGCCAGGAAAGCUCCAAGCACGCGUGUGAAGCUCCGGACAAGAGGGAGGGGCUGCGAGCAUCGAGCCAAAGGCACUGUGAGCAUGUGCCUGAAACUCUGAAGAAAACGACACUGUAAAACUGAAUUUUACUCAACUUUUCUAAAAAAUGCAAAGAACAGUGCAGCUCAGGUGUUCGACAGAAUGUUUUUGGCAUCUAGGGAUUUUUCCUUGAGCUAAAACUUGGUGGAGUGGCCUCUCAUUGCUCCAGUAGGCUGCCUGAAUUUUGGUGGAUUUUUUUUUGGAGAAGUGUAGAUAUGAAUUUCACCAAAUUUGGCAAAUCUGGUCCAACUUGCAGUGAGUGAAAUUUGAAAUAUUUGAAAAGAAGAAGAGUGGAUCAAGAUGGUUCUAGGUUGUGGGUACUAAAGACAAUCCAGGGAAGUUGGUUUGGGGUAAAAACUCAAAGGCAAAGUGAUACUUGCUUUGAAAAUCACUUAAGCUCAAAAUAAAUGGCAGAAAUGUUUUGGGGGAUAAAAUAAUUGAAAUAAAAUCCAAAACUUGUUUGGACUUGUUGAGACAGAGAAUUUAGAUUGUUCAAAGGUGGAGGGAUGGAUUUUGAGAGGAUUUACUAUAGGAGACAUGGUAAAACCAUGGGUGUUUUCAAAAAGAAAGAAGUCCCAAAACUCCUAGGGUUUCCUUUUUUUUGAAAAAAAUAAGUUUGAUAGGGUAACAACCAGAAGGAAAAGCUCCCAAAAACUUCAACACCAAAUUUGAAAAGGGAAAAGAAAAUCCUUGUCAAAGGAAAGGAAGUUUUUAAGAGGAAGGAUUUCUGGAAAAGAAAUUUUUAAAAAAACCCUCUUUUAAAAUCCAACAAGGUUUUGAUAAAAACCAAAUUAAAAUUUUGGAGUGUCACAACCUACUAACUCAGAUAGCUCCAUAGUAGUCCUCAUAGAAGUCACCUCCAUAGCCUGGAAGUUCAACGUGACCAUCCGGGAACAGACGGUCUUGAGGAGCCUGUGGACCAUAGGGGCUAGGAUGGGGUCUUGGACCAACAAACGGUGGCCUGCGGGGACCACGGGGUGGGGUGAUGCCUCCCACAUCACGCCAAUCCACCACGUCUGGCAAAGCAGACCUCACAGGAUACAGAUAUCUUGUAUACAUACAUCCAGCUUGCACCGCAGGUGCAAACCGAGUCAAUGUGGCCCAAUGAUCAGCACGGGUAUUAAAAAGCUCCAGCCUCAAGGCCCGAUUCUCUCGGUCCUUAUCUUCGAGCAUCUCGGCAGUGGUACGAGUUAAUGAAUCCUCCCGAGUGGAGUCAGCAUAGAUAGCCUGAAGAUACCGUUGCGCUCCCGGAAGUGAAGCUAGCAUGUAUCGGAAGUCGGUGUUCCGAAGCAGGCCAGUCCGGACUCGCAUGAUGGUCAUCAUGGAAUAGGCAGCAUCCUGCACAGCCAUCUCAACAGUAACCCCGACUCUCGGAAUAACUGACGGUGCAGAAAUACUGGCUUUGAUUAAAGUCUCGGAAUUGCUCUUCGACGGUGUAUUCGGGAUACCAACGGUAACCCGUCUCGAUCAUGACCCGGACUAACAUAGCAGUAUGACCGGGCACGUCGAGGCACCGGGUCAGGCGAACCACUUGGUUUUGAGCACGGUUGGGCAUUUUAAAGCACAACCACAAUGCGAAGACAUCAGAAUUUCUAGGGAAAAUUGGACCGCAUAACAGCUGUAAAUGCUCAGAAAAAGAUUUGAGACAUCCACAACAGUUCGCAAUACCACUCAACAACAUCAUAUCAAGGUUCUGAUCCAAAUAGCAACAUACUAAAAAUAGUAGAAACUGAACUGGGCUUGUAACAACAAUCCUAUAAGCUACUACGGAUUGGUAACACGUGAACCUGAUAGAAGAAGAGAGCCUAGUCCUUAACCCAUGUUGAAUGAGAAGGGAAUGACUCAGAUAAGAGGCAUAGGGUAAAGGAGUAAAAGAGCCUUAUGUUCCCUCCCACAAUCAAUUCCCCUACAUAUAACUAAAGCAUUUCUAGACUCGGCAUCGACCAGUUUGGCUCAACGAACCUACAGGCAGUCCAGCUCUGAUGCCAAAGCUGUCAGGACCCCGAUUUCAAGCCACAUCGAUCUAGCCGGUAACACCUCAUAUCACUUUGCGGCCUCACGCACGAUAUUCCACGGGUGUCGCCUUACCAUGGCCCGGGACCGUUUGUGCCUUUUGGCUCACGUAUAUGAUAGUGUCGCUAGCAUCCGUAUGACAGAGAACCCGGGCCGACAUGGCUAGUCGUGAACCCAAAGCGGCACAGACCUAUGGAGACAGGCAUACAUGAAUCACAUCGAGCAUGUCGGUCAUCAGCGAGUGAUUCCGGGCUGUAGCACUGGGCUAACAGGACUCCGGGGAACUCGGGCUGUAGCAGGCUAGGCAGGACUCCGGAAGUCACCGUGUGACAUUUCCCCGAAGGGACAGACAUAGGAACGAAGUGAAUCACAUGCCGGCCAGUCAAGUGUCCUGAGCAGUAGUGCUGGGCUAGCAGGACUCCGCUGAACCGGGCUGUAGCGGACUACUAUGGCUCGAGGAACACUAGACUACAUUUCCCCAUAAGAAAGGCUGCAAAGGAUAAACAACUAGAUUGUGGGAUCCCACUCAUACCAAGCAUUUCAAUCAUACACACAAUAUGCCCGAUAUGAGUACAUACAACAUGGCAUCACAACAAAACUCUACAACUCAAGUACUUUAUUUAAAGGCUCCAGAGAGCCAUACAUAACAUGUUCAUAUAGAUAGGGGUCACAUGACCCGACACUCAAGUCAUACAAUCAUACAAGCACAUGCGGAAGCAACGGGUCUUGAAAGUGCGUUAUAUCGGCUAGGGGGGGGGGUGAAUAGGCGAUUUUUAUGGAAGUCUUCAAAACGUGGAAGUUAUGAAGACAAACAGAGUGAACAAGCCUAUCACUAUGCAGCGGAAGUUAGAUUACACAACGCAAGCCAUGGUCAAGUAUACAAUAUAGUGAAAGCACAGUGACAAAUAGCUUCAGUGUAAUGAGGAUCAGGUUGGAAGAAGUUAUGAAGCCAAACAGAUCAUACAGUCAAGUUGUGAAGACAGAAGAUAAAGCAAGCAUGCAAUAGCUUCACAAUGUGUACUGGUAAGUAAAGGGAGGCGAAGAUGAAACCAGUGACACGUUGAAGACAAUGAUAUGUUGGACCAGUUCCAGUUGCUGUGACAACUGUACGUCUGGUUGGAGCGGCUAGGUAUUUAAACAAAAGGACACACAGUCCCGGACACCCAGUCCUGAACACGCAGCUCAGGACACCCAGUCCUCACCGUUUUCUCCUUGAGCUAAGGUCACACAGACCCCGCCCAAUCACUCUGGUAAGUCUUCAAGGUAGACUCCCAAACCUUCACAGACUUUGUUCACCGGCAAUCCACAAUUCCUCUUGGAUGCUCAGAACGCGACGCCUAACUGUCUGGAGGAUGCACAGUCCUCAAGUGUAAUAAGUCUUCAGAUCACUCAGACAAGAAGACUUAAGUGAUGCCCAAUUACUCUGGCUCUGGGUGGUUAGGGCUUUUCUCCUCACUAAGGAUUUUCUCUCAAUGGCUUCGAGGUGGGUUGCUCUCAAACGACAAAAGCCGUGCACUGAAAUCUGAGCAGCCAACCGUUUAUGGUUGUAGGGGUGGACUAUUUAUAGCCGCUUGGCAACCCUGACCUGAUUUGUCCGAAAUGACCCUGGGUCACUAAGGAACUGACACGUGUACUAACGGUCGGAUUUUGAACUCUCACGGCAACUUUACUUGGGCUGCAAGUAAAGCUGACUUUUCUGACUCUGGACAAGAUUUUCUCUCAUUGUCUUCACUCGAAGACAUAGGAUUUGAAUUAGGCAUCAUUUCAGUCAUCCUGACUGGUUCUCUUGGACCCCACUUAACAGUACGGUGGUUCCUAUGACACAACAUGAAUAAAGUAAAACUACAAAGGAUCUAAGUCUUCGAGUUCCAAAGGCUUCAUGGGGAGUCUUCAUAUGUCAUUGUCUUCGACAUGAAUGUCUUCAUGAACCACCAUUGUCUUCAAUGUCUUCGUACAUUUUUCGGGGUCAUCUCUGGUAACUAAACCGAAUCAAUGAGGGACUUCUACCUGUGUUAUCCUGCAAUUCUCACAAACACAUUAGUCCCUCAACUAGGUUUGUCGUCAAUACUCCAAAACCAACUAGGGGUGGCACUAGAUGCACUUACAAUCUCCCCCUUUUUGGUGAUUGAUGACAAACUAGUUGAAGUUUUCAACGGGGAAUAUAAUUUGUGAAAUUGUAAAGGAAUUGUCUUCAUAAGCUGCAAGGGCUCCCCCUGAGGAUGUGCAUAUAAGUGAUUUGCUUUUGGAACGCGAAUGCACAUAGCAGGUUGUAUUUGUGGGAAUCCACUUCAACUUAUGAUGACAAUCCAUCAUGCAUGUAAACAUAUAAGAAGAUAAUGAUAUGCAUAAUGAAAAAUGGACGCCUGCGAAAUGAUAUAAGUGCGGAAAUUAUCGUCGUACAUGCGGAAUUUAUCUUCGCAAAAACACAGUGGCAAACAUAGUAGCAGACGACCAUCAAGUUUAAGUGUUACAACUCAAAGAACCAAAUGUAGCAAAACGAGAGUUGUAAGCACGAAGCAAAAUAUAAUAAAGCACCAGCCCUUAUUAUUGACCCGCUUGAAGACUAUAAACAUCAUAUGCUUCUCCCCCUUUUGUCAGUGAUGACCAAAAAGGUUUGAAGGCAUAGAGUUUUCUACGUGUUCCCAGGCGCAGCAGGGUCGAUGGAGGCGUUUGGUGGAGCUGGCGAGCUUGGUGCAGUGAUGAUGCGCGCUGAAGAAGGUGGUGGUGAUGUAGCAUCGUCUUCUUCCUCAAUGAUUUUUCCAGUCACUAUGGCAGCAGAGGAAGAGAACUCUGAUUCUUCAAGCGACGGAGUUCCACGCAACACAGCUCUUCUGGGGGGUGUGGAGUCAAACUUGAAUCUCUCUUUGAAGCCAUCCUCUUGCAGUUCAGCUUCAGUGCACAUCAUUGUGAGGCCUUUCCAAGUGCGGCGACAGGUUUCAUGUGCGACAAAGGCAUUCUUGGUGGCCAGAUUCCUGAUGCGAUUGACUUCUUGCAUGAUACUGCGCAUCUGCCUUUUGAGCCAGUCGUGAUGCCUAUCUUGCUUUUGGUGCAGAGCCACAAGAAGUUCACGGUCAGUGAGUGUACGAGCGCGUUUCUUGGGUCUCUGUGCAGCUGUGCUGUCAGUGGCUUCAGUUGAUGCAGGGGCACGCGUGGUGCCAGCCAUUGGAUAGACUCUGGAAAUGGCUUCAACACCUUCAUCAUGCUGAGUGAAGCUCUGGUGUUCUACAUUCUGAAGACUUAAUGGCUGCUUGGCAGGCUCAGGAUAAAUCGCUUCAGCAGAGGUGUCCACAUCAGGUAAGAAGAUUCUGUGGUUGCGGGCAGAGUGUUGAUAGGAUAUGGUAGAGUGGAGCUUGAUGAGCCUCAUAACCCAUGGAGCAUAAAUCUUCAGACCAAAGAGAUCUGAGCCAAACGCUGCUAGUUGACGUAUAAAGAGAUCCUGGGCAUUGAAGCAUUUGCCAUGCAGGAUGCAGAAGAUGAGAGUCUUCAUGGCACCUUCAACCUUGGCAUAUCGAGAGUGCCCCUUAAUGGGCCAUAGAGUCCGCCUGAUGAUGUGAUAGAUAGUUCUAGGCAGGUACUCUAAGUCUUCAACGAAGAACUCGGUUGGGUAAGGUGCGUCAGGAGGCAAUGGCUUCAUCAUUGAGAGCAUCUGACUCAUAUUUGGCUCAGGUCGCUGAAAUAUGCUCUCAACUGCUUCAGCAUGGAGUUGGCAGCCUUCUUCGAAGAGUUCGCCUGGAGUGGGUAGGCCGGUGAGCUCAAUGAUAUCAAAUGCAUUGGCUUCAUGAUGGACGUUGCCGGUCAUCCACUCCAGGACCCAAGUCUUUGGAUCUUUGUUGUAGCCUUUGAUGUGCAGUGUGGCAUAGAACUGGAGCAGAAGCUCUUCAUUCCAGUGCUCUUCAUCCGUGACAAACGGCAGCAGGCCAACUUGCUUGAAGCAGUCCAGUGCUUCUUCCAGACCAGGCAGACCAGCAAUAGCUUCAACCUCAAGGCGCUGGUGUGGAAAGAUACGGCCUUGGUUGUAGAGGACGCAGAAGUAGUAGCUGCGCUGUGGGUAGCUCCAGAACCUAUCUAACACAAUCCGUUCCCUUGAGUAAGGGUUCUUGGAGCGGUUGAAGAAGGUGUUACCUGCCCUGAAGCUAUUGACAUUAAAGGAGCCAGGAGCGGUGGCAGGACCUGGGAACCUUGGCAGUCGUGGGAUUGGCUUCUGUACCUGGGGCCUGUGCGCAACAUGAUAGUUGAACUGUGGACCGGCAGCAGACUCAGGCACAGAAGGGUCAGAGGCAGAAGCUUCAGUAUCUCUUGAAGCUGUUGGUUGGUCGGGCUCCACAAAUGCUUCAGUAUUGGGUGUGGCAGCCGCAGUGGUGUCAGCCUCAUCACGUGUAGUGAGAGGGAUGGAUUCAGGUACGUUCUCCUUGAGAACUUCUUCUUGUUGGUGUGGGGGAGAUGGAGCUUGAGGUUCUUCAUGCUCUUCUUCAUGUUCUUCGGCUGAUGCAGCCGGAAUGUCGUCAGCAGUCUGAGCCCUUGGCCCUUUGCGAAGCCUACGGAAUGCAGGCAACGCCGGUGGAGUUGCAGUGGGCUGGGGCUCAUCCUCUUCCUCCUGCGGGCGAUCUGCCCAUGAUGCAUCUUGGGUGAUUGGCGUCAAGGGACGACCAAUGCUGAUCAUUUCACUCGUUUCGAGCUGAGGAAGGACUGCAUCACCUUGCACAUUGUCUUGGAGACCAAUGUCUUCAGCAGCGUUGGAGUCGGCUGCUGGAAUGUCUUCAGCAUGCGGAGCCUUUGUGAGAGCAGGCUCAUGCACGGUCAGCUGACGAUCUUCAUGAGGAAAGCAAACGGAGAGGGGUUCGACUAUCAAGGGCUCUGUGGGAGCAGCCCGAGACUUCUUGUUCUUGCGCUUCUUGAUGGUGGGGUCUAAAGGAGAGGCUUCAGGGUGUUUCCUCUUCCUUGCUUCAGCUUCGGCUGUCCUUGUCUUCUUAACCUAUGAAGCGGUUGAGCGGUGCUUUGGCUUCGAGCCAGGCUUGGCAGUGGGGAAGACAAUCGGAACAGCUUCUUGUCGUGGGGCCUCUUGUUCAGCCACAGUGGGCUUCUUCUUUUUCUUAGCGGCCAUCCUGGGGUCGAUGCUGGGACGCCCAAGCGCCUUUCGCUUCUCGGACUCAUUGUAGGCCUGCACACAGAGAUCAGCCAAAUUCUUCAUGCGCUCACGUGAACCCUGAGCCUCUGCACGUUUCUGCAUAAAGUUUUCCUUCAACUCGUGCAGCAUGACUUUGAAGUCUUUGACUUCUUGGACGCUGAGCGUGGCCAUGUUCUGCUUGAACUGAGCCUUUUCAAAAUCUAUCUUCUGCUUCAGUUCCACUAUGCGCUGGGCAAUUGCGAGUUCUGAAGCAAUAGCUCCUUGGAAGGCUACGCUGAGGCCAAUGGGCAGCUGCAGAUCAUGGAAGCUGAUGUUGGGUGUAUCAAACCACUCAUCAAUGAAGUUGUGGAUGAUUGCUGCAUCGAACAAAGGCAGAUUGUUGAAGAUUUCAGCCUCCUCCUUGCUCUUGAUUAGCUGCUCAAGAGCGUCAUCGGCAAGAUCGUCGUCACUUGACAGAUCAAUGGCCUCGCAGCGCAGAACGGCUGCGGCAGUGAGCUCUUUGUCAGUAUGUGGCUGAUGCUUCUUGGCUUCUUGGGGCUUGGAGACUCGUGAUAAGUCUUCAGACUGCACACUUGCUUCAGGAGGUGCAGUGGCCAAUGGCUUCGCUCUGGAGAUCUUGGGAGAAGCGGCUGGCUUGGAAGCUUUUGGCUUCUUCUUCAUCUGCUUCGGCUCCGGGGCAGCAGGAGCGUCAUCAGACUCAGUGUCUACUGGAGGGUCGUUCACGGCAGUCCCUUGGACUAGAAUGCGAGUGAUGAGGCCUUUGAGAUUGGCAUACGGCCCGAUGACAUUGGGAUUUGCAUCGCGUGUGCCAUCCGCCCUUGGCUUAGAGGGACCAGGGUUGAAGUCCAGUCCAAACUCCUUCUUGUUUUGCUUCGCAGAGUUCUGAGCAAAUUGGAAGUUGCGCUUGAAGAGAUUGUCAUCGCGACACCAGAGAAGUGAUGACGGAUGUGCCUCAGCUGGCUGUGGUCCUCUGACCAUGCAUGGAUAGAAGCCUUGAGCAAUGGCUUCGUCUCUGGACCGGGGUACGAGAUUUUUGUACAAGACAUCUCCCCAUGGCCUCUGGAUGGCGCACUUCUCUGCAUAUUCCUUGGCGACGAAGCGGUAUUGGAACCACUGCUCUGCCCAAUAUCUUCGAAUCCAUUGGAUUCGUGUCUAGCGCUGACCAUAGCUCUCUUCAGGAUCAGUUUGGUACAUUUCUGCCAAAUCUUCAGGCAGAUCUUUAGACGUUUCACCACGUCUCUGUCUGCCUCCCUUCCUUGCUGGUUUUUCUGUUGCCAUGAAGCUUAACUUGGAAGGCUUCAAGAGAUUCAAAGUCUUCAAAGGCUUCCUUUUGCUUGACCAACAGGAACUUGCUUCGGGUGAAUUGAUGUGACGCUGUAGGAACUCUGCAAAUGAAUGCAGACUAUGAGAACCAAAAGAUUCUCCCACGGACAUGUACCUGUGACAGCAUUAAGGUGCGAGGGAAGGGGAAGAGGUCAUAUGCAUUCUCAAAAGAUUUUGAAGAUAAAUCAGUUUAGAAGAUAUUGACCUCAUCAUGCGAAGACAUUCACUUUAUAGAAAAGAAGUUGGUUCCAGAUUUGUACGAACCCAUAGAUCAGUACAAGUGAGGAAUCUAACUACUUCAUGAAGAACAAGUGAAUAUACUAGGCACGUUAUGAGAUACAGAUGAGAGGGAUUAAACUUUUGUGAAUGGAAACCUCUUUUGGCAGAAAGUGAUGGAGCUAUAGGAUCAAAAGAGGCUGUAAAAAGACUUGUUAUUUACCAGACUUGGAACUGCUAGACGAGGUGAGAGUUGAGGCCGAGCAGUUCGAUCCUCCGUGCCCUAACUUGGCGACGGAAGACACCUAGGGCGACGGCGGAGAGACUGAUGUCCGCUGUCGGCGUGAGAACGGCAUCGGAGAGGUUGCGGCAGUGAAGCACUUCGUCGCCGGCGUCGUUGAGAGUUAGCGGUGGCGCUAGGGUUUGUGCGAGGGUGGAAGAAGAGAUAAUGACCGCAGUGAAACGUGUAUUUAUAGGGAUAUGGGCGGCACUGCGCUAUUACUCAGGUGCCCCUGGCGAUUCGCAUCUGAUCAGUACGUGGCCAGCAUGCGGAAUUGUGGGGGCAGUUUCACCCCACGCACGCCUGGUUUGUCGGAAGCCGUUCCUACUUCUCUGGAUUUCUUGUUGAUGAAAAAACAUUAAAAUCUGUUUUAAAGUUUGUCUCUGUGUCUUCUUCUGACAAGGAUGCAGUGAAGACAUUCGACAGUUUCAAUAGAAUGCAUAGACUUGGAGAGAUAGAGUUUGAGGUAGGAAGCAUGGAGAGGUUAGGGUCCGAUCACAUUCACUUAGUUCAAAAGAUUCAAACAAGAAGACAUAGCUAUAAGUGAAUGCUGUAGAGGACAGAACACCAGUACAUAUAUAAUCAACAUAGUGAAGAUAAUCAUGAAGACAUGUUGAGAUUGAAGCUAAACCAAAUGUGAAGACAUAGCAAAUGUAAUGCCAUGAGUGAAACACUUCAAGCAGAAAAAUUUGGUGGUGGCGCUACCCACCGUAUAGGAAGUAUUGGACCCAGACACGGCGCACAAUUAUCGUGGCGCUCCGAGGUCAAAUUCCACGUUAAUGUGUUCACACUUAGAAUGUAUGUCUUCAUUGAUUGAAGAUAUACGUUACUUCGUGUGUUGCACAUCUAAGUCAUCAUCAUGCAUAAGUGUUAGGAUGUGUGCCUGAUCACAGGACAUUUGAGGAUUCCAAGAUAUUUAGCUCACACCGUAACUUGCAAAAUCUCUUCUCAUCCAAGGGCUUGGUGAAGAUAUCUGCCAAUUGCUCUUUAGUGUUGACGUGUAUGAUAUCAAUGUCUUCCUUUGCAACAUGAUCUCUGAGAAAAUGAUGACGAAUUUCAAUGUGCUUUGUCUUCGAGUGCUGAACUGGGUUGUUGGCGAUCUUGAUGGCACUUUCGUUGUCGCAGUAAAGUGGCACUUGCUUCAGAUGAAUGCCAUAAUCCUUGAGGGUUUGCUUCAUCCAUAGAAGCUGAGCGCAGCAGGAUCCAGCAGCAAUGUAUUCAGAUUCAGCAGUGGAGAGAGAUACACAGUUCUGCUUCUUUGAAGACCAACAGACAAGUGAUCGCCCAGAAAGUGACAUGUGCCUGAUGUGGACUUCCGAUCAACCUUGUCACCAGCGUAAUCAGCGUCCGAAAAUCCAACCAGAUCAAACUCUGAGCCCUUUGGAUACCAUGACCCUAGAGUUGGGGUGUGAGCCAAAUAUCGAAGAAUUCGCUUCACAGCUAAGUGAUGCGACUCCUUUGGUGCCGCUUGAAACCGAGCACACAUGUAAACACUAAGCAUAAUAUCUGGCCUAGAUGCACAUAAAUAAAGCAAAGAACCAAUCAUGGAGCGGUAUACCUUUUGAUCGAACUCUUUACCAUUGUCGUCAGGACCCAGAUGAUGUUUGGCUGGCAUUGGUGUUGUGAAGCCUUUGCAGUCUUGCAUACCGAACUUCUUCAGGCAGUCUUUGAGAUAUUUCUCUUGAGAUAUGAAGAUGCCAUUGCGUUGUUGCCGUAUCUGAAGACCGAGGAAGAAUUUCAGCUCCCCCAUCAUAGACAUCUGAUAUUGCUCUUGCAUCAUAUAUCCGAACUCCUCACUGUACUUCUGAUUGGUGCAGCCGAAGAUAAUGUCAUCCACGUAUAUUUGGCACACAAACAGUUCACCAUCAUAUGUCUUUGUGAAGAGAGUGGGAUCCAGGGAACCAGGUAUGAAGCCUUUGCUCUUCAGGAAGUAUUUGAGUGUAUCAUACCAGGCCCGAGGGGCUUGUUUGAGGCCAUAUAGUGCCUUUUUGAGCUUGUACACCAUGUCAGGAUGUUUUGGAUCUUCAAACCCAGGUGGUUGUGCAACAUACACUUCUUCUUCAAUUUUGCCAUUGAGGAAGGCACUUUUUACAUCCAUUUGAUACAGGAUUAUGUUGUGAUGAUUUGCAUAGGCCAGCAGUAUACGGAUGGCUUCAAGUCUGGCAACAGGAGCAAAUGUUUCAUCGAAGUCAAUGCCUUCGAGUUGAGUAUAUCCUUGAGCAACGAAACGAGCCUUGUUUCUGACGACUUGGCCAUGCUCAUCUUGCUUGUUGCGGUAUAUCCAUUUGGUGCCUAUUAUGUUAUGCUUCCAUGGAUCAGGACGCUUAACCAACUCCCAUACAUUGUUCAGCUCAAAUUGUUGAAGCGCUUCUUGCAUAGCUUGAAUCCAUUCAGGUUCCAUAAAGGCUUCAUCAAUUUUCCUGGGUUCUGUCAUUGAAACGAAUGCGAAGUGUCCGCAGAAGUUUGCCAGUUGAGUUGCCCUUGAAUGAGUCAGUGGACCAGGUGCAUUGAUGCUAUCAAUUAUUCUGCAAUCUGCACUUCAUUGGCAACAUGAGGAUGUAGGGGUCGAAGACUUUGCUCUUGCUGAUCUACGUUGUCAUGGGGAGGAAUGUCUUCAGGCUGAGCGUUGUCUUCAUGUGGAUCAGGUGCUGAGAUGAUAAGUUCUUCUUCAGGACGAGCUUCAGAAGGUAUAAUUUCUCCAGUUCCCAUUAGCUUGAUUGAUUCACUGGCUGGAACUUCAUCUAGCACAUCUGGUAGUUGCUCUCUUUGUGACCCAUUGGUCUCAUCGAACCGCACAUCCACUGUUUCAACCACUUUGUAGUGGAAGAGAUUGGAGACUCUGUAGGAGUGCGAAUCCUUUCCAUAUCCAAGCAUGAAGCCCUCAUGUGCUUUUGGAGCAAAUUUUUAGGUGUGGUGAGGGUCCUUGAUCCAGCAUCUUGAUCCAAAUACUCUAAAGUACCUUACAUUUGGCUUCUUGCCAGUCAGAAGUUCAUAAGAUGUCUUGUUCAGCAGCUUGUGAAGAUAUACACGGUUGAUAGUAUGGCAUGCAGUGUCAAUGGCUUCAGUCCAGAAUUUUCUUGGUGUCUUGUACUCAUCUAACAUUGUUCUGGCCAUCUCAAUGAGUGUUCUGUUCUUGUGUUCGACGAUGCCAUUCUGUUGUGGCGUGUAUGGAGCUGAGAAUUCAUGAGUGAUGCCCAAUGUAUCAAGAUAUGUGUCAAGGCCGGUGUUCUUGAAUUCUGUGCCAUUGUCACUUCUGAUGUGCUUUAUCUUGGCGCCAUAAUUGUUCAUUGCCCGAUUUGCGAAGCGUCUGAAGACAUCCUGCACUUCAGUCUUGUAAAGGAUUAUGUGCACCCAAGUAUAUCUAGAGUAAUCAUCAACAAUGACGAAGCCAUAGAGGCAAGCAGUAGUGGAGAAAGUUGAGUAGUGAGUGGGACCGAAGAGAUCCAUGUGAAGCAGUUCGAAGGGUUGAGUAGUGGUCAUGAUUUUCUUCGAAGGAUGUUUUGCCCUUGUCAUCUUCCCAGCUUCACAGGCACCGCAUAAGUGAUCUUUCUUGAACUUGACGCCCUCGAUGCCUAUGACAUGCUUCUUCUUCGCAAGGGUGUGGAGGUUCCUCAUGCCAGCAUGCCCAAGUCUUCGAUGCCAAAGCCAGCAUUCUGAAGCCUUUGCGAGAAGACAAACUGCAAGCUGUGGCCCUGCUGAGAAAUCUACCACGUACAAAUCAUCUUUUCGAUACCCUUCAAACUCUAGAGACUUGUCAGAUUCCAUUAGUACCAGACAACGAUAUUUUCCAAAGAUUACAAUCAUGUUUAAAUCGCAAAGCAUUGAGACAGACAUUAAGUUGAAGCCAAGGGACUCAACAAACAUGACUUUAUCCAUGUGUUGAUCCUUUGAGAUUGCAACUCUACCUAGACCCAGUACCUUACUUUUACCAGUGUCAGCGAAUGUGAUGUGGCUCUUGUCAGAUGGACGUAAGGUUGAGUCCAUAAAGAGACUUCUUUUGCCAGUCAUGUGAUUUGUACACCCAUUGUCAAUAAUCCAUUCUGAAGACUCUGAAGUCACUGGUGUCGUACCCUACAGUGCAGUUAGGGGGAUAGGCUUCACGAAGAGUGUUGUGAAGCAAAAACAUUUGACGAACCAGUGGAUUAUGAAAACUUAGAUCCAGGUUAGGACAAGUAGGGAGAGUAGCAUGCGAUUCAGGUAUGAAAUACAUAGUGAUGCCAUUCGGGCAUUUGAUCUUGCGCCCACAAGAUUUUUAAGGUCCCCAGCAAUAGCAUCAGAAGAUUUUGGUUUUGUGCUGGAGACCUUUCCCUGCAAAAGAGAGUUAAGCUUUCUUAACCACCCACAUCUUCAAGGGUGGCUUAGAAGCAAACAGUCUAGCAGGUGGGCAAUAGUACUCAUAAGAAUAGGCAGAAUAGUUUUUGGUCAUAUGAGAAUGACGGUUUGAAGAACCGCUCUCAUAUGCCUGAGCAUGGUUUCCCUGCAAAACAUUUGUGUUAGUGCGACUCAAAUGAGUCCUCUGCCUGUAUGAAGCCUUUGGACCAUAUAUGAAGCCUUUGGUCCGAGGUUUGUCUUCUUCAUGUGAGGUGUCAUGAGGACAUUCACAGGAAGAUUCUCAAGACACGUUUUUGGAACCCAGAUCUUCUUCAUAGGCGGUCCAUUCCUGCAGUUAGUACCAAUGUACCUGGCAAAUACUUCACCAUUCUGAUUCCUGAACAGUUUAUAGUUUGCAUCAAAGGAUUCAUCAAUGAUAAUUGGAUUAGCACAAGUGAAGCCAGAUAGAUUGGAUGGAUCUGCUGAGGAUUCCUUUGCAGCAACCCAUGUGGUUUUGGGGUACUGCUCAGGUUUCCAGUAAGAGCCAUCUGCAUUAAUUUUCCUCACGAACCCAACACCCUCCUUCCUAGGGUUUUGGUUCAGAAUCUGCUUCUUGAGGACAUCACAUAAUGUCUGAUGUCCUUUGAGACUUUUGUACAUCCCUGUUUCAAGCAAUGUCUUCAACCUAGCAUUUUCAUCAGCAAUAGCAGUGGUAUCCUCAGUAGAGGGGUUAGUUACCACUUCAACAGUUGCAACAGCAGUAGCAGUGGAACAUUCAGCAACAGAAAUAGCAUUAUCACAAUCAAUGCAUUUAAGGCAUGGUGGUUCAAAUCCUUCCUGAACAGAACUGAUCUGUUCGGCUCGAAGUGACUCGUUUUCCUUUUGAAGAUCUUCAUGAUCCGUUUUUCAAGAUGUUGCUUCUUUUGAAGAUAAUCAUAGGAAAGCUUUUCAUGAGUAGUUGAGAGAGUCUCAAGACGAUCUUCGAGUUCCUGAUACUUAACAUGAAGAUUUUUUAUGUCUUCAAUUAAGGAUUCAGAACGAGUCAUUUCAGCACCCAACAGAUCAUCGCUUCUGUCUAACAGUUUUUGAAUAUGUUCCAUGGCCUUUUGUUGUUCAGUUGCAAUUUUAGCAAGUGUUUUGUAACUGGGUUUUGAAUCACAAUCAGAGUCAUCGUCACUAGAUGUUUGAUAGUGAGUAGUGCGUGUGUUUACCUUGGCACCACGUGCCAUGAAGCAGUAGGUAGGAGUAGAGUCGUCCUUGUCAUUUGCAUCGGUGAUGGUGAUGGAGUCAUUGUCUUCAGUGUUGAAGAUGGACUUGGCGACGUAGGCUGUAGCCAGACUCGCAAUGCCUGAAUCAGACUCCUCCUCAGACUCCACCUCUGCCUCCUCAGAAGCGGACUCCUCCUCUGAAUCCAUUUCCUUGCCAACAAACGCACGAGCCUUGCCAGAUGAACUCUUCUUGUGUGAUGAAGACUUUGAGGAAGACUUGGACGAAGACUUUGAGUAUUUCUUUGUCUUCUUAUCGUCAGAGUCAUAUUCCAUGCUCUAAUUCUUCUUUCUGUUCUCAUUGUCCCACUGUGGACACUCAGAGAUGAAGUGUCCAGUUUUCUUGCACUUGUGACAUGUUUUCUUCUUGUAGUCAUGCGCAGAAGCUUCAUCAUUCCUUGAGCUUGAUCGUGAAGACUUUCUGAAGCCUUUCUUCUUGGUGAAUUUCUGGAACUUCUUCACUAGCAUUGCAAGUUCCCUUCCAAUGUCUUCAGGAUCAUCAGAACUGCUGUCAGAUUCUUCUUCAGAUGAGGACACAGCUUUUGCCUUCAAGGCACGAGUUCGCCCAUAGUUUGGACCGUAGAUAUCUCUUUUCUCAGAAAGCUGAAACUCAUGUGUGUUGAGCCUCUCAAGUAUGUCAGACGGAUCGAGUGUCUUGAAGUCUGGAUGUCAAAUGAACUGUCAAGUGAUCUUAGCAGCGUCUUAACGAUUUCAUGUUUGGUGAUCUCAGUGGCGCCGAGGGCUUGAAGCUCAUUUGUGAUGUCAGUGAGCCGGUCAAAUGUGUGAUGGACAUUCUCAUUGUCAUUUCGCUUGAAGCGGUUGAAGAGAUUGCGAAGAACACUGAUUCUCUGAUCUCUCUGGGUUGAGAUGCCUUCAUUGACCUUGGAGAGCCAGUCCCAAACCAGCUUGGAUGUCUUCAAGGCACUCACACGGCCGUACUGUCCCUUGGUCAGAUGACCACAGAUAAUAUUCUUGGCAGUGGAGUCCAGUUGAGUGAACUUCUUGACAUCAGCCGCAGUGACACCUUCUCCAGCCUUGGGAACGCCGUUUUUGACGACAUACCAUAGGUGGACGUCAAUGGCUUCAAGAUGCAUGCGCAUCUUAUUCUUCCAGUAGGGAUAUUCAGUUCCAUCGAAGACGGGGCACGCAGCGGAGACUUUAAUUAUCCCUGCAGUCGACAUAGCUAAAACUUUAGGUGGUUAAACCAAAUCACACAGAACAAGGGAGCACCUUGCUCUGAUACCAAUUGAAAGUGCGUUAUAUCGGCUAGGGGGUGAAUAGGUGAUUUUAAUGAAAGUCUUCAAAACGUGGAAGUUAUGAAGACAAACAGAGUGAACAAGCCUAUCACUAUGCAGCGGAAGUUAGAUUACACAACGCAAGCCAUGGUCAAGUAUACAAUAUAGUGAAAGCACGGUGACAAAUAGCUUCAGUGUAAUGAGGAUCAGGUUGGAAGAAGUUAUGAAGCCAAACAGAUCAUACAGUCAAGUUGUGAGGACAGAAGAUAAAGCAAGCAUGCAAUAGCUUCACAAUGUGUACUGGUAAGUAAAGGGAGGCGAAGAUGAAACCAGUGACACGUUGAAGAGAAUGAUAUGUUGGACCAGUUCCAGUUGCUGUGACAACUAUACGUCUGGUUGGAGCGGCUAGGUAUUUAAACCAAAGGACACACAGUCCCGGACACCCAGUCCUGAACACGCAGCUCAGGACACCCAGUCCUCACCGUUUUCUCCUUGAGCUAAGGUCACACAGACCCCGCCCAAUCACUCUGGUAAGUCUUCAAGGUAGACUCCCAAACCUUCACAGACUUCGUUCACCGGCAAUCCACAAUUCCUCUUGGAUGCUCAGAACGCGACGCCUAACCGUCUGGAGGAUGCACAGUCCUCAAGUGUAAUAAGUCUUCAGAUCACUCAGACAAGAAGACUUAAGUGAUGCCCAAUUACUCUGGCUCUGGGUGGUUAGGGCUUUUCUCCUCACUAAGGAUUUUCUCUCAAAGGCUUAGAGGUGGGUUGCUCUCAAACGACAAAAGCAGUGCACUGAAAUCUGAGCAGCCAACCGUUUAUGGUUGUAGGGGUGGACUAUUUAUAGCCGCUUGGCAACCCUGACCUGAUUUGUCCGAAAUGACCCUGUGUCACUAAGGAACUGACACGUGUACUAACGGUCGGAUUUUGAACUCUCACGGCAACUUUACUUGGGCUGCAAGUAAAGCUGACUUGUCUGACUCUGGACAAGAUUUUCUCUCAUUGUCUUCACUCGAAGACAUAGGAUUUGAAUUAGGCAUCACUUCAGUCAUCCUGACUGGUUCUCUUGGACCCCACUUAACAGUACGGUGGUUCCUAUGACACAACAUGAAUAAAGUAAAACUACGAAGGAUCUAAGUCUUCGAGUUCCAAAGGCUUCAUGGGGAGUCUUCAUAUGUCAUUGUCUUCGACAUGAAUGUCUUCAUGAACCACCAUUGUCUUCAAUGUCUUCGUACAUUUUUAGGGGUCAUCUCUGGUAACUAAACCGAAUCAAUGAGGGACUUCUACUAGUGUUAUCCUGCAAUUCUCACAAACACAUUAGUCCCUCAACUAGGUUUGUCUUCAAUACUCCAAAACCAACUAGGGGUGGCACUAGAUGCACUUACAGGUCUGGGUACAGACACUAGAAAGAAAGAAGGCUCCUCGAGGCCUGUCUAUCUACAUAGGGCCCUCCAUGGCCAGGAUCACCACCUGGGUGGCUAGUCACUCAUCGAAGUCAAGGUCUACAUAGAACCCAUCGGAGGGGGCGGUGUUGUCGUCUGAAAACAGUAAUUAAGCAAACAUGAGUACAAAGGUACUCAGCAAGUCUUACAACAGAACCUACUAUACAUGCUUAUUCUCAAGAAGGCGGUGGGGAUAUUGCAGCAAGCCAGCUUUGACUCUUGGCUAAACUAUCCUACGGAACUUCUCUAGUAAAAUAGUUUUCGCACACGAGUCCACUACUCACCAACACAAUACUCCAACGGGGAUCCUCCCUCAUCAUCCUACGAGAGGGCCAUCCUCGGUACUCACACUUAUCUUGAGUCUUUUAGUAGUAUCCAUUUACUUGUCUAUGAACUGUAUAGGCAACUAAGUAGUCCUUUACCGCGGACGCGGCUAUUCGAAUAGUUUUAUACCCUGCAGGGGUGUACUUCGUCAUACACGCUUUCACCACUUAUCGCCGUUUACACGACAUGUACUCGGCAACCUUCAAGCGGAAGCCCAGCGAGGGUGUCGGCCACGGCCUACCUAAACACUUAAGUCUCUAGUCCUGCUUUAUCGCCUAUCCAAGUUCCAUCCGCAGGGAUUCCGGCCGAGGUUUCCACAUACGGCCCCGAACGAUGUGAACAGGAUCCCGAGACGCCAAACGGGUGCCCGGCAUACCCGGCCACGGUGUAUCUACCACAACAUAGCCCACCCCUAGGGUCAGCGCUACGCACGGCCGCCAACACAUAACCUACAAACACCAGAAACUAUUUGCAACUCCUGGAGAGAGUACUAGGGUGAUUAAGAAGCCGAUAGGGUCAAUUAAGGAUCCCAAUGCAUGGUAGUAGCUGAAUCUUAAAUCAUACAUACAGAUCUGAGUUCUUAGGGACGGUCUCAAUGAAACAACCCACCAUGUACUCCUACAUGGCCUCUCAUCGAUACCUUUACCAAAACAUGUUCAACACAUUCCUCAUAUUACCGACAUAAUCAUAUCACUCUAGCCCAUCACCCUGAUGAACCAGACCUGACACAACUCUAAGCAUAGCAGGCAUACCAAGGUACAAAUCACAUACAUGGCUCAAUCAACUCCUACACAUGCUAGUGGGUUUCAUCUAGUUACUGUGGCAAUGAAAGGUCAUGCAGAGGAUAAGGGUUCAACUACCGUAGCACACAGCAGUUUGAAUCGCGUUAUCUUAAUGCAGUAAACAAGAGUAGAGGCGAGAAUAUGGGUUGUAUCGGAAUGAUCAAUGGGUUGCUUGCCUGAUGGAGUGGUAGUGGGAUACUGCCCUUCAGUUGGAUACUCGUGAAUAUCCUCGGAGGCAGAACCUACCACGAAGAACACAUCGGAACACAAUCAAUACAUGACGAUAUGCAACAAUAUGAUGCAUGCUAUGACAUGGCAAUAUGAAUGUGUCUUGGCCUAAUGCAAGCUAAAAUAGAAAGGGAUGAACUCAUUUGAAUCAAAGAUACAAAUAUUAUCUCAUUAAACAUGGCCUUAAUAUUGCAUUUACUUAUUCUGCUUAAACAGAAAGGUAAACUUGUUUUGUCAUGCAUGAAACCAUUACAGGUGGAUAGAUUGAAUUUUUCUGAUAAUUUUUCAUAUAUAAAUUAUUUCAUUUGGAGUUACAGUUGAAUUUCUAUGAUUUUUAGAAUUUUUAAACAUUACUGCGUCAGCAUUGCGUCAUGCUGACCUCAGCAGGUCAAAGGCGCCAGCCCAGGUCAAACCUGACUGGAGGGCCCCUUCUGUCAGUCUCUUAAUUAAAUAACAGGACUAGAUUAACACUAAUUAGCUGUCAGUGGGGCCUGGGCCCACAUGUCAGUGACUGAUUAAAAUAAAAUUAGUUAAAACUAAUCCUAGAUUAGUUAGCAGACCAGCCCCACCUAUCAUAGACUCAGGGGGGGUCUACCUGGGCCCACCCAGGGUCAAACUAGGUCAAACUCGCCGGCGUUGAGCCGCCGGCGAGGCCCGAGACGGUGGCGCAGCUCGGAAAACGCCUAUAGGGCACGAGCGAGGCCGUUCUUGGGCUCGUUGGAGAGCUCUUGCAGUCGCGCAUCUAGUGGUGGUGGUGGCGGGCCUACGGUGGCCGGAGACGACGACGGCGAGCUCCAAGGCAGCGGCCGGAGUUCGGCCAUGUGCGGGGUGUGGGCUGCGGCGUGCAAACUUGGAAACUGAGGCGCUAGCGAGGCACUACGCGAUGCGGCAAGCACGUUGCGUAGCACGGGAUGACCAAAUGGUCGCCGGAGCGGCGCCAGCGACAAGCUCGAGCAGAGACGAGCUUCGGCCAUGGUGGAACUAUGGCCUAGAGGGUGCAAACGCAUGGAAAAGAAGAGGGGAAAGGUGGCGGACCUCACGGGGAGGUCGAUGAGUAGCUCAGUGGGCUCGGGGGUGACCGGAGCGAGGCGAAUCGAUGAGCGGCGUCCGGCGGGUACCGAGGUUGAAGACGAUCCGAUGGCGGCGAUGCAGGGCCUCCGGCGAUGCGUGGGGAGGGCGAGGGCGUCACGGCGGAGCUUCUGGACAGGUCAGAGAGGCGAGGGGGUGACAGAGGGCGCGACUACGGCGGUGAGACGGCGACGGGUGCAUCGGCCAUCGCGGGAGAGGGAGAGGGGGACGUGGGGGAGAGUGAGAGAGGAUGAGAGGGGGACAUGUGGGUCGCGUGGCAUUCCCUGGACGUCUCCCGGCGUCGGCGAAAGCAGGAGGUGGCCGACGUGUGGCCGCGGGCGCCGGCCACGCGCUCCGCGUCCUUCUGGCGCGAGGAGGACGACGACGGGCAGCGCCAGUAGGCUAGGCCGAGCCCGGUGGGCUGGCCAGCACAGGUAAGGCCCAGGUGGGCUUCUCCCUCUCUUUUUUUAAUUUGUUUCUGUUUUCUAUUUAACUGUAACUGUUGGGCUUUAUUUAAAAUACUAAAAUAUUUCCAGAAAUCCUGAAAAUAAUUGUGGGCUCUGCUUGGAUUAUGUCCAACAGCAAACAUUUAUUUCCAGAAUUAUUUGAGCAUUUAAAUUAUUUAAUAGCAUUUAAAUGCCCAAAUUCAAAUACUUAUGAUUUAAAUCAAUGACCUUCUAUUGACCUAGAAAAAUUGUGCAUCAAUUUUGCCAGAGGUUCUAACCCAAGACAAAGAGGGUGAACUUUUUAGAAGGGCAUUUCAGGUUCAUUGAAAAUAAUUUUAGUAAACCCUAGUUGUUUCCAGGGGGUGUUGGGGGUUUCUCCCUUCCCCAAUUCAAAUUUAAGAGGAAUUUAAACAUGAUGGAGAUUCUAAUGCUUGAACUAGCUAGGGUGUGACAUGACUCUUUAUUUGUUAGUUUACCAUAAUCAUCCUUGCUGUACACACCUUUUGAGAGGGCCAUACAUGAUUUGGAAUUUGUUAGAAUACUCUAUGUGCUUCGCUUAUAUCUUUUGAGUUAUAUAGUUUUGCUCUAGUACUUCACUUAUAUCUUUUAGAGCACGGUGGUGGAUUUGUUUUAUAAAAACUAUUGAUCUCUCAUGCUUCACUUACAUUAUUUUGAGAUGCUUAAUAGCAUGGUAAUUUGCUUAAAAUCUUAAUAUGCUAGGUAUUCAAAGUUAGUAAAAUUUUCUUAAGAGUGUUUUGAAUACUAAGAGAAGUUUGAUGCUUGAUGAUUGUUUUGAGAUAUGGAGGUAAUAAUAUCACAGUCAUGCUAGUUGAGUAGUUGUGAAAUUGAGAAAUACUUGUGUUGAAAUUUGCACGUAUGGUAAACGUUGUGUAACAAAUUUGAAACAUGAGGCGUUAUUUGAUUGUCUUCCUUAUGAGUGGCGGUCGGGGACGAGCGAUGGUCUUUUCCUACCAAUCCAUCCCCCUAGGAGCAUGCGCGUAGUACCUAGGUUUUUGAUGACUUGUAGAUUUUUGCAAUAAGUAUGUGAGUUCUUUAUGACUAAUGUUGAGUCCAUGAAUUAUACGCACUCUGACCCUUCCAUCCUUGCUAGCCUCUUAGGUACCAUGCAUUGCCCUUUCCCACAUUGAGUGUUGGAGCAAACUUCGCCGGUGCAUCCAAACCCCGUGAUAUGAUAUGCUCUUUCACACAUAAACCUCCUUAUAUCUUCCUCAAAACAGCCACCAUACCUACCUAUUAUGGCAUUUCCAUAGCCAUUCCGACAUAUAUUGACAUGCAACUUUCCACCAUUCCGUUCAUCAUGACACAUUCAUCAUUGUCAUAUUGCUUAGCAUAAUCAUGUAGUUGACAUAGUAUUUGUGGCAAGGCCACCGUUCAUAAUUCUUUCAUACAUGUCACUAUUGGUCCAUUGCAUAUCCCAGUACACCGCCGGAGGCAUUCAUAUAGAGUCAUACUUUGUUCUAGUAUCGAGUAGAAAUUAUUGAGUUGUAAAUAAAUAGAAGUGUGAUGAUCAUCAUUAAUAGAGCAUGGUCCCAAAAAUAUAAAAAAGGAAGGGCCAAAAAAAGGCCAAAUAAAAAAAUGUAAAAAAGGGGGGCAAUGCUACUAUCCUUUUUUCCACACUUGUGAUUCAAAGUAGCACCGUAAUCUUCAUGAUAGAGAGUAUCUUGAUUUGUCAUUUUCAUCUACUAGUGGGAAUUUUUCAUUAUAGAACUUGGCCUGUAUAUUCCAACAAUGGGCCUCCUCAAGUUCCCUAGGUCUUCGUGAGCAAGCAAGUUGGAUGCACACCCACUUAGUUUCUUUUGUUGAGCUUUCAUACAUUUAUAGCUCUAGUGCAUCUGUUGCAUGGCAAUCCCUACUCCUUGCAUUAACAUCAAUCGAUGGGCAUCUCCAUAGCCCAUUGAUUAGCCUCGUUGAUGUGAGACUUUAUCCUUUUUGUCUUCUCCACAUAACUCCAGUCAUUAUAUUCUAUUCCACCCAUAGUGUUAUGUCCAUGGCAUGCAAUCAUAUAUUGCGUGAAAGUUUAUAGGUUUGAGAUCACUAAAGUAUGAAACAAUUGCUUGGCUUCUCAUCGGGGUUGUGCAUGAUGAGAGCAUUCUUGUGUGACCAAAAUGAAGCAUGAUUAAACUAUAUGAUUUUGUAGGGAUGAACUUUCUUUGGCCAUGUUAUUUUGAGAAGACAUAAUUGCUCAGUUAGUAUGCUUGAAGUAUUAUUAUUUUUAUGUCAAUAUGAACUUUUGUCUUGAAUCUUUCGGAUCUGAAUAUUCAUACCACAAUUAAGAAGAUUUACAUUAAAAUCAUGCCAACUAGCACUCUGCAUCAAAAAUUCUGUUUUUAUCAUUUACCUACUCAAGGACGAGCAGUAAUUAAGCUUGGGGAUGCUUGAUACGUCUCCAACGUAUCUAUAAUUUUUGAUUGCUCCAUGCUAUAUUAUCUACUGUUUUGGACAAUAUUGGGCUUUGUUAUCCACUUUUAUAUUAUUUUUGGGACUAACCUAUUAACCAGAGGCCCAGCCCAGAAUUGUUGUUUUUUGCCUGUUUUAGGGUUUCGAAGAAAAGGAAUAUCAAACGGAGUCCAAACGGAAUGAAACCUUCGGGNNNNNNNNNNNNNNNNNNNNNNNNNNNNNNNNNNNNNNNNNNNNNNNNNNNNNNNNNNNNNNNNNNNNNNNNNNNNNNNNNNNNNNNNNNNNNNNNNNNNNNNNNNNNNNNNNNNNNNNNNNNNNNNNNNNNNNNNNNNNNNNNNNNNNNNNNNNNNNNNNNNNNNNNNNNNNNNNNNNNNNNNNNNNNNNNNNNNNNNNNNNNNNNNNNNNNNNNNNNNNNNNNNNNNNNNNNNNNNNNNNNNNNNNNNNNNNNNNNNNNNNNNNNNNNNNNNNNNNNNNNNNNNNNNNNNNNNNNNNNNNNNNNNNNNNNNNNNNNNNNNNNNNNNNNNNNNNNNNNNNNNNNNNNNNNNNNNNNUGUUGCUCCACCGACGUACUCCUUCCUCCUAUAUAUACCUACGUAUCCCCAAACGACCAUGUACGGAGACAAAACCCUAAUUCCACCGCCGAAACUUUCUGUAUCCACGAGAUUCCAUCUUGGCGCCUGUUCCGGAGCUCCGCCGGAGGGGGCAUCGAUUAUGGAGGGCUUCUACAUCAACACCAUAGCCUCUCCGAUGAAGUGUGCGUAGUUGACCUCAGACCUACGGGUCCAUAGUUAUUACCUAGAUGGCUUCUUCUCUCUUUUUGGAUCUCAAUACAAUGUUCUUCCCCUCUCUUGUGGAGAACUAUUCGAUGUAAUCUUCUUUUUGCGGUGUGUUUGUUGAGACCGAUGAAUUGUGGGUUUAUGAUCAAGUCUAUCUAUGAAUAAUAUUUGAAUCUUCUCUGAAAUAUUUUAUGUAUGAUUGGUUAUCUUUGCAAGUCUCUUCGAAUUAUCAGUUUGGUUUGGCCUACUAGAUUGAUCUUUCUUGCAAUGGGAGAAGUGCUUAGCUUUGGGUUCAAUCUUGCGGUGUCCUUUCCCAGUGACAGUAGGGGCAGCAAGGCACGUAUUGUAUUGUUGGCAUCGAGGACAACAAGAUGGGGUUUUCAUCAUAUUUUAUGAGUCUUUCCCACUACAUCAUGUCAUCUUACUUAAGGCGUUAAUCUGUAUUUAACUUAAUACUCUAGAUGCAUGCUGGAUAGCGGUCGAUGAGUGGAGUAGUAGUAGUAGAUGCAGGCAGGAGUCGGUCUACUUGUCUUGGACGUGAUGCCUAUAUACAUGAUCAUACCUAGAUAAUCUCAUAACUAUGCUCAAUUCUGUCAAUUGCUCAAUAGUAAUUUGUUCACCCACCGUAGAAUACUUAUGCUCUCGAGAGAAGCCACUAGUGAAACUUAUGGCCCCCGGGUCUAUCUUUAUCAUAUUAAUCUCCUACUACUUAGUUAUUUCCUAUGCUUUUUUACUUUGCCUUUAUUUUACUUUGCAUCUUUAACACAAAAAUACAAAAAAAUUAUCUUUAUCAUAUCUACCAAAUCUCACUCUCGUAAGUGGCCGUGUAGGGAUUGACAACCCCUAUUCGCGUUGGUUGCGAGGAUUUAUUUGUUUUGUGCAGGUACGAGGGACUGGCGCAUAGCCUCCUACUGGAUUGAUACCUUGGUUCUCAAAACCUGAGGGAAAUACAUACACUACUUUGCUGCAUCAUCCCUCACUCUUCGGGGAAAACCAACGCAGUGCUCAAGAGGUAGCAAGGGUUCCUUUUUGUCGACGAUCUGAUGUUUCAACCUUGUUUUCCAGGCGGCCAACGCGUCGCUAAACUUGGUCAUGGCGUGUUUUUUUAUCUUCUUCAUUGCCAGGUCCUUAUCUGGAUCUUUAUUAUCCUUUUCAUUACGGUCCGGGAACAAGAAUAUCUGGUGCAGCCUCUUUAGGAGGGAGGGCCUCAUAUUAUCUAUCUUCUGUAGUUUCCCAUCGUUGAUCGUGGCAGUUGUCCAUACAAUGCAACCUAUUUGAUUGCCGUAGCACGAUCGCGCUUCCUCAGGCGCUAUUGUCUCAAAAAUACCGUCGUCCAACUCCGUGACCACCAGUCUAGUACUCAGGAGCUGGUUUGGGCGCCGUGGCCUCUUUGCUUUCGGUUCUAGACCAACUCCGCUAGUCUCGGCGCCGGUCUCAGUCUCAUCGCCGGUCUGCAUGUCGGUAUCAGUCCCCGAUGCGACAACACAGUCGCUGCAACAUGGGUAAGGGAGACCUCCGCGCGUUUGUACAUAGGCACAGGGUGAAUCCCGGUGAGAGAUGGCCAUUGGCGCAUGCAAGUAGACGACGACGUCCCCGACGAAGAGCAGCCGGCCAGCUCGCCUCACUCUCCUUUGAUUAGAAAUGAAAGAUUGGGAAGAAGCAGACUGGAGCCUGCAGGGAAAGGAUAAGGUGACGAUGCAGUCUCCACUCGUUCGGGGCGACACACGUACUGAAUGUAUGAGAAACGUGACGUGGCAGAGACCCCAAGAUACUCCCUCCAUUUAUUUUUAGUCUGCAUAUAAAGUUUGGUCAAAGUCAAGAUUUGUAAAUUUUAACUAACUUUAUAAUAAAAAAAUAUCAACAUUCACAAUAUGAAAUCAAUAUUACCAGAUGUGUCAUGAAAUGUAUUUCCAUACUAUAUAGUUUUGGUAUUGUAGAUGUUCAUAUUUUUUAUAUAAAUGGGAAGUAGAGGCACUCUUGCAUAUAAUGAAGUUUAUAAUAUAUGUGCUUAUAUUGUACUACAAUUGUUUGAAUAGCUUAGCAUAUGUUCAGAUGUAUGAUAUCUGUAAUUUAAGCGCUUGAAUUUUACAUAUAAAUAUUUAUUAAUAAAUAUGUACCCCUAUAAUAGCUAGGCCGUGCAUUUGCACGGGUAGAUGACUAGUGAUUACAAUCUUGUUUGUGUGCAAGUCAAGCUUAUCUAGUUUACACGUAACAACUUGUAGAACGUUACAAAAUUUAUGCUUGCUAAUAACUUCUAGAACACUACAACACUUGACAUGUAAAAGGAAUUUGACGAGUCAUGGCCUACUAAAGCAAGUUACAUUACUAGUCUUAUCUAUCUUAACAGACCACACAAGAUUACAAACUAAGUACCGUGACAGCCAUGCUUAUCUAGUUUAUGCGUAACAAUUUGCAGAAAAUUACAAACUUAGUUUCAGAAAAAUAGGCAAUCUAGAUUAGUGUUUGAGCUGUAAAGUGAAUAAGAUGAGUCAUGCAUGUUAUCACACCUUUUUGGUGGUGGAAUGAUAGUGCAACAACAAGGAACUUUAAUGACCAGUCCAAGAAUACACUUGUAAGUAGUGCUACCAAACAGAACAUACCAAAUGAUGAUUUUUAGAAGCAUCCAAGCACUUUCCACACAAACAAAUGCCAAUUGUGAAAGAGAUCAUUCCAUGGCAGCUAUAAAUAGCCCCAUAGCAUGACGAUCAUCCUUCCUCAUCCAUCAUUCUUAUUAGUAGAGCGCAUCAUUUAAGCCAAGCAAGCUGUGGUCAAUACAAAUCCACCAUGAAGACCUUUCUCAUCCUUGCCCUCCUUGCUAUCGUGGCGACCACCGCCACAACUGCAGUUAGAGUUCCAGUGCCACAAUUGCAGCCACAACAUCCAUCUCAGCAACAGCCACAAGAGCAAGUUCCAUUGGUACAACAACAACAAUUUCUAGGGCAGCAACAACCAUUUCCACCACAACAACCAUAUCCACAGCCGCAACCAUUUCCAUCACAACAACCAUAUCUGCAACUACAACCAUUUCCGCAGCCGCAACUACCAUAUUCGCAGCCACAACCAUUUCGACCACAACAACCAUAUCCACAACCGCAACCACAGUAUUCGCAACCACAACAACCAAUUUCACAGCAGCAGCAGCAGCAGCAACAACAACAACAACAACAACAACAACAAAUCCUUCAACAAAUUUUGCAACAACAACUGAUUCCAUGCAUGGAUGUUGUAUUGCAGCAACACAACAUAGCGCAUGGAAGAUCACAAGUUUUGCAACAAAGUACUUACCAGCUGUUACAAGAAUUGUGUUGUCAGCACCUAUGGCAGAUCCCUGAGCAGUCGCAGUGCCAGGCCAUCCACAAUGUUGUUCAUGCUAUUAUUCUGCAUCAACAACAAAAACCACAACAACAACCAUCGAGCCAGGUCUCCUUCCAACAGCCUCUGCAACAAUAUCCAUUAGGCCAGGGCUCCUUCCGGCCAUCUCAGCAAAACCCACAGGCCCGGGGCUCUGUCCAGCCUCAACAACUGCCCCAGUUCGAGGAAAUAAGGAACCUAGCGCUACAGACGCUACCCGCAAUGUGCAAUGUCUACAUCCCUCCAUAUUGCACCAUCGCGCCAUUUGGCAUCUUCGGUACUAACUGAGAAGAAAAUAACUCUAGUACUAGAUAUAU
rnacentral:lncRNA from 1 species